CGAGUACAUUAAAGAUGUUGUUGAAUAUGUUAUAAAAAAGUUGACGAAUAUUGGGUUUGAAAGUGCUUCUAAAGAAUUGGUUGGAAUAGAAUAUCAGAAAAAUGCGAUUUUGAAGCUGAUUAAGCAAAAUGACUGUCGUGUAUUAGGACUUUGGGGAAUGGGUGGUCAAGGCAAAACAACCCUUGCUGAGGUUGUAUAUAAAAAAAUCUCUUCGGAGUUUGAAAGUCAUUGCUUUCUUCAAAAUGUUAGAGAGGAAAUAGGAAAUCAAGGGAAGAAAUCUUUACGAAAUGAACUUCUUUCGAAAUUAUUGAACUCAAAAGUUGAUAUAGACACCCCCUCUAUAGGAUCCACUUUAACUCAAGAGAGACUCAACAAGAAGAAAGUACUCGUUGUCCUUGAUGAUGUUGAUGAUCACUUAGACCAAAUAGAUUAUAUGGGGGUUAAAUAUUUUGGUUUUGGAAGUAAAACCAUUAUAACAUCUAGAGAUAGACAAGUGCUUGAGAGCGGAGGAGCUGACAAAAUACAUGAGGUGAAAAGGUUAAAUGAGAACGAUUCUCUUCAACUUUUUUCUACCUUUGCGUUUAAGCAGUUGAAUCCCGCGGUUGGUUUUCAAGAUCUAUCCCGUAGGUUUGUAAAGUACACCCAAGGCAAUCCACUUGCUCUUAAAGUUUUGGGUUCUGAUUUAAAUAAAAGAAGUAUAGAUUAUUGGGAAAGUAAGGUUGAGAAGCUAAAGGACUGUCCCCCAGAGAAAAAAAUUUCAGAGGCUUUGAAAAGUAGUUAUGAUGGGCUAGAUAUAGUAGAGCAGAAUAUAUUUCUUGACAUUGCAUGCUUCUUUAAAGGGGAACCCAUAGAAAGAACAAAACAUAUUCUAAGUGGUUGUUAUAAGGGUGUAGAGUGUGGAAUCAACAAAUUGGUUGACAAAUGCCUGAUCAGUGUCUCAUCUUCUCGUAAUUUCUCUCUUGGUUUUUUUGGUUAUUGUACAACGCGCCAUUUGGAAUUUCCAUAUAUAAUUGAUAUGCAUGAUACGCUUGAAGAGAUGGCAAAGGACAUUGUUUGUCAAGAAUCUAAAAACCUUGGUAAAUGCAGUAGACUAUGGAAUCUGAAACACGUGGAAGAAGUGCUCAAAUAUAAUAAAGUAAGCACUAAUUAUAUUUAUAUUCUUUUUUUUAAAUAUACUUUAAUGGGAUAUUGUCAUUUGGUUGAAUGGCACUAUAUAAACCUAUACAUUUGAUAUCAUAUCAAGUAUUAUCCCUUUUAAUUAGUAUUUAGAAAAUAAAAUAAUUAUCGUCAUACUUGACUCAUAAUGAUUAUAUCUUAGGUAUAAUGUAGAAUCGCUCAAGGUUUAUGACUUAGUUGAAUAUUUAAUGCAUUGAUUUGAAAACAUAAAAACAAAAGAAAAAAAAACACUUUUUGUAUGUAAAAAUUCCUAAAAAGGGCUAAAUUAGCCUAUGCCUGAGCUAAUAUAAUUAUUCUUUUAUGAGUUAUUUAAUGGGAUGUCUAUAAAUUUCUUCAUGCUAAUAUUUGAUAAAUUAAUUUUUGUUAUCAGGGAACUGAUCGAAUUCAAGGAAUAAAGUUAGACAUAUCACGUGUGGAUAAUUUAUUAUUCCAACCUUUUGUUUUUAAAAACAUGACUAAUCUUAGAUAUAUUUUCUUCUAUUUGUCGUCAAAAUAUUUGUUGCGGGAAGAGAGUGAGGAUUAUAAGAAGCUACUUACAUACCAAGAUGAUAUUGUAUCUCUUCCGAAUGAGCUAAGGUAUCUUCAAUGGGAGUAUUACCCCUUCAAAGCUUUAUCAUCAAGUUUUAAUCUAAAAAACCUUGUUGCAUUGAAAUUACCACGUGAAAACAUGGAACAACUUUGGAAUGAAGGUCAUCAGGUAUAUAUACUUUUAUACAUUCUUUUAUCCAAGAAUUUUUUUAAGAAAAAUAAUUUAUAAUUGAUAUAACAUUUAAUCUUAUGAUAAUAUAUUUUUAUUAAUUUUUAAAAAAUAAAUAUAAAAGAUUUUUUUCUAUUUUUUAAAAGAAGCAAUCUGAUGUAUUGAUGGUGGGUGAAUUAAUACACCCAAUACAUCAAAUAUAAAUUUUUAUUUUGAUAGAGUCUAAGUCAAUGAUGCUUAACUACUUUAUGUUCUCAUCAUGCAUGUGCAAGAUCUUGUUCAUUUACGGGAAAUUGACCUUUUUAAUUGUAAAAAUUUAAAGAAGAUCCCUAAUUUAUUAGGAGCCCUCAACCUGGAAAGACUUGACUGUAAAAAUUGCAGGAGUUUGGUUAAACUUCCUUCCCUCGCCCAUUUGACAUCACUUAAAACCCUUCAUCUUAAGGGAUGUCGUAGUCUCAAAAAGUUUCCCGAGAUCCCAAAUAACUUUGAUAAGUUAGAUUUAUCAGAAACCGGAAUAAAAAAAGUACCUGAUUUCAUUGAGCGUCUCGACAGACUUCGACGGUUGACCUUGACAAACUCAAUGGUAAAAUAUGUAUCAAGCAAUAUUUCAAAGUUGAAAUCCCUUGAAGUUCUAGAUCUUGGUGGUCGUCCAAUCGUCAAAUCCCCAGAAAUCCCAAGAAGCUUAACAGGAUUAUACCUAUCUGGAACUCAAAUUAAAGAAGUGGACUUGUCUUCCAACUCAAGGGCAAAAGAUGCAUCGAGCAAUAUUUCAAAGUUGGAAUCCCUUUAUUAUGAUGGUUGUCCAAUCGUCAAAUUCUCGUUUCCAACUGUUGAUGUGCCCUCACCAAGCUUGAAGGAUAUGUAUAUGGAUAGUUGCAAGAGCCUCAAUUUACUCUCAGAGCUUCCACCAUAUCUGGACCGGUUGGAUGUAUGUAACUGCACAUCAUUGGAAAAAAGUUUCCUUUGCAGAUCAAAAUUUGUGUCAGUUUGAUUCGUUUGGUGAAUUGGUUUCCAUGUUUGAUUCGUUUGUUGAAUUGGUUUCCAUGCUAUUCUGUAAUUGCUUCAACUUGAAUCAAGAGUCAACUAAUAACAUUGAGGCAAAUGCCAUGCUCAAAAUUGGAUCCCUAGCUAAGAUAUGGGCAGCGAGACAAAAUUUGUCAUCUUGCCGUGAUUCCUCACAUUUGAUUUGUUGUUUCCCAGGAAACAAAAUUUCAGCAAAUAAGUUCAAGUGUCAGAGCAUGAAUUCUUCCUUAAGUUUGAAGAUAGCUCCAAACGGGGGUAGUGGGAGCGGAUUUUUGGUUUUUGCUAUCUGCCUUGUGGCUGAUCUCACUCACUGCCGUUCCGAUUGUUAUGUUGAAUGUAUUUGUGAGUACCAACUUACAGCCACCGAUGGUGGCAAUGGUGGUGGUGGUUAUGAAAAGCUAAGAAGUACAAUAACUUUGUUAUUGCCUUUUGAGACAGAGAAGUACAAGGAUUAUCACGUGUUUAUUCUAUCUACCGCCGACAUGGUUAAAAAAGACCAGAAUUAUGAGGAGGCAUCAUUUGAAUUCUCCAUUAGAAAUUUGGGUCUAGAAGGUGAUGAUGUAGACAUGAAGGUGGAGAGAUGUGGUGUUCAUGUAUUUUACGUGGAUGAAGAGAGUGAUACAGAUUAUAUAUAUGAUACAGAUGGUACAGGCGGUUGACUUGUUAUUGGUUGUUGUUUUUUUUUUUUUUAAUUCAUAGGACCAAUGGUGGACUCGGUUCAGCUUCAUUGUUUAGUUCUAGCAUUGGUGUCAUCUGGCAUCUAAAUACUUGCUGCAUUUUCCUUCAAUCAUAUGUUGAUUCAUUAGAAAGAUUGGUUAUUUGUGAGAUUGUUUUUUCUUAUAUCCUUUGCUUCUGUGUUGAUUUAUGAUUAGGGAAUUACAAAUCUUUGAGAAUGCCACAGCAGAAUUGGAGCUUUAGCAACUGAGCUGUAAGACCUUCAAUUUUAUUUACUGAAUGCUUGCUUUAUACAAGGGUUUGAACUGAUAUUUGGUGACAAUGCAAGUUGUCAACAGAUUCGUCAACACAAAGUCAUAGUAAUCUUUUGAGCCCCUUUUUGGGUUCUGGCAAUUCAGUCUUGGUGGAGAAGUAAGUUACCUUUGACUUUGAAUUAUUAUCAUGAUUUUAGUUUCAUAUAAUGAUUUUCAGCAUCCUCACCAUUUUUCCCAUUUUUAUCAAUGGGAUUAUAAAAAUCCAGAAUUUGCAACAGAUCUCAAAACUUGUGGGAUAAACACAUGGAGCUGGAGGCAACCUUUGACAGUUUUCAUGCUCAAGCUAGAUUGGGUUAGUUUCAUGGUAGAGCUAUUGGAGUUGAUAUUUUCUUAUCUUGGAUUUUGAUUAUCAUAUCAGUUUGGGCUGAAAUUUCUUUGUAUGUUACUGCUUUCAUGUUGUUUGAGCAUUGUAGUGAGGAGAGAUAAAGAUUCAUACUUGAAUUCUUUUUGACAGUUGACUUGUUAUUGGCUGGUUUUUAUUCAUAGGAUCAGUGGUGGACAUCAUUCAGCUUAAUUGUUUAGGUUCCACCAUUGGUGCUAAUGCCAUAGGCAGCAAGUAGAGAUUUAAUCAUAUUGCAUCUCAGUACUAUCUGCAUUUUACUUCAAUGAUUUGUUCACCCAUUGAUUUAUGUUUCAUAUUUCCUUUGAAAGUUGGUAAAUAUAUAUAUAUAUCUAUAUAAUAUUUCAGUUCAUGAUUUUCUAAUUUAUAUUCAUGUUAGCUAAGGUAAACCUAACAACUAUUCCCUAAAUAUAAUCAACAUAUUUUUGAGAUUGGUUAAUCUUAUAACCUAUGCUUUUAUAUUGAUCUAGGAGUAGGUAUUUUCUAUUUUUUAUGACUGUGAUCCGUAGAUUUCAUAAAACUUGCAUGACAGUCAAGCCAGACACAGAUUCAAUACUCUACUGGAAUUGAAGUCGCAGAUUAUGGGUGGUUUUUUGAUAUCUUCUUUCUCACCAACAAAUGAAGUUCCCACAAAAUCCACAUUUAUAGAUGUGCCCUUUUACGUAGAGAUUAAUGUGAAGGGAAUAAAGAUGGCAAUGAUUGAUGUAAGGAAAGCAGAUGAGGGAAUAAAUAACAGAUGUUUGUAACAAGUAAGCUUUUAAGAUCUUCAAUUUCUUCUACUGAAUGAUUUCUUUAUAUUGUGGUUGGACUUAGAUAUUGAAGCAGUACUGCAAGUUGUCAACAGAGUUGCCUUGUUUAUCCCAUUGAGAGGAAGCAUAUGCUCUUGGGUAAAUUACUAUUGACUCAUUCAGAUUAUUAGUAUCCUCAUGGCAUUCUUUUCCCCUGAUUUAUCAAUGGAUCAUAUAAAUGCAUGCAGAAUUUGGCAGAGUUGCUCUCAUCUCAAAACUCGUUGAAUGAACACACGGAGCCUGGAUGUUAUUUUCAAUGCCAACCCUAUCACAGUUUUCAUUCUCAAUCUAGAUUGAUGUUUACCCCGUAGAGGAACCCAACAUAAACACCUGGAAAAAAUAAUCCAAAUGAUUUUGGUUUAGUUGGAACUUCAAAAUGAAGAGUUGGUUUCAUGAUACAGCUAUUUGACUUGAUUGUUACAUCAGUUUGGGCUAAAACUUGAAUCAAUUUUCCCUUUUUGUAAUUAAAAUUCCAAAGUUUCUCUGUUUUGGAAUUGGUUUGUACAUUGGUUUUGAUGAGAUGAUAUCCAACAAGUUCAAGAUUCGAAGCUUAGUAAUUAAAAUUAUUUUCUGUAAUCCUAAACACAAAUUAUACAACUCUGAUUAUUUUUAUAUUUCAGUAAUUACACAAAUUCAGGUCCAUUAGCAUUACAACUUAGCUAGUGAUAGAUGUUGCAAGCUUGCAUCCACAAUUUUUAAAUAAAUUAAUCUUUUAUUAUAGAAAACCAAACUGGAUGAUAGGUGUUUAAUAUAUCUUAUUUAUCACCCACAAAACAAAAAAAAUUGUGCGUCGCAUAUCAAGCGGCGAAUUUUCAUGCUUCGGUGCUUUAUGAAGUUACCGCUAUAAGACUGUAAUCUGCAGAUUUUCCAUGAAAAUUCAGCCAAGAGGAUGACUGACAGCUUUGUAGCAUAGUAUUGAUUUGCUUUUUUGCAAUCAAUGAAUGAAGGUAAGAAAAGAAACACAUGAAAAUCAGUAUCAUGUGAACUUAAUGGUGGGGCGUCGGGGACCAAAUAGUACACUAAUCAAUGGAACAAUUAUCUCACAGACUAGGCAAGAAAAACAGUCCCUUUAAAUUGGAUAUUCAUCUAAGGAUAACAGCUCGUAUUACUAACAAUAUAUGCAAAUAUCAAGCUUGAAGGUUGAUCCAAAAUAUAAGAGAAUUUGAAUAAAAAAAUAAAUUUAGACAAAAUUGAAGGCUUUUUUUAUUUAUUUAAGCUAGCCUUGAUUUAGACCAAAGGUUGUUUAAUAUUUUGAUUGGGUUUAGACUAAAAGUACUACUGCCAAUAUGUAAAUUGAGAGUAAAUUUAUUCAAGUGGCUGAAUAUUUGUUUAAAUUUGAAGGUUAAUCUAAAAUAUAAGAGAAUUUAGGUAAAAAAAUAUAUGAGGUUCGAAAAAUAAGUUUAGGAAAAAAAAUUAAGACUUUUUUUCUUAUCCGAGCCUUGGAUUAGGACGAGUUAGCUAUGUUUCAGCCUAACAGGAACACUUUCAAUCUCAUCCCUAUUUAAUAAAGUCACUUUUUCUUCUUACCAUUUAAAAAGUAGAAGCAAAAGCAACGUCCCACGGUUUAUUUGUGCUCUUUUCCCUCAAUCUCACAAUCCAUACACUUCCAUGGCAUCUUCUUCAUCUUCUUCUCGUCAAAUGAUGCAUCAAGUUUUCUUAAGCACCAAGGGCUUGGUAUGACGAAAUUGAUGCAUAAUGACACAUAAUGACUGUAAGGCCCAAAUUUUGCCUGGGGUCCAAUAAAACCAAACCCAAAUUAAAAUUAGCCCAUUACCCAGUUACAAGCCCAAACCCAAUUUUGGCCCAACCUAAUCCCAUUACACUAUCCCAACCCAAACACACACACAAAAAAAAACUAAAAAAACUAGCCACCAAAGUCUGUCACCACUCACACCUCCAUUUGCUCCACUUGCACAUGCAAAAGAGAAAAAGGACAAAAGACAGCAACAAAUAAUAAUAAAAUUUGUAAAAAAGGGAUGGCUAUAAGAAAGCCAUCCGAAAAUCAGGAAGAAAAGGGGGGGGGGGGAUUUUGGAUUCUAUCUCAUUUUUCGGCUAAAAAUAGAAGCCGAAAGAAAUCAUAAAAGGGGGAUCCCCAUUCUUGUACGCAGGAUUUCAGAAAUAAAAGAAAAAAACAAAAAGAAAAGGUGGAUUUCCGAUCGUAUUCUCUUGGUUUUCAUUUUGUUCUUUAGUUUCUUUUUUAUUUCUUUUUUAUUUUUGUUUACAAAUCUAUUAAACGAAAGUGGGCAUAAAAAUAAAAAAAAAGAGAGGAGAAGAGAGUCUUACCAGAUCCACCUGGGGUUGCGUCGCCGGAGUUUUCUUUUCCGUCGUCAGAAUCGACGCAAGGAGAAGGUGGGGGGUUCUUUCUCCUUUGUUUUCUUCGGUAUAGAGAGGCCUCACCAUUGAAUCUCCCUUUAAAAGUGCCAAAAACUCGGUUCCAUGAGGCUUUGAACCACCGUUUACGAUGGAAGCCACGGCGGGUUCACGAUGAUUUGGUGACAGUUCAAAAGGGGGAAGGUAGAAAACCUAGUAGAGAAAAGAAGUUGAGGAGAAGGGGCUGCUCUCUUUAUUUCUGCUGAAUGAAUAAAAGUGGGGGUGAAUGUUUUAAGAAAAAAAGGUUUUUUUUUAAAAAAAAGGGUCCAUUGUUCUUUAAUUUUAAUUGCUUUUAGGGAAAGGAAAAAGAUGGCCUGUGCAUGGACAGUUGGUUCUGCGCAUGUUCCCCUUAAAUGGGUAAUUCGCGCGGCCAGUCCUUCCUAUUUUGCGUUACCUUUAAUUUGUCUUUAUUAUGUUUCUUUCAUUUUUCUCCAAAAGUUUGCACGCUGUUUCAGUUUGGUCCACGCCUAGGCAGUGUUUUUGGUGAUUUGGGUCAUUUUCAAUUUUGAUCCCCGAGUAUUUGUGCGCGUUUUAUUUCGGCCCAUAAUUUUGUUUAAAUGAUUAGUUUUGUUUAUAAAUUAUCCCUUUGGUUUUGUUGUGCUUACAAUGAAGUUUUUUUUCCUUAAGAAAUAAGAGCAUAUUAUUUUAGCAUAUUAUCUUGUAUUGUUUUGAUGAUUUCGUUGUUUUUUUAUGUGCAUAUUUUUUUUUCUUUUCUUUUUUCAAAUACUUUCGUAUAUUAUCAUUAUCUCUUUUAUAUAUAUAUUAGGUUUAUUAAUUUCAUAUAUUAUUUACUUAAAUGUUGUACAUAUAUCACUUUGCAUAUUGCUAAAUCUUUUUGAAACUUCAUUUAUGUAUUAUAUAUAUUUGAUGCAUCUCAAAUUUCCAUGUAAAUUAUUUUAUGGUAUUUAUUUUAAAAUUCAUUCGUAUGAUAUUAUUUAAUUUAUUACUUAUUUAUAUUUUUCUAUUUAUUUUAAAAGUUUUAUAUCCAUUAUUUGUUUUAAAGUCUUUGUAUUACUUUUAUAGUAGUGUUCUUUUAAAAUUUCCUUUCUUCCCUAUUGUUCAUUUUAUUUUAAAACUUGAUAUUUUAUUUGAGUAAUUUGCUUGGAACUUCUUUUAAGUUGGCUUUUAAUUCAUUAGCUUAUAAUUAUUAACAUUUGUAUUUAUAUAUUUGUUCCUUCAUGUUUUUGUAUCAUUCUUGAUUAUUCAUGUAAUGUUAUUGUCCCAAAUUUUUAUUUCUUGCUCAAUACUAAGCUUGCAUGCUCUUUAUUGCAUCAUGUUUUUUUAAUUCCAACUUCUUUCUCAACGUCAAUUGUUUUUAUCUCUAAAUAAUCAAACAAGCAUAUUGACUCAUUUUUUUGCAAUUGUAUUUGAAACUUCACAAAUCAAGGCAAUGUUUCGUAUUUGGAAAUUCGGGAAAUAGUUGUGUCCUAACUCACUGGAUAUGACAUUUUGUUACCUCGAAAUAAGAUUUUUUGCAAGUAAAGGCAAUAUUAGAUGUUUGGCAAUUCGGGGAAUCGUGCCCUAUCGUGCUGGGUUGCAAUUUCCUGUUUGUUCGAAACAACCGAAUAUUCCUUCGGUGUUCCACUCAUGUCUUUUAAAAAAUUUCAUUAAAACGAAAGAGAUGUUCGAUAUUUAGCAAUUCAUGGAAUCGUGCCCUAACGUGUUGGGUUGCAAUUUCUCGUUUGCUCAAAAUAAUCGAAUGUCUCUUUAGAAUUUCAUUCAUGUUUUCUAAAAAAAAAAAACUUAUAAAGGAAAUGUUCGGUAUUUAGCAGUUCGGGGAAUAGUACCCUAUCGUGCUGGGUUGCAAUUUCCUAUUUGCUCAAAAUAAUCAAAUAUCUCUCUGGAAUUUCACUCGUAUCUUCCAAGGUGAGGCAAUGGUCAAUGUUUGGAAAUUCGAGGAAUCGUGCCCUACUGUGCUAGGUAUCAAUUUUUCGUUAGACCAAAUAGUUGGGCAUCCUUUUGUUAUUUUCGAAUUACAAAUUUUCGAACGUCGAAACAAGAAGAUUUUUGGCAAUGGACUCGGGUUAUUCAAAUGUUAUUAACAAGAACCACAUUUCAAAAACAUUUUUAAUUUUAGACAAAAGGACAGUAUUUAAUCAAUUUGGUACCAAUUUUGGGCAUAAUGAGAGUGCUAAUCCUUCCUCAUACGUAACCGACUCCCGAGCCUAUUUUCUCAUAUUUUCGAAGACCAAAAUUAUUGUUUUAAUAAACCAAAAUGUUUUAUUAAAACAACCCAAAUUUCUAGGUGAUCCGAUCAUACCUAAACAAAAAAAGAUUGGUGGCGACUCCAUUUUCGCUUUCCAAAAAGUCGAUCCAUCAUUUUUAAAACGAAAUAAAAAAAUGGUUUCGACAAUGACUAUGUCUUAGAUAUAAUGUAGAAUCUACUCGAGGUUUAUGACUUAGUUAAAUAUUUAAUGCAUUGAUUGAAAAAAUAAAAACAAAAGAAAAGAAAACACUUUUUGUAUGUAAAAAUUCCUAAAAGUGUUCAAUUAGUCUAUGCCUAUCCUAAUAUAAUUAUUUUUUUUACGAGUUAUUUAAUGGAAUGUCUAUAAAUUUUUCCUUGCUAAUAUUUGAUAAAGUAGUUUUUGUUAUCAGGGAACUCAUUGAAUUCAAGGAAUAAAGUUAGACAUGUCACGUAUGGAUAACCUAUUAUUCUAACCUUUUGUUUUUGAAAACAUGAUUAAUCUUAGAUAUAUUUUCUUUAAUUCUCCUUGGAAAUUGUUGUGGAAAGAGCAUGAGUAUUAUAAGAAGCUACUUACAUACCAAAUAGAUAUUGCAUCUCUUCCGGAUAAACUAAGGUAUCUUCGAUGGGAUUAUUACCCCUUCAAAUCUUUAUCACCAAAUUUUAAUCCAAAGAACCUUGUUGUAUCGAGAUUAGCACAUGGAAACAUGGAACAACUUUGGAACGAAGUUCAUCAAGUAUAUAUGCUUUUAUACUUUCUUCAUCCAAGAAUUUUUUUAAGAAAAAUAAUUUAUAAUUGAUGUAACAUUUAAUCAUAUGAUAACAUAUUUUUAUUAAUUUUUCUAAAAAAAUAUAUAAAAGAUUUAAUUCUAUUUUUUAAAAGAAGCAAGUUGAUGUAUCGAUGAUGGGUGAAUUAAUACACCUAAUGCAUCAAAUAUAAAUUUUUAUUUUGAAAGAGUCUAAGUAAAUGAUGCUCUAACUACUUUAUGUUCCCAUCAUGUGCAGAUCUUGUUCAUUUAUGGAAAAUUAACCUUUUUAGUUGCAAAAAUUUAAAGAAGAUCCCUAAUUUAUUAGGAGCCAUCAACCUUGAAAGACUUGACUGUGAAAAUUGCGAAAGUUUGGCCGAACUUCCUUGCCUCGACCAUUUGACAUCACUUAAAACCCUUCACCUUAAGGGAUGUCGUAGUCUCAAGAAGUUUCUGGAGAUCCCAAAUAACUUUUAUGAGUUAGAUUUAUCAUAAACCGGAAUAAAAGAAGUACCUGAUUUUAUUGAGCAGCUCGACAGACUUCAACGGUUGACCUUGACAAAGUCAAUGGUAAAAUAUGUAUCAAGCAAUAUUUCAAAGUUGAAAUCCCUUUCUUCUCUACAUCUAAGUUGUUGUUCAAUCCUUAAAUUUCCAACUGUUGAUGUGCCAUUACCAAGCUUGAGGUUUAAAAGCCUUAAGCGUAUGCAUAUAGAUCGUUGCAAGAGCCUCAAAUUACUCUCAGAGCUUCCACUAUAUCUGCUCGACUUAAAUGUACAUGACUGCACAUCAUUAGAAAAAGUUUCCUUUGCAGAUCAAAAUUUAUAUCAGUUUGAUUCGUUAGGUGAUGAAGGUGAUGGUGUGUUUUGCAUGCUAUUCUAUAAUUGCUUCAACUUAAAUCAAGAGUCAACUAAUAACAUUGAGGCAAAUGCCAUUCUCAAAAUUGGAUCCCUAGCUAAGGAAUGGGUAGCGACUUAUUGUAGGAAAUACCUGGGUGAUAUUCUUCCAAGUUUGAUUUGUUGUUUCCCAGGGAACAAAAUUUCAACAAAUAAGUUCAAGUAUCAGAGCAUGAAUUCUUCCUUAAGUUUAAAGAUAUCCCCAAAUGCGGGUAGUGGGAGCAGAUUUUUGGUUUUUGUUAUCUUCCUUGUGGCUGAUCUCGCUCACUGCCCUCGCUUGAGAAGUCUUAUAUGUGUUUGUUGUUGAAAAGACAAAUUAAAAGGGGUGUUGAAAAGUCAAAAAAAUGGGAGGUGCAAGUGGCACCGAAAGAAAAAAAUGGUAGGCAAGUUGUUUAAAGUUGAAUGGGAUAAUUGCAAUUUUGGUCCCUAAUUUUUUAGGCGAUUUGCAAGUUAGUCCUUGAACCUCAACUAUAAAUAGGCUUAACCAUUUCUCAUUUACACCAUCCCAACCAAUCUUUCUCUCUUAGUUUUCUCUCUUCUCCCAUUUGAGAAUUCUUAAGGAAUUCUAUUUGUUUGUAAUAUUUUGGAGAUAGUAAAGUUAUCAUCUGGUGUUAGUGCCCGAGGACGUAGGUAUAAUUUACCGAACCUCGUUAAAACUCUUGUGUUCUUUUUUGUCCUAUUUUCUUUCAAUAUUUGAGGGUAUAAUAGUAGUAUUUAAUUGUGCUAUUAAAUUACUAUAGAAGGGAUAUUCUGACUAAGGAAAGACUUGGUAUUUAAGAGAUCAUUGUGAUCCACCUCUCUUCGCUGGGAAUUGAACUUUGUGUGAUUUUUUAGUACAAUAAUUUACACGCUUCCGACCCUAUUGGAACAACAAGUGGUAUCAAGAGCCGAAGGUUAAUCGUAGUAUGCUCUGUGGUUGCAGUUUAAACUGAUCUUCCACAUCAGAAAAGAUUUCCUUAGGUAUAUUGAAAGAUUAUGGAGAAAACGGUCGGUGUAGGAGCUUCAACAUCGUCCAUGUGGACAAGACCGACAAUUGCAAAUGCAAGAUUGGCCGUGGAGAUCUUUGAUGGCAUAGGCCAUUUUGGUAUGUGGGAAAGUGAGGUUCUAGAUGCCAUUGAUGAAGAGAAACCAGAUGAUGUACAGGAGAAAGAUUGGAAGGCGAUCAAUCGGUUGGCAUGUGGCACAAUUCGAUCAUGCCUUUCUUGAGAGCAGAGAUAUGCUUUUUCGAAGGAGACUUCUGCAAAUAAGUUGUGGGUGGCACUUGAAGAAAAUUUUUUGAAGAAAAACAGUCAAAAUAAGCUCCACUUGAAAAAAAGACUGUUUCGCUUCACUUACGUCCCAAGUACCACAAUGAAUGAUCACAUCACCAAAUUUAAUCAGUUAGUCACUGAUUUGCUAAAUAUGGAUGAGACAUUCAAAAAUGAAGAUUUGACUUUGAUGCUGUUGGGGUCACUUCCUGAGGAGUUUGAGUUCCUAGAAACUACUCUACUUCAUGGCAUGAGUGAUAUAUCUCUGAGCAAAGUCUGUGCGGCCUUAUACAGUUAUGAACAGAGAAAGAAGGACAAACAGAAAAACUCAAUCAGAGAUACAGAAGCUUUAGUAGUCCGAGGUCGUUCAUACACUCGGAAGAAAACUCAAAAGGGGAGAUCAAAGUCAAAGUCCAGACUCGGGAAAGAUGAAUGUGCUUUUUGUCAUGAGAAAGGCCACUGGAAGAAAAAUUGUCCAAAGCUGAAGAAUAAGGGAAAAGCUGCUGUAGAUGCUUGUGUUGCUAAGCAUGAUACUAGUGACUCUGAACUAUCACUGGUUGCAUCAUCAUCGUCGUUCCAUUCAGAUGAGUGGAUAUUGGAUUCGGGUUGUACCUAUCAUAUGUCCCCUAACCGGGAGUGGUUCUCUGAUUUAGUAGAACUAAAUGGAGGAGUUGUUUAUAUGGGCAAUGACAAUGCCUAUAAAACUGUUGGGAUAGGUUCAAUCCAAUUAAAGAAUAAAGAUGGAUCAACCAGAGUUCUGACUGAUGUUCGGUACGCGCCCAGUUUGAAGAAAAAUCUCAUCUCAUUGGGAGCCUUAGAAUCCAAUGGUUCAGUUGUUACUAUGAGAGAUGGGGUUUUGAAAGGACAUUUGGCGCACUUGUGAUAUUGAAGGGCAUCAGGAAAAAUAACUUGUAUUACUACCAAGGUAGUACAGUUAUUGGAGCAGUCGCUGCAGCUUCCGGCAACAAAGAAUUGGACUCAAUACAGUUGUGGCAUAUGAAGUUGGGACAUGCCAGCGAAAAAUCCUUACAAAUUCUGGCAAAGCAAGGAUUGUUGAAAGGUGUAAAGGCUUGCAAAUUAAAAUUUUGCGAGCAUUGUGUUCUGGGAAAGCAAAAGAGAGUGAAAUUCGGUACUGCUAUCCAUAAUACAAAAGGUAUUUUGGAAUAUGUUCACUCAGAUGUGUGGGGGCCUUCCAAGACACCUUCAUUGGGAGGAAAACACUACUUUGUUACUUUUGUUGAUGACUUUUCCAGAAGAGUUUGGGUGUAUACCAUGAGAACUAAGGAUGAAGUGCUUAGAGUUUUUCUUAAAUGGAAAACUAUGAUCGAAAAUCAGACUGGCAAGAAAAUCAAGCGGCUUAGGACGGACAAUGGAGGGGAAUAUAAAAGUGAUCCGUUCUUCGAUGUGUGCCAAGAGUAUGGUAUUGUUCGACACUUCACAGUUAGGGAUACACCACAGCAGAAUAGAUUGGCAGAGCGUAUGAAUCGAACAUUGCUGGAGAAAGUUCGAUGUAUGUUGUCCAAUGCUGGGUUGGGCAAGCAAUUUUGGGCUGAGGCUGUAACAUACGCUGGCCAUCUUGUUAAUCGUUUGCCAUCAUCUGCAUUAGAAAGAAAAACUCCUAUGGAGGUAUGGUCUGGAAAACCGGCUACAGAUUAUGAUUCCUUAAAUGUGUUUGGAACCACUGCAUAUUACCAUGUGAAGGAGUCAAAGUUAGAUCCGAGGGCAAAGAAAGUUCUCUUUAUGGGAAUCACUUCUGGAGUGAAGGGAUUUCGUCUUUGGUGCUUAAGCACAAAGAAAAUGAUCUGUAGCAGAGAUGUUACCUUUGAUGAAUCUGCCACAUUGAAAAAGGUACCAGAUAAAGAUAUUCAGACGAGCAAUACUCCACAGCAGGUGGAGUGUACUCCAAAACAUGUGGAGUUUGAGCAGAUGGGGAUUUGCCCAGUUAAUAAGUCUAAUUCUCCAGCCACAAUGGAGGAAUUAGAGGUUGAAGAGGUUCUGACCCAAGAACCACUAAGUACACCAGAACCAGUUGCAGUUGCAAGGCCACGGAGAGAAAUUCGUAAACCUGCUCGAUUUACUGAUAUGGUGGCCUACGCCCUUCCCGUUGUUGAUGAUGAUAUUCCUAUCACUUAUCAAGAAGCAAUGCAAAGCUUAGAAAGUGAUAAAUGGAAAAGCGCCAUGGAUGAAGAAAUGCAGUCUCUCCGGAAGAACAAUACUUGGGAGUUGGCGCAAUUACCGAAAGGUAAAAGGGCAAUCGGAUGCAAGUGGGUAUUCGCAAAGAAAGAUGGAUCUCUUAGCAAGAAAGAUAUUCGCUACAAGGCAAGAUUGGUAGCUAAAGGCUACGCUCAGAAGGAGGGAAUUGACUAUAAUGAUGUAUUUUCCCCUGUUGUGAAGCAUUCCUCCAUUAGAAUUUUUUUUGGCCUUGGUAGCACAGUUGAAUUUGGAGCUAGCUCAACUUGAUGUUAAGACGGCUUUCUUGCAUGGUGAGUUAGAAGAGGAGAUCUAUAUGACUCAGCCCGAAGGAUACACAGAUGCUGGUGGUAGAAAUUGGGUUUGUAAGCUGAACAAAUCGCUAUAUGGAUUGAAGCAAUCCCCGAGGCAGUGGUACAAGCGAUUUGAUAGCUUUAUGAGAAGGCAGAAGUACACAAGAAGCAAAUAUGACAAUUGUGUAUAUUUGCAGAAGCUGCAUGACGGAUCUUUCAUUUAUCUACUCUUGUAUGUUGAUGAUAUGUUAAUCGCUUCGAAGAGCCAAAAUGAGAUAGAUAAGCUGAAGGCUCAGUUGAAUCAAGAGUUCGAGAUGAAAGAUCUAGGUGAGGCCAAGAAGAUUCUCGGUAUGGAGAUAAGUAGAGAUAGACCGAGAGGCAAGCUCUGUUUAAAUCAGAAGUAAUAUCUGAAAAAGGUAUUACAAUGUUUUGGUGUAAAUGAAAACACAAAACAUGUAAGUACCCCACUUGCUUCUCAUUUGAAACUUAGUGCUCAAUUAUCUCCGAAGACUGAAGAUGAAAGAGAAUAUAUGGCGAAAGUCCCAUAUGCUAAUGCAGUUGGGAGUUUGAUGUAUGCGAUGGUGUGUACGAGGCCUGACAUUUCACAAGCUGUUGGAGUUGUAAGCAGGUAUAUGCAUGAUCCUGGAAAAGGACAUUGGCAAGCUGUGAAAUGGAUUCUACGGUAUCUUCGAAAAACCGUAGAUGUUGGUUUAAUUUUUGAACAGGAUGAAGCAUUUGGUUAGUUUGUAGUUGGAUAUGUUGAUUCCGACUUUGCUGGUGAUUUAGAUAAACGUCGUUCAACUACGGGGUAUCUGUUUACUCUUGCGAAAGCCCCAGUGAGUUGGAAGUCUACCUUACAGUCUACAGUAGCUGUGUCUACUAUAGAGGCAGAAUAUAUGGCAGUUACAGAAGCUGUUAAGGAGGCUAUUUGGCUUAAUGGAUUGUUGAAAGACUUAGGAGUUGUUCAAAGUCACAUAAGUUUAUAUUGUGACAGUCAGAGCGCUAUUCAUUUAGCGAAAAUCAAGUCUAUCAUUCAAGAACCAAGCAUAUCGACGUAAGAUAUCACUUUGUACGGGAAGUCUUUGAAAAAGGAAAAAUUCUACUUCAGAAGAUUCCGACAGCAGAUAAUCCCGCAGAUAUGAUGACCAAGGUGGUAACAACAAUCAAGUUUAAUCAUUGUUUGAACUUGAUUAACAUCCUGAGAAUUUGAGCACCUUUAGGUGUAUGGCGCUCGAGAGCGCAUUUGGAGGCACUACAAAAGAUAGCUUUAUCGAAUUUGGGGAGUUGAAGGAAGUAUGUGAAGAUGUGAUUAUCCUAAUCAAAUCUUCAAGGUGGAGAUUGUUGAAAAGACAAAUUAAAAGGGAUGUUGAAAAGUCAAAAAAAUGAGAGGUGCAAGUGGCACCGAAAGAAAAAAAUGGUAGGCAAGUUGUUUAAAGUUGAAUGGGAUAAUUGCAAUUUUGGUCCCUAAUUUUUAGGCCAUUUGCAAGUUAGUCCCUGAACCUCAACUAUAAAUAGGCCUAACCAUUUCUCAUUUACACCAUCCCAACCAAUCUUUCUCUCUUAGUUUUCUCUCUUCUCCCAUUUGAGAAUUCUUAAGGAAUUCUAUUUGUUUGUAAUAUUUUGGAGAUAGUAAAGUUAUCAUCUGGUGUUAGUGCCCGAGGACGUAGGUAUAAUUUACCGAACCUCGUUAAAACUCUUGUGUUCUUUUUUGUCCUAUUUUUCUUUCAAUAUUUGAGGGUAUAAUAGUAGUAUUUAAUUGUGCUAUUAAAUUACUAUAGAAGGGAUAUUUUGACUAAGGAAAGACUUGGUAUUUAAGAGAUCAUUGUGAUCCACCUCUCUUCGCUGGGAAUUGAACUUUGUGUGAUUUUUUAGUACAAUAAUUUACACGCUUCCGACCCUAUUGGAACAACAUUUGUGACUACCAACUUACAGCCGCCGAUGGUGGUUAUGAAAAGUUCGAAAGUACCAUAUCUUUCUUGGAUGCUUCUGAGUCAGAGAAAUGCAUAGGUGAUCACGGUGUUUAUUCUAUUUAGCUUCAAAAUGGUUAAAAGAGACAAGAAUUAUGAUGAGGCAUCAUUUGAUUUCUACAUCAAAAAUUUCCAUCAUUAUGGAGAAGCAGUAGAAAAAUUUAUCAAGAUAGAGAGAUGUGGUGUUCAUGUAUUUUACGUGGAUGCAGAGAGUGAUGCUGAUGCUACAGAAAUGAGACCUGCCGGGACCAAAAGAAGCUUUAGCCAUGAUGGUGAAGAAGGGGAUGGAGGCCCUAAACAAUUGAAAUAGUUUUUAUUUCCUUUCAUCUUUGGCUCUGGUUUUCAGGAGUUAUAACUUCUCAAUCAUGUCAUCCACAUGCAUAGGUAAGGGGUUUUCAUCUCAUUCUUUCAUAUUAUUCAGUUUUUUUUAUUUCAUUUUUCAUAUUGCCAUAUUUUUGUUUUUCACAGGUGUUAAAACUAAAUUUUCAACUUUUAAAUUAAUUGCCUAUGAUAGAAAAUGAAUUGCUUCACUUAAUUAAGACCAACCAGGAUGAAUCUAACUUGCCCUGUUUAAAGCAAGAUUGUGCCCUAUGCCUAUUUUUUUAUUAUCUCACAUUAUAGAUGUGCUUUUUACUUGCAGAGUUUAAAGCAAGGUAGUAUAAGUCAGCCAAAACCUGGAGAUUAAACUUUGACUUUUUAAAUAUGCUACUAAGAAGGGAAUGAAGAUGGCAGUGAUCGGUGUAAGAAAAGCAGAUGAGGAAACAGAGAGUCAAGAGGGAAUUAAUGGCAGAUCUUUGGAAAGGCCAUUAUGCUUGGAAUUUUAGCUAUACAAAAAAAAAACAAAAAAACAAAAUGAGGAACAAGUAAGCUUCUAAUUUCUUGUACUAAAUUAUUGUCAUAUAUAUAUGUGUUUGAACUGAGAUAUUGAGGCUGUAUUGCAACCUGUUAACAGAUUUGGCUUGUUGAUAUCAUUCAACUCUGAUAAUUUUAUAUUGCAUGAUUUACACAAAUCUGUAGGUGUUUAGCUUAGCUGAACAUGUUAUGCGGCUGCAAUGUGGUGUUUGUGUCUUGAAACAAGCGAUGCAAUUUUCUAUAGCCAUUUGCUGCAUACAGUAAGUCUUCGGGGUACCAGAAUUCCAGCAAUCGUAAAACGUGGCUGUGAUUCGAGCUAUUAUACUGUGCUUGAAGCUUCGAACUAGAGCAUGACAGUUUUAUUGUGUAUCAAUUCAACCUCGGAUAGUUUGGGGGACGUAUCAGAGCUAAUUAAUUGAUCCAUCAAGUGAAAGAUAUCGAUUUUGGUAAAUGUCUUACCUAGGCAUCGGCCAAGGGUGGGGUGGAUUGGAUUUUAAUGUUUAUGGGAUGGUAUUUAUUGCCAUUACACAUUAUGUUGUAUUGUUGUUUUUUGUUUAAUGUGUUGCUUGUAAGCUGUAACACUUUUACACUUUGUUUCCUUUAUUUUAUAUGAUCUUUAAACCAUGUUUAAUAAAAAAAUUUCCACUUUAUUGUAGACUUUAUUGUAUGAAAUUCAAUUUCAUUAGAUUCUAAAUUAGGUAAUCAUAAGAGUAUAUUGCAAUUUGGUAAUGCUAAUUUUACAUAAAGGUCUAUGGAUAAAUUAUACAUCGUGAAUUCUACAAAUGUUUAAGCUAUGAUAACAAUGUCUAAUUUUUCAUUUUAUCAUUACAAAUUAGCUAGUGAUAGCUGUUGCAAACAAUGUUGUUUGAAUUGGGAUUUAGCGAGUCAGAAUUGAGUAUUUUAUUAUUGAUAAAUUCAAAACUUGAAUCUUAACAUUUACAAUCAUUUUGUCUCAAAUCCUAAACAAUGAUCUGAAAACUCAAAUUAUAUUAUAACAAAUAGGGAAAAACUUAAAUGUGGUUAUUUUAUAGUAUAACAAUGGCAGUCCUUUCGAUGAAAUGCACCAUACUUAUAUAUGGUGGUUAGAAAUUGACUGGAGCUAAGCUUAAGUCUGCCAUAAAGGAGUCCCAUUUUGUACAUCAAAUAUAAAGACUCAACUGUGUUUAAUGGUCCAUAGCCUAUACUUUUGUGUAUAUGUUAGAGUUUCAACACACUUUAACCGGAUAAAGUAAGAAUUUCAAACAGAGCACCAGUAGCAACGUAUUAUACCCGGGUAAAAUAUGAAGGAAAAAUGCUUGAAGUUCAAGCUUUUAGCUACUGUCAAGAAUGGAGAACAGAACUUAGAAUUUUUUAGAAGGCAAAGGAAGAAUGGAGCAUAUGGAGGAAAAUCUGAUAAUUUUCAUUUUUUUCAUAACUAUUGGCAUGUUGCCAUUACAUAUAUCAGAAUAAAAAAAAACUUACAAGUCAAAUUUCUACCUAAACAUAUACCUACUUCCACUAAGCUUUCCAAAUAACAAAAACUUAACUUGUACAUUAACACAAAGCUGGUUAACAGCUCCAUCAACAUCAAAUUGCAUCAAUCAAAAAGCUUAUAGCAAACUAGACUUCAAAAUGAACAAAAUAUUAGUUCAAAUCUAACAGCAACACAAAACCAAGGUUGCUGCAUGCUUGUCACGAGCUUGCAUGGCCAGCUUCCAGCUGCACUUGCUUCAUACCAACUGCAUGGAGAUCAGCUUCAACACUCCUCCUUGAGCUCCAUGCUGCAAACUCCCAUAAGUCUUCUUAGCUUGUUGAACCUUGAUGUACUUAGACCCUUAGUCAAAAUGUCAGCUAUUUGAGCCUCCGAAUUGCAAUGAAUCAGCUUUAUUUCACAAGCUUGCUCCAUCUCCCUUAUUAUAUGCAACUUUAUGUCAAAGUGCUUAGUUCUUCCAUGGAAGACAGGAUUCUUUGCAAUUGCAACAGCAGACUUGUUGUCACAAAGUAUCUCUGUUGUUUCCUUUUGGGAAAGGUUCAAAUCUGCUAGGAUUUUCCUUAGCCAAAUGGCUUGAUUUACUGCACUAGCAGCAGCUACAUACUUGGCCUCAGCUGUUGAUUGAGCCACUAAAGACUGUUUUUUGGAACUCCAACAAACCAUUGCUGAUCCUAAUGUGAAAGCAUAUCCUGAUGUACUUUUCAUAUCGUCUUUAGAACCAGCCCAAUCACUAUCUGUGUAACCUGUCAACUUUAGUUUUUUAGCCUUGGUAAAUAACAGACCAUGAUUUAGAGUACCUUUAAUGUAUCUUAGCACUCUUUUUGCAGCUUGAAAAUGCAGCACAUUGCAGCAGUGCAUGAAUCUAGAGAGUAAAGUUACUGCAAACAUGAUGUCUGGCCUCGUUGCAGUCAAGUAUAAGAGACAACCAAUCAAGCUUCUAUAAGUGGUUUCACAAACCUCCUCAUGACCCUCAUGGCUCGAUAAUUUCAUCCCAACUACAACAGGUGUAGGAGUUGGCUUACAAUUCAUCAUUGAAAAAUUUGUCAACACUUUCAAGGCAAAUGAUUUCUGAUUCAAGAAAAUUCUUCCUUGUUUCUGGCUUACUUCCAUUCCUAGGAAGUAUGUCAUCAGCCCCAGGUCAGUCAUCUCGAACAUUUUCCUCAUCUUUAUCUUGAAAUCUGUUAAAAUAGAUUCAUCACCUCCUGUGACUAGUAAAUCAUCCACAUAUAAUGACACCACAAGCUGAGUUUCAGAAUCAUUUUUCUUGAUGUACAAUGUUGGUUCACUGACACUUCUUUGGAAAUUCAAACUGAGCAAGUAAGUGUCAAUUCGAGCAUACCAAGCUCUAGGAGCUUGCUUUAGGCCAUACAAGGCCUUUCUUAGUUUACACACCAUGUCUUCCUUGCCAGAUACCUCAAACCCCUGUGGUUGCUCGACAUAAAUUUCCUCCUCAAGAAAUCCAUUUAGAAAAGUUGAUUUUACAUCUAGUUGAUAGACAUUCCAAUGCAUUUAAGCUGCAAAAGAAACAAUCAGCCUUAUUGUGUCUAAUUUAGCAACUGGUGAUUAUGUUUCAAAAUAAUCCAGGCCAUAUUUUUGACAGAAACCUUUCACCACAAGUCUAGCAUUCAGUUUAUUCAAACUUCCAUCAGCAUUCUGUUUGGCUUUGUAGACCCAUUUUACUCCAAUGACUUUUCUGUCAGCAGGUCUGUCAACUAGUAUCCAAGUCUGGUUUUUUUCGAUCAUAGCAAUCUCAUCUGCCAUUGCCUGUCUCCACCCCUAAUCAGCAUUAGCCUCUUCAAAACUACUUGGUUCAACUUGAGCCAUUUGAUCUCUUUCAUAAAUCUCAGCAAGAGUUCUUGUUCCUCUGACAGGUUCAUCAUCCAGAUUCAUAUCAGGACCAUUUUCAGCAUCUUCAGUCUGAUCCACUAUCAGGUCCUCAGCAGUAGCCUCAGGUUCACCCUUAUCCUAGUUCCAGCAAGCAUGUUCAUCAAAAAUUACAUCUCUACUCACUUGGAUUUUAUUGGUCAAAGGAUCCAAGAUCCUGUAGCCUUUCUUAACAGCACUAUAGCCCAUCAGAAUCCCAGGUUGAGCCCUUUCUGAUAGUUUAUCUCUUUUUACAGCUGGUAUGUGAGCAUAGCAUAGACAACCAAACACCCUAAGGUGCUCUACAGAAGGUUUGAAUCCGAACCAGGCUUCAAAUGGAGUCUUUUGUUCUAAGGCUUUGGUUGGAAGCCUGUUUUGUAAGUAGACUGCAGUGUUAACUGCUUCAGCCCACAAGCUUUUAGGCAAUUUCUUCUCAAACAAGAGACAUCUGGCCAUAUCCAAUAGACUUCUGUUUUUUCUUUCACUGACCCCAUUCUGCUGAGGUGUAUAGACAUUAGUUAACUGAUGUUUAACACCAGCUUUAUUGCAUAAUGCUUGGAACUGAGCUGAGGUGUACUCUGUUCCAUUAUUAGUUCUGAUUGUUUUCAACUUGGAGUCUGUUUCUGUUUCAGCUGCAACCUUGAACGUCACAAAUACUUGAGCUACCUCUGACUUGUGUUUCAAAAAGAAAAUCCAAUAGAAUCUGGUAUAAUCAUCAAUAAAGAGAAUGAAAUACUUACUUCCAUUCAAAGAUUCUGUCCUCAUAGGGCCACAGACAUCUGAAUGCACCAAUUCCAGCUUAGCUGAAGCUCUCCAGGAUGUUUUUGUAGGGAAUGGAAGCUUGGCUUGCUUUCCAAUUUGACAAACCUCACAGACAUCUUCACCUUGUACUGACUUGGUGAAGUUUUCAACCAGUUCCUUGCUAGCCAUUUGAGCCAGCUGUCGAAACCAUCCCUCGUUUCAAUUAUUUUAAAAUUUUUAAAUCUAAUGAAAAUACGGGGGAAUCGACUUUUGAAAAAAAACAGGAAUAAGGGAGUCGCCACCGAUCUUUUUGUUUUGGGUGUGAUCAGAUCACCUAAAAAUUUGGUUAUUUUAAUAAAAGAUUUGUGAUUUACUAAAACAAUGACUCUGGUCUACGAAAAUUUUAGAAAAAUAGGCUCGAGAGUCGGUUACGCAUGAGGAAGGAUUAGCACCCUCACUACGCCCAAAAUUGGUACCAAAUCAAUUAAAUACUAUCCUUAUGUCUAAAAAUGUUUUUCGGAAUGUGGCUCCUUUUAAUAAAAGUUGAAUAACCCGAGUUAAUUGUCAAAAAUCUUUUUGUUUCGAUGUCCGAAAAAUUUAUAAUUUGAAAAUCACAAAGGGAUGCUCAACUAUUUAGUCUAACGAAAAAUCGAAACCCAGCACAGUAGGGUACGAUUUCUCAAAUUUCCAAACAUUGACCAUUGCCUUACCUUAUAAAAUACAUGUGAAAUUUCGAGGAGAUAUUCGAUUAUUUUGGACAAAUGAAAAAGCGCAACCCAGCACGAUAGGGCACGAUUCUCAAAUCGCCAAACAUUGAACAUCGUCUUCGUUUUUAAGAAUGUUUUCAAAAAGCGAGUGAAAAUCUAAAGGAAUAUUCUAUUGUUUUGACUAAACGAGAAAUCACAACCCAGCGCGAUAGAGCAUGAUUCCCGAAUCGUCAAACACCGAGUAUUGCCUUCGUUUUAAAGGAUUUCCAGAAGAGCCGAGUGAAAUUUUGAAGGGAUAUUUGAUUAUUUUAAACAAUCGGGAAAUUGCUACCCAACACGUUAGGGCACGAUCUCGCGAAUUGCCAAAUAUCACAUAUCGCGUUCGUUUUAGAGAUUUUAAAAGACACGAGCAAAAUUUUAAAAUGAUAUUCGAUUAUUUUGAACAAAUGCGAAAUUGCAACCCAACACGUUAGGGCACAAUUCCGCGAAUUGCCAAACAUCAAAUCUCAUCUUCAUUUUAAGGGAUUUUAAAAAAAUAUGAAUGAAGUUUCGAAGGGAAAUUCGAUUAUUUUGAGCAAAUACGAAAUCCCAACCCAACACGUUAGGGCAAGAUUCCGCGAAUCGCCGAAUAUCAAAUUUCGCCUCCAUUUUGAAGAAUUUUUGGAUGAAUACUUAAGAACAUAUUAGUUUGAUUUGAAAUAAGAUGACAUUAGUCGUAGAAAUUGGAUUUUAUAGAACCACAUUUUGAAAAACCAAAUGAAAACGAUGAGAUGGGAUAAUUGACAUAUGUGAGAUACGACCAACUAACAAAUUAAAAAUAGCUAACCUAAAGCGUAAUCCGAUUGCAAUAAUGUGUGGAGAAUAAUCAACAUGACAAUGAACGAAUAAUAUACUACAACCACAUGCAUGGCCUAAUAUAGAAACAUUACUACAAGAUGAACAAAGCGAAAUACAAACCAAAGAAGCAACAUGGUAUAAAAUUAUUUUAAAGCAAUGAUAAAUAUGUGACACAUACUACAUGAAUUGAUGAAUGGAUAAAUAAGGAACAUUGGUAAAGACGAGCUUAAUAAACAUACGCAAUCCUUAAAAUACAUAUUGUAGAAUGAAUAUUUUUAAAAUAAUUAAUAUCUAAGUUGAUAAAUUGGCAUAGAAACUAAGAAUAUAUAAUUAUUGAAAGAAGUAUUAUAGAAUCAAAGUUUGAAUCCAAUUGCAUGUAAAUGUAAAUGUUUUAAGCACAAAUUCAUUUGAAGAUUUACACAAUACAUGAUAAUAAAAAAUAUAUGAUACAAAAGAGUAAUAAAUAAAUAAAAAAUGCAUGACAAGACAUAAUGCCCAAAAUAGAUUUAUAUAAUAAAAAUAUGUACAUAUAAAUUUAUAAAAAGAAUGAGGUUAAUAAUAAUAUAUAAAUUUUAAGUUGGUCUAAAAAUCAUCCAUAUCCUUAUAUCAAAACAUUUAAAAUAAUAAACUAUACAAACACCAAAACAAUAUAAUAUAUAGAUAGAUAUACUUAAAAGAAUAAUAAUUUUAUAAUUACAAAAAAAGAAAAAAUGAAGUUUCCAAAAUUAUUUCGUAUAUAUGUAUAGGAAAAUACUUGGCAAAUCAUAAAGCAAAAAAGUGUUUUAAAAUAAAAAAUGUUAAAAUAAAGGGCGUAUUAAUAUUUGUGUAUAUAUAUAUAUAGAAGAUAUAUGUAUAAAAUAUACGGGUUUAAGAACGUAUAGAAACCAAAUAUAUAUACUAGUAUAAUAAGUAUGAAAAUAACUUAAGUUUUAUUAUAAUAUAUGUGUAUAUAAUAAUAGAAAGGAAAUAAACAUUCAAAGUAUGCAAAAUGUGAUAAUGACGUUACAAAAAAAAGGAAUUUACAGUAAUGAAGAAACAAUUACAAAGUUAGUUGAAAUGUACAAGUAACAAAAAAAAACAUGAGAUUAAUAAGAUAUAUACAUAUAUAUAUACAUAUUGUUAAUAUAAAAAUAUACACGCACCCUUUUAUUAAAACAUUUAAAUGAUAGGUUAUAUAAAAUGCAAAAGCAUUGUAAUAUAAAGAAACAAAAAAACAAUAAUGAUUUUAAUUGAGAGAGUUUCUAAAAUUAUUUCAUAUAUACAUAAAGAAAAUGUUUGGCAAAUCAUGAAGAAAAGGUAUUUUAAAAUAAAAAAUCUAUUAAAGCAACAAGUGUAUAUAUAUACAUAAAUUUAAAAGUGAAUACAUGUAAAUUCCUAUAACAAAAGAUAAUACGUAGGUUUAAUAAUGUAUAUUAAGUAUAAAAAAAUAAUUUACAUGGAGCGUAUAUAUAUAACAUAUUGUCAUGGCAAAAUAUACAUUAAAAUACAUGGGGCUUAUACAUAUAUAUAUAUAUGAAAUAAAAAAUAACUUUAAUAUAAAGUAUAUAUAUAGUAGCGGAUGUGAAAAACAUUAUAAAAGGGAUUAAAGAAAAAAAAACGAAAUCAAAUCAUUAAAAUACAUAAAGAACAGUAAGUAAACAAGGUUAAAAACAGUUGAAUGCGUCAAAAAAGGGAUUGAUAAUGAGCCAUAAAAUGAAUAAAUAAAGAGGAGGGACUUAAUUAAAAGAGAACUAAAGUGAUAGGGACAAAGUAUAAACAAAAUCAACUAACAAAAUACAAAAGGGACCGGCGUGUAACAUGCGCGAAUGCCUAGGGACUGAACAUGGAAAUAGUCCAGACCCUAAAACCCAGUGCUGAAGCCCGGACCACGUUGCGAACGCGCGCAAAUUAGGGGGAAAAUUUUUAAAAAAGAAUUGUGGAAUGUGAGCUGAUUUGCACGCAGCACGAAAGGGGAGGGGCCUACUUCGCAAAAUCUCCAUUUGAGGCAAAGAAACGCGGAUCCGGGUCUUGAAUCCGGCCGACGCGCGGACUCCCCCUCCAAAUGGCACCGUUUCGUUGCCAAUCAAUAAAAAAGAAAGAAAACAAAACCUAACCUAAAUGCUUUAACAGACUAAAAUGGGCAGACGAAAAGGAGAAGAGGGAGAGAGAGGAGCGGUCAUGGCACUUCGGUCAUGGCCGAUUACAGCGUUCAUCGGCGCUCAAUGCCUCCGCCGUUGCACCAAUUCGAAGCCACUCGAACUGCUGGUAAAUCCUUUUCUCUCUACCUUAUUUGCUAUCAAAAUAAAAUAAAAAAACAAGAGAAUAAUCGCAAAGAAAGAACGCCCGGAGAUUUAGAUCAGAAAAUCACCUUCGAAUAUAGGUGGUCUUCUCUUUUCUUGUAUUGCCUUUUUUGCGUGUGUAACCGAUUACAAGGAUGGAACUUUCGGCUUUAUAGCCGAAGAAGAAGAAAAGUAAAAUCAAAAAACGAUAAAAAAUACAAUAUUUUCUUUUAUUUUCAUUUGCUGUUGUGUUUGUUUGUCUUCUUGUAGGUACGGGUGCGUGCUGGCGUGUGUACGGGAGCCAUGCUGGCGUACGGAGGCUUGGCGUGGUUGCUGGAGGCGUCGUACGGAGGUGGCUGACGUGGUGGCCAGGGCUUGGCUACCUGGUGAAGGCUGCGGCGUAGGAGAAAAAGAACCCUAGGGUUCUUGGGGUUGUAAUUUUCUGGUCCUAUCGGGCUUGUAUUUGGGUCUUGGGUCCUUUAGGGUAUUGGGCUAAGUUAUUGGGUUUGUGAUUUGGUUUUAAUUUUAGUCCAGGUUAUGUAAUUGGUUUCGGCCAUGUACUGAUUUGGUUUGCAAAAAAUAUUAAUGGACUGUUAUAAUUAUUUUAUGUUUGUUUUUUGGUUUAUUUGGGCCGGGCAAAUUUGGCCCAUUACACCAACGAUCUAAAAUUGGCAUGACCAAGUCUUUGAUGCCAAAGCUUGGUGUUUUCUGUUGAAGUAACAUGGGCUGAGUCACCUGACCAGUUGACUUCAAAACAUUUGUCACUCAUAGUGACUGUCAUGAGGCUUAUUCCAUUUGGAUCUGAGAUUUUGCACUCCUGGCCCUUGAACACAACAGAAUAACCCUUAUCCAGUAGCUGAGCAAUGCUGAGUAAGUUUCUAUCAAUCUCAGGUACCAGAAGCACAUUUGUGAUGACUUUGUCUCCAGUGGAGGUACAUAUGUGGACAUCUCCCUUUCCUUCAGCCUUGAUGAACUGACCAUUGCCUAUUUUCACUUUGGUUUUGCAGCUUCUAUCCAGGGUUCUAAAAAUAAUUGCAUCUGGUGACAUGUGGUUAGUACAGCCACUGUCAAGAAGCCAACUUUUGGUGACCUUGUUUUUUGUAGCUAAGCAUGAAACUGCAAAGACAUGUUCUUAUCUGUCAUUGCCAUGUUCAGCUACUCUAGCCUCUUCACUCUUGAGUUGUGGUUGAUUUUGGCUAGGUCUGCCGUUUUCUUUGCAUACCCUCUCAACAUGGCCUUUCUUCUUGCAGUGUUGACACACAGCAUCUGGCCUGAACCAGCAUCUGGCUCUGGAUGACCAGGUCUUUUACAAAAUCUGCAGAGUCGAUCUCCUCCUCUUGUAGCAUCAGGCUUAGGCCUGUUUUUCCAGUUCUUCUUGCCCUUAUAGGCAGUGGUACUUGAGGUUGCUUUAGCUUUGGCUUGAAAAGCUCCCUCCUGGUGCUCCUCCAUUCUACUGGCUCUCCUUUGUUCCUGAGCAUAAAGAGCAUUAAUAAGCUCUGUUAGAGAGAUGGUUGCCAGGUCUCUCGAAUCCUCCAAGGAUGAGAUCUUUGCCUCAUAUCUUUCAGGCAAUGUUGAGAGCACCUUCUCCACAAUUAUUGCCUCACUGAACUGUUCUCCUAACAAUCUUAUGCUGUUGACCACAGCCAUUAUCCUGUCUAAGUACUGCUUCACUGUCUCUUCUUCCUUCAUCUUGAGAUUUUCAAAAUCUCUUCUCAAGUUUAAUAGCUGCUGCUGCCUAGUUCUUUCAGUGCCUUGGAACUCCUCCUUGAGCUUGUCCCAGGCCUGCUUGGGAGUCUCACAAGCCAUGAUUCUGGUGAAAAUAACAUCAGAAACACAGUUCUGAAUGCAUGACAUGGCCUUGUGCCUUUUGGUCCUCUCAUCUACAUGCUGACGAAUCUGAGCCACAGUGGGGUUGGCCCUCAGUGGAGCUGGCUCGAUGUCUGUGUUAACAACUUCCCACAGAUCAAAGGCCUGUAGGUAAGUCCUCAUGUUGACAACCCAUAUGUGGAACCCCUCACCAUUAAAAACUGGUGGUGCUGCAGGAGAAAAACCUGAUGAAGCCAUUUAAUUUUCAACAACAGGUCCUCUAAGAUGAAAGCUCUUGAUACCAAUUGUACCUAAACAUAUACCUACUACCACUAAGCUUUCCAAAUAACAAAAACUUAACUUGUACAUUAACACAAAGCUGGUUAACAGCUCCAUCAACAUCAAAUUACAUCAAUCAAAAAGCUUAUAGCAAACUAGACUUCAAAAUGAACAAAGUAUUAGUUCAAAUCUAACAGCAACACAAAACCAAGGUUGCUGCAUGCUUGUCACGAACUUGCAUGGCCAGCUUCCAGCUGUACUUGCUUCAUACCAACUGCAUGGAGAUCAGCUUCAACAGUAUACAAAUAUGGAUGUCCAUGUCCUAAAAUUAAGGCACUGUUGUCUUCCACCAUUCAUUCUCUAGAGGUCUUAUCUACUACCCUUUCUGCAUUUAUUGGAGAUAUUUGGCACUAAUGAGCUUUGCAUAAAGAAUAAAAGCCCCCAAACCCCAUUUCUAUAAUGUUUGGAUUAUCUUUUCCUUGUGCAUUUUAGUGUAAUCUGCAGAUUUUCCAUGAAAUUUCAGCGAAAUUCCUAGUUAUAUAGCUUCGUGGAAAAAAGAGAUGAGAAGAUGACUCUUGACUCUGUACCUACUAUUGAUUUGUUUUUGUUUUUGUUUUUUCUCAAUCAAUGAAUGAAGAUAAUAACAUUACUUAAAUACUAAUUGAGUUAGCUUAGAGGUGUUGAUCGCCUUACAUUUUGUCCAAAUUCGGUCCGAUUUUAAAAAAUAAACCUGUUUGGUCUAUAUUUAAAAUUUAGAUUAAUUUUAUUUAAAAUUAAUUUUUUUAAAAAUAAUGUAUUAAAUACACUAAAAAAUAUUAAAAUAAAAGUUUUAUAAUACAUUAAAAAAACAUUUAUACUAAAAAUCAUUACCAUAAAAAUAAAAUAUAUAUUUUAUUAUAUUAAAAAACAUAAAUAUAUAUAAUAAAUAUUUUAAUAAAGUCUAAUUUUUUUAUGUGAAUUUUUAUAAAUAUAUUUGUUAGGUAAUUAUGUUAUCUGAAUGUGCCAGAAUUUAUCUCUAAUUAAAGCCAUUAUUUAAGUGAUGAAAAAAAAAACAAAAUAUUCUUAGUGAUGGAAUUUAAAUAGCUUAUUAAUGACAAUCUUUAAUAGAAAAAAAAAUAGCAUCACACGAAUGUUUAAAGACGUUUGAGUGUGUUUAAAUAUGUCUUUUCUUUCUAUUUAAAGGUAAGAAUGGAUUUAACUCUAUGUGAUGGCCAAGGGUGUUUACCGCUCCAGGUGUGGCCUGGGUUCAAGUCAUGUUAGUCGCUUUUGUUGUUUGGAUUUUGCACUGUUAAUGUAAUUCAAAAAAAAAAAGAUAAGAAAGGAUUAUAUGUAGCAGUAGGAAAAAGAGAAAUAAAUUUUUUUUCUUCUUCAAAAGGCAAACCAAAGCUCCCUUGCUAUAAUUUUUUCUCUUUGCCUCACUUACAUUAUCCAUAAUCUUUUAUGGCAUCUUCUUCAUCUUCUUUUCGUCAAAUGAUGCACCAAGUUUUCUUGAUCUUCGGAGGUGAAGACACACGCCUUAACUUCACCAGUCAUCUACUCAAAGCUUUUAAAGACAGGGGACUGAAUGUCUUCUUCGAUGAAAAAAAACUAGAGAAAGGGGAGCAACUUUCACAAGCACUUUCUCAAGCAAUUGCAGCCUCAAAUUUCUUAAUCCUUGUUUUAUCUAAAGACUAUGCUUCUUCGAAAUCAUGUUUAAGUGAACUCUCUCAGAUCAUGAAUUGUAAAAAGACUCAAGGACAUAUUGUUCUUCCCAUCUUUUACCAUGUUGAUCCCUCCCAUGUGCGAAAUAUUGGUGGGACUUUUAAGACAUCCUUCGGAGAGCAUGAAUCAAAGAGGUCGGUUGAUGAAGUGAAGCGAUGGAAAGCCGCCUUCACUGAAGUCGGUACAUUAAAAGGGUGGCAUAUAGGAGGAGACAAAUUCGAUAGGUAACUAUAUAUAUAUUUAUCUUAUUAUAUUUGACAUAUCUUUCUUUUGACGGUUGAUUUUUUUUAAUUAUUUUCUAGAUCUGAAACUGAGUACAUUAAAGAUGUGGUUGGAUAUGUUUUAAAAAAGUUGAAUAGCAAUUGUACAAGUGUUUCUGAAGAAUUGGUGGGAAUACAUGAUCAAAAGAAGAAGAUUUUGGGGUUGAUUGAGCAAGUGGACAUACGUGUAAUAGGACUUUGGGGAAUGGGUGGUAUUGGCAAAACUAGCCUUGCUGAUGCUGUUUAUAAGGAAGUCUUUCCAAAGUUCGAAUGUAGUUUGUUUCUUCAAAACAUUAGUGAGAAAAUAAAAAAAUAGGGGAAUGAAUCUUUACGAAAUGAACUUCUUUCCAAACUGUUAAACGAAGAAGAAAUUUGUAUUGAUACCCCUUCCAUAGGAUACCCUUAUCAAGAGAGGCUGAAUAAUAAAAAAGUACUUGUUGUCCUUGAUGAUGUUAGUGACUCAGACCAAUUAGAUUUUAUGGGUGUCAAAUAUUUUGGUCCUGGAAGUAAAAUCAUUGUAACAUCUAGAGAUAGACAAGUACUUAAAAAUGGAAGAGCUAACCGCAUAUAUAAGGUAAAGGAGUUGAAUGAGAAUGAUUCUCUUCAACUUUUUUCUACAUUUGCAUUUAAGUUCACUACAACAAAAUAAUUUUUUAGCGGCGUUUUCAGCAGCGUUUUACUAAAAAAUGCCGCUAUAGAUCGAGAAUUAGCGGCGCUUCUCGAAAAACGCAGCUAUAGAUUGAGCAAAAACGCCACAAAAAAAUUAAGCACAACGACGUCGUUUUAUGUUGAGCUUCAGUGGCAUUAGCGGCGCUUUCUAAAAAACGCCGGAAUAGAUCGAGAUUUAGCGGUGCUUUUUGAAAAACGCCGCUAUAUAUAAGGUUUAUGGAUUAUGGGUUUAAGGAUUAUGGGUUUAUGGUUUAUGGUUUAAGGGUUAGGGUUUAAGGUUUAAGGGUUAAGGGUUAGGGAUUUAGGGUUUAGGGUUUAUAUUUUAUGGUUUAAGGUUUUGGGGAUGGCGGUCAAGGGUUUAGAUUAAUUAGUGCUUUUAAAUUUAUAUAUUAAAUAAUUUCUUAUACAAUUGUAAAAGAGAUAAUAUUAAUUUUAAUAUAUUAAAAUUAUGAUUAUAGUUUAAAUUAUUUAAGAGAUAAUAGAUAAACUUUAUAUAUAUUAAAUGGUUUAGGAAUUAAGGUUUACUUGAGAUUUGUUAAAUGAUGAAAUUUUAUGCAAUCAAUUAAUGCUUUUAUAUUUAAAAAUAUUUAAUCUAAACCAUUUAAUAUAUUUAAAUAUUAGAUUUAAAAAAACAUUGAAAAAUAAAUAAAAAAAAGUAAUAGAUUGAUAUGGAUAGGUAACUAUCUAUUUUGAUAGGACCAAAUUAUAACAAAUAAGGUCUUAUUUUUAUUUUGAAGUUGACUUUAUAAACAAUAUAAAUUAACUACACCAUUCAUUUACCUAUGGGAAAGUCAAUUUCAUUUUAGUUACUUAAUUAUGAAAAGUUACACUUUGAUAACUAAACUAUUUAGAAGUUUUCAUUUAAGUUACCAAGCUGUUAAAAUCAAUGUUAUGGCUUUCAUUAAACCCUAACCCCUAAACCUUUAAAUCACUAAUCCUUUAAACCCUAAACCUUAAAUAUCAUAUCACAAACCCUUAAAACUCUAAACGCUAAACCACAACCCCUAAACUCCAAACCUUAAUUCCUAACACUAACCCAUAAACCCUAAACCCUAAACCUUAAACUCUUAAACCAUAAACCUUAAAAUCUAAAAAAUAAAUUUCAUAUGGAUAUUAAUGUGUGUGUAUAUAUAUAUUAAUGUAAGAGCAAAAAACAAAACACAAACAAUAAAAUAGGAAAAAAAAGUGAAAUGGCAAAAUGAUUACAAAACGUUGCUGUCUUAAUCUUUGUUUUAGUCGCGUUUUAGAACGCCACAAAAGGAUAGCCUUUAGUGGCGUUUUCACAAACAAUACCGCAAUUAUGUUUUAAGAGAGUGCAAAACACUACCGUUUUUGUCUGCCAAUUAGUGGCGUUUUUACUAAAACGCCGCAAAAGGAUAUCCUUUAGUGGCAUUUUCUCAUAAAACGCCGCAAAAAUGUUUUAAGACUGUGCAAAACGCUGCUGCUUUUAUUGGCUUUUUAAUGGUGUUUUUACUAAAAUUCCACAAAAAGAUAUCCUUUAGUGGCAUUUUAUCAUAAAACGCCGCAAAAAUGUUUUAAGACUAUGCAAAACGCUAUCGUUUUUAUCUACUUUUUAGUGGCAAUUUUACUAAAACGCCACAAAUAUCGAUUAUGAGUAGCCAAAACGUUUCUGUUUUAGCUGCGUUGGUGGCACUUAUGAUAAACGCCGUAAGGUUCAAUUCAACUAACUUAAACGGCGUCAUUUUGUUUAGCCCCGAAUUUCCCUAGUUUUCCCUCAAAUUAGAUUACUCUAAUUUCAUUCCCCCAAUUUCUCAGUUUCUUUUCUCUCAUUUUCUCCCAAAUCAGAUUACCCCGAUUUCAUUCCCCCAGUUUCCCAAUUUCUUUUCUCCUAUUUUCCCCAACGGCGUCUUCCCCAAAUUAUUUUCCAUAAUUUCCCAACUUUUCAAUCCCCAACUGAUCGAAAUCCCCAAUUUUUGAAAUCCCUUUUCUCUCUGCUGCAUCCUCUUCUCUCUGUCAUAGCCUCUUUUCUCUACCGCUGUCGCUGGAAUUUCGAGUCCUAUAGGUAUUUACGACUGAUUUCCCCUUUCCUGUAUUAUUUUAUGCAUUUUGGGUUUGGGUUUAUGUGCAUUUUGGUUUCCUAUAGGUAAUGAAUAAAUAUGUUGUUAAAAAAUUGAAUUUGUUUCAAUUUUCUGCAAUUCGGGUGUUGAAAAGUUUGCUACCCAAACAUUCUUCCACUCAUUCCUCCGAAAACUUUGUUACUACUUAUAUGGACCCUUUAUUUAAUUUCAGUCUCUUUGAAAAUGGAUAAUGAUUGUCAUCUAUUGAUGUUGUUUUUGAUAUAGCUGACUUUGUGUUUAUAUUGAAUUUGAUUUGAAAGGCACUUUGUUUGCUAUCUCAGUGUGCUAAAGAAAUCGGGACAAUAUGGAAUUUUUGGGGUGUUUUCUUAUGGGCUACUGAAUAUAGUUUACUACCUCAUUACCUUUCUCUUGGUGUGAUAACUAAACUAUUGCUUCAUUGUUAGUUCAUGAUUUCCUUGCUUGAUUUCAUUUGGCAUAUAUAUUGCAUAGGCCUAUAUCCUUUUUUGUGCCUUUGAAAUUUCAUAGAUUAAGUUGUAUAGUGAACGGAAAUAAAAAAGAUAGACAAUCAAGUUCAAAAGUAGAAUAUAUUAGAACAAAGGAAUAUAUAAAAUAUAAGUGCAAAAAUUCUUUGAAUUAAGCAAGCUGAGAAGUUUGAAGCAGUCUUUGGAUGAAAUUAUGACAGAUCAUAAAGUUAGUGGGAUUCCAAUUUGGCUGGAGGAAUUCCUGCUCAGCUGGCAAAUUUGUUAGCUUUUAUACACUAAAGCAAUACACAGAAAGCCUAGAUAACCAAAAGGUUAGUUAAUCUUUUAUUUUAUUUUAUUUUUUAGUUUUUUAAAUUAUUAUUCUUGUUUAUCCUUAGAUUAUUUUUUAACAGAUCAUUAAUGGAUCAUGUUUUUAACUUAUUUAAUUCUUGAAAAUACAUUAAUGGAUCAUUAAUAUUGUUUAUUCUUGAAAAUACAUUAAUGGAUCAUGUUUUUAACUUAUUUAAUUCUUGUUUAUCCUUAGAUUAUUUUUUAAUUUCAUGGUUGUUCAUUGUUUGUAGGUGUAAUUUAAUUUGCCAUCCAAUUUAAUCGACUCUACCAUCCAAUUUAAUUUCAGGGCUCGUAUUAGGGACGAUAUGUAUGCAUGUGAUUGGAUUUAAUUUGAAUGAAAAUUUAAGCCUCAUUUUUAUAUGUAUGUUUGUGUUAUAAGUCUGAUAAUGCCUCGUACCCUGUUCCAGCGUUGGAUACGGGUAAGGGGUGUUGCAUAAGCCAACAGUCUCACAUUUAAAAGUGUUUGGCUGUGUCUGCUAUACACUUAUCCCAACUGAGAAGAGAACCAAACUGGAGAAAAGAUCUGUGCCAGGGAUCCUUGUUGGUUACAGGAGCACAAAUAAGGGAUAUAUGAUCUUUGAUCCCUCCACCAAAAGGAUCAUGGUGAGCAGUGAUGUGAAAUUUGAUGAAUAAAGUGUAUGGAAAUGGAAUGGUACAGAUGCAAGACUGGAUGAUAAAAGUCAACAAGACAACAAUCUACAACCAGCGGAAGAAGAAGAGCAAAUUGGUGAUGAUUUUAAUGAUACACCUGUGAGAGGCACAAGAACCAUCACUGACAUAUAUCAAAUAUGUAAUGUUGCAAUACUUGAGCCUACAAUUUUCGAUGAAGCUGCCAGAGAAAAGUGUUGGAAAAGCGCCAUAGAAGUUGAAAUGAAGAUGAUACACAAGAAUGACACUUGGGAAUUGGUUGACAGACCAGACCAGUAGAGGGUUAUUGGUGUGAAGUGGGUGUUGAGGGUCAAAUAUAAUGUUGAUGGGACUCUAAACAAACACAAGGCAAGACUUGUGGUGAAGGGAUACAACCAACAGUAUGGGAUCGAUUUCAUUAAAACCUUUGCUCCUGUUGCAAGGUUAGAUACAAUAAGGCUUCUAUUUGCCUUGGGUGCUCAAAAGCAAUGGAGAGUGCAUCAGUUGGAUGUCAAGUCUGCUUUUUUAAAUGGCUUUCUCAGGGAAAAGAUCUUCAUUAAACAACCAGAUGGGUUCAAGGUUCCUGAUGAAGAGGACAAGGUCUACAAGUUGAAAAAGGGCUUGUAAGGUUGAAGCAGGCACCAAGGGCCUGGUAUGACAGGAUUGAUGCAUACCUGUCUAGGCUCGGGUUCAAGAAGAGUAUCAGUGAGCCUACUCCUUAUGUGAAGAAAUCAGAAAAUGAAACUUUGCUGAUUGUGUCACUUUAUGUGGAUGACUUGUUAGUAACUGGAAACAAGGGGGAGUUGAUUGAUGAGUUCAAAAUGCAAAUGCAUGAUGUCUUUGAAAUGAUUGACUUAGGAGAAAUGACAUAUUUUCUUGGCAUAAAAGUAAUUCAGACUGACCAAGCUAUUUUCAUAAGUCAGCAGGCCUUUGCUUUGAAGAUUCUAAACAAAUUUUGCAUGUCAAACUGCAAAAUUGUUAGCACACCAGUAGCUCAAGGUAAAAUGUUAACCAGCAAUGGGAACCAUGGGAGAGUUGAUGAAAAGGAGUAUAGAAGCCUUGUAGGUUGUCUGCUCUACUUGACAGCUACAAGGCCUGAUAUUAUAUUUGCUGUUAGCCUUCUGUCCAUAUUUAUGCAUUGCUGCGAUAUUAUUCAUUUUAAAACAGCCAAAAGAGUUCUUAGAUAUGUAAACGGGACUUCGGAGUAUGGAGUGAAAUUUGAGAAGGGAAAAGAGCUCAAGCUGAUAGUGAUUGGGCAAGGUCUACUGAUGACAUGAAGAGCACUUCUGGCUAUUUCUUCACUCUUGGCUUAGGGGUCUUUUUUUGGAGCUCAGAAAUAACAAAGUGUUGCUCAAUCUACCGCUGAAGCAGAGUACAUUGCAGCUGCUGCAGCUGUUAAAUCAAGCCAUUUGACUUAGGAAACUUUUAUGUGAUUUGAAUGAAGAGCAAGUUGAUGCUACUGAAAUUAAAGUUGACAAUCCGUCAGUUGUUGCCAUAGCUAAAAAUCUAGUAUUUCAUGGCAAGACCAAGCAUUUUAAGAUUAAAUUUCAUUUUGUUAGAGAGGCUGAACAAUCAAGGGAGGUGAAUAUGAUUCAUUGCAGCUCAGAAAAUCAGUUUGUGGAUAUUCUAACUAAGUCUCUAGGUGCUACAAGGUUUGAUCCUUUAAGAAGAAGUAUUGGUGUUUGUUGCAUACAGUCCAAGGAGAAGUGUUGAACUUUGGCCUGCAAUGCAACAACAAACCAGCAUUAAAGCUGAACCAAUGCAGCAGCAACAUUUUGUUCAUUUGCAACAUGUUUCAUUUGUUUUGUAAUAUGACUUUGAGUUAGUAAAAUUAGUUGCUGAUUUUGUAUGAAGUGAUCUAAUAGUUUAUAUGUCAGCUUCUUUGUGUGUAAUUUAAGCUAUGUUUUAGUUAAGUAUUAAUGGGAGCAAUUACACAUUAGGUGGCUGCCUUGUAUCACAUAUAUGUUCAUCAUCUUAAUGAAAUACACAAGUGAUUCUUAGUCAUCUUCUUGUAAAAAAUUUUCUUUGCAUUCAUUCUUUGCUUCAAUUCUCCUUAGUUUACAUGCAAAAACCCCAACAGUAUCGGAUGGUAAUUGAUGCAUCUUUUUCCUUGUCUUUACGAUUCUCAUCCUUAACAGUGUGAAACUUGAAUGGGAUUAGACAAGGUGAUAUCUGCUCCAACAAGUCUCUGCUUAGAAUUCAUAUUAUUUAUAUUUUGAACAAUGUUCCAGCAAAAACCAGAUUCUAUCAAAACGAAAAAUUCAAAAGAUCAAAAAGGAAAAGUUCAAAAGAAGAACAAUGUGUUCAACAAAUGAUUAUCCAAAAUGUUUUCAAGUCCAUAUAUAUACACACAUAAUAAGUUUGACUAAGACUACAAAACAUACUAGUAAGGAACUAUGCUUAAGAAGACUGGUGAAUGCAUAUGUGCCAUUGACCAUUAAUCAUCUCAAACACAUUUGUUACAAACAGCGGAAACCAAUUGCUACCUUUUGUUGUCUUGACAGAUUCCACGCACGUAACAUACCCAAAAUCUCCUCUAACAUGAACUCGAACAUUUUUCAGCUUUAUCUCUAGUGGAAAUUCGAAGUUCAUCCACACAAGUUUCCAGCUUUUCAUUAUGGAAUCAUAACCAGAUAUCCCUUUUCCCCCUGGGUGCACACAACAAACAUCAUCUCCUUUCACCCAAAGGUUUUGCAUCAUGUCUAGAUCCCCUCUCCUAAAAGCAUCAUAAAACCCAAAAUUUGCUAUCAGUACCAAAGCCUUACUAUCCUCAUGUAGGACUCGAAGAUCAUCCUUGAUUUUUGCUGCUUCAGCAUAGUUUUCUUCCUCGACGGUAAUCUGCAGGUCCCUUUGUAAGAUUUGUUCAUCUAACAUUAUGCUUUCAGCAUUUCGGUUACCCUCGUUGUCAUUACCUUUGGCUUGAAAAGGCAUCAACAAUAGCAUAUGUGGAUUUUGUUUGAUGGGUACUGCACUAGAUUAAUUAGCAAUUAGAUAAGCUGGAUUUGGCACAUAUGAUGAAUCUAUAUUAAGAUAAGUUGCAAAGACAAGAAACUUACAAGAGGUAUUCCAUUUCCCAACUUGUAGUGUCACUAUCCCAGUAAAAACUCGGUCUUGUUUCCACUUGAAGCCUUCCUUAUUGUUUAGUUUCUCUUGGAUAAAACUAGGUCCAAUCAAAAGGGUGUCUAUACAUAUUUCUUCAUUUAAUAUUUUGGAAAAAAGAUAAUUUCUUAAAGAUCUCACUUCUUGCUUUUCUAUAUUCUCACUAACAUUUUGAUGAAAAUCAUUACAAUCUCCGGACUUCGGAGAGACUUCUUGAUGUACAUCAUCAACAAGGGGAGUUUUGGUUAUACCACCUAUUCCCCAAAGUCCAAUUGCACGACAGUCUUUUCGUUCAAUCAGCCUCAAAAUCGUGUUUUUCUGAUAAUCCAAUCCAACCAGUUCCUCAGAAGCACUUUUAGAGUUGCUAUUUGUCAACUUUUCUGUAACAUAUUCAAUAAUAUUCUUGAUAUAUUCGGCUUCAGGUCUAGCAGAUAAUAAAGAAAGAAAAUGGUAAGAUGACAGCAUGUAAGUUUGAUAGGUUCUUAUAGACAAGUUUUUUUUUUUUUAAAAUUUAAGAUGAAUAUAAUUUUUAGAGUUUAGAAUUUGAAGGUCUAUGAUUUAAGGGGUCAAGGUAUAGGGUUUUAGUAUCUAGGAGUUAAGUUUUUAGAAAUUUAUAAAAAAAUAUUAAAUGAAUUAGUAAAUUUUUUCUUAAAACUUAAAAAGAAAUUUAAAAAAAAAAGCUCAAGAAAAAAAAUAUGGAUGGUGUAGAUUUCAUGAAAUCUAAUACAAAGAUAAAUAUAAGAAGAGGAAAAAUAUAGUUACCUAUCAAAUUUCCCACCAUCUAUAUGCCAACCUUUUAAUUUACCAACUUCAGCAAAAGCAGCUUUCCAUCGCUUCACUUCAUCAACUAACCUCUUUGAUUCAUGCUCUUCAAAGGAUAUCUGAAAGCUCCCACCAAUAUUUCGCACAUGGGAAGGAUCAACAUGGUAAAAGAUGGGAAGAACAAUAUGCCCUUGAGUGUUCUUGCGGUCUAUGAUGUCAGAAACUUCAGCCAGGCAUGAUUUUGAAGAAGCAUAGUCUACGGAUAAAACGAUAAUUGAGAGAUUUGAGGCUGCAAUAGCUUGAGAAAGUGCUUUUGAAAGUAGCUCUCCUUUUUCCAGUUUUUCUUCAUCGAAGAAGACAUUCACUCCCAUGUCUUUCAAAGCUUUGAGUAGAUGACUGGUGAAGUUAAGGCGCGUGUCUUCACCUCUGAAGCUCAAGAAAACUUGAUGCUUGAUUUGACGAGAAGAAGAAGAAGAAGUAGUCAUAAAGAAAGAGUAUUCAAACAAAAUAACCUAAGGAUUUUGUGAAGAGAAAAAUAAAAAGAGCAAACCAUACGAAGGAAUUAGAUUUUCUUGGCUUGAUUUCUUUAAAGUAUUCUACAAAAGAAAAGUUUAACAUACUAAGGAAGAUUUUCUUGGCCUGAUUUUCUUUAAGAUUUUCUUGGCCUAAUUUUCUUUAAGCCAAAGAGUUAUGUUUCUUAAUGCCCUUUAAAACAUUAAUUUAUUUGGCAAAUGGUAACUGCUGUGUAGUCCAGAGUAAAGGUCUUCCAGUGGGACAAAAUUGUGAACCUAUUUAGUGGAUUUAUAUUAACAAUAAAACACUUAAAAAAAAGAAUUCUAAAAUCGUGGAUUAAGUUUUAACUUAGCUGCCAUCAAAAUUGUUAUCAAUGCAAAAAGACAUGGGUUUAAGUGCUGUGAAGCAUAUUAUCCUUUUAUUUAAGGGUUGAGGAGGAGUUAUGAGUAGUUCUAGACAUUGUAUCAAAAAACCUUAGAAAAAACACCCAUUAGAUAUUAGAACUUAUAACACAUUUAGAUAAUUUUAUGUUUACGUUUUGAGGGUUCUUUUUUUUUCGGAUUUUCGGGGUUUAGUUUUUUAUCUCUAUCUUUUGUAUUCUUCGUUAUUUUACCAUUAUAGUAAAAUUAUCUUUACCCGUGGUUUUUUAUCCUCUUUGGAGGAGUUUUUUCACGUUAAAUUUUUGUAUUCAAUUUCUCAAUUUAUUCCGCUAUUUUUUUACUUGUUACUUAAUCGAGUCGAUCCCCAACCGUUUAUAUGAAUGCAGAAUUUGCCAAAGUUUUACUGUUAUCUCAAAACUUGUGGGAUGAUGGAGCUGGAUAUUAUUUUCAGUGGCACCCCUUUCACAGUUUUCACUCUCAAAGCUAGAUUGUUGAGCUUCAAAGUUUUAAGGGAAACCAGCAAGACACUAGAAUAUUGGCAUUCGCAAUCAACUCAGUCUCUAAGAAAUAACUAUUCCAUCACCUUAUUUUCUUUGUAUAAUUAUAUAUUUAAUUUAAUUGAUUCUGUGGAUGAUAAAUACUAUUUUUAAUGUUAAUUUUUUUAGUAUUGUUUUAAUUAUAUUUGUUGUUAUCUUUUAGUGACUAAUCAUAGUGCUUGCAGUAGAUUUUGGAUAUAUCUAUUGGAUAAGAAUGAUAAUAUGGACAAAUAUAAUUGCUGCUUAGGAUUUAAGGUUAGAUAACAUUUUCUACAAUAAAUAGGUGUAAAAAGAAGGUGAUAAAUAAUUGGACCAGGUAAUGGGAGUGGAUUAUCUGUUUAAAUUCAAAAUGUUAUUCAAAAUUUGAGAGUAUUUAAGAAAAAAGUAUCAGACUUAAAAUUGAAAGUGUCGUUCAAAAUUUGAGAGUAUUUAGAAAAAAAAAUUAGACUCAAAAUUAUAAGCUUGGGAAAAAUUAGGCCCAUUAAAAUAUGAGCUCAAGUUUGAACGUUAAAUGUUCGAGCCUGGCCUGACUCGACCAAUUUUUUAAGUUUGUAAUGGUUUAUAUUUUUUUAUGUAACUUAUGACACAAAAAAUUUAAAACUAUUAUAAUAUAAACAUUAAAAAAAAUGUUAAGAUGACUAUAUAUAAAAUUUUAAUAAAUAAAAAAUAUAAUUAUUAAAUAUUAAACUAAUAUAAUAUAAAAAAUUUAUUGAAAAUUUCAAAAAAAAAGGGCUUGGAUUAGUUAUUUAUAAAUAUGGACGGACUUCGGUAAAAUUUAGUCUCACAUUUUGGGCCAAAUCGGGCUUGGACAAUCAUAGUGUGUAUUAAUAUCAUGCUUAGGUCUAACUCAAAUUUAGCCCAACCCAUGAAUACUUCAAUGAAUGGUGGUGAUGUUGAAGCUAACAAAGGGGGUGGAAAAAUUCGGUGGAAACAACGAAGAAGAUGAGAAACCCAAAUAACUUCAGGGCUAGGUGUAAAAAGUUAUAAAAUAAUUAAAUAUGUUAAAUAAUUUUGUAGUUGUGGAGGCUUAAAUUUAUUUAAUAAUUUAAAAUUAAAAUCAAAUUAAUAGAAUGUAUAAAUGUUAAGAACUAAAAGUGUUAUUGUACCAACUACAAAUAGGUUACAUCAUCAUUUUCAUUAACAAUUUAACGGAGGACGACCAAAAUUGAAACACGUUAAUAGUUGGGUAACUAAUUAAGUAGUUUACCCUGUAUUCAUUGAAAAAAAAAUUAUUUAUGACUUAAUUAAAUAGGAAGCCUUAAUUUAUGCCCUUUGUUUUAGGUACUUAUUUUUUCUUUUUUAAUCGAACCAGGUACCUAAACUUUAUUCCGUUAGCCCCUACCGUUACCUCCAAUCGUCCCAGCCAAUCAAAAAACACCAAAUCUCAACCCCACUAAAAUAUAAUUAAAAAAAUAAUUGAUACUAGUAUUGUUAUAGCCCAAUUUUACCCAUGACCUAUUUACAUUAAACCCAAUAAAACCCAAAACAAAAUAACCCAUCAGCCAAAUACAUUACAACUAACCUACCCUAACCCAAACAACAAUAACCCAAUUCAAAAGCCCACUAAGCCUAACCCAACAGAAGCCCAAAUCCCACCAAACCCUAGCCCAUCCCAAUCAAAUCAACAACCAAACCCUAGGUGCGCCGCACCUAGGGUCUUCAGCCUUCUGCCGUCUGCCAUGGCCACCAACUCUCCCCACUUGCCCUCUGUCACCAGGCUGCUCCACCUGCACAACAAAUGAAACACGCAACAGCAACAAAAGGGGAAACAGAUAGUAUAACAAGUGGGCUAUAAAAGCCGAAUGAGGAGAUUGUAAUUAGGGGGGAUGAUUUUUCUUUUUCUUUCUAUUGAAAUAAAGCAUAGACAUUGAAACAAAAAAAAUAUAGAUCUGUGCAACAUCAAAACAGAAGUGCAAACAAAACUAAAACACCAAAAGUCAAAAAACAAGAAGUUCAAGGUGAGUUUUAUUUCUUUUCUUCUUUCCUAAUUUUGAGUUUACCCCCAUAUAUACACACACAUUAAAAAUCUAAAAAAAUAUAAAAAUAUAUAUACCUUCGGCGAUUUUCGACCACCGUGUACUGUGGCCGGCACGGCAGACGGUGAUUGGCUCGGCGACCGGAGGUCUUGGACCGAGAGAGAAAAGAGAGAGAGCCUUUUUCCUUUUUUUUUCUAAAACAAGAAGAAAAUGAAAUUUUUAGAAAUUUUUUUACUUUUAUAAUACAAGAAAACGACGUCGUUUUGAAAGACCCCCAAACGCGCCCAAAACGGCAUCGUUUUGGGGGUAACCCAAUUACCCGACCCAUUGGGGCUAGGAUCCGCGUGUUUUUGCGGAAGGGUCUAAUUGCACGAAUGACCCUUCCGCUUUUUAAGCGUUCUACAAUUUAGUUUAUAUUUAUUUAUAAAUUGGCCCUGAAAUUUAAUCUGUUUUAUAAAUUGGCCCCUCUUAUUGCGCAGCGUUUUAAUAGUUGGGGAUAUUGCGCCAUUGGUCCCUCUAAGUCAUGCGCGCGUUGCAAUUUGGCCCUGUGUCCUAUUUUAUUUCUAAUUUCGCCCCAAAAAUUCUAUUUUGGUCUCAAUUUUGUCCUUUUUUGUCGUUUUUGCUCUCAAAUAAAAUUUAUAAUAUUAAUUUUGCUAUUAUUAUUAUAUUAUUGUCACUUAUUAUUAUGUAUAUAUUAUUUAUACUAUUCUUAAUAUUAAUAUUAAUAUUAAUAAUAAUAUUAUAUUAUUAUAUUUACUAUUGUUAUAAAUAUUAGUGUAUAUUUUUUAUCAUAUAUGUAUAUAUACAUACUCUUUAUAUGUGGUAUUAUUUUUAACAUUAUUAUAUUUUCUAUUAUAUUUAUCAUCUUUAAUAUAUUAUUAUUUAUUACUUUGUUUUCUUUACCUUACAAAUAUGUCAUACUUUCUUUAUACUUUUACUAUUAUUGUUAUUAGUAUUAUUAUUAUUUAUUAUUAUUAUUUGUUUGUACAUGUUGUUCAUACUAUCAUUAUAAUAUUAUUUUUAUCAUUAUUACGUUUAUUAGGGUAGUAUUAUUAUUACUAUCAUCAUCAUUAUUAGUAUUAUUGUGUGUUUUCAUUAUAUAUAGAUUUUUCAUAUCUAUAGUAUUAUCUUAUCAUUAUGUUUACUAUAUAUGUUUACCCUUUAUACUAUUGUUAACUAUUAUUUUAUUUUUAAUAGUAUUAAGUUAUAUUUGUUUUUAUAUAUUCUUUUAUUAUUAUCAUUAUUAACUUAUGUAUAUGCAUAUAUAUAUUUUUUUAUGUACAUACAUUUUUUUAUAUAGUUUUUUUUAUAUAUAUUAUUAUGUAUAUACUUUAACACUACUAGUUAUAUAUAUUUUUACCUACUUUAUGUAUACUUCAAACAAUAUAUAUAGUAUAUUUCUAACACUAUUACUAUUUAUAUAUAUAUUUUACGUACAUAUUCUUAAUAUCAUUAUUAUGUAUAUAUAUAUUCAUUGUUUUUAUUUCGUGUUUGAUACUAUUAUCAUGUUUAAUAUAUCGCAUGCAUUGUCAUUGUUUUUAAUAUUUUUGUCGUAUUUAUUAUGUGCCUUGAUGUAUUUUUAACUCUUAUUUUUCGUUUCCCGCCUAUUUUAUAUCAUCUCAUUGUUCACCGUUUUAAAGAUGUUUAUUCAUGUUUUUUUAUUUAUUUCAAUAAGCAAGGCAACGUACCGAUUUAACAUUAAGUCAUCGAUUUCAUCGCUAUGUUGGGUGAACAUCAAUCGACUUGUGCUAAAACAGUAUGUCCUUCUCAAAAAUAAAAAAAAAAUUAAAAUUCUCGUGUUUCAACCUGUUUCAACCGGAUCACGACUAAAUGUUACAUUGAACUCGUAUUUUUGAAAAUCAAGACAACACAUGUUUUACAAGAUACCAAUUUUGGGCGUCGCGAGGGUGCUAAAACCUUCCUCGCGCGUAACCGACUCCUGAACCCUACUUUACUCUGAUUUUCGCGUAGACCCACAUUUGGCCUUCAUUUUUGUUCGAGAAUAAAUUUUCUUUUCAAAAAAGAUGAUUCAUUAGGUGUCUGAUCACACCUAGAAAAAGGAUCGGUGGCGACUCCCCUCUUUAUUUCAAAAUCAAACUUCAGUUUUCAAAUUUCACUAAAUCGCCACGAUUAGCGACCAAGCUAUAAUUUUACGUCGCUACAGCUGGCGACUCCACUGGGGACGUGUUUUUUUGAGAGUCGAGUCGAAUUAAACGUGUGUUGUCAAAAUUUUCAAAAUUCCUUGUUCAAAUUGAUAAUUAGUUGUGAUCCCAAAAUUGUGUUUUCAAAAAGUCAUGCAUUUGCAUUAUGUUGUAAAUGUUUUUCUAACUCGUUUUGUCCUUUUUGUUUUUCAGCCUUAAGUUUUAUGGUUUUGGCUUUGUAGUUUUUUUUAAAAUAAGAUGAAAGGUUUGUGAGUUUCUCCCCACACACCGUGCACUUGCAUUUUUGCAUAACAUGAGCUCUCUACCCGGGCUCCGUUCGUUUAAGUGAAAGUAAACGCUAUGCCUUCGUGAGUUAACUCGUCCCUCCGUACAGGCUAGUGAAUACUUUUGGGUUACAUAUGACUUAUGCUUUCAUGAGUUAACUUGUCCCUCCGCAUAGGCAUAAGUGAAUGUAAUCCCUCAAAUUGAACUCGUGAGCCUGUGAUGGGCUACGACCGAGGCUUCGUACUAAUCUUAGUAGAUGAUAGUACGAACAAUUCGAGUACCUGUCUAGAACCGAAACCGCAUAUAGUGAACCGUACGAGCCACCUAAUUAGAGCCAUGCCGAACCUCCGUCUGUUUAGUACUCACCAAAAUAAGUGCACGGGAGGAACGCCUCUUACCUUUUUCAUUUUCACUUUCUAUACAAGGGGAUUGGGUCUAUUUCAUAAAAUAGAUCGGGUAGUUCGAUUUGUUAAAUUUUCCAUGUUUUUCUGCCUGUAUUUAAUUACUAAUCAAGGUUGUUUGUCUUUGCCUUAUGUUUUUCAUCAUGCAUUAUAGGCAUCAUAUUAGGAAGGUGUUGACUAGAGAUCGGUUGCCAAAAAAUGGGUUUCUAAUGGAAGAGUCAAUUAUACAAACAACCGAGAAGAAUGCCGUGGUUCGAGACUGGUCUCUAAAAACUCAAAAAGAAAAAAGGGGAUAGACACGUAACUGUGAAUGUUCGCCAGAAUAACCUUGAAGAUUUGGUUCUGGUUUGGAAUCAGUGGGAAUCGGACACUAGGGGUAUCUUCACUGAGAGGUACAGAUAUAUAGCCCACUUGAUCACUAUCAAAAUAGACGAGCAUUUGAUUCAAGCCAUGAUCAGAUUUUGGGAUCCGACCUACCAAUGUUUUACUUUCAAUCAGAAAGACAUGACCCCGACUAUAGAAGAGUACGCUGCUUUGCUUCGUGUUGAUAAUGUACAACCCUAUAAGAUAUAUGUGAAAGAACCUAAACCGAUAACCUUCAAGAAAAAGUUAGUAAGAUUGACAGACAUGCUGAUGCGUGGGCCGAAAAACAAAUAAAGAAGAAGAAUGAAACCAUUUGCAUUCCAUGGUUUUCCCUACGAGAUUCGGUUCUGAACCAUCCCGACAUGUUGAAAAGGGUAAAUCUGUUCGCUUUAGCCAUUUACGGUUUGAUCAUCUUCCCGAAAGUCUUUGGAAACAUAGAAGUUGUGGUGGUGGACUUCUUCGAAAGAUUAAAACAAGGAAUCAACCCUGUCCCGACUAUCCUAACCGAGACCUUCAGAUCCCUGAGUAGUUACCGAAGGAAAGGGGAAGGACGAUUUAUUGGAUGCGCGCAGUUGCUCAAUGUUUGGAUUUUGAGUCACUUCUAGAAGUAGAGUGCACUCCGUUCCAUAUGUUUUCAAAAACAUUUGCCCCGUUGGAAGCUUAUCUCAAGAAAGAAUGGCCAAAGGAAGUCACUGAACAACAUUGGGUCUCAGUUUUUCAGAACCUUUGCGCCGAGGAUAUAACGUGGAGAGCACCGUGGAUACGCCCUUCGGUUUUCCUAUACAAGGUCGGAGAUCAAGACUGGGUGCCACUACUCGGAUUAUGGGGAGGAGUUGGAUAUGCCCCGCUAUUAGUCUAAAAGCAAUUUUCUUCGCGACAAUUCAUACCCAUCACCGGAGGAUUAGCACAGUCCAAGUUUGCUUUUGCGGGUGAGGGAUAUAUGAAGAGGGUCCGAGACACUGCAAAGUCUUGGAAAAAAUUUGAGAGUAUUUCAAAAAAAAAUAUUAGACUCAAAAUAUAGGCUUGGAAAAAAUUAGGCCCAUUAAAAUAUGAGCUCAAGUUUGAAUGUUAAAGGUUCGAGCCUGGCCCGACCCAACCCAUUUUUUAAAUUUGUAAUGGUUUAUUUUAUGUUACGUAACUAAUGACACAAAAAACAUAAAACUACUAUAAUAUAAACAUUAAAAAAAUAUUAAGAUGACUAUAUAUAAAAUUUUAAUAAAUAAGAAAUAUAAUUAUUAAAUAUUAAACUAAUAUAAUAUAAAAAAUUUAUUGAAAAUUUCAAAAAAAAAAAGAGAGCUUGGAUUAGUUAUUUAUAAAUAUGGACGGACUUCGGCAAAAUUUAGUCUCACAUUUUGGGCCAAAUCGCGCUAGGACAAUCAUAAAAUGUAUUAAUAUAAUGCUUAGGUUUAACUCAAAUUUAGCCCAACUCAUGAACACUUCAAUGAAUGGUGGUGAUGUUGAAGCUAACAAAGGGGGUGGAAAAAUUCGGUGGAAACAACGAAGAAGAUGAGAAACCCAAAUAACUUCAGGGCUAGGUGUAAAAAGUUAUAAAAUAAUUAAUAUAUUAAAUAAUUUUGUAGUUGUGGAGGCUUAAAUUCAUUGAAUAAUUUAAAAUUAAAAUCAAAUUAAUAGAAUGUAUAAAUGUUGAGAACUAAAAGUGUUAUUGUACCAACUACAAAUAGGUUACAUCAUCAUUUUCAUUAACAAUUUAACGGAUGACGACCAAGUCAUCAUUUCCGUUAACAAUUUAAUGAAAUGGUGACCAAAAUUGAAAUAAGUUAAUAGUUGGGUAACUAGUUAAGUAGUUUACCCUAUAUUUAUUGAAAAAAAUUUAUUUAUGACUUAAUUAAAUAGGAAGUCUUAAUUUAUGCCCUUUGUUUUAGGUACUUAAUUUUUUUUUAUCCAACCAGGUACCUAAACUUUAUUCCGUUAGCCCCUGCCGUUACCUCCAAUCGUCCCAGCCAAUCAAAAAACACCAAAUCUCAACCCCACUAAAAUAUAAUUAAAAAAAUAAUUGAUACUAGUACUAAAUAAAAAUAACUAAAAAGGUACCCAUCUCCUCAUAUAGUAAAAAUUUAUCUGUACUUUUAUUUAAUUAGGCCUUUUUGGUCUGUAUUAUUUUUCAUUUCUAUUUUAGUUUUUUUUUCUCCUUCAUUGUAAUACUUUUUCUUUCCUGUCUUAUUUUUUAUUUUUAAUAUUAAUAUAAUUAUUUUUAUUUAAUAUUAACAUAAAAUAAUUUUUUAUUUAUAUUUUCACGGGUGACAUGAUAAUUUUUUGAUUGGCCGACCGUAAUGAAUAAAUGCUAACUUGGAUUACAGAAGAAAAGUUUAAGUGCAUAACUCAAAUAAAUAACUUUUUUUAAGGUUUUCAAGUUGAAUUGAGCCUCUAUUUAUUUUCUCAUUAUGAAUGUGAUGUGCGUAUUUUGUUGAUAAUUCAACCCACCAGAUUUGAUUUAACCAAAUUCCACUUUAAUCGAAAACUAAGAUGAUUGGAUGCAAAAAUUAACCUUUUUGACGAAUGAAAAAGGGUAAAAGAAAUAGCCUUUUUCUGAUGCGAUUUGAUAAGGCGGUGGUUUGUUUGGGACUCAUCUGCUAGACACGAUUUGAUGACCUUUUUGGUUUUUCAAAGGAAUGAAAAUGAAAAUAAAAGACGCCGAAGAAAGCAAAGCUCCCUUGCUCUCUUUCUCCAUCAAUCACGCUCUCUGUUAGCUCUUUUCUUAAUAGUUUUUUCUUUUUAUAAAACUGUGAUUCCAUUUAAUAAAGUUAAAAUGUUAUUGAUAUUAGUGAUACGAAUUCUAUUUUUUCGUAUAGAAUUUUUAAAAAUAUAAUUUAUUUUAAUUAUAAAAGAAUUGAUUAAUAUUUUAAUUAAUUAAGUUGUUGUCACUUAACUUAUGAUACCAAAUUUAUUAGUUAACCAAUUGAGUUGAUAACACUUUACUUAUGACACCAAACUCAAUCUGAUUUUUAGCAUACCGACCUAAUGACCAUUUUUUUCCCAUGAAUUAUCAACUGCUUUAUGUGAGUUUAGAAUUUGCCAAAGUUACUCUUUAUCUCAAAACUUGUGGGAUGAACACAUUGAGCUGGAGAAUGUUUUUCAAUGGCAACCUCUCGACAGUUUUCUUUCUCAAGCUAGAAUGAAACCCAAGAAACAGUAGAAAAAGAAUUGUAAAAAAUCCAAAUGAUUUGGGUUUAGUUCGAGUUGCUUUCAUUUAAAUGGCUUUCAUGAAUCUUAUAGGGUUUUGGGUCGAGUUUGAGUCAUGUUAAUUGGUGUCGAAAUAAAUUUCGAAUUGUUUCUACUGGGAAUGAAUUGGACAAGGGUUAAACAAGGGCGUGUUUGUUUCUCUUUACAUAUGGAAGUUGAACAUACUAUUCUAUUUUCUUAAUGAGUAAAUGUGUAAAUGUUAAUGUUAAAUUUGUUUAUUUUUUAGAAUCAAGAUUAAAUUGACAAAAAUGCAAACAUUGAGAGCUAAAUUUAUUGUUAUACCAAUCAAAAUUAUGUGAAUUUAAUAGAAGACAUUAACAAUGUAGUUAAAUGUCAUUAGCUGCUCACUUUCAAAAUUAACAAAGAUUAAAUUUCUCUUCUUUUCAAGGGACCAAUUUAUUCAAUUUUGAAAUUAAGAAAAACUAAAGAAGUCGUUUUACCCAAACUUGCCCUCCCUAUGUUAGAAAGGACUAACAAAGAAAAUCUAUCAUUAUUUCACCUAGGAAAAUAGAAACACAACACCCUUCCUUCAAAAACUUUUCAUUCAGGGGAAGAAAGUGAAAAUUAUUCUUCAAGAAAGUGGUAGGAAAUUUAAGUUUAAUUCACUUAAAAUGGUCUAAAAGUGGCAAUUAUUCUUAAGAAAGUUAUACUAAAUUUCAGUUCAAUUGACCCAAAUGACAAAGUGUGUUCAAGUCAUUAUUUUUGUUAGGAAAUUCGUAAGAAAUUUCAUCACAACCCAAAAAGAAAUUCAUGAAUGGUGACUGUGGCGACGUAAAAAUUUUAGAUUGGUCACUAAUUGGGGUGUUUGAUUAAAAGUUUAGAGACCGAGGUUUGAUUUUAAAAAGGGAGUCACCACCGAUCUUUUUUUUAGGUAUGAUCGGACACCUAAUAAAUCAUCUUUUUGAAAAGAAAAUUUAUUCUCGAACAAAAAUGAAGGCUAAAUUUAGGUCUACGUGAAAAUCAGAGUAAAGUAGGGUUCAGGAGUCGGUUACGCGCGAGGAAGGUAUUAGCACCCUCGCAACGCCCAAAAUUGGUAUCUUGCAAAACACGUGUUGUCUUGAUUUUCAAAAAUACGAGUUCAAUGUAGCAUUUAGUCGUGAUCCGAUUGAAAAGACGAGAAAUUUUAGUUUUUCGGUUUUUAGAAGGGUGUUCCGUCUUUAACACGAGCCGACAAAUUUCAUCCAACAUAGCGAUGAAAUCUAUGGCUUAAUGUUAAAUCGGUACAUUGCCUUAUUUAUUAAAAUUAAUUAGAAAACAAGAAUAUGAUUUUCGAAGUAAUGCAAAGCAAUAUUGAUAAAAAUAGAUAAAUGAAAGAACUAGAAAUAUAUUGAAGCAAAUAAUAAAUGUGAUAAUAAUUUUAAAAAAUGAUAAAAAUGUAUGCGAUAUUAAACGUAAUACUAGAAUUAAACAUGAAAGGGAAACAAAGAGCGUAUAUACAUAAUAAUGAUAUUAAGAGCAUGUACGUAAAAUAUAUAUAUAAGUAGUAAUAGUGUCAGAAAUAUACUACAUAUGGUGUUUGAAGUAUAUACUUAAGAUAGUAAUGUUAAAUAUAUACAUAACAUAUACAUAUAUAUGUAUAAAAUAAAUAUCGAAAAGUGUAUAAAAAUAAGAAAAUGGUACAUUUAUAAUAAGUACAUGAAAAUAUCUAUACAUAUAUGUAAACAAUAACGAUAAUAUUAAAAAUAAGUAAUAAUAAUGACAAUAGUAAGAAUAAUAUGGUAUUAAGAGUAUACAUAUAAAAGUAAUAUUGAGAGUAUGUAAAGACGAAAAAACACGCUAAUAUUAAUACUAAUAAUAAGGAUAAUAUAUAGAAAAUAUAUACAUGAAAUAGUAUAAAAAAUAUAAACCUUAUUGUAUUUAAAAACAUGUACAUGAAAUAGUAAAAGAAAUAUAUAACAAAUAACAUAAAGAUAUAUGUCUGAAAUAACAUAAAAAUAUAUGAAUAGUAUGAUAUUUACAAAUAUAUACAUGAUAUAAUUAUUUUAAAAAAUAAUAUAAUGAAAUAUACAAAAAUAAUACUAUAUACUCAAAAAUGUAUAUAUACACGUAUAGUGAAAUAUAUGUACUAAUAUUAAUAAUAAAUAUAGUAGGAAUAAAAUAAAUGUAAUAAUAAUAUAUAUACAAUAUGUACAUAUUGAAAAUAAAAAAAAACUAUUGAUAAUACUUCACAAAUAUAUAUGUACUAAAAAUAUACGUAAUAAUAUAUAAAAUAUAAUAUUAAAAGCAUAUAUAACGUAUAUAAAGAAUAUAUAUAAUAUAAUACAUAAGUAUAUUAAAUACACAUACAUAUAUAAAAGAUCAUAUACUAAUACAUAAUGAUAAUAAUAAUAAUAUUGAAAUAAAAAAAAAACAAAUGUAAUAGAAAUAUUAAAAUAAAUAAUAAAGUAAUACCAUCAAUAAAUAUGCCUAUACAUAUACGUACAUAGUAAAUAUACACUACUACAUGUAAUAAAUAAAUAUAAUAAGUACAUAGAUUACAAUUAAUAAUAGUAAAUAACAGAAAAUAAUAACAAAUAAUUUGAAAAAUAAAAUAGUAAAUUGAACAUAAAACAAAAUUUUGGGGCGAAUUCGAGAAGAAAGUAAAGAGGAAGGGACUUAUUAGAACGCGCAUAAAACUGUGGGGGGCCAAUGGAGCAAUUUUCCAAAACCUUUAAAACGAUGCGCAUCACGGAGGAUCAAUUUGAGAAUCAUAACAAACUUCAAGGCCAAUUUAUAAAUAAAUAUAAACCUGAUUUAAAAUAUCAAAAAUGCGGAAGGACCGAUUGCGCAAAUAGCCCCUAAGAGCGAAAACACGCGAAUCCUAGUUGGAGCGGGUCGGGUUGACCUGACCCGGGGCCAAAAUGACGUCGUUUUUCAUUAAAAUGGGAGGGGACCAAAACGCACCGUUUUGGUCCCUAUAAAAGACAAAUUUUUUUUAAAAAAAUCAUUUGAACGGGGUAUGUAAUAUCCCGAAUUAGGGCCUAAUUAGAAUAGUGGUUUCGAGACCACAAAUUUGAGAUAGAAAUAAUUAUUUUAUAAUUAUUUUGAGGUCUAUGAUAUGAUUGCAUGAUUGUGUGAAAAUCUCGUGACAAAAUUCUAUGCAUAAAGUGCUUAAGUUGAGAUUAGGGACUAAAUCGAAUAAUUUGCAAAACUUGCAUUCUAGAAGUUUUUAGUAUGAAAUUGCUUUGGAAUAUUAAUGAGGAGGUCUUAAAUAGCAAUUUGACCAAAUUCUAAGUUUAUGGACAAAAAUUUGGACAUGGAUGGAAUUUUUGAAAGUUUAGUAAGGAAGGGUAUUUUGGUCAUUUUGAUAUUAAAUGAAAUAAAAUGGGAAAAAUAACACAAAAAUGGUCAUCUUCUCCAUAUGUUGCUGCCAAAUUUUUCUCUCUCCAUAGCUAGGGUUUCUUCAACUUUCAAGCUUUAUAGUAAGUGAUUUCAAGCCCCGUUUUUAAUGAUUUUUAUGUUUUUGAAAUCACGGUAGCUCGAAUUAGCUUAUGCUAGCAAUAAUUCAACCUAGGGUACCCAUAGGUGAAAUUUGUGUAUUUUGGUGUUUUAUGAUAGAAUAUGAGGUUUUAAAUUAUGUUAGACAACUUGUGCUACUCGGUUUUAAGUGAAAACGAGUAAAAAGGGCUUAAUCGGUAAAAAUACCUAAUAGUCAUAAGUACAUGUUAGAGUGAGAAUUUGAUGUUUCCAUAGAAGGAAAAAAUGAUCAGCAAGUCAUAAAACAUAAGAAAAUAGGAUGAAGUUUAAUUUACGAGCAUUGGGGCAAAAGUGAAAAUAUGUAAAAGUUUAGGGGCAAAAUUAUAAUUUUUCCAAAAUAUGAUUUUAGGUUGAUUUGAAUAAUAUGAGUCCUAAUUAGGCUAUAUUUGAAAUUAUAGAGCAAGGAAAAUUGAAAUUCGGGCUAAAAUCGGUAAAAUACCAAGUUGUGGACAAAAUGGUAAAAAAGACCAUUUUUGCGUACGAGGUAAGUUCAUGUGUAAAUGUAGUAACAUAAUUGUCAUUUUAGGUAAUUUAAUGUUAUUUAUAUGAUAUGAUGAUUAAUAUCAUGAAAUAUUAUGCUUUGUGGUUAUUAUUGAGUAAUAUGCAAAUUAUGUGUGCUACUUGUUAAAUAUGAAUUGCUACCGAGUAUCGGUUUCGACAUUCCGUGGAAGAGGGCAAAGUUGUGUAAUCGAGGAAAAAGCCCGUUUGAACCUUGGGAAUAGAUUAGGAUACAAGUGACAUGUCACUAGGAUAUUUGAGUUCCGAACUCGUUGAGUUGAGUCCGAGUUCGUGAGAUGUAACUAGGCAUCCGAGCUCGUUGAGUCCGAGUUCACUUAUGGAUGCAAACGCCCGAGCUCGUUGAGUUGAGUCCAAGUUCGCUUAUGGGCAGGUUACAUGGUAGCUUGACUACAUAUGUGGCACUUAUGUGCAAACUUUCCAUGUAUUCAAGUUAUAUUCCGAUGUGUUCAACGGGUAAAAUUCUAGUGAAAUGGAAGAAUUCUCGAGAUGAAAGUGACUAGUUGGUAAGUGUUGUGGAACGGAUACUUUGUACAGGUAUGUUCUUAACCCUCGGGUUGAGACUUUAAUAUAAUAAUAAUAUGGUAAGAUCAUGAAUGAGAAAUAUGAUAUGAAUGCUUUGGUGAUGUUAUGCGAAUGUGGACUUCGUAUUUAUUUCAUGGUUAUGUUACUUGCUACUUACAUGUGAACUUACUAAGCAUUUAUGCUUACUCCCUUCCUUCCAUUCCUUGUAGUUUUGACAAGCCAGUUUGGAGAUCAGGACGGUCGGAGGCACGCUCACCCUAUCAAUAGACCAUCUCGGUAUAGUGGCUUGCAUAUUUUGGGAAUAUGGCAUGUAUAGAUUUAUAAUCCUUUUGUCUAUAUAAUCUUAUGAUAUGAUGAAUGAGUGAUGUGGAAAUGCUUGUUGAUGAUUAGCUAUUGGAAUGGCUAAUCAAAAUUUAUAUUUAGUGUUAUGUAUACUUAAUGUAUUACCUACUCCAUGGAAAACCAUAAAAUGGUGAAAUUGGCUAUAAAACAGUGUUAUACAGCAGCAGUGACGAGAAUUUGAAAAAUCACUAAAAAUAGUAGAAAUGAGAUUAGAUGAUGAAUAAGUUAUGGAAUCGAAUCUUGAUGAGUCUAUUUUCAUUUGGAAGAAACGAAACAGGUAAAUGAGUUAUAUUUAUGAGAUAUUUAAAUUUUGGUGGAACAGGGUCAGAGCAAUCUCUGAAUCCCCUAUUCUAACUUUAAAAAUUCACCAUAAAUUUUUAAAAAACAAUUAGGAGUUUUUCCUUACAUGUAUGAAAUCUUUAUUGAGUAUAGUUUUAUGAGAAAUAAACGGCAUAGUCAUUGAAACUCGGUACAAGAAGAUAUCUGAUUCGUAAUACACAGGGGUCAGAGUAGCCAAACCCUAAAACAGGGGAAAAGUUAACUAAUAAACUGUACUAAUUGGCUCAACCAAAAAUUCUAGAAAAAAAUUAUUAAGUAGAUAUAUGAGUCUAGUUUCAGAAAAAAUUUACGGAUCUUGAUUUUUAGUUUCGUAACUCGAGAUAUGAAUUUUUAAGUGAUUGUGAUGCAGUUAGCCAGCUUGUCUGGAAAUUUUAAAAUAAAUUGUAUGAAUUGUUUAAUUAAUGAUUUAAGUUUAGUAACACCUCAAGCUCGACUCUGGCGACAGUCUCGGGCGUGAGGCCAUUACAGGGUGUAAGAAAAAAAAAGAGAGAAAAGGGAGAGGGGAAGGGAAUCCGGCCAUGGUCCGGUCACCGUCCGGUCGUCGGACCGGUGCUGGCGCCGGCGCCGGCCACCGUGCACAGUGGCCGGAGAAGGUAAAAAUUUGUAUUUUUUUGUUUUUUAUUUAUAUUUCUAUUAUCUAUGUAUAUAUAUAUGUAUUCUUUUUGAAAGAAGAGAGAAAAAAUAUAAAAGGAAAUAUGCGUAUGUAUUCGAAAGAAGAAAAUAUAGGUAAACAGAAACUAAAAAGAACGAAACCUUUUUGUCUGUUGAAUGGGAUUUGAUCAGCUUAAUAUAUAUUCUUAGUGUUUGAAUCUAUUCUGUCUUUUGCAUUCUAUUCUCUUGUCUGCAAUCUUCCUCUUUUUACAAAAAUUACUCGGCUCUUAUAGCCUAUAUUUUUUACAAAUUGUUUCCUUUUUCUGCUUUUUCUGUCUCUUCUCUUUACCGUCUUACAGGUGUAGAGGGUGGUGGAUGUGAUGGAGCAGUGCUACAGUGGGCAGGUGGCUGGUGGCCAGUGAAGUGGUUGGGGCAGAAGCAAGUGGGGGAGGCAAGUGGCUAGGGUUUCGGGAUUGGGCUAGCUUAAAUGGGCUUGGGUAGGUUUAGUUUGGGUUAGUUUUGGAUAUUUAGGCUUUGGGUCUGGUUGUAAAAGGGUUAAAGGGGUAAUUGGGUUUAGGUUGUAAAUAGGCCAACCGGGUUUAAGUUAUAAAUGGGUUUUGUGGGUAAUGUAUUUGGGUUUAGGGGGUUAGUGGGUUUAGUAAUUGGACUUGCAAAUUGGGCUUGUAUUCGAGCCCAGGCAAUUUGGGCUUCUACAGUGACAAUUUUUUUGAAGUUAUACAUUUGGUUACGAAAUCAGCUAAUAUCUAUUUUCGAAUAAAUGAUUUACUCAUACUAACAUAUUAAAUAGGCCUUUAAGCUUUAUCACAUUAUCUAAAUAAUCGUGUACUUUUAUCAUACCCCAAAUAAGCCUUUAAACUUUAUUUGUUAUCCAAAUUACUUUUAAUUUUUAAUUUGUAUCUAGAAAAGUUUUAAUCUUAACAAAUUUGUCCCAUUGGAAGACCUUGACUUGGAAAUUAACACCCAUCAUCAUCAUCAUCAUUUGGAACAGUUUUUCUUGUUCGUCAAAACUCCCUUUUAAUACUCUUCAUCAAAGUCCACAUCACCAGAAACCUAAUAAAUAGACUUAAGGCUUGGAAUAUGGUUGUUUAUAUAAACUCAAAAUCUUUUUGCUUUUGUUUUUCUAAAUAAUGUGAGAUAUGGGCUUUUAUAUAAAUUCAUAAUCUCUUUGUGCCUUGUUCUUAAGCAAUACGAGAUUUAUUAUCCUUUUAACUAACAAAAGAUUUAAGUUAAACUUGGUUUUUAAAAACUACAACAAGAAACACGAAUAAAAUAUAUUUUUCAAUAUAUUAAAUGGUGAUUAUAAGUUGAUGUUGAAAUUCAACUCUCCCCUCAUCAUCGACAUUUAUUUAAAUUGACAUGUCAUUUGAAAUAAGGGCUAAUUUAAACACAAAUAAAAAUAUAGGGGUUUAUUUGGGUACCACAAAAGUAAACUAGUUCAAGGACUCUUUUAAGAAUUUAACCAUUUGCUGAACAUUGUCCCAUUGGAAGACCUUGACUUUUGUGGGUAAAAGAUACAGAUAAAGAAGACUCAUUUCCUGGAAAGUUUGAGAGUGACAAUUUUCUUAGACUCAGAUAAUUAGCUAAUCUCCUCCAGUCAUUGCCUUUGUUAAAUCUCAUUGUCAUUUAAUACUAGGAUACCAAAACUCCAUUUGUGUACUUUCCUCUCUUCUUCCUCAAUCUCACAGUCCAUACACUUUCAUGGCAUAUUCUUCAUCUUCUCCUCGUCAAAUGAUGCAUUAAGUUUUCUAAACCUUCAGAGGUGAAGACAUAUGCCUUAACUCAAAAAUUAUUUACUCAUAGGUUCUAGUACAAUAAAAUUAUCCUGAUUUUAAUAAAAUUAGAAUUUGGUUGAGAAAAUAAUUUAAUUGAAUGAAUGAAUUAAAUUCAUUUUAAUUAAUUAUAUAAAUAAUAUUUUUACAAUGUAAACUUAAUAUUGGGUUGGAUAAAUCAAAUGAGUUGAUUUAAAGUUCAUAUAGAAUUGAUCAUGGGUCGAGCCAAUGCAAAAUUUUAGGCCCGUUUUCUAAGCUCAGCCUGACCUACCCGUAUUAAUUUCUUUAGAUUAUUUUUAUGUAAAGAUAAAUUUAAAAAAUAUAAUACAUAAAAUACACUAAAAAUAUUAAAAUAAAUAUUUUUCAACAAAUCGAAAAUACAUUUUUUUAAAAAUAAAUAUUUAUACUUAAAUAACACUAACACAGUUACAACUUAACAAUCAAAUGUUUUUAAAAUGGUAGAAAAAUUAACAAUAAAACAAAAAAUUUAAUAUAUAAACAAUAACAAUAUAAUAGUAGCAAUACAAUAAUGAAAUUGUAACAAAACAACAAUAUAACAGCAGUAAAGAACAACAGAAAAGAAAUAGUCAAAUUCGAGCUAGGCCAAAAUAUCUUGCCUAAGACCCGACCCGUUUAGAAAAUGUGCCGAUAUUGAUAUGUUGAAUAAUAUUUUACUCAUAAAACUAUUAUUUUCCAACUUUUAAAUUAAUUGCCAAUGAUAGAAAUAUGAAGUGGUUUAAUUAAUUAAAACCAACCAGAAUCACAUGCUCUACAAAUAGCUUGUGAUUUGGAAUUUUCAUUCAUUGGUGCAUUAUCAACUUACUUUUUUCCUUAUGCAUUUUACAAGCUAUAAGUAUGAUUGUGAUGUGCAAAUUUUGUGGAACUUCCAUGAAAAUUCAGCCCGGGAGUGGUCUGAUUUGAUUUAUCCAAAUUCCUACAUAUGUAGCUUCCAAGAAAGAAAGAAGGUUGGAUGGUAUUUUGAAGUGCUGUAAGAUUUAUUAGCCAUUUUGAAAUUGGUGUCAAAAGCAAAAGCGACCUUUUUUUUUUUCUCGGCCAAUAAAAAUAUUUUAUUAAAAAGUUUAAUGUAUCGUCUUUAUCACCUCACAAAAAAAAAAAAAAGUGAGUAGAAGGGGGUGAAUUUCCAUGGUUUGGUGCAUUAUCAACUUUUACUUUUCCAUAUGCAUUUUGGAACAAUAUGUAUGACUGUAAUAUGCAGAUUUUCUCUGCAAAUUCAGCGAAAUUCCUGAUUAUGUAGCUUCCUGGAAAAACAAAAGAAAAAGGAGAAGAUUCUUGACGUCUUUGUAGCAUAUUACUAUUUGUUUUUUUUUUUUGCAAUCAAUGAAUCAAUACUUUGGGGGUGUGGGAAUCAAAUCGUACAAUUAAUCAGUUCUUUCACAGACUGGGCAAGGAAAAGAGUUCCAUUGAUAGUAGUAUCACUAUGCAAACAAAACAAAAUGCAAAUCGAUAGUAGAUUUAUUCAAGGGACGAAUUAUUCGUUCAAAUUUGAAAAGUUUAUCUAAAAUACGAAAGUUUAAAUAAAAAUACAAUGAGCCAAAACUUGAUUAGAAUAAGACGAUUUUUUUAUCUCACUCGUGGCAUUAAAUAAAAGCUGCACUACUAAUGCUGGUGUACGACCUAUUUUUCACAUUUAUUAAAACGCUUUUGAGGAUUAUCUUUUUAAUUGGUUUCUAAAUAUGGCCUAAUUUUAUAUUAUUAUAAUAAUCCAAACUAAUUUGGGCAUCAAUAUUUUGUGCUUUGAAAAUUACUUAAUAUCCAUCAACUAGAUUUGGUUACAAAAUCAACUAGUAACUCUUUUUUUUUUCCCUAUAGAUGAUUUGAUUAGACUAAUAUACUAGAUAAUCCAUAAGCUUUAUUCAGUUAAGCUUUGGGUAAAUUGUCUUGUUAAUCAUUUUAAAUAGGAGUCAUUCCUAUUUUGGUUACUCUAAUAUUUUUGUUAAUUUGGUCAUCCAAAAAGGAAAUUGAUCACUCUUCUUUUAAAUGAUAAUGGAAUAUUAAUUGUGUAUUUCCAUAUUAGUCAUGCUGAAAUUAUUAUGAUGGAAGCAAUGUUUUUAAAAAAAAAUUCAUGUCAGUAUUUCAAUUGGAAUAAUUAAUAGUAAUAUUUACUUGGAUUAAUUGAUGAUAUUAUUGUAGUAAAGGAUCAAAUUAUUCCAUUUUAAAGUAUAAAAAUAAAAUUCUAAAUUUAGGAAUAAUAGUAGGACCAAAACAAAAUUUUAAUUGUAAGGACUAAAUUAUAAAAUCUAGAAAUUUUAGAACAGGGACUGUUUUGCAAAAUUGUACAAAACAGAGGUUUAGAACUGAACUGUAGAAUAAUAAAAUCUAUUUUUGAGGAAUUAAAUUGUAGAAUAGUAAAAAAUUAGAUUACAGGGACUAAUUUUUAAAAAUAUAAAAUUGAAAUAUGAGGGACUAUUUUCUUCGACAAUGAAAACAGUCAAUAUAGUUUUAUUAGUUUGGAAAAUGUUUUAUGGAAAAAAAAAUUGGGAAGAUAUUUUCCUUAAAAAAGUCUUGAUUUUACAUUUUUUUUUGAAGAAUAAUUUCCUUUAGUAAUUCAUUUUCCACCAAACAUACACUAUAAAACAAUGAAAAUAUUUUACGGAAAAUAUUUUACAUACAAACAAAUAGACCAUUAAUUAGAAAACCAAUUCGAUUUUAUAUUUAAAAUAAAUGUAGGCAAGCAUAUUUGUUGGUAAAAAUUCUAUCUAGUCUCUCUGAUCAAUUUUGGUAUUGAGCAAAUUGGAGUCUCUUAAAAAAAUCAGAGCAAUUUAAAUCCCAUUAGUUUUCAAAGUGAGUAAUUCAAGAUAGUUAAUCGUAACAUUAAUGUUUUCCAUCAAAUGUAAAUAAUUUUAAUUUGUAUAAUAAUAAAUUUAGCCCUCAAAGUUUACAAUUAUAUCACUUGUCCUGAUUUAACAAAUUUAGCUAGCAAUAUUUGUGUAAAUGUUGAUACUAAACUUGUUGAAUUUUCAGAAUUAAGACUAAAUUGACAAAACAUGCAAACAUGGCUAAAUUUUUUGUUAUACCAAUCAAAAUUAUGUACAAUUGACGAAAAACAUUAACGUCGUGAAUAAUUUUUCUUUGUUGCUCACUUUCGAAAUUAACAAUGAUUAAAUUGCUUUGAUUUUUUUGAGAGGGACCAAUUUAUUAAAUUUCAAAAUCGAAAGAGAUUGGAGAGAUAUUUUUACCCAAACUCACCUUACGUAUGUUCAGAAGAAAAGACUAAAUUGGAAACCCCCAAAAGCACAAAGAAAAUCUAUCUUUGUAUCACCUAAGAAAAAUAGAAACACGACAUCCUUCCUUCUAGAGACUUUUCAUUUAGGGGAAAAAAGUGUAUUCUUGAGAAAGUUGUAGGAAAUUUAAGUUGAAUUCACCUAAAAUUGUCUAAAAGUGGCAAAUUACUCUUAAGAAAGUUAUACCAAAUUUUAGUUGAAUUGACCCAAACGAUAAAAUGUGUAAAAGUCAAUAUUUUUAUAAGGAAAUUUAUAAGAAAUUUCAUCACAACCCAAAACGAAAUUUUAGAAUGGUGACAAUUUCCUUUUUGAAGUAAUACCUUUGGUUACAAAAUCAAUUAAUAUUAUUUUUUCGUAUAGAUAAUUUAUCGCAUUAUCUAAAUAAUCUCUUGUACUUUUAUCAUACUCCAAAUAAGCUUUUAAAGUCUAAAUAACCCUUAAUUUUUAACUUGUAUCUAGAUAAAUGUCAACAUUCAAUUUAUGAGAAAAUAAUUGGUACAUUGAUAAUAGAGGUUUAAGACUCCAUAAUCAUUACAAAUUUUUAUAUUAAAAAGUCAUUGGCUAUGCUUCACCCUUUCAAUCUCAUUCCCAUUUAAUUGACCCACUUUUUCGUCUUACCAUUACAAAAAUAGAAGCAAAAGCAAAGCUCCCUCAGUUUAUUUUGUUCUCUUUUUCCUCAAUCUCACAAUCAAUACACUUUCAUGGCGUCUUCUUCAUCUUCUUCUCGUCAAGUGAAACAUCAAGUUUUCUUGAGCUUCAGAGGUGAAGACACGCGCGUUAACUUCACCGCUCAUCUACUCCAAGCUUUGAAAGACAAGGGAUGGAAUGUCUUCUUCGAUGACGAUACACUAAAGAAAGGGGAGAAAAUUUCAUCAGCACUUUCGAAUGCAAUUGUGGCCUCAGUUCUCUCUAUCAUCAUUUUAUCUAAAGACUAUGCUUCUUCAAAUUCAUGCUUAAGUGAACUUUCUGACAUCAUGGACCGCAAGCGCAAUCCUACUGACAAAUAUAUUGUUCUUCCCAUCUUUUACCAUGUUAAUCCUUCCCAUGUGCAAAAAAUUGGUGGGACUUUUAAGACAUCCUUCCAAAAGCAUGAAUCAAAGCAGCCAGCUGAUAGAGUACAACGAUGGAAAUCUGCUUUUCAAGAGGUCGGUGCAUUAAAAGGGUGGCAUAUAGGAGGCAAAUCCGAUAGGUAACACAAUAUAUAUAUAUUCUCAUCUCCUUAUAUUUGACUUAUACGAAUAUCUUUCUUUUGACUGUUGAUUUUUUAACUAUUUUCUAGAUAUGAAACAGAGUACAUUAAAGAUGUGGUUGAAUAUAUUUCAAAAGAGUUGGAUAGCAAUUGUACAAGUGUUUCUGAAGAAUUGGUUGGAAUAGAUGAUCAAAAAAAGAUAAUUUUGGGGCUGAUUGAGGAAGAGCAUAGCCGUGUAAUAGGACUUUGGGGAAUGGGUGGUAUUGGCAAAACUACCCUUGCUGAUGUUGUGUAUAGUGAAAUCUGCCAAAAUUUUGAAAGUCAUUUGUUUCUGCGAAAUGUUAGUGAGAAAAUAAAAAAUGUAGGGAAUGAAUCUUUACGAAAUGAACUUUUUUCCAAAUUAUUAAACCAAAAAGGAAUUUGUAUUAACAGCCCUUCCAUAGGACACCCUUACCAAGACAGGUUGAACAAUAAAAAAGUACUUGUUGUCCUUGAUGAUGUUAGUAACCCAGACCAAAUAGAAUUUAUGGGUGUUAGACAUUUUGGUCCAGAAAGUAAAAUCAUUGUAACAUCUAGAGAUAAACAGGUACUUAAAAAUGGAAGAGCUAACCACAUACAUGAGGUGAAGAAGUUGAAUGAGAAUGAUUCUCUUCAACUUUUUUCUACAUUUGCAUUUAAGUUGUUGAAUCCCGCAGCUGAUUUUCAAGAUCUAUCAUGCAAGUUUGUAGGAUAUGCCCAAGGUAAUCCACUUUCUCUUAAAGUUUUGGGUUCAAAACUAUAUACAAAGUCUAGAAAAGAGUGGGAGAGCGAAGUGGAUAGUCUAAAGCAAUAUGCCGAGCCAAAAAUGUCACAUAUUUUGAAGAGUAGCUUAGAUGGGUUGCCUGAGCUCGAAAAGAAUAUAUUUCUUGACAUAGCAUGCUUCUUUAAAGGAGAAAAAAUGGAUACCGUAGAAAAAAUUCUAAGUAAUUAUUAUAUGGGUGCAAUGAGUGGAAUAAGAAACUUAGUCGACAAGUGCUUACUUGAUAGCAUUGAUUGUUAUUCUAUGCAUGACAUGCUUGAAGAAAUUGGCAAGGACAUUGUUCGCCAAGAAUGUAAAGAAGACCCGGGAAAGCGUAGCAGGUUAUGGUUUCCUGAAGACGUAGAUCAAGUGCUCAGAUAUAAUAAAGUAAGCGUUAAUUGUAUAUACAUCGUUUUCUAUUAUUUUCUAUAUUUGUUUUAUUUUAAUUAAAAUUUAUCUGUGAUAUCAUGUAAAUAAAUAAAUUCAGUGUUUUCAUAUGUUAAAAGUUUAAUUGUUUGUAUUUAUAUUGUAUCAAAUGUUAAUCAUUUUAAUUAUUAUUUCAAAAAAUAAAAUAUCAGUUUACUUACCAUACAAACAAAGACAAAUGUCUUAGAGUAUAACAUGGGAUCUACUCAAGGGUUUAUUCGGUUGGUAUUUAUUUAAUGCAUUGCUUUUAAAAAAAAAAAAGCAAAAUGUAUCUAUAUAUACUGAUACUCAAUAAAAUGUUUUUCAUUAUUAGGGGACCAUAUCAAUUGAAGGAAUAAAAUUAGACAUGUUUCAAAUGGAUGAGCUGCAGUUAUGUUCAUCUGUUUUUGAGAACAUGCUUAAUCUUAAAUAUAUUUGCUUCUAUGAUUCAAAGAUUGAGAAGGGCUAUCGAAAUUCGAAGUUUCUUGUAGACCAAGUUGAUAGUAUAUCUCUUCCUAAUAAGCUAAGGUAUCUUUGUUGGGAUUAUUUUCCUCUUAAAACUUUAUCAAGUUUUAAUCCAAAGCAUCUUGUCAUGUUGAUAUUACGAAGAGGCAAUAUGGAACAACUUUAGAAUGAAAAUGAGCAUAUGGUAUGUGCUUUCAUACUUUCUCCAUCUAAGAAUUUUUUUAAGGAAAACAUGAUUUAUAAUUUGAUGUAUCAAAUGAUCAUAUGAUGACAUCUUAUUUAAAGUUUUUAAAAAAUAAAAUAAAAGAUUUUAUUUUAUUUAAAUAAGUGACAUCAUUUGAUCUAUUAAUUAGUCGGGUAUAAGUUUUUAUUUUUCUUAGUAUUAUAAUUAUUUUAUUUCCUUUCCAUUUUUUAUUGCCUAAAGUUAGUAGAUGACAUUUAUUUAUUUUUCUGUACAGAACCUUGUUAAUUUAAGGGAAAUUAACGUCUCAAAUUGCAAAAAAUUAAGGAAGAUACCUAAUCUUUCAAGUGCCAUCAACCUUGAACUCCUUGAUUGCUCUUACUGUGGAAGUUUGGUUGAACUUCCUUGCCUCAAUCAUUUGGCAUCUCGUGAUGAGGAUAAGCUUCGCCUUGAGGGAUGUUAUAGUCUCAAGAAGUUUCCUCAGGUCCCAAGUCACUUUUGUUAUUUAGAUUUACGAGAAACUGAAAUAGAAGAAGUACCUGAUUCAAUUAAGUAUCUCCACAAACUUGAAAGAUUGUUGUUGAGCAAAUCAAAGGUAGAAAAAGUAUCGAUCAAUAUUUCAAAGUUGGAACUCCUUAUUGAAUUGAAUCUUAGUGAAUGCCCAAUGGUCGAAUUCCCGAAGAUCCCGAGAAGCUUAACAUGGUUAGACUUAUCUGGAACUGGAAUUGAAGAAGCUGCCUUGUCGUUAGACUCUUCAAGUAAUCUUCAAUACUUAAAUAUGAGCGGCUCAAAUAUUCAAAAGCUAAUUUGCACCCUGUUCAGUUCCAGAGAGUUUCCAACUGUCGAUUUGCCCACACCAAGCUUGAGGUCUAAAAUCCUUAACCAUAUGAGGAUAGAUCGUUGCGAGAGCCUCCAAUUACUCUCAGAGCUUCCACCAUAUAUGCAAACCUUGAAUGUACAAUACUGCACAUCAUUAGAAGAAGUUUCCUUUGCAGAUCAAACUUUAUAUCAGUUUGUUUCGUUAGGUGAUGAUUUGUUUGGCAUGCUAUUCUGUAAUUGCAUCAACUUGAAUCAAGAGUCAAUUGAUAACAUUGAGGAAAAUGCCAUGCUCAAAAUUGGAUCCCUAGCUAAGAAAUGGGCAGCGAGAUAUGAUUGGAAAUUCCAGCGAGAAGACUUUCCAAGAUUGAUUUGUUGUUUCCCAGGUAACAAAAUUUCAGCAGAUAAGUUCAAGUGUCAGAGAAUAAAUUCUUCCUUAAGUUUGAAGAUAGCCCCAAAUAGGGGUAGUGGGAGCAGAUUUUUGGUUUUUGCUAUCUGCCUUGUGGCUGAUCUCACUCACUGCCAUCGCUUUAAAUAUCUUACUUGUAUUUGUGAGUACCACCUUACAGCCGCCGGCGGUGGUUGUUGCGCGGAAGCGUGUGAAAGAGUAAAAUUAUUGUACUGAAAAAUCACACUAAGUUCAAUUCCCAGGAAAGAGAGGUAGAUCACGAAGAUCACUUAAAUACCAAGUCUUUCCUAGCCAGAAUAUCCCUCUAUCGUAAUUUAAUAGCACAAUAAAUCACUACAAUCACAUUCACAAAAUAUGCAAAACAAAUAAUAAAGAACACCAGAAUUUUAACGAGGUUCAGCAAAUUUUGCCUACGUCCUCGGGCACUACCAAAUAUAUUUCACUCCAAAAAUUACAAGUGAAAUUUACAAAUAGAGAGAGAGAAUAAUGCCUUAAGUAGAGAAUGGCAAUUAUGGGAUGAAGAAAGUAAGCAAUGGUUAGGCCUAUUUAUAGUUGAGGUUCAAGGAUCAACUUGCAAUGUCCCUAUACAAUUAGGGACCAAAAUUGCAAUUAUCCCAUGCCAACUUUUAACCCAACUUGCCAACCAAUAUUACUUUCUACUUUCGGUGCCCACCCCAUUUGACUUUUCAAACAAUGGUGGGUUCCAAUAAUCUCCACCUUGAAGAUUUGAUUACGAUAAUCUUAUCUUCACACAAUUCUUUCUGCUUUUGACAACAAUACUUGAUAGUGCCUUCUUCAACUGUUAAACUUGCAGGAUAUUAAUCAAGUUCAAACAAUGUUCGAACUUGGUUGCUGUUACCACCUUGGUCAUCAUAUCUGCGGGAUUAUCUGCAGUCUUGAUCUUCUGAAGACAAAUUUUCCCCUCUUCAAUAAUUUCCCGCACAAAAUGGAAUCGUACGUCGAUAUGUUUUGUACGUGCAUGAUAGACUUGAUUCUUUGCUAAAUGAAUAGCACUUUGACUAUCACAAUACACGUUAAUAUGCUCCUGAACCAACCCCAAGGUUUUAGCCAUACCUUGUAACCAAACAGCCUCCUUUACAGCCUCUGUUACAGCCAUGUACUCGGCUUCUGUGGUUGACAAUGCAACUGUAGACUGUAGUGUAGACUUCCAACUUAUUGGUCCUCUAGCAAGUGUAAACACAUAACCGGUGGUUGAUCUUCGCUUGUCCAAAUCACCGGCAUAGUCAGAAUCAACGUACCCAAUAACACCUUUACCAAGUGUAUUAUCCUGCUUGAACAGUAAUCCAACAUCCACGGUCUUCUGAAUAUACCGUAGAAUCCAUUUCACAGCUUUCCAAUGUCCUUUUCCAGGAUUAUGCAUAUACCUGCUCACUAUACUAACUGCCUGUGAAAUGUCGGGUCUUGUACACACCAUUGCAUACAUCAAGCUACCCACUGCAUUAGAAUACGGAACUUGCAACAUGUAUUCUCGUUUCGUAUUCGUCGAAGGAGAUAGUUGUGCAGAAAGCUUGAAAUGAGAAGCCAACGGGGUACUUACAGGUUUUGUCUGCUCGUUCAUGCCAAACUGCUGUAGUACCUUUUUCAAAUACUGCUUCUGAGACAAGCUAACUCUAUCAUGAGCUCUAUCUCUCCAUAUUUCCAUGCCGAGAAUCUUUUUAGCUUCUCCUAGAUCUUUCAUCUCAAACUCGAGAUUGAGUUGAGUCUUCAAUCUUUCAAUCUCAACUUUGCUCUUAGAUGCUAUUAGCAUAUCAUCAACAUAUAAGAGCAAGUAUAUGAAAGUUCCUUCUUGUAGCUUCUGAAAAUACACGCAAUGAUCAAAUUUACUUCUUGUGUACCUUUGCCCUUUCAUGAACUGAUCAAAUCGCUUGUACCACUGCCUCGGAGAUUGCUUCAAUCCAUAAAGCGACUUUGUCAUAUUGCAAACCCAAUUUUCUUUUCCAGCAACCUUGAAUCCAUCUGGCUGAGUCAUAUAGAUUUCCUCUUCCAAAUCACCGUGUAAAAACGCGGUCUUCACAUCAAGCUGAACUAGUUCAAGAUCAUAUUGCGCAACCAAGGCUAGCAAAAUUCGAAUAGACGAAUGCUUCACAACUGGAGAAAACACUUCAUUGUAGUCUAUUCCUUCUUUCUGAGCGUAACCCUUUGCUACUAAUCUAGCCUUGUAUCGAAUUUCAUUUUUAUCAUGAAAUCCUUCCUUCUUUGCAUAUACCCAUUUGCAUCCAAUUGCCUUCUUUCCCUUGGGUAGUGUUACCAACUCCCAGGUCUUAUUUUUAUGAAGAGACUGCAUUUCUUCAUUCAUUGCUUGCUUCCACUUUACACCAUCAGGGUUACUUAUUACUUCUGUGUAAGUAGAAGGAACAUCAUCAUCUGUAAUUGGAAGUGCAUAGGCCACUAUAUCAUCAAAGCGAGCAGGCUUACGAAUCUCUCUUCUUGGCCUUCUAUAUGCAAUUGAAUCUUAUUACUGUAGAGGUUCUUGGGUAGGAACCUCUUCAUCAUUUGUCCCUUCAAUAUUAGCUGGAUCAUCGUUAACCUUUUCAAGCUCCACCUACUGCAAAGUACUACUGGUUUUGUCAUCCUUUUGUGAAUCCUUGUACUUCAACAUGGUUGAUUCAUCAAAAGUCACAUCUCUACUGAAAACAAUCUUCCUUGUAUCAGGACACCAGGGACGAUAUCCUUUUACUCCAUCAGUUAUACCCAAGAAUAAUGCUUUCUUUGCUCUUGGGUCUAACUUAGAUUCUUUUACAUGAUAAUAUGCAGUGGAACCAAAUACAUGUAAAGAAUCAUAAUCAGUAGCAGAUUUACCAGUCCACAUCUCCAUAGGAGUUUUUCCAUUUAUUGCAGCUGAUGGCAAACGGUUAAUUAGAUGGCACGCAUAUGUAACUGCCUCAGCCCAAAAUUCUUUGCCCAAUCCAGCAUUGGACAACAUACAACGAACUUUCUUCAGUAUAGUUCGAUUCAUUCGUUCUGCCACCCCAUUUUGCUGUGGUGUAUCCCGAAUAGUGAAGUGUCGCACAAUGCCCUCAUCUUGGCAUACUUGUAGAAAUGGAUCAUUUUUGUACUCAGUACCAUUAUCUGAUCGAAGUCGUUUGACCUUUCGACCAGUCUGAGUCUCCACCAUCUUCUUCCAUUUCAGAAAUGCAUCCAAAACUUCACUUUUUCUUUUCAUUAGAUACACCCAUACUUUUCUUGAAUAAUCAUCAACAAAAGUAACAAAAUAGUGCAUACCUCCUAAAGAAGCUACUUUGGUAGGUCCCCACACAUCACUGUGAACGUAGUCCAGAAUUCCUUUCGUAUUGUGAAUUGCUGGACCAAAUUUUACCCUCUUCUGCUUGCCCAGAACACAAUGUUCACAGAAUUCCAUUUUGCAAGAAUUUGCACCUUUCAAUAAGCCUUGCUUCACCAAUGUCUGCAAAGCUUUUUCACCAGCAUGUCCCAAUCGCAUAUGCCAUAAUCUGGUAGCCUCUGAAUCUACAUCUUUUGUAGAAACUGUUGAUGUUGAUCCAAUAACUGUACUUCCAUUUAAAAAAUACAAGUUAUUUCUUCUUGUGCCUUUCAUCACCGUCAGUUGCCCAGCUACUACUUUUAGUAAUCCAUCUCUCAAAGUGAUUGUGAGCCCUUUAAAUUCUAGGGCACCUAAUGAGAUGAGAUUUUUCUUCAGGCUAGGUACGUAGUGAACAUCUGUCAAGACUUGGAUUGAGCCGUCGUGAUUCUUCAAUUGGACUGUACCCACUCCCAUUGUCUUACAAGCACUAUCAUUGCCCAUAAGAACAAUUCCACCUUCUAGCUCUUUAAGACUAGAAAACCAGUCCUUAUUAGGACACAUAUGGUAAGUACAUCCUGAAUCCAAAAUCCACUCAUCCGUUUGACAUGCCAUUGCCAUGCCAACCAAGCUAAAGUCUGACUCCUCAUAAUGCUCCGCUACACAUGCAUUAGAAAUAGCCUUGCCCUUUUGUAGCUUAGGACAAUUCUUUUUCCAAUGCCCUUUUUCACGGCAAAAGGCACAUUCAUCUUUGGCGGGUCUCCCUUUGGACUUUCCCCUUCUACCAGAUUUGCUGCUGUGUGAACGACCUCUUACUGUUAAGACUUCUGCGGUUGUAUCUCUGUGAUCUCCUUUAUCUUUCUUUCGAGUCUCAGAUCUAUACAACGCACUACAGACUGCAUCAAAUGUGAUCGUGUCCUUCCCAUGAAGCAAUGUGGUGGUAAGAUGAUCAUAUUCAUCAGGAAUGGAAUUCAACAACAACAAUGCCUUGUCUUCAUCUUCAAAUUUCUCAUCCAAAUUUAGCAAGUCUGCUAAAAUUUUAUUGAAUGAGUUCACAUGGUCAUUCAUCGACAUACCGGGUGCAUACGUGAAUCGAUAAAGUUUCUUUUUCAUAUAAAGCCUAUUUUCAAGACUUUUCGUUAGAAACUUUUCUUCCAGUGUAUCCCAUAACUUCUUCGCUGAUGUCUCCCUCUUGACAGAGUACUUCUGCUCUUUAGCCAAACAUAGGCGGAUUGUACCACACGCCUGUCUAUUGAUCUUGGCCCACUCCUUGUCAUCCAUCUUGUCAGGUUUUUCUUCAAGGGCUAUAUCUAGCUCUUGCUGACAUAAGACAUCCAGGAUCUCACAUUGCCACAUACCAAAAUUAUUGGUACCGUCAAAUUUCUCUACUUCAAAUUUUGUAUUUGUCACAGUAGUCCUUGCUGAUGACGAUGCUGCUGCCAUUUUUCUCCUCAAUCCCAACUACUGUAUACGUGAACAGUACCGUAUAUGUGAAUAGUACCGUAUAUGUAAAUAGUGCUGUAUACGUGAAUAGUACCGUAAACGGUCGUAUUCCCCAAGUACGAACCUGGCUCUGGUACCAAUUGUUGCGCGGAAGCGUGUGAAAGAGUAAAAUUAUUGUACUGAAAAAUCACACUAAGUUCAAUUCCCAGGAAAGAGAGGUAGAUCACGAAGAUCACUUAAAUACCAAGUCUUUCCUAGCCAGAAUAUCCCUCUAUCGUAAUUUAAUAGCACAAUAAAUCACUACAAUCACAUUCACAAAAUAUGCAAAACAAAUAAUAAAGAACACCAGAAUUUUAACGAGGUUCAGCAAAUUUUGCCUACGUCCUCGGGCACUACCAAAUAUAUUUCACUCCAAAAAUUACAAGUGAAAUUUACAAAUAGAGAGAGAGAAUAAUGCCUUAAGUAGAGAAUGGCAAUUAUGGGAUGAAGAAAGUAAGCAAUGGUUAGGCCUAUUUAUAGUUGAGGUUCAAGGAUCAACUUGCAAUGUCCCUAUACAAUUAGGGACCAAAAUUGCAAUUAUCCCAUGCCAACUUUUAACCCAACUUGCCAACCAAUAUUACUUUCUACUUUCGGUGCCCACCCUAUUUGACUUUUCAAACAAUGGUGGGUUCCAAUAGUGGUGAUUCUAAAAGCUACAUAAGUAAGAUAUCUUUCUUCGAUUGUUCUGAGCCAAAUAAGUACAAGGGUGAUCACGUAUUUAUUCUAUCUAGCAACAACAUGGUUGAAGAAGACAAGAAUUAUGAGGAGGCAUCAUUUAAAUUCUACAUCAUCAACAAUGAUGAUGAAGUUAAUCAAGAAGAAGACUAUAACAAGGUGGAAAGAUGUGGUGUUCAUGUAUUUUACGUGGAUGCUAUUGAAAAGAGAGUUGCUGGGAACAAAAGAAGCUUUAGCCAUGAUGGUGAAGAAGGGGAUGGAGGACUUAAAAGAUUGAAAUAGUUUGUAUUUCUUUCUAUCUUUGGCUCUGCUUUUGAGGAGUUUCAACUACUCAAUUAUGUCAUCCAAAUGUAUGGGUGGGGGUUUCAUUUUCAUCUCAUUUUUUUUAUAUUAUCAUACAUUUUCCAGGAUUUUAAUUUCAUUUUUCAUAUUGCCAUACUUUUGUUUUCCACAAUUGUUAAUAGUAAAUUUCAACUUAUAAAUUAGUGACAGAGUGCUUUAAUUGAUCAAAACCAACAGAAUGAAUCUAACUUGCUCUGCUUUAUAAAUUACUUGUCUUUUAGAAGGUGCUUUGCCAUACUGAAUCCUUGUAGUUCCACAUUAUCAAUGUUAAAAGCAUAGUUUAUGAACAUAAAAUUGGAAAUUUGUUCAAUAGUUUGUGGUAGUUUCUUAUUAUUAUUUUUCUCAUCUUCAUUCCCCUGUUGUUUGUAGAUAUAGCAUAUAUUUCCAAGAACGAAAUUCUCCAUAUAUAUUAAUUAAUUUGGAGGAAAAUUGAACGGAAACUAGAGAUUUCAACAAAGUAGCAAAAUGAUUCUGCUUUGGAGUUGAUAAAAUAUCCAUAGGGGAUUUGGGUGGGUACCAAAACUCAGAUAUUAAAAUUCAUACUUAAUUCGUUUUGACAGUUGACUUGUUAUUGGUUGUUUUUUUUUUAAUUCAUAGGACCAAUGGUGGACUCGAUUCCGCUUCAUUGUUUAGUUUCCAGCAUUGGUGUCAUCUGGUAUCUCAAUACUUCUGAAUUUUCUUUCAUUAGAAAGAUUGGUUAUUUGUGAGAUAGGUUUUUCUUAUAUCCUUUGCUUUUGUGUUGAUGUAAGACGAGGGAAUGACAGGUCUUUGAGAAUGCCACUGCUGAAUUGGAGCUUUAGCCAUACAAGGAGGAACACCUGAGCUGUAAGAGCUUUAAUUUGUUUUACUGAAUGCUUGCUUUAUACAAGUGUUUUAACUGAUAUUUGGUGACAAUGCAAGUUGUCAACAGGUUUGUCUACACAAAUGCAGAGUAAUCUUUUGACACCAUUUCUAGGUUCUGGCAAUUCAGUCUUGGUGGAGAAGUAAGUUACCUUUGACUUUGACUUAUUAUUAUGAUUUUAGGUUCAUAUGAUGAUUUUCAUUAUCCUUAAAUCUUUUUUUCCCAUAUUUAUCAAUGGGAUCAUAUAAAUCCAAACUUUGCAACAGAUCUCAAAACUUGUGAGAUGAACACAUGGAGCUGGAGGCAACCUUUGACAGUUUUCAUUCUCAAGCUAGAUUGAGUUAGUUUCAUGGUAGAGGCAUUGGAGUUGAUAUUUUCUUAUCUUGGAUUUUGAUUAUCAUAUCCGUUUGGGCUGAAAUUUCUUUGCAUGUUACUGCCUCUCAUGUUGUUUGAGCAUUGUAGUGAAGAGAUAUUAAGAUUCAUACUUGAAUUCUUUUUGGAAAUUGACUUGUUAUUGGUUGGUUUUGAUUCAUAGGAUCUGUGGUGGACAUCAUUCAGCUUAAAUUUUUGGGUAUUCGAAUUAUUUGUGUUAUUUGAAUUCGAAAACUCAACUUGAAUUAAACUCGAAAUUCAAAAAAAAAUUGAGUUGACUUGAUUAAACUGAUUAACUCAUUUAACUCGAUUCGAAUAAUUUAAAAUUUAAUUUUUUUCUUUGAUUUUUUCGAGUCGAAUCGAAUUUUGCUCACCCCUAAUUGCUAAGCAGUUUAGGUGAAUCAGUGUUUAAUUAGAAAAUUGAUUCGAUUCUAUGUUUAAAAUAAAUGUAGACAAGCAUAUUUGUUGGUAAAAGAUCUAUUCAAUCUCUCUCAAUGUUGAUAUUUAGUAAAUUGAUCUCUCUUAAAAAAAUUAGAACAAUUUAAUUUCCAUCAAUUUCGAAAGUGGGCAAUUAAGAUAAAUUAAUCACAACAUUAAUGAUGUCCAUCAAGUGUACAUAAUUUUGAUUAGUAUAAUAACAAAUUUAUCUCUCAAAUUUUACAAUUUUGUCUUGAUUUAACAAAUUUAGCCCACAACAUUUGUAUAAAUGUUGAUACUAAAUUUAUUGAUUUUUUUAGAACCAAUACCAAAUUGACAAAAAAAUGGAAACAUUGAAGGCUAAAUUUAUUGUUAUACAAAUCAAAAUUACGUACAAUUGAUAAAAGACGUUAACAUCGUGAUUAAUUGCCCUUAAUUACUCACUUUCAAAAUUAAUAACGAUUAAAUUACUUUAAUUUUUUUUAGAGUGACCAAUUUAUUCAAUUCUAAAAUUGAAAGAAACUGAAGAGGUCUUUUUACCCGAAACUCACCUUACUUGUGCUCAAAAUAAAGGACUAAAUUGGAAAAUCUAUCAUUAUUUUACCUAGGAAAAUAGAAACACAAAACCCUUCAUUCCAAAGACUUUUCAUUUACGGGAAAAGAGUGAAAAUUAUAAAGUUGUGGGAAAUUUAAGUUCAAAUCACUUAAAAUUGUCUAAAAAGUGAAUCUUAUUCUUAAAGAAAAUUAUAUGAAAUUUCAGUUCAAAUUGACCCAAAUCACAAAGUGUGUAGAAGUCAAUAUUUUUGUUAGGAAAUUUAUAAAAAAAUUCAUCAUAACCCCAAAGAAAUUCAAGAAUGGUGACAAAAUAUUUUUUCGUAUAGAAAUUUAUUUACUUAACAAUUUUUUCCCAUUGGAAAACCUUGACUUGGACAUUGACUUGGAAAUUAACACCCACCAACAUCAUUGGAACAAUUUUUCUUGUUGAUAAUAAUCUUUAAGACAAAAAUAGCAUCACAUACAUACGCAAGAGCUGAGUUACUUGACUACAAAUCAAAGUUUCAUAAAUUAAAAUAAAUUUUAAUUAUAAAAAGCCAUUUUGAUUAAAAAAUUUUCAAACUUCUAAAAAAAAAAGAGCAGAGCAAGCAGCAUAAUUAAUUUUAUUUGGUUCGAGUUUUUGAUGGUAGGCAGCAGUGUUAAAGGCUUUUGGAGAGAUAGAGUUUGAUUGGUGGUGUGGUUUCUAAGGUCCACACGCACAUUCUUCACUCAUACAAUUGGCUAUGCUUCACCCUUUCAAUCUCAUUCCCAUUUAAUUGACUCACUUUUUCUUCUUACCAUUAACAAGAUAGAAGCAAAAGCAAAGCUCCCUCGGUUUAUUUUGUUCUCUUUUUCCUCAAUCUCACAAUCCAUACACCUUCAUGGCGUCUUCUUCAUCUUCUUCUCGUCAAAUGAAGCAUCAAGUUUUCUUAAGCUUCAGAGGUGAAGACACGCGCCUUGACUUUACCGUUCAUCUACUCCAAGCUUUGAAAGACAAGGGACUGAAUGUCAUCUUCGAUGAAGAAAAACUAGAGAAAGGGGAGCAACUUUCACAAGCAAUUGCAGCCUCAGAUCUCUCAAUCCUCAUUUUAUCUAAAGACUAUCCUUCUUCAAAAUCAUGCUUAGCUGAACUUUCUGACAUCAUGGAUCGCAAGCGCAAGCCGACUGACAAACAUAUUGUUCUUCCCAUCUUUUACCAUGUUGAUCCUUCUGUUGGUGCAAGAGGCAGCAACAGGCUGUUUUGUAUCUUGCUUGAAUAGCAAGCCUCGAGCCUUGGUGAAGAAACAAACUCAGAAGCAGAAAAACAGAAAAUGAAACUAGCUAGUGAAAUAACAGAAAAGAGAGAAGAAGAUUGAAUGAAAAAUGAGCUGGUUUCUUUCAUUAACACAUCAACAAGGCAUUAAGCCAUUACAUAUAUUAGUCAACAAGUAAAACAAACAAGUAAUCACCUAAUAACAUACCUAACACCACUAAAUUGCCUAGUAACUUGGUAAACUUGAUUGAAAAACAAAAACUUCUACCUAAACUUGUCAUUCAGCACCUAAUUACAUCAAAAUGCAGCUACCAACUAAGUUUGAUCCUAACUAAAUACAAAACAUUCAAUUAAGGAAACUAAAUGGAUAGCUUCAGCUUGCUGCACCAAUUUUGCUGUUGAAGCACGUUCCUUGCAUGGCCACCUUUGCUGCUACAUGGGAGCUGACUUCAACACUCCUCCUCAGCUUCUAUGCAGCAGACUCCUAGCUCCCUCUUCAGGCUUAGAAAUCUUGAUACACCAAGAGGCUUUGUGAAGAUAUCAGCAAUCUGAUUUUUAGAACUGCAAUGGAUUAGCUCGAUCUCUCGAGCUUGUUCCAUUUCUCUUAUCACAUGGAGUUUGAUGUUGAAAUGUUUUGUCCUGCCAUGGAAGACAGGAUUUUUAGCAAUAGCAACUGCUGACUUGUUGUCACAAUGUAUCACAGUUGCUUCAUUCUACUGUAGAUUCAAGUCGCUCAAAAUUUUUCUCAGCCACAUAGCUUGAUUAACAGCAUUGGCAGCUGCUACAUACUCUGCUUCUGCUGUCGAUUGAGCCACCAUUGUUUGUUUUCUUGAGCUCCAACAAAUCAUAGCUGAGCCAAGUGUAAAAGCAUAGCCAGAAGUGCUCUUCAUGUCAUCCUUUGAACCGGCCCAAUCGCUAUCAGUGUAGCCAAUCAGUUUCAACUCUUCAGCCUUUCUGAACUGCAUUCCAUGGUUUAAGGUACCUUUGAUGUAUCUUAGCACCCUUUUCCCAGCCUUGUAAUGUUGCUGGUUACAGCAGUGCAUGAACCUUGAUAGCAUGCUCACAGCAAACAGAAUGUCAGGUCUUGUUGCUGUCAAAUACAAUAAACACCCAACAAGGCUUCUGUAAUCUGUUUCACAGACAGAUUCAUGUUCCUCCUGGCUCGAUAGCUUUAUGCCAAUAGCCAUUGGUGUGCUCACUGGUUUACAAUUCUCCAUUGAGAAUUUAACCAGCACUUUCAAGGUAAAUGUCUUUUGUUUCAAGAAAAUUUCUCCUUCUACUUGAUUGACUUCCAUUCCUAGGAAAUAUGUCAUCAAUCCCAGGUCUGACAUCUCAAACAUUUCCUUCAUUCUUGCUUUGAAAUCAGCCAUCAUAAACUUGUCUCCUCCAGUCACUAGAAGAUCAUCAACAUAUAGUGACACAAUAAGCUGUGUUUCAGCUCCAUUCCUCUUAACAUAGAGUGUUGGCUCACUAGCACUCCUUUCAAAUCCUAAACUGACCAAGUAUGAGUCAAUUCGAGCAUACCAGGCUCGAGGGGCCUGUUUUAGGCCAUACAAGGCCUUUCUUAGCCUAUACACCAAAUGUUCCUUACCAGGCACUAUAAAACCUGGGGGUUGCUCGAUGUAUAUCUCCUCUUCUAGGAAUCCAUUGAGGAAUGCAGACUUGACAUCCAUUUGGUGGAUUGUCCACUGGUUCUGAGCAGCAACUGCAAUCAGCAAUCUGAUUGUAUCGAGUCUGGCUACUGGAGCAAAUGUUUCCAUGUAGUCCAGACCAUACCUUUGACUGAAGCCCUUUACAACUAGCCUGGCCUUUAACUUGUUUAAACUUCCAUCCGCAUUGUGCUUCACUCGAUAGACCCAUUUUACAUUGAUAGUCUUUCUGUUGGCAGGCUUUUUAACCAACUCCCAUGUCUGAUUCUUUACAAUCAUGUUGAUUUCAUCAACCAUAGCUUGUUUCCAACCUUCAUCUGCCUCAGCCUCUUCAAAACUGCUAGGUUCUGCUAUUGCAACCUGUGCCCUUUCAUAAAUAUCUUUUAGGGGCCUUGUGCCUCUCACAGGCACAUCAUCAACAUCCAUUUCAGGUCAUAGCUGCUCAAGUUCAGCUUGAUUAGGCACUAGGUCUUCUGAAAUUGCUUCUGGCUCAUUUUUCUCCCAAUUCCAGCAGGCUUUUUCAUCAAAGAUGACAUCUCUGCUCACCUGGACUUUGUUUGUCAAGGGAUCCAGAACCCUGUAGCCCUUUUUGACUGAGCUGUAGCCUACUAGAACACCUGGUUGAGCCCUUUUAGAGAGCUUGUCUCUCUUUGCUGCUGGUAUUUGUGCAUAACACAAGCAACCAAACACCUUCAGAUGUGCCAGGGAAGGCUUGAAACUGAACCAAGCCUCGAAGGGUGUCUCAGAUGCAAGAGCUUUGGUAGGAAGCCUGUUCUGAAGGUAAACAGCAGUGUUUACUGCCUCAGCCCACAUGGUCUUGGGCAGUUUCUUUUCAAACAGGAGACAUCUGGCCAUAUCCAUCAGACUUCUAUUCUUUCUUUCAGCUACCCCAUUCUGCUGAGGUGUGUAGACAUUUGUAAGCUGAUGUUUGAUACCAGCAUCAUUGCAAAUGGCUUGAAACUGAGCUGAAGUGUACUCAGUGCCAUUGUCAGUCCUUAUCGAUUUCAGCUUGCAACCUGUUUCUGUUUCUACAGCAUUUUUAAACUUCACAAACACUUGAGCUACCUCAGACUUGUGUUUUAAAAAGAAAAUCCAGCAAAACCUUGUAAGAUCAUCAAUAAAGAGGAUGAAAUACCUAUUUUUGCUGAGUGAUUCAGUCCUCAUCGGGCCACAUACAUCAGAGUGCACCAGCUGCAGUCUUUCAGUAGCUCUCCAAGCUGAAUUUGUAGGAAAUGGCAGUCUUGCCUGUUUCCCCAUUUGGCAAACUUCACACACAUCAUCAUGCUCCACUGAGCUGGUGAAGUUCUCUGCCAAGCCCUCUUUGGCCAAUCGAGCCAUUGAUCUGAAGUUGGCAUGUCCAAGCCUUUGAUGCCAAAGCUUGGAGUCUUCAACAGAGGCUGUGUAUGCUGAGUUUGAGUCAUUUGCCCAGUGAACCUCAAAGCAUUUAUCAGUCAUUAUGACUGUCAUAAGGCUUGAUCCACUUGGAUCAGUAAUGUGGCAUUGUUUAUCCUUGAACACAACAGAAUAACCUUUCUCGAGCAGUUGAGCUAUGCUGAGAAGGUUUCUGUCAAUCUCUGGCACUAACAGCACAUUUGGAAUGAUCUUGUUGCCUGUGGGAGUACAUAUCAGCACUUCUCCUCUUCCUUCAGCCCUUAUAAACUGACCAUUUCCAACCUUGACCUUGGUUUUAUAACUUCUGUCCUAGGUUUUAAACAAGGAGGCAUCUGGUGACAUGUGGUUAGUGCAACCACUGUCCAGCAACCAGCCUUUUGAGCAUUUCUUCUCAGCAGCUAAACAGGAAACAGCAAAGACCUGUUCUUCUUGGUCACUACUGUCCUCAGCCACUCGAGCUUCAACUUUUGACUGCUGAAAUUGAUUCUGCCUUGGCUUACUUCUGUUUUUACAGACCCUUUCAACAUGGCCCUUCUUCUUACAGUGUUGGCAUACUGCAUCUGGCCUAAACCAGCAUCUGUCUUCUGGAUGGCCAGGCUUCUUGCAAUAUCUGCAGGGCUGGUCAUUGCUCCUUGCAGCAUCAGGCUUAGGCCUAUUUUUCCAAGGCUUUUUGCCUCUUUGAGCAUUGGUGCUCGAGGCUUCUCUGGCCUUGGCUUGAAAUGCACCUUCUUGGUGAUCUUCAGCUCUGCUAGCUCUCCUUUGUUCCUGAGCAUAGAAGGUGUUGAUUAACUCAGUCAAAGAGAUGCUAGCAAGGUCUCUUGAGUCCUCUAGGGAGGAUAUCUUGGCCUCAUAUCUCUCAGGCAAAGUGGAGAGGACUUUCUCCACAAUUCUUGCCUCAUCGAAGUGCUCACCUAGGAGCCUUAUACUGUUAACCACUGCCAUAAUUCUAUCUGAAUACUGCUUCACUAUUUCUUCUUCCUUCAUUUUCAAAUUCUCGAAAUCCCUUCUCAAGUUUAACAGCUGCUGUUGCCUUGUUCUCUCAGUGCCUUGAAACUCCUCAUUAAGCUUAUCCCAAGCCUGUUUUGGAGUCUCACAGGCCAUGAUUCUGGUGAAGAUGACAUCUGACACACAGUUCUGGAUGCAGGACAUGGCUUUGUGCCUUUUGGUCCUCUCAUCAGCAUGUUGCCUAAUCUGAGCUACUGUGGGAUUAGCCCUCAGUGGUGCUGGCUCAGUAUCUGUGUUGACAACUUCCCACAGAUCGAAGGCCUGUAGGUAAGUCUUCAUCUUGACCAGCCAUAUGUGAAAGCCUUCUCCAUUGAAGACUGGUGGGGCUGCUGGUGAAAAUCCUGAAGAAGCCAUCAGGUUCCUUGAUUUGAGGCAACAGGUCCACUAAGACAAGAGCUCUCGAUACCAAUUUUUGGUGCAAGAGGCAGCAACAGGCUGUUUUGUAUCUUGCUUGAAUAGCAAGCCUCGAGCCUUGGUGAAGAAACAAACUCGGAAGCAGAAAAACAGAAAAUGAAACUAGCUAGUGAAAUAACAGAAAAGAGAGAAGAAGAUUGAAUGAAAAAUGAGUUGGUUUCUUUCAUUAACACAUCAACAAGGCAUUAAGCCAUUACAUAUAUUAGUCAACAAGUAAAACAAACAAGUAAUCACCUAAUAACAUACCUAACACCACUAAAUUGCCUAGUAACUUGGUAAACUUGAUUGAAAAACAAAAACUUCUACCUAAACUUGUCAUUCAGCACCUAAUUACAUCAAAAUGCAGCUACCAACUAAGUUUGAUCCUAACUAAAUACAAAACAUUCAAUUAAGGAAACUAAAUGGAUAGCUUCAGCUUGCUGCACCAAUUUUGCUGUUGAAGCACGUUCCUUGCAUGGCCACCUUUGCUGCUACAUGGGAGCUGACUUCAACACCUUCUGAUGUGCGAAAUAUUGGUGGGACUUUUAAGACAUCCUUCGAAGAGCAUGAAUCAAAGAGACCAAUUGAAGACGUGAAGCGAUGGAAAGCCGCCUUCGCUGAAAUCGGAGCAUCAAAAGGGUGGCAUAUAGAAGGAGGCAAAUCCGAUGGGUAACAAUAUCUAUAUAUUCUCUUCUUAUAUUUGACUUAUAUAUAUCUAUAUAUAUCUUUCUUUUGACUGUUGAUUUUUUUUUCUAGAUUUGAAACUGAGUACAUUAAAGAUGUCAUCGAAUAUGUUUUAAAAAAGUUGAAGAGCAAUUGUAGAAGUGUCUCUGAAGAAUUGGUGGGAAUAGAUGAUCAAAAAAAGAAGCUUUUGGUGUUAAUUGAGCAAGCGGGCAUCCAUGUAAUAGGACUUUGGGGAAUGAGUGGUAUAGGCAAAACUACCCUUGCUGAUGCUGUAUAUAAGGAAGUCUCUCCAAAGUUUGAAAGUCGUUUGUUUCUUUAAAACAUUAGUGAGAAAAUAAAAAAACAGGGGAAUGAAUCUUUACGAAAUGAACUUCUUUCCAAACUAUUAAACAAUACCCCUUCCAUAGGACACCCUUACCAAGAGAGGCUGAAUAAUAAAAAAAUACUACUUGUCUUUGAUGAUGUUAGUGACCCAGACCAAAUAAAUUUCAUGGGUGUUAAAUAUUUUGGUCCUGGAAGUAAAAUCAUUGUAACAUCUAGAGAUAUACAAGUACUUAGGAAUGGAGGAGCGAACCACAUACAUGAGGUAAAGAAGUUAAAUAUGAACGACUCUUUUCAACUUUUUUCUACAUAUGCAUUUCAAUUGUUGAAUGUCCCAGUUGAUUUCAAAUAUCUAUCAUUCAAGUUUGUAGAAUAUGCCCAAGGUAAUCCACUUGCUCUUAAAGUUCUGGGUUUGAAAUUAUACACAAAGUCUAUAAAAGAGUGGAAGAGCGAGGUGACUAAACUAAAGCAAUGUGGAGAAAUAAAAUUUUCACAUAUUUUUAAGAGUAGCUUAGAUGGGCUGGAUAAGGAAGAGAAGGAUAUAUUUCUUGACGUAGCAUGCAUCUUUAAAGGGCAACACUUGAAUUAUGUAGAAAAAGUUCUAAGUAAUUAUUAUAAAGGUGCAAGAUGUGGAAUAAGUAAGUUGGUCGACAAGUGCCUACUUGAGGUCAAAUAUGAAUCUAUUUCUAUGCAUGAUAUGCUUGAAGAGAUGGGUAAAGACAUUGUUAUGCAAGAAUCUGAAUGCCCUGGAAAGCGCAGUAGAUUAUGGAAUUGUAAAGAUGUGGAAGAAGUGAUCAGAUAUGAUAAAGCAAGUGUUAAUUGUAUUUAUAUUCUUUUUAUUCUUUCAUAUAUGGUUUAAUAGAUGUUGUGGUGUACAAAACAUUAUCCUUUUUGAUUAUUAUUUCAAAAAAUAAAAUAUUUAUUACUUCCCAUAAACAUAAUGACCAAAUGUCUUAUGAUACAACAGUCAACAUGGAAUUUGCUAAAGGUUUAUUGAGUUAGUUAAAUAUAUAAUGCAUUACUUUUAAAAAAAUAAAACAGUAACAACAUUGCGCAUCUAAAAAUUCCUCUAAUAAAAAGGUAUGCCAAGUUAGUUUAAAGUCUUUCCUAAUAUAAUUAACUUUUUUAUGAAUGAUUUCAUGGAAUUUCUAUAAAUUUCUUUAUGUUAAUUCAUGAUAAAUAUUUUCUUAUUAUCAGGGGACUGACCUAAUUAAAGGAAUAAAGGUAGACAUGACUGAGGUUGAUAGUCUACAGUUUUGUGCUACUGCUUUUGAGAAGAUGCAUAAGCUUAGAUAUAUCAACAUCAGCUUUCCUGAGAAAAUGUUAUGGCUUAAGAAGCUAUAUGCAAAUCAAGUUGAUAGUAUAUUUCUUCCUGAUGAGCUAAGGUUUCUCCGUUGGGAUGUUUACCCUUUCAAAUCUUUAUCCGAUUUUAAUCCAAAGAAUCUUGUCGUGUUGAAAUUAUUACAUGGCAACAUGGAUCAACUUUGGAAUGAAGAUGAUGAUAUGGUAUAUACUUUCAUACUUUCUUCAUUUAAGAAGUUUUUUUAAGAAAAAAGAGAAUUUAAAAUUUGAUAUAUUAUUUAAAGUUUUUAAAAAAUAAAUCUGAAAUAUUUUAUUUUAUUUUAUUUGAAUAAGUGACAUCAUUUUAUUUAUUAAUUGUGGGUGAAUUUUCAAGCCCAAUACAUCAAGUUUUUAUUCUUAAAGCCCAAUCCAAAGAACCUUAUUAUGUUGGAAUUACCAACUGGAAACAUGGAACAACUUUAGAACAAAGGUCAUCAGGUAUAUGUAUUUUUAUAUUUUUUUCAUCCAAGAAUUUUUUUUAAGAAAAAUAAUUUAUAAUUAAUAUAAUAUUUAAUUAUAUGAUAACAUAUUUUUAUUAAUUUUUUUAUAAAAAAAUUAUUUUAUUUUUUAAAAGAGGCAACAUCAAUUAAUCAAUUAAUGGUAGGUGAAUUAAUACACCCAAUACAUCAAAUAUAAAUUUUUAUUUUGAUAGUCUUAAUACAAGUAAAUGAUGCUCUAAAGUAAUGAUAAUCUUCUUAAUUAUUUAUUUUCUUUUCAUUUUUUACUGCCUAAAGUAAGUAAGAUGAUUCUUAAAAGUGAUAUAAUUAUUUUUAUAUAUUUUUCUUUUGCACAGAACAUUACUAAUUUAAGGGAAAUUGACGUUUCAUAUUGUAAGAAUUUAAAGAAGAUCCAUAAUCUUUCAGGAGCCAUCAACCUUGAGCUCCUUCGUUGCAUUGGCUGUGAAAGUUUGGUUGAACUUUGGAAUGAAGAUGAUCAUAUAGUACGUGUGUUUUCUUACUUCUUUUCAUUUAAGAAAUUUUUAAAGUUUUUAAAACAUAAACAUGAAAGAUUCUAUUUAUUUUAUAUAAUUAGUGGCAUAAUUUGAUCUAUUAAUUGUGGGUUAACUUUUACACUCAAUAACAUCAAAUAUGAAUUUUUAUUUUUCUUAGUCUUAUAAUUAUUUAUUUCUUUUUUCAUUUUUUACUGUUUAAAGUAAGUAGUUGAUGCUUAAAAACAAUACAAAUAUUGUUUCUAUACAGGAGCUUAUUAAUUUAAGGGAAAUUUACGUUUCAGAAUGCAAUAAUAUAAGGAAGAUAUGUAAUCUUUCAAGAGCCAUCAACCUUGAAUUCCUUGAUUGCUCUUACUGUAAAAGUUUGGUUGAACUUUGGAACGAAGAUGAUCGUAUGGUAUGUGUUUUCAUACUUUUUUUUGGAAAAAAACGAUUUAUAGUUUGAUGUAUCAAAUAUUCAUAUGAUAACAUUUUAUUUAAAGGUUUUUAAAUGUAUAUAUAUAAAAGAAUUUAUUUUUUUAGAUGAGUGAUAUUUUCACACUCGAUACAUCAAAUAAAAUUUUUUUAUUUUUUUAUAGUAUUAUAAUUAUUUAUUUCAUUUUCAUAUUUUACCGCCUAAAGUAAGUAGUUGAUGCUUAAAAGUAAUACAAUUAUUUUUCUGUAUAGGACCUUGUUCAUUUAAGGAAAAUUUACUUUGAUGGGUGCGUGAAUUUAAGAAAGAUACCUAAUCUUUCAAGAACCAUCAACCUUGAAUUCCUUGGUUGCUCUAAUUGUAAAAGUUUGGUUGAACUUCCUUGCCUCAAUCAUUUGGCAUCUCUUCAUCAGUAUAGUCUUCGCCUUAACGGAUGUUAUAGUCUCAAGAAGUUUCCUCAAGUUCCACGUCCCUUUUGUUCUUUAGAUUUAUCAGAAACCAAAAUUGAAGAAGUGUCUGAUUCAAUUAGGGAUCUCCACAAACUUGAAACUUUGUGGUUAGGGAAGUCAAAGGUGAAAAAAGUAUCGAUCAAUAUUUUAAAGUUGGAAUUCCUUCGUAAAUUGGAUCUUAGCGGUUGCCCAAUUGAAGAAGUGUCGUUGCCUUUCGACCCCCUAUGUAAUCUUCAGCACUUAAAAAUGAGUGGCUCAGCGGUCAAAAAUGUAUCGAUCAAGUUGGAAUCCCUUCGUAAACUGAAUCUUAGUGGUUGCCCAAUGGUCAAAUUUCCAGAAAUCCCAGGAAGCUUAAUAAAAUUAAACUUAUCUGGCACUCAAAUUGAAAAAGUAUCGUUGCCUUUCGAAUCUCUAUGUAAUCUUCAGCUUUUAAAUAUGAGUGGCUCAGCAGUCAAAAAUGUAUCGAUCAAGUUGGAAUCCCUUCGUAAACUGAAUCUUAGUGGUUGCCCAAUGGUCGAAUUUCCAGAAAUCCCAGAAAGUUUAAUGGAAUUAAACUUAUCUGGCACUCAAAUUGAAGAAGUGUCGUUGCCUUUUGACUCUCUAUGUAAUCUUCAGCACUUAAAUAUGAGUGGCUCAGUGGUCAAAAAUGUAUCGAUCAAGUUGGAAUCUCUUCAUUAUCUGGAUCUUAGUGGUUGCCCAAAGGUCGAAUUACUCUCAGAGCUGCCACCAUAUCUGGAAGUCUUGAGUGUAAAUGACUGCACAUCAUUAGAAAAUGUAUCCUUUGCAGAUCAAAAUUUAAUUCAGUGUGAUUCUUUAGAUGAUGUGUUUUGCAAAAAUCAUAACUUUUUGAUGCGAUUCCGUAAUUGCUUCAACUUGAAUCAAGACUCAACUAAUAACAUUGAGGCAAAUGCCAUGCUCAAAAUUGGAUCCCUAGCUAAGAAAUGGGUAGCGAGAGAUGAUUGGCAAUACAACCCUGACAGAGCUCAAAGUUUGAUUUGUUGUUUCCCAGGAAACAAAAUUUCAGCAAAUAAGUUCAAGUGUCAGAGCAUGAAUUCUUCCUUAAGUUUGAAGAUAGCCCCAAAUGGGGGUAGUGGCAGCAGAUUUUUGGUUUUUGCUAUCUCCCUUGUGGCUGAUCUCACUCACAGCCUUGAAUUUCAAUUAAGUGAAUGUAUUUGUGAGUACCAACUUACAGCCGCCGGUGGUGGCAAUGGUUGAGGUGGUUGUGAAAUUUUCAGAAGUGAGAUAUCUUUCGGCAGUUUUUAUGAGCCAGUUAAGUACAUGGAUUAUCACGUGUUUAUAUUAUCUAGCAUUGACAUGGUUAUAGAAGACAAGAAUUAUGAGGAGGCAACAUUUGAAUUCUACAUCAAAAAUUUCCAUUUCGAUGAAGACAAUGAUGGAGGAGAAAAGUAUAUCAAGGUGGAGAGAUGUGGUGUUCAUGUAUUUUACGUGGAUGCAAAGAGUGAUAAAGAUGCUACUGAAAAGAGAGUUGCUGGGAACAAAAGAAGCUUUAGCCAUGAUGGUGAAGAAGGGGAUGGAGGACUUAAAAGAAUGAAAUAGUUUGUAUUUCUUUCCAUCUUUGGCUCUGCUUUUGAGGAGUUUCAACUUCUCAAUUAUGUCAUCCAAAUGCAUAGGUAGGGGUUUCAUUUUCAUCUCAUUUUUUUUAUAUUAUCAGACAUUUUUCCGUAUUUUCAUUUCAUUUUUCAUAUUGUCAUACUUUUGUUUUCCACAAUUGUUAAUAGUAAAUUUCAACUUAUAAAUUAGUGACAGAGUGCUUUAAUUAAUCAAAACCAACCAGAAUGAAUCUAACUUGCUCUGCUUUAUAAAUUACUUGUCUUUUAGAAGGUGCUUUGCCAUACUGAAUCCUUGUAGUUCCAUAUUGUAAAUAUUAAAAGCAUAAUUUAUGAACAUAAAAUUGGAAAUUUGUUCAAUAGUUUGUGAUAGUUGCUUAUUAUUAUUUUUCUCAUCUUCAUUCCCCUGUUGUUUGUAGAUAUAGCAUAUAUUUCCAAGAAGGAAAUUCUCCAUAUAUAUUAAUUAAUUUGGAGGAAAAUUGAACGGAAACUAGAGAUUUCAACACAGUAGCAAAAUGAUUCUGCUUUGGAGUUGAUAAAAUAUCCAUAUGGGAUUUGGGUGAGUACCAAAACUCAGAUAUUAAAAUUCAUACUUAAUUCUUAUUGACAGUUGACUUGUUACUGGUUGGUUUUUUUAAUUCAUAGGACCAGUGGUGGACUCGAUUCAGCUUCAUUGUUUAGUUUCCAUCAUUGGUGUCAUCUGGUAUCUCAAGACUUGCUGCAUUUUCCUUCAAUGACAUCUAGAUUCAUUAGAAAGAUUGGUUAUUUGUGCUACUGCUGAAUUGGAGCUUCCAUAUAAGGAGGAGCACCUGAACUGUAAGAGCUUCAAUUUGUUUUGCUGAAUGCUUGCUUUAAACAAGUGUUUUAACUGAUAUUUGGUGAAAAUGUAAGUUGUCAACGGAUUUGUGAACACAACAUCAAAGUAAUCUUUUGAGGCCCUUUCUGGGUUCUCGCAUAUUCAGUCUUGGUGAAGAAGUAAGUUACCAUUGACUUUGGCUUAAUUAUCAUGAUUUUAGGUUCAUAUAAUGAUUUUCAGCAUCCUCACCAAUUUUUUCCCAUAUUUAUCAAUGGGAUUAUAUAAAUCCAGAAUUUGCAAGAGAUCUCAAAACUUGUGGGAUGAACACGUGGAGCUAGAUGCAACCUUCGGCAGUUUUCAUUCUCAAGCUAGAUUGGGUUAGUUCCAUGGUAGAGCCAUUGGAGUUGAUAGCUUCUUACCUUGGAUUUUGAUUGUCGUAUAAGUUUGGGCUGAAAUUUCUUUGUAUGUUACUGCCUCUCAUGUUGUUUGAACAUUGCAGUGAAGAGAUAUUAAGAUUCAUACUUGAAUUCUUUUUGGGAAUUGACUUGUUAUUGGUUGGUUUUGAUUCAUAGGAUCUGUGGUGGACAUCAUUCAGCUUAAUUGUUUAUGUUCCACCAUUGGUGCUCAUGCCAUGGGCAGUAAGUAGAGAGUUAAUCAUAUUGUAUCUCAAUACUAUCUGCAUUUUACUUCAAUGAUCCGUUCACCCAUUCAUUUAUGCUUCAUAUUUCCUUAAAAUGUUAGUAAAUAUAUAUGUUUUCAGUUCAUGAUUUCUGAUUUAUAUUCAUGUUAGAUAAGGUAAACCUACCAACUAUUCCCUAUAUAUAAUCAACAAAUGCUUGAGAUUGGUUAAUCUUAUAACAUAUGGUUUUAUAUUGAUCUUGGAGUAGGUGUUUUCUAUUUGUUAUGUUUUAUUAUUUUGAAUUUUAUGACCGUGAUCCGUAGUUUCCAUAAAAUUUUAAUGAAAGUCAAGUCGGACAUAGUGCUACACAUAAUUCCUCACACUCAUUUUCAGUCGUGGAAUUCACAAUCUGCCAAAAACCAUAUACUCAUAAGAUUUCCCUAGCUUCCUUCCUAACCAAUUUUCAAACAUGUGCCUCGCACAAUUCCUAUGCUCCAAAUUUGGCGAUAUGUUAGAAAUUGCAAUCUCAAGGCCCUGAUUGUGUUCUAAUGAACUAGAUAGAUUGUUAGAAAAAUAUAGUUAAUUAUACUUAACAAAAUAAAAAGACAAGACCAAGCCCAAAUUAGUUAAUUCCCUAACCUUUCGUUGGCCCCUGAUAAUUGUGUACCCAUACCCAUCCUCCAAGCCCAAAUCAGUUGAUAGGAAACUAAGAAGCUAGGCUCAAAUCAGUGUACUCCACUUCAACCACAACUCAUGCAGUAGGAAACAUCUAGUUGUUUGCGUCCCUUUCAACAGCUGUGAGAAACUCAUUCUUAAAUGGCCAUUUUAGGAAGCAAUCAUCUAAUUCAAUAAGCGACCUACACGUCACUUUCCAGCCUCUCUUUAGUUCAUCAAAGCACAGAUAAAACCUUUUAAAAUGAGGAGGGGAAUCUAUUGUCACCCUUUGAACAACUAUUUUUAUUGUGUUGCCUGGCAUUUUAACCUUGACUCAUGAGUAUAGUCAUAUAAUUGACCAAAUUCCUCAUAAUUACUAGCCAUGUUCUCCUUCACCUCUUUCUUAGCUCUAUAACAACAGUAAAUGCCCACAUUUACAUGCAUCUCUGAAGCACAUUUUUGAAAUUUCCUUAGCUUCAUCUUAGGGUGAUCAUUGAUAGUUGUUUCAAAAUGUUGGGCAAUCAUAGUAGCAGUCACCAUUUUGUUCUUAAAACUAACCAAACAAUGGUACUCCUCCUGAAAAGUUUUUACUUGCAAGUAUUUGGCAAUAGGACUAUAGCUAGCCAAAAUUCUCUAUGGACAGUUAGGGGAAGCAAUGCACCUCACAACAACCCUUUUCGGUUCAUUCUUAAGAAACUUUCGUUGUCUUCUACAUUCUUUGGAGUAGUUUCGAAUUAUACUCUUAAACUAUUUGCUAUCUUUAAACAACAUUCCCAAACUAAAUUUUAAAGGAUUAGAUUGAUCAUUGUAUAAGAGAAACUUGCUUCUUCUUCUCUCACAAUCUUCAUGUUCUUCAUCUUCAUAUGACCCAAGCAAGCUGCCAUGUUCAUCUAAGUCCCAUACCUCAGCCUUAGUAUCAUUCCCAUCCUCCUCUUCUCCACUAAUUGCAACAACAACAUUGUCCACUCCAUCUAAUGUAAAAUCAGUAGCAUUUGCAUCACCAACAGAUGAUCCAUAACCAUUAUCAUUAUCCUUUACAACAGUAGACCCUAAACUAAUUUACCCACCACUUUCCCCACCACCAUACUCAUCUGCCUCAAUAUUAGUAGUAGUCACACCCUUCCCAUAAGCUUCUACCCCUUCAACAUCACCUUCCCCAACAACUUGUACUUUUUCUACAUCACCAUCCCCUUCAGCAUCAACUUUUACCCUGCAACUACACCCUCCCCAUUAGCUUGUACCUCUUCUACAACACCAUCCCUAUCAGCUUCCACUCUUUCAAUAUCACUCUCCCAAUCAGUUUCUACUCUUUCAGCAUCACUCUCCCCAGUAGUCAACAUUAACAUAUCAUCUUCUUAUAGGGUUAUCCACCUCAUGUUUAACAUAUAAGUGAAUUACUUAAACAUGACCUAAAAGUCUAAUAUAGCUAUUGUAGAAGUGUCAUCAUAAAUCACCUUGAGAUUAUUUUGUAACCUUACUGUACCAAACUCAUGAAAAUAUAUUAACAUGACAGUGUGAAACCCUAACACAAUUCUCAUUAUUUUAUAUAAUUUAAAAUAAGAUAUUGUGUCUGAUCCUCUUUAAGCCUAAUCAUUUCCCUACCUACAUACCUAACAUAUGGAUCCUUUACAAAGUGCUCACCCAUGUGCAAAAUAAGAUAAUAUUCCUCAUCCCACUAUAUCUGCAAAGCAUAAAAAAAUAAUUUACUAAGCAAAACCAGCAAAAAAAAAAAACAAAACUCAAUAACUACAUUGAGACCAUUUCUUUGAAUACAACAACAAACACUAAAUGUAACACCCCAAACCUGGCCUAAACGUUAUUUGGAAUGUUACGAAGUAGAGUAUAAAUUCAACUUUUUCUUUUUGAAAACAUCGUAUAUCUUUGUUACUAAAAGCGUCCACUUAAUUUAAAAAUGUUUUGUGACACUUAUUAGUUAAAAACCGUCAGUUGUUUACAUUUUCAAACAAAUCAAAUAAUUUGUAGCAAAAAAACUUAAGUCGUUAUAUUUUGAAAAACUGAGUUUGGUUUCUCGAAAAUGGUUGAUUGCAAGAAUACAGUUGUUUUCGUAAAUCAUUUUACCAUGUCAUGUGAGAAAUCCCAAAUUAAAAAUAUCAAAUCCAAAGUAAAAACCCAAAAGUUUAGAGAAUCCCAAAAUUAAAAAACUCAAAACAAAAUUCUUAAUAAGCAAAUUUAUUUAAAUAACAUUUUACGGAAUCGUGGGCUUAUGAGAGCUCUUGUCGCACUAACCUGCUUAAGUCUGAGGAUUACCUGAAAGUAACAGACAAAUAGAGAGUGAGUUUUAUAACUCAGUGUGUAACUUAACAAAAAUAAAAUCUCAGAUUUAAUUACAUGGCAGAAUAGAUACAGACUUAUUUUAUAAACAGAAUCAGAAUCAUGUCAGUAUAGUAUAGUUUCAGAUAUAUAUGAUCCUACCCCCAUCCUUUACACACUAGCUCCAGCCAUCUUACAACACUUUUUAAAGUAAUCGCAGUUGUGUUGCCGGUAUAAUGGUGAGAUAUCGCCCCACACAGAACACUUCUUCCACAUUAUACAUACCCCCGCCCCAUAACUAGAUACAGACAGUAAUAAUAGAUUCCAGAAUUAAUAUAUCAUGCAUGCUCGUAUAAUAGAUAUUCAACAUGCUUAUACGUAAUAGAAUAGAUCAUACGUACCGCAUUACAUUGCAUGCAUAUAGGCGUUAUUUAUGUCAAUUUCAAACUAACAGAUUCACGGACUUCAAGGCUUGUACCACACAUACCGACCCCACGAAAGGCCCACAGUCGAUCGGGACGACAUGUACGACCCUAGGGAAAAUUUUUAAAAUUUGGGUCCACACGCACGAAUGGCCCACGUAGCCUGGCACAUAGUUGUACGGCGUCGACAGGCCCCAAUUUUGACUUUCGUUGUUCGCUAUUUUUCAAGUUUCUCGUUACGUAUCUGGCUCGAUUUUGAUACCAAAACUUUCAUGUACGAGUCGCCCAGAACCUAAAAAUGACCAUAGUUCACAAAAUUAAUCACUUUAAUCACUACCAAAUCCGAUACCAAGUCGAUACAAUCAACCUAACAUCUUAAAUUAACCUCUUAUCUUCAAUCAAAAGCAGGAGCCCACCAAUAAAAUUAGGUUGCCGGAGGAAAACCCAAUGAUUCUCAAUCCUCCCCUAGCCAAAACAUACAUAGAAUCAAGUUCCUAACCCACACCUUUUUGCCACCAUCCACCAAAACACAAUAAACACAAGAAGAAAAAAAAACUUAAACUUUACCUUACACUAAGAAACCACCACUGAAGGAAUUAAUGAAACAAGAAUUAAAGUCCCACAAUCAAGUAUCGAAAAGAAAUUUUAGAAAUAGAAGGCCAUAGACAGUGGAAGAAGAAGGAAAAAAAGUCAGUAACCAAAAUGGAAUAAUGAAAUUUAAAAAAAAAAGAUGACAGACACUACUAACCAGAAUCCCAACAUGACUCUACCACUACUUCAUGGCCAGCCCAUGUGGAACAAAAUAAAUAUACUCCCACAGGUCUCAAACCCAAGACCUCACCCUCCUAAUCAAGGCUUACAAUCGUUGAGAUAUGCACUUAUUAAUUAAAAUCAACAAAUCAAUUACUUGAAUUCCUGGGCGUUACACUAAGUCAUUACUAAAAGUAAACAAUAAAACAUAGUAGGCAUCCACUCUUUUCGAUAUUCAAACAUAUUACUAUUCAAACAUCUUAUACCCUACUAUCGCAUCAGAAAUCGACAACACUAGCAAAAUUCAACCACCACUGCUGUUAAAAAACCCAUUUUCAUGGCAACUAAAACUGUAGCAGACAACAACCCUAGAUUAUCGAAUGGAGUCAACCUUUUGAUUUUGGAUAUCUAAACUAUACCAAAUUAAAAAAAAUGAUAACAUUUUCCUAAAAAAACCCACUAAAAAAUCACUUACCUUUUGAUUUGGGUUACGGAGUCUGCCCUAAUAAAAUUAAUCUAUGGCUCCCCCUCCUUGUUGUGAGAUUUCUUUUACAAUGAAAACUCUUUUGCUAUCGCAGGUUUUUUUAAGAUUGGCGAUUGUUGAAGUUUUUUUUAUCGUAACAAUUUUAGGGAUUCAAUGAUGAUUUGAGAAUGCUGAUAAUACUCUAAAAUGACGUGUUUUUAUAUAUUAAUCAUGUGUUUAUUUUGAGCUUGAGCCUACUAAUUUGAGCUAUUUAUGUCUUUUUAUCUUUUAGGGACUAAAUUGGAGGCGAAAAGUAAAUUCAAGGGAAAAAGCGUCAAUUUGGAGAUUAAAUGGGCCAAUAUGCAACGUGGGACAAAUAUGGUGCCAAAAGUGCGAACAUGGAAGGCACAAGGACUUAAAAGCAAAUAGAAGAGAUUUUAUUUUGGAAGACUCUAUUUUAUUUUAUUUUAUUAGGAUAAUUAAUAUUAAGAUAAUUAUUAGGAUUAUUCAAAUUUAGGAUUUUAUUUUAAUUAUCUUUGUUUAUCUUUAAUUAAAUGUAUUUAUCUUUUUAGAAUUUAAGUUCAAUUAGACGAUCUCCCUAGAACUAUAAAUAGGGGUGAAGUGACUCUAUUUGGGGCAUCUUUUCUGUAAACACUCUCUCCCCAAAAGUCUUUUGUUCUUUCUAUAUUUUUUUCCUUUCAAUAAAAUUUCUUUUUCCAUUUUUAUAUUUAUUUUCUUUUCCACCAUUAUCAUGAGCCACUAAAACCCUUCUAGCCAAAAGUUGUCAAUAUUUCCCCAAAAAGGGUUCUUGAGGCCUAGAAUCCGUACUUAGCCUUCUCACCAAGUAUUCAUCGUUUCUCCGCACUCCGGGCUGACGCUUCCGUCCAUGGCCCUUAAGAAGUAAGCUUUUCAGCAUAUGCAAAGGCGGCUGCUUUGUAUGUUUUGGAAGGAUUGCAUAGUCGGUUCGUUAACUUACUGCGUCAGAGGUUGGCGAGCCAAAGAGACAAAAUGGCGUGGGAUUCGCCAUUAAGAAGCGUUGAUCUAGCAUAGAUUACUGGCUAGAGUCAGGUUCCCUAAAAAUCGUAAGUCUAAUCUUUGGAAUUGGUGGUCGUAGGCGUCCUCUUCCGCUAUAACUGGCUUACUUGAGUCGAGAAGGAUCAUCCAAAAGCCAAGGAUUAAGCCCAAGGCGGAAUGAGACAACCGGAGGCUGGAACUUUCCCAUAAGAAUUUUUUCUUUUCUCUUAAAACUCUCUUUAUUAUUUUUAUUAUUUUCGUAAUCAUAAUUUCAGUAAAUUUUAAAUUCUGUUUUUGUUUUAUUUUUCGCUUCCAAAAUCAAUUCUUAAAUUCUUUUUUUUUUAUUUUUUCCAAGAACGCAAGUUUUCUUGGGUACGAUUCUGCCUAGGAUUUCGAGAAACAAGCAUUCAUAUAAUCUGGUCCCUAAGGAUUCGACCCUACUUCCCCUUUACUAUUUCUUUUUCAUUAUUUUAUAGGGAAUAGGAUAUUUUUGGUGCUCUCAACUACCGCAUCAAAUGCUAAAGUUUUUAGGGAUUUCACGAUUUGGGGUUUUUUUGGGGGGGGAUUUCAGAUUUUUUUGGAGUAGUUUCGGGUCACAAUUUGGGUUUUUUUCCAAGUCUUUUUUAUUAUAUUUAAUUAUUUUUUGCCAUAUCAUCCUUUAACCUAGCACGCCAUAUAGACAGCUAUGUUGACCGAUCCUUGACUAACGAGCAGCUAAUGUUUCCCAUUAAAAAUGAGUUGAUUUGUGGAAAAAUCAUUACAUUGAGGGCCCAAAUAAAAAAAAGGUCAAGGGCACAAAACCAAAAACCCCCAAACGUCGAGGGUAUUUUAUGCAAUUAUGUCUUUUUUAAAAGGGCCUAAUUUAUCGUUUCACGUAGGUCUCAAAAAUGUCAAGAACGGGCCUAAUCUCUUCAUAGGGAUAUAACGAUUCAAAUGGAUAGUCAUAUCUUUAGCAAUAACAUAAUUAUUCAAUAGAUAUCUAAAAUAAUUAUGACUAUUUGUUAAUAAUCAAAUGACAUAACUUUUGGUUACUUAUAACUUUUCAUUAGCAACUAUUGAAAAUUAUAUAUAUUGAAAAUAUUCCAACACUGGAAUGAAGACAUGAAGGUGGAUGUUAUUUUCAAUGCCAACCAGCUUAUCACAGUUUUCAAUUUAGUCAUAAUAACAAAUUUAACCCUCAGAUUUUACAUGUUUCAAUUUAGUCAUAAUUAAAAGUUUUAACCCUUAACAUUUACAUAUUAUCUCAAUUUAAUCCAAAAUCUUAAAAAAAUAAAAAAAAAUUUACUCAUCGUUUCUUAUUGCUCAUAAUUUUUCAUCAAUAAUUUAAUAGCAAAAUUAAAUUAUCAAAUAAGGGGAAAAGACUUUAACUUGGGGACAAAAGAACUUUUGAUUUUAUGGUCAUUCAAACACAAGAUACAAUUAAAAAAGAGAUUAAAUUGCCUCAAAAUUAUGUAAUUUGUGUAGUUAUUUACAAUUUAUGAGUCACACUGAAAUAAAUGUAAUUGUAACAUCCUAAAUACAUUUCUAAUACUGAGUUUAAAACAUUACACUCUCCAAUUCAUAUAAAGGAUUGAAAAUUAAAGGAAUUGCAUAGGUAACUAGUUAGGGUUAAAUUUUUUUUUAAGAUUAAUUUCACAAUGGGAAUAAAUAAAUAUUGAGAAUUAGAAUUUUUUAUAAUUAUAAAGCAGUGUAAUUACUCCUCAAUAAUUACCCUUUCUUACAAUUACUCUAUGAUAUCUAAAUACAUUAAACUCCCAAUUCUAAAAGCUUGGCUUGGCUACAUUCUUUUCAUUCUUGUAUCUUUCAAGAAAAAAAUUAGUGAAUGUUUAUUAAAAAAUUUUAAAAACAAUAAAAAUAUGGAUGAAUUACACAAAUAAUCAUUCAAUUACUAGUGUGUGUUUCUAUUUUAAUCACUCAAGUUAGAAAAAGAUUCUAUUUUAGUCACUAGCAUCAUCCACAUUUUAUAUUUUGAUUGCUCUUUCAUUAAAUCUAAUGACAAUAACAUUAGUGAUUAAAAUAGAAUUAUUUUUAAAUUUAGGUGACUAAAGCAGAAACACAUUAAUAGUUUAGUGAUUACUUCUAAAAAUAAUGAUGGAUGAAAUUAGUAGGGAUAUUAUAGGCAUAAGUGCAUUGUCAAGUUUACUUGGUAAAUUAUGCUUCACAUAUAUUUUCUAAAAAAAGAAUCCAAAUGUUAGGUACACAAUUCUUAAUUAUCAAAAUUCAGCAUCAUAGUGUAAACAUCAAAUGUAUUUAAUAUUUUUGAAAAUACUUGAUUCCAAGAAAAAGUUAAAAGAAAAUUCAAAGGUGAGGUACACACAACAUUUGUUUGAGAAAUGCUGAUUGGUGUGUAAAAUCAUAGUCAAGGUCUUCAAAUCAUGUAUUUGUUAAUGGUUUUUGUGGACCGGAAUGGUAUUAGUUGGGUUUGGUGAUUAUUGUCAAAUCAGAUGGGAUUAUUAUAAUACAAGAGAAUCGUCAAGUUUACUUGGUAAACCCCGCUUUAAAAAGUGACGAAGAAACACAAAUCUUAAUUAUCACAUAGAGAAUAACCAAAUAUAUGUCUUCGGUGGAAUAUUUUGGGGACAUUUAGGAAGGUUGGAUUACGUAGAGUUAUAAGAUAAUUAGAAAUAUCACAUAAACGAAGUAAGUCACUAUCAAUCCAAAAGAGAAAUGGAGUCAUAACAUCAAAAUUAUUGGGUACUUGUUGAAGCAUAUCUUGAUAAGAAAUGAGUGCUUGAUCAACAAACAAGUGCAUAAUAUUCCUAGCUCUUUCAAUGGUACCUGUACAAUAAUAAACAACUAGACCCGUAUUUUUAUUAAGUUGGUUUUCAACUUCCUACUUAUAGAGAACAUAUUUUUGUAUAGCUUCGUCUUUGCUCUUAAGACCAUAUUCCGUAAUCCAGCCAUGAAUUUUCAUGAAAUUUCUACAAAUAGUUGUAAAAUGCAUAAGAAAAACAAAGUUCAUAAUGCAACAAAGAAUGAAAAUUCUCCCCCUUGAUAUGUGACUCUCACAACUUUUUUCGAUGGAUAUGAGUACAAGUUUAUAUGCUUUUUUAAGUUUUUAUAACUUUUUUUUUCUUAUUUUUAGAGAAUUAUAUCUUCUUGCACAUAGUACCUAUGGUCUUUGUAUUUGAUAAAAGUUAUACAUUUUGGUAUUUCAAGAUAAUAAUAUUAAUUUUUUAGUGUUUAAUUUACGUUUUAGAGUUGUUUUGAUGAAAAUUUAUAAUUAGUUAAUAUUAUUAGCAAUUAAAUUUCAUCAAAUCAACCCAAAAAAUCUAAUUAAAUUACAUCCAUUGAACUGUAUUUUAAAAAUUAAACGUAAAAUUAAACAAAUUCAAAAUUAACAUUAAAUUUGUUCUAUGAACAAAUAAUGAAAAUUUUAGGCAUAAUAAUAUUAACAAUUAACUUUUAUCAAAUUAAUCCUAAAAUUUGAAUUAAACACUAAAAAAUUAUUACUAUUACCUUUAGAUAUCAAAUUAUUGCAUGCAAAAAAAAGUACAGAAUGUGGAGUUGUUGAUUAAUGUGAACCAAAAACACGUUCUCUUUAAUUGUUUUAAUUGGUCCUCAAUUGUGAAAGAGGAUGGCUGGCUUUAUUUAUUUAAUUACUACACCCAUUGGAGUUUCACAUGAAUGGGAUCCUUAUGCACUUAGUUUUAUUUGGUGCAGUUAUGAUGGGUUCACAUGGCAACUGGUUUGCAAAGAGACGAAGAUGAAGUCAGACUCAAUAACAAGACGAAGAUGGGUGUUCCAAUUAAUCAGUGUUAACAAAAAUGUCAAGGGCUGUCUUGAUGGCAAGAACUUCAGCAAUAUUUGAAUCCGAGCAUCUCCUUUUUGAGAAUUAUCUAUUUAAUUUUUUUUCUAAAUAUGUUUUGAUUAAAAGAGAUGGAAUUAUUUUUAGUUUUACCAAAAAUAAGGAAUCCAAUGUACAAUACAUUGAAGAAAAGACAAAGAAAGCCAACUAGGUUUUCAGAAUUUUCUUCACAAUAAAGAGAUUAAAUUAUAUAAAUUUAAAAUAUAGGGAAUAAAUUUUAAAUUUAAUAUUAGUUAAUAUAAAUCAAUAAUAGAUUAAUUAUUUCGAUUAAAAAUAUUAACAUGAUUUUUUUUUGUUUUUAAAAAUACACUUUUAACUCAUUAUGUCAACAUGAAUCAUAAAACCGUGUUGACUAAAAGAAAUUUGGCUAAGAAAAACGCCUUCAAUCUCUUUCCCGUUAAUAAAAGCAUACCAAAGAUGAUGCAUAUUUUACGCCACAACCCAAGCAAAACUCACUUGCUAUAUUUCUCUUUCUUUUGCUUCAAGCACACUAUCAAUACUCUUUCAUGGCUUCUUCUUCUUCAUCAUCUUCUACUCUAAUGAAGUAUCAUGUUUUCUUGAGCUUCAGAGGUGAAGACACGCGCCUUAAUUUCACCACUCACUUACUUCAAGCUUUGAAAGACAAGGGACUUGAUGUUUUCUUCGAUGAAGAAAAACUGGAAAGGGGGGACCAGCUUUCACAAGCACUUUCUCGAGCAAUUGCAGUCUCAAAUAUCUCAAUCAUCGUUUUGUCUGCAGACUAUGCCUCUUCGAAAUCAUGCUUGGCUGAACUCUCUAACAUCAUGGACCGCUAUCGCACCAAAAAACAAAUUGUUCUUCCCAUCUUUUACCAUGUUAACCCCUCUGAUGUCGAGAAUCUUGGUGGGAGUUUUAAGACAUCCUUUGAUCAGCAUGAAGCAACGAGGUCAGUUGAUGAAUUAGUGAAACGAUGGAAAACUGCUUUUGCUGAAGUUGGUAAAUUAAAAGGGUGGCAUAUAGAUGGAAGCAUCUCGGAUAGGUAACUAUAUUUGUCUCAUCUCCUUAUAUUUGACUUAUCUUUGUUUAGAACUUCAUAGAUAUACUUCUUCUAUUAUUUGCUAGACCUGAAACCCAGUACAUCAAGGAUAUUGUUGUGUACGUUAUGCAAAAUUUGAUGAAGCAUCAAGUUUUCUUAAGCUUAGGUGAAGACACACGCCUCAACUUCUCCAAUCACCUAGUCAAUUAUUUGGAAAACGUAGGAAUUAAUGUCUUCCCUCAUAACGAAACACUAGGAAAAGGAGAGAAACUUCCACCAAUAUAUUCUCGAGCAAUUUCGGCCUCAAAUCUCUCAAUCCUCAUUUUAUCUAAAGACUAUGCUUCUUCGAUAUCGUGCUUGGUUGAACUUUCUAGCAUCAUGGAUCGCAAGCGCGAGUCCACUGACAAACAUAUUGUUCUUCCCAUCUUUUACCAUGUUGAUCCUUCCGAUGUGCGACAUAUUGGUGGGAGUUUUAAGACAUCCUUUAAAAAGCAUGAAUUAGAGCAACCAGCUGAUAGAGUAAUACAAUGGAGAACUGCUUUUGCAGAGGUCGGUAAAUUAAAAGGGUGGCAUAUAGAAGGAGGCAAAUUUGACAGGUAACUAAUUUUUUCUCAUCUUCUUGUAUUCGACUUAUAUUUGUUUUAGAUUUCAUAUUUACUGGUUUAUAUUUUGUUUUUCUAGACCUGAAAUCCAGUACAUUGAAAAUGUUGUUGAAUAUGUUAUAAAAAAGUUGACGAAUAUUAAGUCUGGAAGUGCUUCCGAAGAAUUGGUUGGAAUAGAUGAUCAGAAAACGAUAAUUCUGGGUCUGAUUGAGCAAGAAGAUUGUCGGGUAUUAGGACUUUGGGGAAUGGGUGGUCAAGGCAAAACAACCCUUGCUGAGGUUGUAUAUAAAGAAAUCUCUUCAAAGUUUGAAAGUCAUUGGUUUCUUCAAAAUGUUAGAGAGAGAAUAAAACAAGGGAAGAAACCUUUACGAAAUGAACUUUUUUCGAAAUUAUUAAACUCAGAUGUUGAUAUAGGCACCCCCUCCAUAGGAUCCACUUUAACUCAAGACAGGCUCAACAAUAUGAAAGUAAUUGUUGUCCUUGAUGAUGUUGAUGACUUAGACCAAAUAGAUUUUAUGGGUGUUAAACAUUUUGGUUAUGGAAGUAAAAUCAUUCUGACAUCUAGAGAUAAACAAGUGCUUCAGAGUGGAGAAGCUGGUACAAUACAUGAGGUGAAGCCAUUAAAUGACAACGACUCUCUUCAACUUUUUUCUACCUUUGCGUUUAGGCAGUUGAGUCCCGCGGUUGGUUUUCGAGAAUUAUCCUAUAGGUUUGUAAAGUACACCCAAGGCAAUCCACUUGCUCUUAAAGUUUUGGGUUCUGGUUUAUAUAAGAAGCCUUCAAAAUAUUGGGAAAGUAAGGCGGAGAAGCUAAAGGAUUUUCCCCCAGAAGAACGAAUUUCAGAGACUUUGAAAAUUAGUUAUUAUGGGCUAAGUAGAGAAGAGCAGAAUAUAUUUCUUGACAUUGCAUGCUUCUUUAAAGGGGAACCCAUAGAAAGAAUAAAAUAUAUUCUAAAUGGUUGUUAUAAGAAUGUAGAGAGUGAAAUAAUCAAUUUGGUCGACAAGUGCAUGAUUAAUGUCUCUUCUGGUCGGGUUCUAUUGCGCCAUUCCAAUUGUUUUGGGGAUGGAGUUUACAUUUCUAUGCAUGAUAUGCUUGAAGAGAUGGGAAAGAAUAUUGUUUGUGAAGAAUCUAAACCCCCUAGAAAGUGGAGUAGAUUGUGGUAUCAUGAACACGUGGAACAAGUAUUCAAAUCUAAUAAAGUAAGCUCUAAUUGUAUUUAUAUAUAUUUUUUAAUAUGCUUUAUGAGAUACUGUUACUAUAUAAAAUUAUACCUUAGAUAUUGUAUAAAGUAUUAUCCCUUUUAAUUAGUAUUUAAAAAAAAUAUUUAUUAUCUAAGAUAUAUAAUGAUCAUGUCUUAGGUAUAAUAUAGAAACUGUUCAAGGUUUAUGACUUAGUUAAAUACUUAAUGGGUUGAUUUGAAAAAAAAAAGAUAAAAUAAAAGAAAACACCUUUUUGUAUCUAAAAAUACUCAAUUAGUUUCCGCUUGUGCUGAUAUAAUUACUUUUUCUUUUAUUCAUGCUAAUAUUUGAUAAAUUGAUUUUUAUUAUCAGGGGACAGAUCGAAUUCAAGGAAUAAAGUUAGACAUAUCACGUAUGGAUAAUCUAUUUUUCAGCCCUUCUAUUUUUGAAAGCAUGAUUAAUCUUAGGUACAUCAUGUUUUAUUUUUCUUCGAGUUCGUGGGAGAAAUGUGUGGAAAAAAUGAAACUACUUACAGACCAAAUUGCUAGUGUAUCUCUUCCGGAUAAACUAGAGUAUUUUCGAUGGGAUUAUUACCCUUUUGAAUCUUUACCAUCAAGUUUUAAUCCAAAGUGCCUUAUUGUGUUAGAAUUACCACAUGGAAACAUAAAAGAAUUUUGGACUGAAGGUCAUCAGGUAUAUAUACUUUUCAUCCAAGAACUUUUUUUGAGAAAAAAGCAUUUAUAAGUGAUAUAGCAUUUAAUCAUAUGAUAACAUAUUUUUAUUAAUUUUUUUAAAAGAAGAAAUAUCAUUUGAAUUAAUACAUCCAAUACAUCAAAUAUAAAUUUUUAUUUUGAUAAAUUCUAAGUAAAUGAUGCUUUAAAGUAUUGAAACUACUUUAUGUUGUCAUCCUGUGCAGGAUCUUGUUCAUUUACGAGAAAUUGACCUUUUUUAUUGCAAAAAUUUGAAGAAGAUCCCUAAUUUAUUAGGAGCCGUCAACCUUGAAACACUUCACUGUGGAAAAUGCAAAAGUUUGGUUGAACUUCCUUGCUGCUACCAUUUGACAUCACUUAAGACCCUUCACCUUGAGGGAUGUUGUAGUCUCAAGAAGUUUCCCCAGAUCCCAAAUAACUUUUCUGUUUUAGAUUUAUCAGAAACCGGAAUAGAAGAAGUACCUGAUUUAAUUGAGCACCUCGACAAACUUGAAAGGCUGGAGUUAUCAGACUCAAGGGUAAAAGAUGUAUCAAGCAAUAUUUUAAAGUUAAAAUCCCUUUAUUACGUAAAUCUUUGUCGUUGUCCAAUCGUCAAAUUUCCAACUGUUGAUGUGCCCUCACCAAGCAUGUGGUCUACAGCCAUUAGGAUUAUGUACAUGAAUGGUUGCGAGAGCCUCAAAUUACUCUCAGAGGUUCCACCAUAUCUGCAAGACUUGAGAGUACAUAACUGCAAAUCAUUAGAAAAAGUAUCCUUCGCAGAUCAAAAUUUAUGUCAGUUUGAUUCUCUAGAUGAUGAUUAUGAUGAUGAUCAUGUUCACACUGUGUUUACCAUGCUAUUCUGUAAUUGCAUCAACUUAAAUCAAGAGUCAAUUGAUAACAUUGAGGAAAAUGCCAUGCUCAAAAUUGGAUCCCUAGCUAAGAAAUGGGCAACGCGAUAUGAUGUUUGGGAAUUCAAAUAUUGUUACAACAUUCCAAGUUUGAUUUGUUGUUUCCCAGGAAACAAAAUUUCAACAAAUAAGUUCAAGUGUCAGAGCAUGAAUUCUUCCUUAAGUUUGAAGAUAGCCCCAAAUGGGGGUAGUGGCAGCAGAUUUUUGGUUUUUGCUAUCUGCUUUGUGGCUAAUCUCACUCACCGCCAUGACUUUCCAGAACUUCGAUAUAUUUGUGAGUACCAACUUACAGCCGCCGGUGGUGGCAAUGGUGGUGGUUAUGAAAAGUUCAGAACUGAGAUAUGUCUCCGUAGUAUUCCUGCUCCGAAGAUGUGCAUGGGUGAUCACGUGUUUAUUCUAUCUGGCGUGGACAUGGUUAAAGAAGACAAGAAUUAUGAGGAGGCAUCAUUUGAAUUCUACAUCAAAUAUAACGUUUACCCUGAAGAAGAAGAAGAAGAUGAAGAAGAAGAAGAAGAAGAAGAUAAAGAAGAAGAAGAUGAAGAAGAAGAAGAUUAUGAAGUAGAAGACGAUUUCAAGGUAAAGUCUAUCAAGGUGGAGAGAUGUGGUGUUCAUGUAUUUUACGUGGAUGCAGAGAGUUAUACAGAUGAUACAGAUGCUACAGAUGAUACAGAUGCUACUGAAAAGAGACAUGCUGGGAACAAAAGAAGCUUUAGCCAUGAUGGUAAAGAAAGGGAUGGAGUACUUAAAAGAUUGAAAUAGUUUGUAUCUCUUUCCAUCUUUGGCUCUGCUUUUGAGGAGUUUCAACCUCUCAAUUAUGUCAUCUAAAUGCAUAGGUAGGGGUUUCAUUUUUUCUUAUUAUCAUACAUUUUUCAGUUUUUUCAUUUCAUUUUUCAUAUUGCCAUACUUUUGUUUUCCACAGUUUUUAGUGUUAAAUUUUUAACUUAUAAAUUAAUGACAGAAAAUGAAGUGCUUUAAUUAAUUAAAACCAAUCAGAAUGAAUCUGACUUGCUCUGCUUUACAAAUUACUUUCUUUUAGAAGGUGCUUUGCCAUACUGAAACCUUGUAGUUCCACAUUGUAAAUGUUAAAAGCAUAAUUUAUGAACAUAAAAUUGGAAAUUUGUUUAAUAGUUUGUGGUAGUUGCUUCUUUUUUUCUCAUCUCCAUUCCCCUGUUGUGUCUGUGUUCUUUUGUAGAUAUAGCAUAUAUUGUCCAAGAAGGGAAUUCUCCAUAUAUAUUAAUUAAUUUGGAGGAAAAUUGAACGGCAGUUGGAGAUUUCAAUACAGUAGCAAAAUGAUUCUGCUUUGGAGUUGAUACAAUAUCCAUAGGGGAUUUUGGUGAGUACCAAAAUUCAGAUAUUAAAAUUCAUACUUAAUUCUUAUUGACAGUUGACUUGUUAUUGGUUGGUUUUUUUAAAUUAUAGGACUAAUGGUGGACUCGAUUCAGCUUCAUUGUUUAGUUUCCAGCAUUGGUGUCAUCUGGUAUCUCAAUACUUGCUGCAUUUUCGUUCAAUCAUAGCUUCAUUCAUUAGAAAGAUUGGUUAUUUGCGAGAUUGGUUUUUCUUAUAUCCUUUUCUUUUGUGUUGAUGUAAGACUAGGGAAUGACAGAUCAUUGAGAACACCUGAGCUAUAAGACCUUCAUUUUUUUUUACUGAAUUCAAAGUAAUCUUUUGAGGCCCUUUCUAGUUCUGGCAAUUCAGUCUUGGUGGAGAAGUAAGUUAACUUUGACUUAGACUUAUUAUUAUGAUUUUAGGUUCAUAUAAUGAUUUUCAGCAUCCUCACCUUCUUUUCCCCAUAUUUAUCAAUGGGAUUAUAUAAAUCCAGAAUUUGCUAGAGAUCUCAAAGCUUGUGGGCUGAACACGUGGAGGUGGAGGCAACUUUUGACAGUUUUCAUUCUCAAGCUAGAUUGGGUUAGUUUCAUGGUAGAGCCAUUGGAGUCGAUAUUUUCUUAUCUUGGAUUUUGAUUAUCAUAUCAGUUUGGGCUGAAAUUUCUUUGUAUGUUACUGCCUCUCAUGUUGUUUGAGCAUUGCAGUGAAGAGAUAUUAAGAUUCAUACUUGAAUUCUUUUUGGCAAUUAACUUGUUAUUGGUUGGUUUUGAUUCAUAGGAUCGGUGGUGGAUAUCAUUCAGCUUAAUUGUUUAGGUUCCACAAUUGGUGCUCAUGCCAUGGGCAGUAAGUAGAGAUUUAAUCAUAUUGUAUCUCAAUACUAUCUGCAUUUUACUUCAAUGAUUCAUUCACCCAUUGAUUUAUGUUUCAUAUUUCCUCAAAACGUUAGUAUAUAUAUAUAUGUUUCCAGUUCAUGAUUUCUGAUUUAUAUUCAUGUUAGCUAAGGUAAACCUACCAACUAUUCCCUAUAUAUAAUCUAUUUGCUAUGUUUUAUUAUUUUGAAUUUUAUGACUAUGAUCUGUUGAUUCCAUAAAACUUGGAUGAAAGUCAAGCCGGACACAAAUUCAAUACUCUACUGGAAUUGAAGUUGCAGAUUAUGGGUGGUUUUGAUAUCUUCUUUCUCACCAACAAAUGAAGUUCCCACAAAAUUACUGGUGUUAAGGUGAAGGUUGUGAAUCAAUGCAAAAUCCACAUUUAUAGAUGUGCCCUUUUACCUAGAGAUUAAGCUUUUACUUUUUGAAUUUGGUAAUGUGAGGGGAAUAAAGAUGGCAAUGGUUGAUGAAAGGAAAGCAGAUGAGGGAAUAAAUGACAGAUGUUUGUAACAAGUAAGCUUUUAUGAUGUUCAAUUUCUUCUACUGAAUGAUUUCUUUAUAUUGUUGUUGAACUGAGAUAUUGAAGCAGUACUGAAACUUGUCAACAGAGUUGCCUUGUUCAUCCCAUCCAGCUUUGCUUCAACGCUUUCUGGAUUUUGGCCAUUGAGAGGAAGCAUAUGAUCUUGGGUAAAUUACUUUUGACUCAUUCUGAUUAUUAGUAUCCUAAUGGCAUUCUUUUCCCCUGAUUUACCAAUGGAUUAUAUAAAUGCAUGCAGAAUUAGGCAAGUUGCUCUUAUGUCAAAAUAAGUUGAAUGAACACAUGGAACCUGGAUGUUAUUUUCAAUGCCAACCCUGUCACAGUUUUCAUUCUCAAGCUAGAUUGAUGAUCUUUUAUGUUUACCCCAUAGAGGAACCCAACAUAAACACUUGGAAGAAAAAACUCCAAAUGAUUUUGGUUUAGUUGAAACUUCAAAUUGCAGAGCUGGUUUCAUGGUAAAGCCAUUUGACUUGAUUGUUAUAUCAGUUUGGGCUAAAACUUGAAUCAAUUUUCCCCUUUUGUAAUUAAAAUUCCAGAAUUUUAUUCUGUUUUGGAAUUGAAAGGAUGUAACAUUGGAAUUGGUUUGUACAUUCGUUUUUAUGAGAUGGUGUCCAACAAGUUCAAGAUUUGUAGCUUAGUAAUUAAAAUAACUUUCUGUAACACUAAACUAUGAUCUACUAUAAGAAAAACACAAAUUUUUAUACUUCUCUGAUUAUUUUAUAAUGCCAUGUGACUUAAAUUUUUAGUAAUUAAAAAGAUUCUGCUUUGGAGUUCAUAAAAUAUCCAUGCGAAGCCGUGGUGGGUACCAUAGUUCAGAUAUGGAGCUUCGUACUUAAAUUCUUUUAGGCAGUUGACUUGUUAUUGGCUGGUUUUAAUUCAUAGGAUCAGUGGUGGACUUCAUUCAGCUUCAUUGUUUAGUUUCCAGCAUUGGUUCUUAAUACUUACUGCAUUUGCUUGCUUAUGUCCUUGGUAUUUGUUGUGCUUUUUAUUUGCAAGUUUAAUGCAACGUAACAUAUGUUAACCAAAACAGAGUGUCAAUAGAGAAUUUGUUGCGCGGAAGCGUGUGAAAGAGAAAAAAUAUUAUACUGAAAAAUCACACUAAGUUCAAUUCCCAGAAAAGAGAGGUAGAUCACGAAGAUCACUUAAAUACCAAGUCUUUCCUAGCCAGAAUAUCCCUCUAUCGUAAUUUAAUAGCACAAUAAAUCACUACAAUCACAUUCACAAAAUAUGCAAAACAAAUAAUAAAGAACACCAGAAUUUUAACGAGGUUCAGCAAAUUUUGCCUACGUCCUCGGGCACUACUAAAUAUAUUUCACUCCAAAAAUUACAAGUGAAAUUUACAAAUAGAGAGAGAGAAUAAUGCCUUAAGUAAAGAAUGGCAAUUAUGGGAUGAAGAAAGUAAGAAAUGGUUAAGCCUAUUUAUAGUUGAGGUUCAAGGAUCAACUUGCAAUGUCCCUAUACAAUUAGGGACCAAAAUUGUAAUUAUACCAUACCAACUUUUAACCCAACUUACCAACCAAUAUUACUUUCUAACUUCGGUGCCCACCCCAUUUGACUUUUCAAACAAUGGUGGGUUCCAAUAGAAUUGAUGGUAGAUCUUUGGAAAUGCCAUUAUGCUUGAGCUUUACCUAUACUAGAAAAAGGAGGAACAAGUAAGCUUUUCAAGAGCUUGAAUUUCUUCCAAUGAAUGCUUGCUUUAUGUUUGUGCUUGAACUGAGAUAUUGAGGCAGUACUGCAACUUGUCAACAGAUAUGCCUUCUUGAUCUUAUUCAACAUUGAGCCAAUGCAAAUUGAAGCCAUUUCUUAAGCUCUUUCUGGUUUUUGAACCUUCAGAGGAACCAUAUGCUCUUCGGCAAUUUAGCCUUCCUAGAGAGGUAAUUUACCUUUGUUUCAUUGUGAUGUUUUUAGCAUCCUCAUGACCUCUUUCCCCUAAUUUAUCAAUUGGUUUAUAUGAAAUCAGAAUUUGCCAAAAUUGGUUAUCUCAAAACUUGUGGGAUGAUGGAGCUGGAGAUUAUAUUCAGUGGCACCCCUUUCACAGUUUUCACUCUCAAAGCUAGAUUGUUGAGCUUCGAAGUUUUACCCCGUAGAGGAAACCAACAAGAAACUAGAAUAUUGGCAUUCACAAUCAACUCAGUCUCUAAGAAAUAACUAUUCCAUCACCUUAUUUUCUUUGUAUAAUUAUAUAUUUAAUUUAAUUGAUACUGUGGAUGAUAAAUACUAUUUUUAAUGUUAACUUUUUAGUAUUAUUUUAAUUAUAUUUGUUGUUAUCUUUUAGUGACUAAUCAUAAUCCUUGCAGUAGAUUUUGAAUAUAUCUAUUGGAUAAGAAGAUUUUGGAUAUAUCUCUUGGAUAAGAAUGAUAAUAUGGACAAGUAUACUUGCUGCUUAGGAUUUAAGUUUAGAAAACAUUUUCUACAAUAAAUAGGUGUAAAAAGAAGGUGAUAAAUAAUUGGACGAGGUCAUGAGAGUGGAUUAUCUGUUUAAAUCCGAAGUGUGGUAAAUAAUUGUCACAGUAAUACCAAAGAUGAUGCUACUCAUAAUUCUUUUCAUUUUUCUUCUUCUAUUUCUUCUUCAAAAGUACGAAAACAAGAGAAGCCCAGCAAAGGAAAGCUCCCAUGGUGCAUCUCUUUUGCCUCAAUCAGACAAUCCAUACUCUUUGACUUCUUCUUCUUCUUCUUGUCAAGUGAAACAUCAAGUUUUCUUGAGCUUCAGAGGUGAAGACACACGCCUUAACUUCACCAGUCAUCUACUCAAAGCUUUGAAGGACACGGGACUGAAUGUCUUCUUCGAUGAAGAAAAACUAGAGAAAGGGGAGCAGCUUUCACCAGCACUUUCUCAAGGAAUUGCAGCCUCAAAUCUCUCAAUCCUGGUUUUAUCUAAAGACUAUGCUUCUUCAAAAUCGUGCCUAGCUGAACUCUCUGCCAUCAUGGACCGCAAGCACACACAAGGACAUAUUGUUCUUCCCAUCUUUUACCAUGUUGAUCCUUCCCAUGUGAGGAAUAUUGGUGGGAGUUUUACAACAUCCUUUGAAGAGCAUGAAUCGAAGAGGCUAGUUGAUGAAGUGAAGGGAUGGAAAGCAGUCUUUGCUGAAGUUGGUAAAUUAAAAGGGUGUGUUAAGAAAUGGCUUAAAAUUGGUAGUGGAUUGUUGUUGUUGGUAGUGGGUUGUUGGUGGUAGUGGAUUAGUGGAUGGUUGUUGGUGUCCAUUUUCAACCACAAAUCUUUGCCAAAGUUUUGGACAAUUAUGUCCUUGAACUCUCUUAUAAAUAGAGAGGUUCAUUAGCCAUAUUUAUCAUCCCAAACCAAGAGAGAGCAAAUCUUGUUCUUUGAAAGCUAGGAUUUUAGCUUUCGGGUUUUCUAUAGGGGUUGAGAGUUGUGAGGUUCUCGGGUUGUGUCUUGAGUGUAAAACACUUGUAAUCUUCAUCUUGUUAUAGUGAAAUUUCUUUUCGCCUCUGCCCGUGGACGUAGGCAUUAAAGCCGAACCACGUAAAUCCUUGUGUUCACUUUAUUUUUCGUUCCGGUCAAUUUACUUGUAGUCAUAUCGGAGUUCUCGAAUCGAUCCUUUCCGCAACAAAUUGGUAUCAGAGCGUAGUUGAAGGAGUGAUAAUAUUUUCUGAAUUGCCCUGUGACUGCAGCUUUGUCUGAUCUUUCACAUCAGGAAGAAAAUAUUAUCAUUCAUUCAAAGGUUCCAAAUUAUGGCUACAAGUGUUUCAUCGACUAAGUAUGAUGUCGAGAAAUUUACCGGGAAAAAUAGUUUCAGUUUAUGGCGCAUCAAGAUGCGGGCAGUGCUGGUUCAACAAGGAUUGCUAAAAGCAUUGUCUGGUAAAGAUAAAUUACCAAGCACGCUUUCGGAAGAGCAAAAGGAUGACAUGCUAGAAAGAGCACAUAGUGCUAUUCUGCUAUGUCUAGGAGAUGAAGUGCUACGAGAAGUAGCGGAUGAGAAAACCGCGUCCGGUUUGUGGCUCCGGUUAGAAAGCAAGUACAUGACGAAGUCAUUGACGAACCGGCUCUACCUCAAGCAAAGACUCUAUGCCCUGAAGAUGGAGGAAGGUACACCUGUUUCCCAGCACCUGGAUAAAUUCAAUUCCAUUAUCAUGGAUUUGAAUAAUAUCGAUAACAAAAUCGAUGAUGAGGACCAAGCAAUAAUUGUUUUGUGUUCUUUGCCUCCCUCGUAUGAGAAUUUUGUUGAUACAAUGAUGUACGGUCGUGAUGACCUGACUCUAGAGGAGGUGAAAAAUGCCUUAAGUUCCAGUGAGUUGAGGAAGAAAAUCACUGGUAAGGUGGUCGAAAACAAUGAAGGCGAAGGCUUGGUUGCUCGAGGAAGAUCCAAGGCAAAGGGUGGAAGUUCAAGUAAAAGCCAUCCUAGAUCGCAGUCCAAGAAGAGAAUACAGUGCUACUACUGUAAGAAGUACGGGCACAUGAAGGUAGAUUGUCCGAAAAGGAAGGAGAAAUCAGAAUCACAGGAGCAACAAAAUGAUCGUGCGAAUGUAGCUGAUGCAGAUUCUUCAAGUGAUGCCGAGAUCGUUCUUGCAGUAUCCGACUCUUACGCUGGUGGGAGAUGGAUUCUUGAUACGGGAGCUACAUUUCAUAUAAGUACUUCGAAAGAUGCAUUCUCAACAUACGAGAAGCAUUCUGGUUCAGUACUAAUGGGAAAUGACCACGCAUGUCAAGUCAUGGGGAUUGGCACAGUUCGUAUAAAGAUGUUUGACGGUAUUGUUAGAACUCUAACUGAUGUUCGGCACAUUCCAGAAAUGAAGAAAAAUUUGAUCUCUUUGAGUACGUUGGACAAGAAAGGCUUUCGGUACUCUGCUGAAGGUGGAGUUCUCAAGGUAUUCUCGGGUGCUUUGACUGUGAUACGUGGUAAUUUGGAGCGGGGCCUUUACUUCCUCGAUGGUUCCUCGGUUACAGGUGUUGCGGGAGUGUCAUCAUCAGAUGAUCUAGAUUCUGACACCACGAAGUUAUGGCAUAUGCGGCUCGGGCAUAUGAGCGAGAGAGGCUUAUCGGUGCUAAGCAAACGAGGAUUAUUGUCUGGGCAGUGUACAGGAAAGUUGAAUUUCUGUGAGCACUGCGUCUUCGGUAAGCAGACUCGGGUAAAGUUCAGCACUGGGAUUCACAAGACAAAAGGCACAGUGGAUUACUUCCAUUCUGACCUUUGGGGGCCUUCUCCGACAAUUUCUAAAGGUGGUUACAGAUAUCUGCUUACCUUUAUCGAUGAUUACUCGAGAAAGGUUUGGGUGUAUUUUCUGAAGAGCAAGUAUGAGGUUCUCAUCAACUUCAAGCAAUUUAAAGCUUUGAUCGAAAAUCAAACAGGAAAGAAGAUCAAGCGAUUCCGGACGGAUAAUGGCUUGGAGUUUUGCUCAGGUGAAUUCAAUGAGUUCUGCAAAAAUGAAGGAAUAGUGAGACACCGCACUGUUCGUCGAACACCACAACAAAAUGGAGUUGCAGAACGCAUGAAUAGAACUCUCUUGGAGCGAGCUCGUUGCAUGCGAUCAAAUGCUGGGCUCGGUGAAGAAUUUUGGGCUGAAGCUGUUAAUACUGCUUGUUAUUUGGUUAACAGAUCUCCGUCAACAGCUAUUGAGCUGAAGACUCCUGAGGAAGUAUGGUCUGGUUCUCCUGCUGAUUACUCUGGUUUAAGAGUGUUUGGCUGCCCUGCGUAUGCUCAUGUAAAUGAGGGAAAACUCAAACCGAGGGCGAAGAAAUGCAUAUUUCUUGGAUACGGCCAAGGGGUGAAAGGAUACAGGUUGUGGUGUCCUGAUCCGGUUUCGUCCAAGUUCAUCAUCAGCAGAGAUGUGACUUUUGAUGAGUCAUCCAUGCUUCGAUCCACCACAAAUUCCCGGGAAAAGGAGGAGUCAGAUAGAAUGGGAGAUCACGGUGUUGAGAAGCAGGUGGAGUGUCAGGUGGACGCUCCAAUUCCUACGGAAGGUACUUCAGUCCAGGAUGAUCAAGUUGAGGUGCAAGAUUCCGAUGAAGAUAAGUCACCUCAAGAAAAACCAUAUAGCAUUGCCACUGGAAGAACGAAGAGACAAAUCAAACCAAAUCCGCGUUACGCUAAUCUGGUGUCUUUCGCGCUCAGUGUGGCGGAGUCCAUUGGUAUAGAACCUUCCAGUUAUAAUGAGGCUGUCACGUGUGAUGAGUCGGCACAGUGGGCAAUUGCUAUGAGUGAGGAGAUAGAAUCUCUUCACAAGAACCAUACUUGGGAGUUGGUUAAGCCGCCAAGUAACCAGAAGAUAGUUGGUUGCAAAUGGGUCUUCAAGAAAAAGGAAGGCAUCCUAGGGGUUGAAGCAACUAGAUUCAAGGCACGAUUGGUUGCUAAAGGCUUCACUCAGAAAGAGGGGAUUGACUACAAUGAAGUUUUCUCCCCAGUCGUAAAGCAUUCUUCCAUUCGUAUAUUACUUGCCAUGGUGGCCAAGUCUGAUCUAGAACUUGAGCAGCUUGACGUAAAAACGGCGUUCUUGCAUGGUGAGCUCGAGGAAACAAUCUACAUGCGUCAACCAGAGGGUUUUACAGUUCCUGGUAAAGAAGACCAUGUCUGUCUAUUAAAGAAGUCUUUAUAUGGAUUGAAACAAUCCCCAAGGCAGUGGUACAAGCGGUUUGAUAGCUUCAUGAUUCAGCAUGGUUACACAAGAUGUGACUAUGAUGCUUGUGUCUAUCAUCGGAAGCUCUCAGAUGGUUCGCACAUUUAUUUGUUGCUGUAUGUUGAUGACAUGUUAAUUGCUUCCAAAAACAUGUCGGAAAUCAACAAGUUAAAGUCGCAGUUGAGUGGUGAGUUCGAGAUGAAGGAUCUGGGUGCUGCCAAGAAAAUUUUGGGCAUGGAUAUUCACAGAGAUCGCAAGGCGGGCAAGCUUCGUGUGUCGCAGAAGAACUACAUUGAAAAGGUUCUUCAACGCUUCGGCAUGGAUAAAGCGAAAACUGUGAGUACUCCGUUGGCACCACAUUUCAAACUCUCUGCAGAGUUGUCACCACAAUCUGAUGAAGAAAAGCAGCAAAUGUCUCACAUUCCAUACUCGAGUGCAGUUGGAAGCGUGAUGUAUGCAAUGGUUUGCACUCGUCCAGACAUUUCACAUGCAGUUAGUGUGGUCAGCAGAUACAUGAGUUGUCCUGGCAAGGAACACUGGCAGGCCGUGAAAUGGAUUCUCAGGUACUUGAGAGGUUCUGCAGAUUUAUGCUUGGUAUAUGAUCAGAGUGACUGCACUAGCAGUGUCACGGGCUAUGCGGACUCUGAUUAUGCUGGAGAUCUGGACAAAAGAAGAUCUCUGACGGGUUAUGUUUUCACUUAUUCUGGAGGAGCCAUUAGUUGGAAAGCUGUGUUACAGUCUACCGUAGCCUUAUCUACGACUGAGGCGGAAUAUAUGGCGUUAGCAGAAGCAGUGAAAGAAGCAUUGUGGAUGAAAGGUCUAGUAAGCAGUUUGGGUUUACAACAGGAUUUCACUGUUGUAUUUUGCGAUAGCCAGAGUGCCAUACAUCUGACUAAAAAUCAGAUGUUUCAUGAACGGACCAAACACAUUGAUGUCAGAUAUCAUUUUGUUCGGGAACAUGUUACGCAAGGUGACAUUGUUAUCAGCAAGGUUGCUACCGAGAAGAAUCCUGCAGAUAUGUUAACUAAGGUGAUCCCUGCAUAUAAGUUCAAGCAUUGCUUGGACUUGAUAGGUAUUCGGGAUUGAUUAGCGCCAGAGAGGCGUUUGGAAGAGGUGAUCCAGUUCACUAUGAUGUUCAGCUUGGUAAAUUUCAAGCCAAGGUGGAGAUUUGUUAAGAAAUGGCUUAAAAUUGGUAGUGGAUUGUUGUUGUUGGUAGUGGGUUGUUGGUGGUAGUGGAUUAGUGGAUGGUUGUUGGUGUCCAUUUUCAACCACAAAUCUUUGCCAAAGUUUUGGACAAUUAUGUCCUUGAACUCUCUUAUAAAUAGAGAGGUUCAUUAGCCAUAUUUAUCAUCCCAAACCAAGAGAGAGCAAAUCUUGUUCUUUGAAAGCUAGGAUUUUAGCUUUCGGGUUUUCUAUAGGGGUUGAGAGUUGUGAGGUUCUCGGGUUGUGUCUUGAGUGUAAAACACUUGUAAUCUUCAUCUUGUUAUAGUGAAAUUUCUUUUCGCCUCUGCCCGUGGACGUAGGCAUUAAAGCCGAACCACGUAAAUCCUUGUGUUCACUUUAUUUUUCGUUCCGGUCAAUUUACUUGUAGUCAUAUCGGAGUUCUCGAAUCGAUCCUUUCCGCAACAGGGUGGCAUAUAGGAGGAGGCAAAUUUGACAGGUAACUAUAUUUUUCUCACCUUCUUAUAUUUGAGUUAUCUUUGUUUUGGAUUUCAUAUAUGUAUGUAUAUUUAUUUAUUUAUUGUAUGCUAGACCUGAAACAGAGUACAUUGAGGAUAUUGUUAAAUAUGUUAUAAAAAAGUUGAUGAGUAGCAAAUCUGGACAUGUUUAUGAAGAACUGGUUGGAAUAGAUUAUCAGAAAGAUGCAAUUUUGAGGCUGAUUGAGCAAGAACGCUAUCGUGUAAUAGGACUCUGGGGAAUGGGUGGUAUAGGCAAAACUACCCUUGCUGAUGUUGUACAUAAGGAAAUGUCUCCAAAGUUUAAAAGCCAUUGCUUUCUUCAAAAUGUUAGUGAGAAAAUAAAAAACCAAGGAAAGGAAUCUUUACGAAAUGAUCUUCUUUCCAUACUGUUAAAUGAAAAAGAUAUUCAUAUAGACACUCCUUUGAUAGGAUACCCUUACCGAGAGAGGUUGAACAAUAAAAAAGUACUUCUUGUGCUUGAUGAUGUUAGUCACCAAGACCAAAUAACUAUUAUGGGUGUUAGACAUUUUGGUGAUGGAAGUAAAAUCAUUGUAACAUCUAGAGAUAGAAAAGUACUUGAGAAUGGAGAAGCUGACCAAAUUUAUGAGGUAAAGAAUUUAAAUGAGAUUGACUCUCUUCAACUAUUUUCUACUUGUGCGUUUAAGCAGUUGAAUCCUAAUGCUGAUUUUCGAGACCUAUCGAUAAAGUUUGUGGAGUACACCCAAUACAAUCCACUUGCUCUAAAAGUUUUAGGUUCCCAACUAUAUAAAAGGUCUAGAGAAUAUUGGGAAAGCGAGAUGGUUAAGUUGAAGGAAUAUAGCCAACCAGAGAUUUCAAAUAUUUUGAAGAGAAGCUUUGAUGGGCUUGAUGAACAAGAAAAGAAUAUAUUCCUUGAUAUUGCAAUCUUCUUCAAAGGGGAACUUAAGGAAAAUGUAGAAAAUAUUCUUAGUAGUUGUUAUAAUGGCGCAAAGUCUAGCAUCAGAAACUUGGUCGACAAGUGCCUCCUAGAUAUCACAUCUCUUCCUAUUUCUUUGCGUGAUAUGCUUGAAAUUCGCAGUAGGUUUCUCAUGAAAAAAGCAGAAGAGAUUGCAAGUUUCCCUUACAGGGAUGCACUAGAUAAUCGAAGAAGUAGCUUCUUGGAUAAGAAUCCGCAGUGUAUUUCGAUGCAUGAUAUGCUUGAACGGAUGGGUAAAGACAUUGUUCGCCAAGAAUCUAGAGUUCCUGGAAUGCGCAGUAGGUUAUGGAAUUCUAAUGAAGUAAAGCAAGUGCUCAGACAUAAUAAAGUAAGUAUUAAUUGUACUUAUGUUUCUUUUUAUAUUUUUCUAUAUAUUUGUGUGAUUUUUUUCUAGGCUUAUAAAAUUUUAUUAAUAAUAAUGAUCCGAAAACGGGAUUUGAAAAAAAAAUAGAUACCAUGCAUAGCUGAACGAAAAUCGCAAAAAAAAAAAAACAAAAUAAUACCAACUCAGCAAUAUAUAUAAAUCUAUGUACAAAAAAAUACCAUUAAAACCAUGCCCAUUACACCAACCAAAAGAGCAAUCAGAAAUCACUUCUAGUCACCAUAACCCAUCUCGUAUAAACCAAAUCACAUCCCAUUGAAAUCAGGAUUAUAAAAAUGAAUUACUUGUAGAGAUAGAAGAAGUACUUACAACUCCAAUAAUUCAAACUAUUUUUAAGUUGAUUCGAUAACUCGAAUAACUCAUCAAACUUAAAUCGAUUAAUUUAAAAUUUAAAUUUUUUCCAAAGAGAAAAUUGAAUUUUACUCAACCUACCUAAGUCAUUGAUCAUUAUGUGUAUGGUAUGUAAAAAAAAAUUAUUUUUAAAUAAUAUUUAAUAGAAUUAAUAUUUCUCACACAGUAGAUGUAUAAAUUUAUAUGGUAAACAUCACUAUUGGGCACGUAAGUGUUACAGUGUUUUUGUUUUAACCACGUAACUAUAAAAAAAUUUAAUUUCAUCAUCAACGUUAAUAACAUCAAGUUUUUUUUUUUAUCAUUCCUCUAUUAUUAAUUAUUAAUGGAAGCAUGAUAGGCCUUUUUUUAAUUGGAAUAAUAACAAAUUUAGCUCUUAAUAUUUAUACAUUUUUAUCAAUUUGAUAAAAUGUAUAAACGUUGAGGAUUAAUUUAUUCUUAUUCUAAUUAAAAAAAGACGCAUAAUCAUUCUGUUGAUGAUUUUUUAUCAAAUUUAGCACUCACUAUUCGUAUCUGUUGUCAUUUGAGUCGUUAUACUUUUUGAUAAUGAGUAAAUAAGGACAAUUGAAAUAAGCAUUUCUAACCCUGUACUCUUCCAAUAUAUUCUUUUAUCAAUAUUUCAUAUCUAUGACGACAACAAAAAAAAAAAAGAAAAAGGAAAUUUUCAAUCGAAAAAUGAGUGGAAUGGCAAAUUAAGUCUUUAGUCGGCACUAAUUCUAAGUUCCAUCGUUAGACAAUCUUACAUCCUUUAUAUACUCUUAAAUGUAUGUACUCUAGUUUAAAAUUUAGUUAAAUAAUAAAAUUCACCAAUUUGAUUAACUAAAAUUUUCUUUUCAAUUAUUUUUAUCAAAUGCUAACCCUAAUCUUAAGUUAUUACAUGGAUCUACUUAGGGUAAUUUUAUUAAAUUAAUUAAAUAUCUAAUGUAUUGCUUUAUACAAUAAAAUUAAACACUUUUUAAAUCUAAAAUUUCUUGUAAUAAAAAAGUAUGCUCAAUUAGUCUAAGCCUUAUUUAAUUUCUAAUGAGUGAUUUAAUGGAAUGCCUAAUACUUGUUUCUUGUUAUUAGGGGACAGAAUGGAUUGAAGGAAUAAAGUUAGACAUGUCUCAAAUUGAUAAACUACAGUUAUGUUCUUCGGUUUUUAAGAACAUGUUUAAUCUUAAAUAUAUCCACUUCUAUUUUCCUCCAUUUAUUGGAAAGCAACGAAAUAAGAAGCUACAUGCAGACCAAGUUGGCGAUGUAUCUCUUCCUGAUGAGCUAAGACUUCUCUGUUGGGAGUAUUACCCUUUUAGGUCUUUAUCAUCAAGUUUUGAUCCGAAGAAUCUUGUUGUGUUAAAAUUACCUUAUGGUGAUAUGGAACAACUUUGGAAUGAAGAUAAUCAUCAGGUAAAAUUUUCAUACUUUCUUCGUCCAAUAAACUAAAAAAAAAAAAGUGUAACAAAUGCCAACCCUUACUAUAAUUAUUAUAAUUUUUUUGUACUGCCCAAAGUAAGUAGUAAGUAAGUAGUAAGUAAGUAGACAAUGCUAAGUAAUAAAGCUAUUUUAUAUUUUCAUUGCGCAGGAUCUUAUUAAUUUAAGAAAAAUUGUCCUUUCGAAUUGCAAGAAUUUAAGGAAGAUCCCUAAUCUAUUAGGAGCCGUCAACCUUGAAAUCCUUUGCUUUAAUGGGUGCAACAGUUUGGUUGAACUUCCUGGCUUUAGUGAUUUGGCAUCUCUCAAAACGCUUCAGCUUCAUGGAUGUUAUAAACUUAAGAAGUUUCCUGAGCUCCCAAAUGAUGUUGUUGAAAGCUGGACUGCAAUGCAACAUGGAGCCAGAAGCAAGCUACUAUCGAGACCAGCAGCUAUCGAGCUCAACUCAUUUUGCUUGGUGUGCAGGAAUGGUUUUCAGACCAAAUGAAGCAACUGAUAUAGCUGCUUUGUUUUGAUGUAACUUAGUUCAGUUUAAUUGUAACUAGCUUUAAUAGUUAGUUGGAUUAAGUUUGUGAUUGGAUUGAUGAUGUAAAAGCUGAUAUGUCAGCUUAUUUUGUAUUUGACUCUAGCAUGUAUUAGUUUAGUCUAAGUGGGAGUAGUUAUGUCAUUAGGUAUCUGUCAAAUGAACCAAAAAAAUUUGUAGCUCUUUUAUAUAUUCAAAUCUUGAAUGAAAAAUGUAAUGUUCAGUUACAACUUUGCUGAGUAUUCAUUUUUUAUCAUUUUUUGCUUUGCUUUGCUCUUUCUUUGCUUCGAUUCUUCUUGCUUCAGUCUUGCAAACACUGUGUUGCAACUUUGUUUGAUGUUUACUGUUGCCAUUGUUCCAACAAAUGGUAUCAGAGCAGCCCGAGUCUUUGAGGGGCCUUUGUAUGCAAUCUGUUGUGUUCGAAUCAAAACCAACAGUAAGUUCAAAAUUUGGUAAGAUUGAAGCACUUAAAAUCAGUUUAACAGAAUGAGUUUCACUCCACCACCUCCACUAGUGUUCACUGGAGAAAACUAUCACAUUUGGAUAGUUAAAAUGAAGACUUAUCUCCAGGCACAUGAUCUUUGGAGUGUGAUCGAGAAUGAUGCUGAACCACCUCCAUUGAGAGCCAAUCCCACCAUUGCACAGAUGAGGCAGCAUGCUGAUGAGCGAGCCAAGAAGCAUAAGGCUAUGGCCUGCUUGCAAAAUGGAGUCUCUGAUGUGAUUUUUACUCGCAUCAUGGCCUGUGACUCACCAAAGCAGGCUUGGGAGAAGCUGAAGGAGGAGUUCAUGGGGACUGAUAAGACAAGGCAACAGCAAGUGAUCAACCUCAGGAGAGACUUUGAAAAUUUGAGGAUGAAGGAGUCUGAGACCAUCAAGCAGUACUCAGACAGGAUAAUAGCCAUUGUCAACAGCAUUAGGCUCCUGGGAGUGGACUUCACAGAGAGCAGAGUUGUUGAAAAGGUUAUUACAACUCUCCCUGAGAAAUUUGAGUCUAAAAUCUCUUCACUUGAGGACUCGAGGGACUUAUUAGCCAUUUCAUUGUCUGAGCUGAUAAACUCCCUGUAUGCACUUGAGCAAAGGAGGGCAAAUAGGCAGGAGGAGAAUCCUGAAGCUGCUUUCCAGGCUAAAGCCAGUGAAGGCUCGAGUGUGACUGCAAAAGGCAAGAAGCCUUGGCACAAUAGAAGGGUCAAGUCAGGAAGAGAUGAAGCAAAAAGGGUGUUCCCACCAUGUGUUCAUUGCAAGAAGACAACACAUUCAGAAAAGUAUUGCUGGUUUAGGCCAGAUAUUCAGUGUAGAAAAUGCAAGCAGUUUGGCCAUGUGGAGAAGGUAUGCAAGGGCAAACCAAGGGAGGCUGCUCUGCAACAAGCUAGACCUGCUGAGGACAUUCAAGCUCAAGAGGAGCAAGUGUUCACAGCAACUUGUUUUGUUGGUACAACCAAGGCCAGCAAUGAUUGGCUACUAGACAGUGGCUGCUCACACCAUAUGGCAGCAGAUGAGAAGCUGUUCAAAGGCCUAGACAGAAGCUUCCACUCGAGGAUUAGAAUUGGAGAUGGUAGGCUGAUUGAGGCUAAAGGCAAGGGCAGUGUGUUGAUUAGCACUGGUUCAGGUAAUAAACUGAUCUCAGAUGUGUUUUUUGUACCUGACUUAGACCAGAAUUUACUUAGUGUAGGCCAAUUAGUUGAAAAGGGCUAUACAUUGGUUUUUAAGGAUGGUUGUUGUAUUGUUCAAGACAUGAAUGGUCUGGAGUUAGUCACAGUCUCUAUGACUGAUAUGUGCUUCAUGCUGGAUGUUAGACAAAUAGAAAGAAAGGCAUACACCAGCCUUGUUGAAAGCACUGACUUGUGGCAUAGGAGACUAGGCCAUGCAAAUUUUAGAUCCAUCGAUCUGUUACAUAGGAUGAAUUUGGUUGAUGACAUUUCAAAAAUUGAAGUUAGUGGGAAUGUUUGUGAGGUUUGUCAGCUUGGUAAGCAGGCUAGACUGCCUUUUCCUGCUGACAGUGCUUGGAGAGCUCAAAACAAGCUCGAAUUGGUGCACUCUGAUGUUUGUGGCCCUAUGAGAACACCUUCAAUCAGUGAGAACAGGUACUUUGCCCUGUUUAUAGAUGAUUUAACAAGGUUGUGCUGGGUCUACUUCUUGAAGCAAAAGUCAGAAGUGUUUGAAGCCUUCUGCAAAUUCAAGGCUUAUGCUGAAAAUCAGUCAGGCUGCAAAAUUAGGGCCUUGAGGACUGAUAAUGGCUCUGAAUAUGUGUCUGAGAAAUUUCAGAAGCUUUGUGACAGUGCCGGGAUUCACCAUCAGCUCACAACAGUCUAUACUCCUCAACAGAAUGGAGUCUGUGAGAGAAAGAAUAGGACUGUACUGAACAUGGCCAGGUGCCUCUUGUUUCAAGGCAAGCUUCCAAGUCAGUUUUGGGCUGAGGCAGUCAACACCUCAGUGUAUCUGCUCAACAGACUGCCAACUAGAGCAGUCAAGGAUAAGACUCCUUUUGAGGCUUGGCAUGAAGUCAAACCUAUGGUAACACACUUAAAAGUGUUUGGCUGUGUAUGUUAUGCACUUAUUCCAGUAGAGAAAAGGACCAAGCUUGAGAGCAGAGCAACUCCAGGAAUCUUUGUUGGCUACAGCAGCAACAAGAAGGGCUAUAGAGUGUAUGAUCCUACAGCAAAGAAGGUUUUAGUCAGCAGGGAUGUAAAGUUUGAUGAGGAAAAGGUGUGGAAUUGGAAUAGUGUUGAGGCUGACUUGUCUGAAUUGGACCAGUUAGACUUGGUUGUUGAACCUGCAGAAGAAGGACUAAGUAAUGAUGAUGUCGAUGAUAUACCAGUGAGGGGCACCAGAACUUUAGCUGAUGUCUAUCAGAGGUGCAAUGUUGCUGUGAUUGAGCCCUCAGACUUUGAGGAGGCUGUUAAGAACAGAAGCUGGAUGAAAGCUAUGGAAGCCGAGUUGGAAAUGAUCAACAAAAAUCAGACUUGGGAGUUGGUGUGCAGACCAGAACACAAGAGGGUCAUAGGAGUUAAAUGGGUGUACCGGGCCAAGUACAAUGCUAAUGGCUCACUGAACAAGCACAAGGCCAGGCUUGUAGUGAAGGGCUACAGUCAACAGUAUGGUGUUGACUACCUAGAAACUUUUGCUCCAGUAGCAAGACUGGAUACAAUUAAGCUACUGUUUGCUUUAGCAGCUCAGAAGCAAUGGAGAUUUCACCAAUUGGAUGUCAAAUCAGCAUUCCUGAAUGGUUUUCUCAAGGAGGAGAUCUUCAUCGAGCAACCUGAAGGUUUUGAAGUUGCUGGACAUGAAGACAAAGUGUAUAAGUUGAUAAAGGCCCUCUAUGGCCUGAAACAGGCACCAAGGGCCUGGUAUGACAGAGUUGAUGCUUACCUGACCAAACUUGGAUUUGUAAAGAGCCUUAGUGAGCCUACUCUAUAUGUUAAAAGGUCAGAACAUGAAACCUUGCUGAUUGUUUCCUUGUAUGUGGAUGAUUUGCUUGUGACAGGGAGCAAAAUUGAGCUCAUUGAUCAGUUCAAGGUCCAAAUGCAGCAAGUGUUUGAGAUGACAGAUUUGGGGAUCAUGACUUACUUCCUUGGCAUGGAAGUACACCAGUUUGAUCGAGGUAUCUUCAUCAGCCAACACUCAUUUGCUUUGAAGAUCCUAGAAAAAUUUUGCAUGCAUAACUGUAAAGCAGUCAGCACACCUGUGGCUCAAGGAGAAAAGUUGACUAGCAGUGGUGAUCAGCAGAGGGUUGAUGAGAGGCACUAUCGAAGCCUAGUUGGUUGUCUAUUGUAUCUAACAGCAACCAGGCCAGACAUCAUGUUUGGUGUCAGCCUGUUAUCGAGAUUUAUGCAUUGUUGCAAUGAGGCACAUUUGAAGGCAGCAAAGAGGGUCCUUAGAUACAUCAAGGGCACUACUAGUUUUGGUGUAAUGUUUGAAAGUGGGAACCAACUGAAACUAGAAGGCUACUCUGAUAGUGACUGGGCAGGAUCUCUCGAUGACAUGAAGAGUACCUCUGGAUACUUCUUCACACUUGGAUCGGGCAUGUUUUGCUGGAGUUCAAAGAAGCAACAAACUGUUGCUCAGUCCACAGCUGAAGCAGAGUACAUUGCUGCAGUAGGAGCAGUCAAUCAGGCCAUUUGGCUAAGGAAGCUGCUUCAUGACCUUAAUGAAACUCAAGGUGAAGCAACUGAAAUUUGGGUGGAUAAUCAGUCUGCAGUUGCAAUAGCCAAGAACCCUGUGUUCCAUGGUAAGACUAAGCAUUUUAAAAUCAAACUGCACUUUGUUAGAGAGGCUGAACAAGUAAAGGAAGUCAGCCUUGUGCAUUGCAGCUCGGGAGCACAAUUGGCUGACAUAAUGACCAAGCCCUUAGGGGCUGCUCGAUUUGAAUCUUUGAGAAGUGCAAUUGGAGUGUGUUGCAUACAGUCCAAGGAGGAGUGUUGAAAACUGGACUGCAAUGCAACAUGGAGCCAGAAGCAAGCUACUAUCGAGACCAGCAGCUAUCGAGCUCAACUCAUUUUACUUGGUGUGCACGAAUGGUUUUCAGACCAAAUGAAGCAACUGAUAUAGCUGCUUUGUUUUGAUGUAACUUAGUUCAGUUUAAUUGUAACUAGCUUUAAUAGUUAGUUGGAUUAAGUUUGUGAUUGGAUUGAUGAUGUAAAAGCUGAUAUGUCAGCUUAUUUUGUAUUUGACUCUAGCAUGUAUUAGUUUAGUCUAAGUGGGAGUAGUUAUGUCAUUAGGUAUCUGUCAAAUGAACCAAAAAAAUUUGUAGCUCUUUUAUAUAUUCAAAUCUUGAAUGAAAAAUGUAAUGUUCAGUUACAACUUUGCUGAGUAUUCAUUUUUUAUCAUUUUUUGCUUUGCUUUGCUCUUUCUUUGCUUCGAUUCUUCUUGCUUCAGUCUUGCAAACACUGUGUUGCAACUUUGUUUGAUGUUUGCUGCUGCCAUUGUUUCAACAGAUGUUUCUUUCUUAGAUUUAGCCGAAACUGGGAUAGAAGAAGUGCCAAAUUCAAUUGAGCAUCUCGCUGGACUUGAAACAUUGUUAUUGGCAAAAUCAAAGAUAAAUAAUGUAUCGUGCAAUAUUUUGAAGUUGGAAUGCCUUCGUUAUCUGGAUUUUAGUCAUUGCCUAGUAGCCGAAUUCCCAGAAAUUCUACGAAGACCCGAAAGACCCGAGAUGCAAGAACUUAUCCGUCCAUAUUCUUUGCCACCCUAUUUCCCCCUCCCUGGUAGGAGAAAGUUUCCGAUUGUUCAUGUGCCCCCCAAAAUCCUAAAGUUCAAAAGGCUUGAAUAUUUGAAAAUGGAUCAUUGCGAGAGUCUUAAAUUACUUUCGGAGCUUCCACCAUAUUUGCUGUACUUGGAUGCACAUGGCUGCAAAUCGCUAGAAAAAGUAUCGUUUACAGAUCGAAAUCGAGACCUAUAUGAACUCUAUUCUUUUUACGGUGAAGAUGAGUUCUUUAUGAUAUUCUCUGAUUGCUUCAGCUUGAAUCAAGCUUCAAUUAAAAACAUUGAAGGAAAUGCCAUGCAAAAAAUUGAAUCACUUGUAAAGAAAUGGGGAUGUAAAUAUGAUUAUGGUCCAAAAUCAUUGUUUUGCUGUUUCCCAGGGAGCGAAAUUUCGGCCAGUAAAUUCGAGUAUCAGGGGAUGAAUUCUUCAUUGAAGUUGAAGAUAACCCCAAACGAGUUUAGUGAGAGCAGAGUCUUGAGUUUUGCUAUCUGCCUUGUGGUUGAUCUCACGCAUUGCCAUAAAUACAAUACAGAUCUUCGAGGUAUCUGUGAAUACCAACUAACGGCCUUCGAUGGUUGUUAUGAAAAGUUCGAAUGUGAGUGGGGUUACAAGCUAGAUUUUGAGUUACAUCGAAAGUACAUGGGUGAUCACGUGUUGAUUCUAUUCAGUGACAAACUGAUCAAAAAAGACGACGAUUAUGUGGAGGCAUCAUUUGAAUUUUAUAUAAAAAAAUGCUACUACAAAAGCGAUGCUGAAGUUGAUGACAUCAAGGUCAAAAAAUGCGGUGUUCAUGUAUAUUAUGUGGCUGAAAACUACAAAGGUCCAAUUAAUCCUUAUACCAUGCAAAUGUGAGGACCCGAUUAUCGGUGGCUCAUUGGAAUAACGUCAGCACUGGCCACGGGGGAAAACAGUAAAAUCACUAGGGACAACGGAAACAAAGGGGGAAAAAGGAGGAAAUUUGUUCAUGACUUAAAGGGUUGAUAUUGCAUCUCUUCCUUAGGUGCUAAGGUAAACUUUCCACCUAUUCCCUAUAUAUAUAUAUAUAUAUGUUAAUUUGAAAGAUUGCUUUUGUUUGAGACUGGUUUUUCAUAUAAUAACCUAUACUUUUAUGAUGGUGUAGGUGUUUGUUGUGGUAUAUCUUAGACAACAUAAUGAAUGGUCUCUUCAAUUUUCCCUCACUUUCAAUGCAUUUUGUUAUGUUUCUUAUGCAUAUCUUUUACAAUUAUAUGACUCAUUAUCAUCUGUAGAUUUGGUAGUCUAAGUGUUGUUUGAUAAUUCCUUAAAAAAUUUAAAUUGACUGAAAAUUAAUAUUUUUAAUGAUUUAAUUUUUUAAUCAUUUUUGAUAAUUCAUAAUAAAAAAGUAACUGAUAAAUUUCUUCUUUUUUCUUUUAUGAUGAUAAGUAGAUAAGGAGCUACUACGUAGCACUUAAUAUAAAAAAAAUUCAAUUCUUUUUAUCUUAUUUUCUUUGUUUUAACAUUUAAAAUUUGAUACUAUGAAAGGGAAUAAAGAUGGAAGUGACUGCUGUAAGCAAAUCAUAUGAGAAAAUAGAGAGCCAAGAGGGAACUAAUGGCAGAUCUUUGGAAAGGCCAUUAUACUUUGAGCUUUAGGUAUACAAAAUAUCAGAGGAACAUGCAAGCUUUUAAUUUUUUCUACUGAAUGUUUGCUUCACAUUUGUUCUUGAACUGAGAUAUUGGGACAGACUGCAAUUUGUGAACAGAUUGCUUUGUUUUUGGACCUACAGAGGAACCGUUUGCUCUUGAGAAUUUAGCCUUCCUAGAAAACAAAAGUAAAAACUUCAAAGUGAAGGGGUUGGUUUCAUGGUACAGCCAUUCGACUUGAUUAUCACAUCAUCUUGGGCUGAAUCUUGAAUGAAAUUUCCUUUUUUUCAAGAUUAUGAGAGAUUGAAAUUUGAUUUUUGUAAUUAAAAUUCUAGAGUUUUACUCUGUUUUUGGAUUGAAAGGAUGCAAUAGUGGAAUUGGUAGUCACUAAAUGAGUGCCAUUUAGCAACUUGCGGAUUUUGUUGUGUUCAAUCUACUUGGAUUUGCAGGGCAAAAUCUAUUGAAUCAAACUUUGCUUUGUUGUACAUUAGGUAAUUAAAAUAAGGAAAACUAUGUCAUACAUUGUGCCUAGCCUUUGUAGUAUUAUUAUUUUAUUCUAUUGUUAACCUUUUGCUCUUGGAAUCAAAUGUACAAAUAUAAAAAACAAAUUGAAGUAUAAUGAACUUGAGAAUUCUCUUAUUUUGAUAAUCAUCCCAAAGCUUAAAUCCCUUAAAAUUGGCACCUUUCCACAUAUUAGUAUUUAAGGGGUUUUCCCCCUAGAUUAGUACUUAGGAUUUUUGUGUAAAUUAUUUUGGUAACACCAUUAAAUUUAAAACACGUUACACUCUCAAAUCAUGACAUGUGUCAAUGAUGAUAUCAAUUUUAAUGACAUAAAAUUGGAAAUUUGUUUAAUAGUUUGUGAUAGUUUCUUUUUUUUUCUCAUCUCCAUUCCCCUCUUGUGUCUUUGUUCUUUUGUAGAUAUAGCAUAUAUUGUCCAAGAAGGGAAUUCUCCAUAUAUAUUAGUUAAUUUGGAGGAAAAUUGAACGGUAGUUGGAGAUUUCAAUACAGUAGCACAAUGAUUCUGCUUUGGAGUUGAUACAAUAUCCAUAGGGGAUUUUGGUGAGUACCAAAAUUCAGAUAUUAAAAUUCAUACUUAAUUCUUAUUGAGAGUUGACUUGUUAUUGGUUGGUUUUUUUUAAAAUCAUAGGACCAAUGGUGGACUCGAUUCAGCUUCAUUGUUUAGUUUCCAGCAUUGGUGUCAUCUAGUAUCUCAAUACUUGCUGCAUUUUUGUUGGGGAUUUAGCACACUUUAACCGGAUAAAGUAAGAACUUCAAUCUGGACUUUAAUAGCAGUGUAUUAUACCCGCGUAAAGAAUGAAGGAAAAAUACUUGGAGUUCAAGCUUUGAGCUACUGCCAGGAAUGGAGAACAGAAUUUAGAAGGCAAAGAAAGAUGGAGCAUAUGGAAGUAAAAUAUGAUGAUUUCAUUCAAAAGAAACUUUGGCUCAAAGCCAUUAUAUAUACUAGUCAUUGCUGGUCAAAAUAAACAAAUCCAUCACCUAAACACUACCUGACUCCACCUAUUACAUUGGAACUAGGUGAUAUUACUUGCACACUUGAACAAAGCUGGUAACCAGCUCUUUGACCAUCAAGUUACAUCAAUUUGUCAUCCAAGCAUAAUUAAAAAUGAACUAAAUUACAAAAAUAUUGUUAAAAAGUAACAAAAUGAAACUGAGAUGAAACAGUGGUAUUAACAUCUCCUGUUGCAUGUAUUUUACCCGGACAACUUAUGUGCAAAAAAAAAUCUUGCGUGCAUGAAUUUGCUUGAGCUGCAUGUGUUGCAUGGGAACUAACUUCAACACUCCUCCUUAGUUUCCAUGCUUGUAACACCUAGCUGCUUUCUCAGUUUUAUAAACCUUGACACACCAAGGGCCUUUGUGAAAAUGUCAGCAACCUGUUCCUCUGAAUUGCAAUGAAUCAGCUCCAGAUCUCGAGCUUGUUCCAUCUCCUUUAUCACAUGUAACUUGAUGCUGAAGUGCUUCGUUCUACCAUGAAAGACAGGAUUCUUUGCAAUUGCAACAACAAACUUGUUAUCACAAAAGAUUGCCUCCCUUUAAUGUAGGUUAAGAUCAGCUAGAAUUUUUCUCAGCCAAAUGGCUUGAUUUACAGCAUUGGCAGCUGCAACAUAUUCAGCUUCUGCUGUUGAUUAGGCCACCAUCGAUUGUUUCCUUGAGCUCCAACAAAACAUGGUUGAGCCAAGGGUAAAAGCAUAUCCAGAGGUGCUUUUCAUAUCAUCACUUGAACCAGCCCAGUCACUAUCAGUAUAGCCUCUCAAUUUCAAACUUUCAGCUUUGUUGAAUAACACACCAUAGUCAAGAGUGCCUUUGAUGUACCUUAGCACUCUCUUUGCUGCUUGAAAAUGCUGGACAUUACAGCAAUGUAUAAACCUUGAUAACAUACUCACAGCAAACAAGAUAUCUGGCCUAGUUGCUGUCAAAUAUAACAAGCAGCCAACUAGGCCCCUGUAGGUAGACUCAUUGACUGGUUCAUGAUCUCCUUGGCUUGAUAGCUUCAUUCCAACAGCAAUAGGAGUGCUUGUUGGCUUACAAUUCUCCAUUGAGAAGAAGAUUUUUCCUUCUGCUUGGUGCACCUCCAUUCCCAAAAAGUAUGUCAUUAGCCCCAAGUCAGACAUUUCAAACAUGUCCUUCAUUUUGGCUUUGAAUUCAGCCAACAUGUUUUGAUCUCCUCCAGUCACCAAAAGGUCAUCGACAUAGAGGGAUACAAUAAGCUGUAAUUCAGCUUCAUUCUUCUUGACAUAUAGUGUUGGCUCACUAACACUUUUGUUAAAUCCCAAACUGACCAAGUAACUGUUAAUUCGAGCAUACCAGGCUCUAGGAGCCUGUUUCAAGCCAUACAAUGCCUUCUUAAGCCUGUACACCAUUUGUUCUUUGCCAGACACAACGAAGCCUUGAGGCUGAUCAAUGUAGAUUUCUUCUUCAAAGAAGCCAUUUAGGAAUGCAGACUUGACAUCUAACUGAUGAAUGACCCAUUAUUUUUGUGCUGCUAAAGCAACUAGCAAUCUGAUGGUGUCAAGUCUGGCUACUGGUGCAAAAGUCUCCAAGUAGUCCAGGCCAUAUCUUUGACUGAAGCCUUUGACAACAAGUCUGGCUUUCAGCUUGUUUAAACUGCCAUCAGCAUUUUUUUCGACUCGAUAGACCCAUUUAACACCAAUGGUCUUUCUGUUGGUAGGCCUUUCAACUAGCUCCCAUGUUUGAUUCUUUUGUAUCAUCUUGAUUUCUUCAACCAUGGCCUGUUUCCAUCCUUCAUCAGCUUCAGCUUCUUCAAAACUGCAUGGCUCCAAUAUGGCAACUUGUGCUCUUUCAUAAAUUUCAGCUAAAGGUCUAGUGCCUCUGGCUCAUUCUUGUCUCAAUUCCAGUAUCUUUUUUCAUCAAAGAUCACAUCUCUGCUUAUUUUAAUUUUGUUUAUUACAGGGUCCAAGAUCCUGUAGCCCUUCUUGACCAUACUAUACUCGGCUAAAAUACCAGGAAUAGCUCUUUUGGACAACUUAUCCCUCUUUACAGCUGGUAUUUAGCUGUAACAUAGGCAACCAAAGACUUUCAUAUGAGCCAAUGAUGGCUUGAACCCAAACCAGGCCUCAAAAGGUGUCUUGUGAGCAAGUGCUUUGGUUGGAAGCCUAUUCUAAAUGUAGACAGCAGUAUUGACAGCUUCAGCCCACAUGGUCUUGGGCAAAUUCUUCUCAAAUAAUAAACAUCUGGCCAUAUCUAUCAAGCUCCUAUUCUUCCUUUCACUUACAUCAUUUUGUUGAGGUGCAUAAGUGUUGGUGAACUGGUGUUUAAUACCUGCUUCAUUACAAAAGGUAUUAAACCCGAAUAAAGUAUACUCUGUUCCAUUAUCAGACCUAAAGGUCUUGAGUUUACAGCCUGUUUUAGUUUCUGCUGCAGCUUUAAAUUUCUGGAAUAUUGAGAGUACUUUAUACUUAGUGAAAGUAUGCCCAACAAUACCUGGAGUAAUAAUAAAUAAAUAAAAUGAAGUAUCUGCUUCCAUUCAAUGAUUCAGUAUUCAUGGGGCCACACACAUCUAUGUGUACAAGCUACAGCUUCUCAGAGGCUCUCCAUGCUUGAUUGGUAGGAAAUGGCAAUCUUGCUUGUUUUCCCGAUUGACAGACUUCACAUACCUCUUCUUCCUUAACAGAGUUGGUGAAGUUUUCAACCAAGUCUUCACUGAUCAUCUGAGACAUUGAUCUGAAGUUGGCAUGCCCAAGCCUUUGGUGCCAAAGCUUGGAGUCUUCAGAAGAAAUAGCAUAGGCAUUAUUAAAGCCUUUAUUCUAGUCCACAACAAAGCUCUUUUCUGUCAUGGCUACUGACAUGAGCAUAGAUCCACUUGGAUCACUAAUCUGAUAUUCAUUUUCUUUGAACACCACAGUAUAGCCUUUUUCAACUAAUUGAGCUAUACUUAAUAGGUUUUUGUCAAUUUCAGGAACUAACAAAACAUUUGAAAUGAUCUUGUUACCUGUUGGCGUGCAAAUAACCACAUCUCCCUUUCCUUCUUCCUUGAUAAAGUGGCCAUUGCCAACUUUAACUUUAGUUUUACAGCUUCUGUCUAAAGACUUAAAAAUAGCUGCAUCUGGUGACAUAUGGUUGGUGCAGCCACUGUCAAGGAGCCAACCAUUUCAGACUUUCUUUUGACCAGCUGAGCAUGAAACAGCAAAGACUUGCUCUUCAUAGUCACUACUGUCUUCAGCCACUCGAGCUACUUUAUUCUUGUGUUGUGGUUGGUUUUCGCCAGGUCUGCCUUUUUCUUUGCAGACCCUUUCAACAUGGCCCUUCUUCUUACAGUGUUGACACACAGCAUCUGGCCUGAACCAGCAUCUGGCCUCUGGAUGACCAAGUUUUUUACAAAAACUGCAAAGUCGAUCUUCUCCUCUUGCAGCAUCAGGCUUAGACCUAUUUUUCCAAUUCUUCUUGCCUUUGUAGGCUGAGGAACUUGAAGCAGACUUGGUUUUAGCUUGGAAAGCACCCUCUUGGUGCUCCUCCAUCCUGUUAGCUCUCCUUUGCUCCUGAGCAUAGAGGGCAUUAAUGAGCUCAGUUAAGGAGAUGCUUGCUAGGUCUCUUGAAUCCUCUAAGGAGGAUAUUUUUGCUUCAUACCUUUCUGGUAAGGUAGAGAACACUUUCUCCACAAUCCUUGCCUCAUCAAAUUGCUCACCAAGGAGCCUUAUGCUGUUAACUACAGCUAUGAUUCUGUCAAAAUACUUUUUGACAGUUUCUUCUUCCUUCAUCUUCAAAUUCUCGAAAUCCCUUCUUAGGUUCAAGAGCUGCUGCUGCAUUGUCCUCUCUGUGCCUUGGAACUCCUCUUUGAGUUUGUCCCAGGCUUGUUUUGGUGUUUCACAAGCCAUGAUUCUAGUAAAAAUUACAUCAGAAACACAGUUCUGAAUGCAUGACAUGGCCUUGUGCUUUUUACUUUUUUCUUCAGAGUACUGCUUCAUUUGAGCCACUGUUGGAUUUGCUCUCAAUGGUUCUGGUUCAACAUCUGAGUUAACUACCUCCCAUAGAUCAAAUGCCUGGAGGUAGGUUCUCAUCUUGACUACCCAAAUGUGAUAUCAUUCUCCAUUGAAAACUAGAGGUGCAGCUGGUGAGAAGCUUGAUGAAGCCAUCAGUAUGUGAUCCAACUAUAACAGGUGCACUAAGAUAAAGGCUCUGAUACCAAUUGUUGGGGAUUUAGCACACUUUAAUCGGAUGAAGUAAGAACUUCAAUUUGGACUUUAACAACAGUGUAUUAUACCCGGAUAAAGAAUGAAGGAAAAAUGCUUGAAGUUCAAGCUUUGAGCUACUGCCAGGAAUGGAGAACAGAAUUUAGAAGGCAAAGAAAGAUGGAGCAUAUGGAAGUAAAAUCUGAUGAUUUCAUUCAAAAGAAACUUUGGCUCAAAGCCAUUACAUAUACCAGUCAUUGCUGGUCAAAAUAAACAAAUCCAUCACCUAAACACUACCUAACUCCACCUAUUACAUUGGAACUAGGUGAUAUUACUUGCACACUUGAACAAAGCUGGUAACCAACUCUUUGACCAUCAAGUUACAUCAAUUUGUCAUCCAAGCAUAAUUAAAAAUGAACUAAAUUACAAAAAUAUUGUUAAAAAGUAACAAAAUGAAACUGAUAUGAAACAGUGGUAUUAAAAUCUUAUGUUGCAUUUAUUUUACCCAGACAACUUAUGUGCAAAAAAAAUCUUGCGCGCAUGAAUUUGCUUGAGCUGCAUGUGUUGCAUGGGAACUAACUUCAACAAUUUUCGUUCAAUCAUAGCUUGAUUCAUUAGAAAAGAUUGGUUAUUUGUGAGAUUUGUUUUUUUUAUAUCCUUUUCUUUUUUGUUGAUGUAAGACUAGGGAAUGAUAGAUCAUUGAGAACACCUGAGCUGUAAGACCUUCAAUUUGUUUUACUGAAUUCAAAGUAAUCUUUAGAGGCCCUUUCUGGUUCUGGCAAUUCAGUCUUGGUGGAGAAGUAAGUUACCUUUGACUUAGACUUAUUAUUAUGAUUUUAGGUUCAUUUAAUGAUUUUUAGCAUCCUCGCCGUCAUUUAAAGAUUUUUAGCAUCCUCGCCGUCUUUUCCCCAUAUUUAUCAAUGGGUUAUAUAAGUCCAGAAUUUGCUAGAGAUCUCAAAGCUUGUGGGCUGAACACGUGGAGGUGGAGGCAACUUUUGACAGUUUUCAUUCUCAAGCUAGAUUGGGUUAGUUUGCUGGUAGAGCCAUUGGAGUCGAUAUUUUCUUAUCUUGGAUUUUGAUUAUCAUAUCAGUUUGGGCUGAAAUUUCUUUGUAUGUUACUACCUCUCAUGUUGUUUGAGCAUUGCAGUGAAGAGAUAUUAAGAUUCAUACUUGAAUUCUUUUUGGCAAUUGACUUGUUAUUGGUUGGUUUUGAUUCAUAGGAUCGGUGAUGGAUAUCAUUCAGCUUAAUUGUUUAGGUUCCACCAUUGGUGCUCAUGCCAUGGGCUGUAAGUAGAGAUUUAAUCAUAUUGUAUCUCAAUACUAUCUGCAGUUUACUUCAAUGAUUCAUUCACCCAUUGAUUUAUGUUUCAUAUUUUCUUAAAACGUUAGUAAAUAUAUAUAUGUUUUCAGUUCAUGAUUUCUGAUUUAUAUUCAUGUUAGCUAAGGUAAACCUACCAACUAUUCCCCAUAUAUAAUCUAUUUGCUAUGUUUUAUUAUUUUGAAUUUUAUGACUAUGAUCUAUUGAUUCCAUAAAACUUGAUGAAAGCCAAGCCGGACACAAGUUCAAUACUCUACUGGAAUUGACGUUGCAAAUUAUUGGUGGUUUUGAUAUCUUCUUUCUCACCAAUAAAUGAAGUUCCCACAAAAUUACUAGUGUUAAGGUGAAUGUUGUGAAUCAAUGCAAAAUCCACAUUUAUAUAUGUGCGCUUUUACGUUUUGAAUUUGGUGAUGUGAAGGGAAUAAAGAUGGCAAUGGUUGAUGAAAGGAAAGCAGGUGAGGGAAUAAAUGACAAAUUUUUGUAACAAGUAAGCUUUUAUGAUGUUCAAUUUCUUUUUUUGAAUGAUUUUUUCAUAUUGCGGUUGAACUGAGAUAUUAAAGCAGUACUACAACUUGUCAACAGAGUUGCCUUGUUCAUCCCAUCCAGCUUUGCUUCAACGCUUUCUGGAUUUUGGCCAUUAAGAGGAAGCAUAUGAUCUUGGGUAAAUUACUUUUGACUCAUUUUGAUUAUUAGUAUCCUCAUGGCAUUCGUUUCCCCUGAUUUACCAAUGGAUUAUAUAAAUGCAUGCAGAAUGUUGAAGUUGGCCUGCAUGUGGCACAUGCAGCACAUGCAACACAAGUUGUGCUGAUGAAGUACUUGCAGCUGGAAAGGAUCAAGCUGCUAUAUUAUUACCGGAUGAAGUAUGCAUGAAGUUGCUGAAGCACAUCACUGCUAUAGUAUUUCAUUUUGUUUUGUUACUUUAAACAUUAUUUUGUAAUUAGUUUGAUCUAAACUAAGUUGACAUUGUUUUUUUUAUGUAAUUUGAUGUAAUUAGGUGCUGAUAGAUUGAUAAAUUAGUUUACCUAUGUGUACAAGUAGCGUUUUUUCAUAAGUUCCAAUGUUACUUGGUGGUAAUAGGUAAUGUUAGGUGACAAUUUGCUUUAUUUUGACCAGCUAAAUGUUUGGCAUAUGUAUUGGCUCUAAGCCUUCAUUCAAUGUUAAUGAAAUCACUUUGAGAAUUUCAUCCAAAUACUCUCUCAAUUCUUAGCAUUCAUUUUUAUCCCUUAAGUCCGAUUCUGUUCAUUUGCUCAAAAUCUCCUGACUUGAAUUUCAAGUUUUCUUCAUUCUUUACCCAAAUUUAUUUCGUUGUUGUUUAAGUUCCUAACUGAGCUUCAUACUUCCUCUAGAUAAAUUGUUCAAAAACCCAACAAUUGGUAUCUAAAGUUGUAUUCUCAGUGGACCUGUCAUAUUUCAACCUUAAAAACUAUGGCUUUAUCAAGCUUCUCACCAGCUGCACCACCAGUCCUCAAUGGAGAGGGCUAUCACAUAUGGAUGGUUAAAAUGAAAACCUAUCUGCAGGCAUUCGAUUUGUGGGAGGUGGUCAACUUAGAUGUUGAACCAGCACCACUCAGAGCCAAUCCAAUAGUGGCUCAGAUCAGGCAACAUGCUGAUGAAAGGACCAAGAGGCAUAAAGUCAUGUCCUGCAUUCAAAACAGUGUGUCUGAUGUGAUCUUUACAAGGAUCAUGGCCGGUAAGACACCAAAACAGGCCUGAGAUAGAUUGAAGGAGGAGUUCCAAGGGACAGAUGGAACAAGACAGCAACAGCUACUGAAUUUGAGAAGGGAUUUUGAAAACUUGAAAAUGAAAAAGGAAGAAACAAUAAAGCAAUACUCAGACUGAAUCAUGGCUAUUGUAAACAACAUAAGGCUGCUUGGAGAAUAGUUCAAUGAAGCAAGAAUUGUGGAGAAAGUGAUCCCAACCUUGCCUGAAAGGUAUGAGGCAAAGAUAUCAUCCCUAGAAGACUCGAGGGACCUGACCAGCAUUUCUUUGGCAGAGUUGAUCAUGCUUUCUAUGCUCAAGAGCAAAGAAGAGCUAGCAGACUGGAGGAGCACCAAGAAGCUGCCUUCCAAACCAAAACCAAACCAGCCUCAAGCACCUCUACCUACAAAGGUAAAAAGACCUGGAGAGAUAAGCUUAAGCCAGAUGCUGUAAGAAGAAGGAAUCAAUCCUACAGGCAUUGCAAAAGGCCUAGUCAACCAGAGGCUAAUUGUUGGUUUAGACCAGAUGUGCAAUGCUAAUACUGCAAAAAGAUGGGUCAUGUUGAAAAUGUUUACAAAAGUAAAGGUAGACCAAGGCAGAAUCAACCACAACAACCAAAGGUUGAAGCUCGAAUAGCAGAACAGGGCAGUGACCAUGAGGAGCAAGUCUUUGUAGUUUCCUGCUCAGCUGCUAAAGAAAUUGCCACAAAAGGAUGGCUCAUGCACAGUGGUUGCACCAACCAUAUGACACCUGAUGCUGCCAUCUUCAAGUCAAUAGAUAGAAGCUUCAAAACCAAAGUGAAGGUGGGAAAUGGCCACUUCAUCAAGGCAGAAGGCAAGGGAGAUGUGCUGAUAAGCACUCCCACAAGUAACAAGCUAGUUUCUAAUAUUCUUUUGGUGCCUGAGAUCGAGAGAAACUUGCUCAGCAUAGCUCAGUUGCUUGAGAAGGGCUAUAUGUGGUGUUCAAGGGCAAUGAGUUUCAAAUUAAUGAUCCAAGUGGAUCCAAUCUCAUAACAGUAGUCAUGACUAAUAAAAGCUUUGCUGUGGACUAGAAUAAGGGCUUAAACAGUGCCUACAUAGUCUCAUCAGAUGAAUCCAAGUUUUGGCACCAAAAGCUUGGCCAUGUCAACUACAGAUCGAUGGCUCAGCUAGCUAGAGAAGAUCUGGUUGAAAACUUUCCCAAUUUAGUUGAAAAUGAAGAGGUUUUUGAAGUAUGCCAGUUUGGAAAGUAGGCCGGGCUGCCAUUUACUUCAAACAAUGCCUGGAGAGCCUAAAAAAGGUUGCAACUGGUGUACACUGAUGUGUGUGGCCCCAUGAAGACUCAGUCUCUAAAUGGAAAUAGGUAUUUCAUCUUAUUCAUUGAUGAUUACUCAAGGUAUUGUUGGAUCCACUUCAUCCAACAUAAGUAUAAAGUAGCCUCAGUUUUUUCAAAGUUCAAGGCUGCAGCAAAAAUAGAAUCAAGAUGCAAGUUAUAGACUCUGAGAUUUGAUAAUGGAAUUGAGUACACCUCAACUUAAUUUCAACGCUUUUAUGAUGAAGCAGGCAUCAAGCACCAGCUCACCAACACUUACACAACUCAACUGAAUGGUGUAAAUGAAAAGAAGAAUAGAAGCCUGAUGGAUAUGGCCAGAUGCUUGUUGUUUGAGAAGAAUUUGCCAAAAACCUUGUGGGCUGAGGCAGGUAACACUACUAUCUACAUCCAAAACAUGCUCCUAACCAAGGCUUUGGCUCAGAAGACUCCAUUCAAGACCUGGUUUGGGUUCAAGCCAUCAUUAGCUCAUCUAAGGGUCUUUAGAUGCAUAUGUUAUGUACAAGUUCCAGUUGUAAAAAGAAACAAGCUGAAUAAGAAAGCUCAAGCAGGUAUUCUGGUAGGUUACAACACAGUUAAGAAAGGCUAUAGGAUAUUGGAUCCUUCAAUAAACAAAGUGUUUGUAAGCAGAGAUGUGGUGUUCAAUGAAAAAACAAGUUGAAAUUGGAAAAAGAAUGAGCCAGAGGUAGUUUCUGAGGACUUUGUAGCAGAUCAGACUGAAACUGAUCAAAAUGGUCCUAAAAUGGACAUUGAUGAUGAACUAGUUAGGGGCAUUAGACAUUUGGCUGAGAUUUAUGAAAGAGCUCAAGUAGCUAUAGUAGAACUAAACUGCUUUGAAGAUGCUAAAGCUCAGCAAGGCUGGAAACAAGCCAUGGUUGAUGAAAUCAACAUGAUUGAGAAGAACCAGACUUGGGAAUUACUUCGGAAACCAGUCAACAGGAAGAUCAUUGGGGUAAAAUGGGUCUAUCAAGCCAAGCACAAUGCUGAUGGGAACUUGAACAAGCUUAAAGUUAAGCUAGUUGUGAAAGGGUUCAGCCAGAAGUAUGGCAUAGACUACCUGGAGACCUUUGCACCAGUGCGCAGGCUUGGCACCAUUAGGCUGCUAGUUGCCUUAGCAGCACAGAUGCAGUGGAAAAUUCACCAGCUUGAUAUAAAACUAGCCUUCCUCAAUAGAUUCCUUGAAGAAGAGAUUUAUGUUGAGCAACCUCAAGGCUUUGAAGUGGCUGAUAAAGAACACAUGGUGUAUAGGCUAAAGAAAGCCUUAUAUGGCUUGAAACAAGCACCAAGGGCCAGGUACAGUAGAAUUGAUGGCUACUUGGUCAAUUUGGGAUUUGAAAGGAGCAUUAGUGAGCCAACAUUGUAUAUUAAAAAGGAUGGAGUGCAAACUCAGCUCAUUGUGCCCUUGUAUGUUGAUGACCUGUUGGUGACAGGAGGAAACUAAGCAAUGUUAGCUGAUUUCAAAGCCAAAAUACAACAGAUGUUUGAGACAAAUGUCUUACUUCUUAGGCAUAGAAGUAACACAAACUUAGGAAUGAAUUUUUCUAAGUCAGAGGGCUUUUGCCAUAAAGAUCUUAAACAAAUUCUCAAUGCAGAAUUGUAAAGCAACAAGCACUCCAGUUGCUGUUGGGGAGAAGCUAUAUAGCCAAAGUGUUUUUGAGAAGGUAUGUGAGUCAACCUAGGUAUGUGAGUCAACCUAUAGGAGCCUAGUUGGUUGUUUGCUAUACUUGACUACCGCUAGGCCAGACAUAAUGUUUGCUAUGAGUUUGCUCUCAAGAUUUAUGCAUUGUUGCAAUACAAGUCACUUCAAAGUUGACAAGAGAGUUUUCAAGUACAUCAAAGGUACUCUGAGUUAUGGAAUAUUGUUUAGUAAAGCUAAAAGCUUGAAAUUGGUUGGCUAUACUGAUAGUGACUGGGCAGGCUCAAUGGAUGACAUAAAAAGUACUUCUGGGUACAUUUUUACACUUGGCUCAGCCAUUUUUAGCUGGGGUUCAAAGAAGCAAUAUGUUGUUGCUCAAUCAACAGCAGAGGUAGAAUAUGUGGCAGCUGUAGAAGCUGUCAACCAAGCCAUUUGGCUAAGGAAGAUCUUAGCUAAUCUGAAUCUUCACUAAAGGGAAACAACAGAAAUUAUGUGUGAUAAUCAAUCUACUGUUGUAAUUGCAAAGAAUCCAGUUUUUCAUAGAAGAACAAAUCACUUCAACAUUAAGUUUCAUAUUGUUAGAGAGAUAGAGUAAGCUCGAGAAGUGUUGCUAAUUCAAUGCAAUUCUGAAGACUAAGUUGCUGACAUCUUGACAAAACCCCUUAGUGUGUCAAGGUUCAUCAAACUAAGAGAACUAAUGGGACUCUACAGCAUGCAAGCCAAUGAGGAGUGUUGAAGUUGGCUUGCAUGCAGCACAUGCAACACAAGUUGUGCGGAUGAAGUACAUGCAGCUGGAAAGGAUCAAGCUGCUAUAUUAUUACCGGAUGAAGUAUGCAUGAAGGUGCUGAAGCACAUCACUGCUAUAGUAUUUCAUUUUGUUUUGUUACUUUAAACAUUGUUUUGUAAUUAGUUUGAUCUAAACUAAGUUGACAUUGUUUUUUUAUGUAAUUUGAUGUAAUUAGGUGCUGAUAGAUUGAUAAAUCAGUUUACCUAUGUGUACAAGUAGCGUUUUUUCAUAAGUUCCAAUGUUACUUGGUGGUAAUAGGUAAUGUUAGGUGACAAUUUGCUUUAUUUUGACCAGCUAAAUGUUUGGCAUAUGUAUUGGCUCUAAGCCUUCAUUCAAUGUUAAUGAAAUCACUUUGAGAAUUUCAUCCAAAUACUCUCUCAAUUCUUAGCAUUCAUUUUUGUUCCUUAAGCCCGAUUCUGUUCGUUUGCUCAAAAUCUCCUGACUUGAAUUUCAAGUUUUCUUCAUUCUUUAUUCGGAUUUAUUACAUUGUUGCUUAAGUUCCUGGCUGAGCUUCAUACUUUCUCCGGAUAAAUUAUUCAAAAACCCAACAUAGAAUUAAGUAGAGUUGCUCUUAUCUCAAAACAAGUUGAAUGAACACAUGGAACCUGGAUGUUAUUUUCAAUGCCAACCCUAUCACACUUUUAAUUCUCAAGCUAGAUUGAUGAGCUUUUAUGUUUAUUCCAUAGAGGCCAACAUAAACACUUGGAAGAAAAAAAUCCAAAUGAUUUUGGUUUAGUUGGAACUUUAAAGUGCAGAGCUGGUUUCAUGGUAAAGCCAUUUGACUUGAUUGUUAUAUCAGUUUGGGCUAAAACUUGAAUCAAUUUUCCCCUUUCGUAAUUAAAAUUCCAAAAUUUUAUUCUGCUUUGGAAUUGUAAGGAUGCAACAUCGGAAUUGCUUUGUACAUUCGCUUUUUAUGAGAUGGUAUCCAAUAAGUUCAAGAUUUGUAGCUUAGUAAUUAAAAUAACUUUCUGUAACACUAAAUUAUGAUCUACUAUAAGAAAAAACACAAAUUUUAUACUAAUCUGAUUAUUUUAUAACGCCAUGUGACUUACAUUUAUAGUAAUUAAAAAGAUUCUGCUUUGGAGUUCAAAAAAUAUCCACGCGAAGCCGUGGUGGGUAUCAUAGUUCAGAUAUGGAGCUUCGUACUUAAAUUCUUUUAAGCAGUUGACUUGUUAUUGGCUGGUUUUAAUUCAUAGGAUCAGUGGUGGACUUCAUUCAGCUUCAUUGUUUAGUUUCCAGCCUUGGUUCUUAUGCUGUAGGGAGUAAGUGGAGCUUUAUUGUUUAGUUUCCAGCAUUGGUCUUAAUACUCACUGCAUUUGCUUACUUAUGUCAUUGGUAUUUGUUGUGCUUUUUACUUGCAAGUUUAAUGCAACGCAUAUGCUAACCAAAACAGAGUGUCAAUAAAGAAUUGAUGGUAGAUCUUUGGACAUGCCAUUAUGUUUGGAGUUUUACCUACAAUAGAAAAAGGAGGAGCAAGUAAGCUUUUCAAGAGCUUCAAUUUCUUCCAAUGAAUGCUUGCUUUAUGUUUGUGCAUGAACUGAGAUAUUGAGGAAGUACUGCAACUUGUCAACAGAUUUGCCUUCUUGAUCUUAUUCAACAUUGAGCCAAUGCAAAUUGAAGCUAUUUCCUAAGCUCUUUCUGAUUUUUGAGCCUUCAGAGGAACCAUAUGCGCUUCGAAAAUUUAGCCUUCCUUGAGAGGUAAUUUACCUUUGUUUCAUUGUGAUGUUUUUAGCAUUCUCAUGAACUCUUUCCCCUAAUUUAUCAAUUGGUUUAUAUGAAUUCAGAAUUUGCCAAAGUUGCUGUUAUCUCAAAACUCGUGGGAUGAUGGAGCUGGAGAUUAUUUUUAGUGGCACCCCUUUCACAGUUUUCAAUCUCAAAGCUAGAUUGUUGAGCUUCGAAGUUUUACCCCGCAGAGGAAACCAACAAGACACUAGAAUAUUGGCAUUCGCAAUCAACUCAGUCUCUAAGAAAUAACUAUUCCAUCACCUUAUUUUCUUUGUAUAAUUAUAUAUUUAAUUUAAUUGAUUUUGUGGAUGAUAAAUACUAUUUUUAAUGUCAAUUUUUUUAGUAUUAUUUUAAUUAUAUUUGUUGUUAUCUUUUAGUGACUAAUCAUAGUCCUUGUAGUAGAUUUUGGAUAUAUCUAUUGGAUAAGAAUCAUAAUAUAGACAAAUAUAGUUGCUGCUUAGGAUUUAAGUUUAGAUAACAUUUUCUACAAUAAAUAGGUGUAAAAAGAAGGUGAUAAAUUAUUGGACCAGGUCAUGGGAGUGGAUUUUCUGUUUAAAUUCGAAGUGUCACUCAAAAUUUAAGAGUAUUUGAGAAAAAAAUAUUAGACUCAAAAUAUAAGCUUAGGAAAAUUUAGAUCCAUUAAAAUAUGAGCUCAGGUUUGAACGUUAAAGGUUUGAGCUUAGCCCGACCCGACUCAUUUUUUAAGUUUGUAAUGGUUUAUAUUAUGUUAUGUAACUUAUGAUAUAUAAAACUUAAAACUACUAUAAUAUAAACAUUAAAAAAAUGUUAACAUGACUAUAUAUAAAAUUUUAAUAAAUAAAAAUAUAAUUAUUAAAUAUCAAACUAAUAUAAUAUAAAAAUUUUAUUGAAAAUUUCAAAAAAAAAAAGGGCAGGCUUAAAAUGAGCUUAGAUUAGUCAUUUAUAAAUAUGGAUGGACUUGGGUAAUCAUAAAGUGCAUUAAUAUUAUUCUUAGGUCUAACUCAAAUUUAGCUCGGCUCAUGAACACUUUAAUGAAUAGUGGUGAUGUUGAAGCUAACGAAGGGGGUGGAAAAUUUCGAUGGAAACAACGAAGAAGAUGAGAAACCCAAAUAACUCCUGGGCUAGGUGUAAAAAGUUAUAAAAUAAUUAAAUAUAUUAAAUAAUUUUGUAGUUAUAGAGGUUUAAAUUCAUUGGAUAAUUUAAAAUUAAAAUCAAAUUAAUAAAAUGUGUAAUCGCUGAAGACUAAAAGUGUUAUUGGACCAACUACAAAUAGGUUACAACAUCAUUUUCAUUAAUAAUAUAACGGAGGACGACCAAGUCAUCAUUUCCAUUAACAAUUUAACGAAAGGGUAACCAAAACAAAAACAUGUUAAAGGUUAAGUAACUAAUUGAGUAAUUUACCUUAUAUUCAUUGAAAAAAUAUUUAUUUAUGGCUUAAUUAAAUAGGAGGCCUUAAAUUAUGCCUAUUAUUUUAGAUACUUAUUUUUUUAAUCGAACCACAUAUUCCAUAACCGAAGUUAGCCCUGUGGUUACCUCCAUAAAAAAGAAAUCGUCCCAGCCAAUAAAAAACACCAAAUCUCAAUCCCACAAAAAUAUGAUUAAAAAAUAAUUGAUACUAGUAUUAAAUAAAAAUAACUAAAAGGGUACCCCUCUCCCUAUAUAUUAAAAUUUUAUCUACACUUCUAUUUAAUUAGGCCUUUUUGGUCUGUAUUAUUUUUUCAUUUCCAUUUUAGUUUGUUUUUUUCUCCUUCAUUGUACUACUUUUAAAAUGUUAUUGAUAUUAGUGAUAUUAAUUCAAUUUUUUCGUAUGGAACUUUUAAUAAUAUAAUAUAAUUUAAAUAUAAAAGAAUUAAUUAAUAUUUUAAUUAAUUGACUUGUUGUUACUUAAUUUAUGAUGCCAAACUUAUUAGUUAACCAAUUGAGUUGGUAUCACUUCACUUAUGACAUCAAACUCAGUGUAAUUUUUAGCAUACUAAUCUAAUGAGUGAAUUUAGAAUUUGCCAAAGUUACUCUUACCUCAAAACUUGUGGGAUGAACACAUGGAACCGGAGAAUGUUUUUCACUGGCAACCUCUUGACAGUUUUUUUUCUCAAGCUAGAUUGAAACUCAAUAAACACUGGAAAAAGAAUUGUAAAAAAUCCAAAUGAUUUGGGUUUAGUUCGAGUUGCUUUCAUUGAAAUGGCUUUCAUGAAUCUUAUGUGGUUUUAGGUCGAGUUUGAGUCAUAUUAAUUGGUGGCGAAAUAAAUUUCGAAUUGUUUCUAGUGGGAAUGAAUUGGACAAGGGUUAAACAAGGGUGUGGUUGUUUCUCUUUAUAUAUGGAAGUUGAACAUGCUAUUCUAUUUUCUUAAUGUGUAAAUGCGUAAAUGCGUAAAUGUUAAUGUUAAAUUUGUUGAUUUUUUAGAAUCAAGAUUAAAUUGAUAAAAAUGCAAACAUUGAGGGCUAAAUUUAUUAUUAUACCAAUCAAAAUUAUGUGAAUUUGAUAGAAGACAUUAACGAUGUAGUUAAAUGUACUUAGCUGCUCACUUUCACAAUUAACAAAGAUUAAAUUUUUCCUCUUUUAAAGGGACCAAUUUAUUCAAUUUUGAAAUUAAGAAAGACUAAAGAAGUCGUUUUACCCAAACUUGCCUUCCCUAUGUUAGAAAGGACUAACAAAGAAAAUCUAUCAUUAUUUCACCUAGGAAAAUAGAAACACAACACCCUUCCUUCCAAAGACUUUUCAUUCAGGGGAAGAAAGCGGAAAUUAUCCGUCAAGAAAGUGGUAGGAAAUUUAAGUUUAAUUCACUUAAAAUGGUCUAAAAGUGGCAAUUAUUCUUAAGAAAGCUAUACAAAAUUUCAGUUCAAUUGACCCAAAUGACAAAGUGUGUUCCAGUCAUUAUUUUUAUUAGGAAAUUCAUAAGAAAUUUCAUCACAACCCAAAAAGAAAUUCAUAAAUGAAGACAAUUUUUUUUGAAGUUGUACGUUUGGUUACAAAAUCAACUAAUAUCUAUUUUUGAAUAGAUGAUUUAUUCAUACUAACAUAUUAAAUAGGCCCUUAAGCUUUAUCACAUUAUCUAAAUAAUCUCGUGUACUUUUAUCAUACCCCAAAUAAGCCUUUAAACUUUAUUUGUUAUCCAAAAAACUUUUAAUUUUUAACUUGUAUCUAGAAAAGUUUUAAUCUUAACAAAUUUGUCCCAUUGGAAGACCUUGACUUGGAAAUUAACACCCAUCAUCAUCAUUUGGAACAAUUUUUCUUGUUCGUCAAAACUCCCUUUUAAUACUCUUCAUCAAAGUCCACAUCACCAGAAAACUAAUACAUAGACUUAAGGCUUAGAAUAUGGUUGUUUAUAUAAACUCAAAAUCUUUUUCAUUUUGUUUUUCUAAAUAAUGUGAGAUAUGGGCUUUUAUAUAAAUUCUUAAUCUCUUUGUGCCUUGUUCUUAAGCAAUAUGAGAUUUAUUACCCUUUUAACUAACAAAAGAUUUAAGUUAAACUUAGUUUUUAAAGACUAAAGAUAAUAGUUAAACUUUGCACAACAAUAAACACGAUUAAAAUAUAUUUUUUAAUAUUUUAAAUGGUAAUUAUAAGUUGAUGUUGAAACUCAACACUCCCCUCAUCACCAACUUUUAUUUAAAUUAACAUAUCAUUUGAAAUAAGGGCUAAUUUAAACACAAAUAAAAAUAUAGGGUUUUAUUUGGGUAUCACAAAAGUAAACUAGUUCAAGGACUCUUUUAAGAAUUUAACCAUUUGCUGAACAUUGUCCCAUUGGAAGACCUUGACUUUUGUAGGGAAAAGAUACAAAUAAAGAAGACUGUCAUUUCCUGGAAAGUGUGAGAGUGACAAUUUUCUUGACUAGAUAAUUAGCUAAUCUCCUCUCCAGUCGUCGCCUUUGUUAAAUCUCAUUGUCAUUUACUACUAGGAUACCAAAGCUCCCUUUGUGUAUUUUCCUCUCUUCUUCCUCAAUCUCACCAUCCAUACACUUUCAUGGCAUCUUCAUCAUCUUCUUCUAUUCAACUGAUGCAUUAACUUUUCUUAACCUUCAGAGGUGAAGACUCAUGCCUUAACUCAAAAUUUUAUUUACUCCUAAGUUCUAGCACGAUAAAAUUAUCAUGACUUUGAUAAAAUUAGAGUUUAAUUGAGAAAAUAAUUUAAUUAAAUGAAUGAAUUAAAUUUAUUUUAAUUAAUUAUAUAAAUAAUAUUUUUACAAUGUAAACUUGAUAUUGGGUUGGAUAAAUUAAAUGAAUUGAUUUAAAGUUCAUAUAGACUUGAUCAGGCCCACUUUCUAAGCCCGACCUAAUCUACCCAUAUUAAUUUCUUUAGACUAUUUUUAUUUAAAGAUAAAUUUUAAAAAUAUAAUACAUCAAAUACAUUAAAAAUAUUAAAAUAAAUAUUUCUCAACAAAUUGAAAAUAAAUUUUUUUAAAAUAAAUAUUUAUACUUAAAUAACACUAAUACAGUUGCAAUUUAACAAUCAAAUGUUUUUAAAAUAGUAGCAAAAUUAACAAUAAAACAAAAAAUUUAAUAUCUAAACAAUAACAAUAAAAUAGUAGCAAUACAAUAAUAAAAUUGUAAUAAAAAUAAUAUAAGAGCAGUUAAUAACAACAAAAAAGAAAUAGUCAAAUUCGGACUAUUGGUAUGUUGAAUAAUAUUUUACUCAACAUUUACGUUCUAACACAUAAACUAUUAAUUUCCAACUUUUAAAUUAAUUGCCAAUGAUAGAAAUAUGAAGGUGUUUAAUUAAUUAAAACCAACCAGAAUCACAUGCUCUAUAAAUAGCUUGUGAUUUAGAAUUUUCAUUCAUUGGUGCAUUAUCAACUUACUUUUUUCCUUAUGCAUUUUACAAGCUAUAUGUAUGGUUGUGAUGUGCAAAUUUUGUGGAACUUCCAUGAAAAUUCAGCCCAGGAGUGGUCUGAUUUGAUUUAUCCAAAUUCCUACAUAUGUAGCUUCGAGGAAAGAAAGAAGGUUGGAUGGCAUUUUGAAGUGCUGUAAGAUUUAUUAGUCAUUUUGAAAUUGGUGUCAAAAGCAAAAGCAACCUUUUUUUCUUUUUCUUUUCUCAGCCAAUAAAAUUAUUUUAUUAAAAGGUUUAAUGUAUCGUCCUUAUCACCUCACAAAAAAAGUGAGUUGAAGGGGGUGAAUUUCCAUAUGCUUUGGUGCAUUAUCAACUUUUACUUUUCCUUAUGCAUUUUGUAACAAUAUGUAUGACUGUAAUAUGCAGAUUUUCUUUGUAAAUUCAGCGAAAUUCCUAAUUAUGUAGCUUCCUGGAAAAACAAAAGAAAAAGGAGAAGAUUCUUGACAUCUUUGUAGCAUACUACUAUUUGUUUUUUUGCAAUCAAUGAAUCAAUACUUUGGGGGUGUGGGAAUCAAAUCGCACAAUUAAUCUGUUCUUUCACAGACUAGGCAAGGAAAAGAGUUCCAUUGAUAGUAGUAUCACUAUGCAACCAAAAAAAAAAUGCAAAUUGAUAGUAGAUUUAAAAUGAAAGUUUUGAAGUGAUCUUAAAUAAAAAGGAUUUGGUGACUACUCAAGUCGAUUUAAAAAAACGUUCAGGUAGAAAUAAACUCAAAUUUAAUAUUUUUUAUCUAAGCCGAGUUUUGACAAAAAAUUUAAGUUCAUGGUUCAUACUGGACAAACCUAAAAGAUAAUUCUAAAAUUUUAUAUUGAACCCACGCGGUAAAUCUCACAAUUAAAAUUCAAUCAAAAUAACAUUGGUGAAUCAAAGGAGACAAAUGGGAUUGAGAUGAACAUUGUUUUGGUUAUUCUCUUUGGUACAAAGAUAGCUACACUCUAUGAAUAAGAAACCAGUUUAGACAGAAUCUACAUAGAUAAAGGGAUAACCAGCACCCAGAGACAAUACAAUACGUAAAACCCCGUGUAAGCAAGCUGAAGGAUAAACCGUAUGCUACAACUACAAUGGUCGUUCCUGUCCAGAAUUCAUCACAUAGGAAAAGGCAUAACCAAACUCCCUGAAUUAUACUUUGUAAAACUAAACUAAAACUACCAAAAUAUUGCAACACAAAAGAACGGAAAAACCAACAUCCCAGAAUUGCAACACUAAGUUUCGACACUCGAGAAGUGGAAACCAUGAGCACCGUUAAAAAAAAAACCAAAAUCGAAAAAGAAAUCAUAACUCUAGUUGUGGACUCUGUUGGCGCUAUGUAAACUAUUGAUUGGUCGAAGCAUAUUGCGAAGAAAGCAAGUAAGACUUGAAGUGCUGUUCUGAAACAAUGGGGAUAAGGUUUAAGCAAGGCUAAUGUUAAGAAAAAGGUUACGAUGAAGACAAGAUAAGUUGGAAUAUAGAAAACAAAAAAAAGUAAAUUCAUCUAAGAUUGAUUUACCCAAUGCCAUCUCAUCAUAUGACCCUUUGGACUUUGAAGUGUUAUCUCCCUGCCAAACACCACCAGGUGGGCUAAGACUAGCUUGGAAGGUUGCAGUUAGAAGCAACCCUAAAAUUACUAGUAAGGCAUUGCGGUCCUCGCCUGACAUAUUAUCUAUCUCGUGAGGCAUUAGAUAUGAUAUUUUUAUCAUUUGGUUCUUGUACUUACGUAUAAAGUUUGAAACUCCUGGAAUAAAGCAACGACGUAGAACAGUAAUACUGUCUUCAUUAUGAUGUUGGUCUGCAAUAUCCAAUGCUGUCAAACCAGCUUGAUUGGUAGCGUACUCAUCGGUGUUCCAGUUCAAUAAUAGUUUAAGCAUCUGUUUAAUUGAUAGUUUGAGAAAUAAAAGAACUACAAUCUAUGUCUAUAAAGAUUAAAAAGAAGCCGUACUGAACUAGAUGAGUCAAACCUCAGGUCGAUCAUGAAAAGCAGCUAAGUGCAGUGCAGUGUUUCCGCCUUCAUCUUUUUGGUUCACCACUUCACUAUAGUAGCCUGUCUUCUCAAGUGUUCGAAUUAGGACUUGAAGAACAUCCAGUCCGUUUUCUUCCACGGCAAUAUGCAAAGCAUUACGAUUCUCAAUUGUCACGUCUCUAAUCGAUUGAGGACAAAUCUCUGGAAAUCUAUCCAACAGACCAUUAUGGUUCCCAACUUCAGUUAUGAUGUGCAAAGGUGUCUUGCCAUUCUUUCCUUUGACACGAGCUAGAUCUUUAUUAAUUUCCAAGAAACGUAGAGCCAUACUUGUAUCCGGAUUUGUAACUGCAAGGUGAAGUGGAGUCAAGCCUUGUUUGUUUAGCUUGCUAGCAAAUGAUGGCUUUAAGCUCAUCAUUUCCAUUGCAAGCCUAAGGCAUCCUUCUUCUGCAGCAAUGUGUAAGGGCCGAGUUUCGACAAACUCCUCCUCGUCAAAUUGCUUCAAAGCAUUUCCAUCUAUUUCAAUUAAACUGUAUAGAUCACUAACAUUUCCUGUACAAGCUGCUGUUCUCAACCUUUCAUCCAUGACAGAAGAAGAAUGGAAAGAGCUUAAGCCCACUUAGAGUGUUAACUAGAAUGAGUGAGGACUUACGGUUUUAAAGAUCGUUGCUGCUUUGUCUAUAGAGAAAGCAGAAAAAAUGAAUCUUUCAACUCCGCGUGCUUAUUUUUUAAAAGAAAGUUGCAUUUGAAUAAUUUUAAAUUAAUUUUAAAAAUAAUAAUUUAAUUAUAUAAUAAAAAAAUAUUUUUAAUAGAGCUGCAAUGGUUGUUGAUGGAAUGCUUUUUUGUGCCGUAAUUAACUUAAUCUCAAAAUUCGAAAUAAUGAAACUCGAAAUCAAAUAAAUUUGAAAUAAUUCAAAUUUAAAUUGGAAUCAAUUCAAAAUUAAUCUUAUUCAAAUGAAACUAAUUAAGGAUCAAUCACAACUCUCUAAAUCUAUUAAUCUAAUUUAAUUACUAUUUCUAAUAUAUAUUGAAAGUGUUAUAAGUAAAGUAUAAUUAAAAUAUAAAUAUAUAUAUUUAAGUAAUCAUAAAUAUUAAAUUAUUACGGUAUAAAUGAAUUGUCUGAAAAAUCACCAAAUAGAAUUAAAUUAUUACAAUACAAAUAGAUUAAGAGCUUAUACUAAAGUUAACUAACUUAAUUAAUUGGAAAAAAAAUUACAUACAAUAAAUAUACAUUAUUACACAUAGUAAAUCUCGAACUUAGUCUACCUUUCUAGUGCCAAAUCCUAUUAACAUUACUACCUAUAAAAAUCUCGAACUUAGUCUUCUAGUGCCAAAGCCUUUUAACAUUACUACCUAUACAUUUUUUUAAUGCUCAUGAAAACAUAUAUCUCCUAUGCAAUUGUCUUUUUUUUUUAAUUAUCCUAUCAUUAUUUAUUUUAUAAAGUUGAAGCUUACUGACACUAUUAUAUAGGUGUAUUUGUGGAUCGAAAUUUGAAAUUAAAUAUAAAUGGACUCACUUCAAUUAAUGAAUCUGUCGCUUGAGUUCAUCCCAUUAACUUUUUGGUUGGUAAAAAGUAUAUCAAUAAUAUAAGAUAUUAUUAUAAUGAGAUAACAUAAGAUUCUUCAAGAAAGUGGUAUGAAAUUUAAAUUUAAUUUACUUAAAAUUGUCUAAAAGUGGCAAUUAUUCUUAAAAAAGUUAUACGAAAUUUCAGUUCAAUUGACCCAAAUGACAAAAUGUGUUCAAGUUAUUAUUUUUGUUAGGAAAUUCAUAAGAAAUUUUAUAACAACCCAAAAAGGAAUUCAUGAAUUGUGACAAUUUUUUUUGAAGUUAUACAUUUGGUAACGAAAUCAACUAAUAUCUAUUUUCAUAUAGAUGAUUUACUCAUACUAAUAUAUUAAAUAGGCCCUUAAGCUUUAUCAAAGUACCUAAAUAAUCUCAUGUACUUUUAUCAUACCCCAAAUAAGCCUUUAAACUUUACUUGUUAUCCAAAUAACUUUGAAUUUUUAACAUGCAUCUAGAAAAGUUUUAAUCUUAACAAUUUUGUCCCAUUGGAAGACCUUGACUUGGAAAUUAACACCCAUCAUCAUCAUCAUCAUUUGGAACAAUUUUUCUUGUUAGUCAAAACUCCCUUUUAAUACUCUUUCAUGCCUUCUUCUUCAUCAAAGUCCACAUCACCAGAAGGCUAAUAUAUAGACUUAAGGCUUAGAAUAUGGUUCUUUAUCUAAACUCAAAUUUUUUUUUGCCUUUGUUUUUCUAAAUAAUGUAAAAUAUGGUCUUUUCUAUAGAUUUAUAAUCCUUUUGUGUUUUGUUUUUAGAUUUAUUAUCCUUUUAACUAAAAAAAUAUUUAAGUUAAACUUGGUUUUUAAAAACUAAAUAUAAUAGCUAAACUUUGUAUAACAAUAAACACAAAUAAAAUAUAUUUUUCAAUAUAUUAAAUGGUGAUUAUAAGUUGAUGUUGAAAUUCAAGGCUCUCCUCAUCACCAACUUUUUUUCUAAAUUAACAUGUCAUUUGAAAUAAGGGCUAAUUUAAACACAAAUAAAAAUAUACGGGUUCAUUUGGGUACCAUAAAAGUAAACUAGUUCAAGGACUCUUUUAAGAAUUUAACCAUUUGCUGAACAUUGUCCCAUUGGAAGACCUCGACUUUUGUGGGUAAAAGAUACAAAGAAAGAAGACUGUCGUUUCCUAAAAAGUGUGCGAGUGACAAUUUUCUUGACUCAGAUAAUUAGCUAAUCCCCUCCGGUCGUUGCCUUUGUUAAAUCUCAUUUUCAUUUAAUACUAGGAUGCCAAAGCUCCCUUUGUGUAUUUUCCUCUCUUCUUCCUCAAUCUCACAAUCCAUACACUUUCAUGGCAUCUUCUUCAUCAUCUUCUCGUUAAAUGAUACAUUAAGUUUUCUUAACCUUCAAAGGUGAAGACACAGGCCUUAACUCAAUAUUUAAAACUCAAAUUGACUUAAUCAAUCCAAAUUAUUAAUUAAAAUUAACCCAACAUGCCUGGUUCAUAGGUUUAGUUAAGGGGUAAUAGGUCAAGGACAAGGCUAUAUGCAUGAAGUUACGACAGAUGGGUGUGGAAAAGUUGGGGUCCUAUUUGCCAUUAUGUUAGUUAUGUGAGUGCCGAAUUUGAAUAUGUUCAAUUUUUAUUAAUAAUUUUCAUUUAUUUGUAUCGUUGGAUGGACAAGAUCAAAAUAGAUGCUAUUAAUGGUAUAAGCUUGAUUAAGUCUUCUUUAGUUUUAGUCUAUUAAUUUUUUUCUCUCUCUAAAAUUUGAAUUUUUUUAUUUUUUAAAUAAUUUUUUUCUCAUUUUGUUAUUUAAAUUAAUAUUUAAUUUAUCUUAAAUCGUUUCUACUAGUCUAAAUAGAAUUGUCAAUGAAAAAUGUGUAUCUUUCUUCCCAUCCUUUUCAAAACCUUACAUAACAUAUAAAGUCAGAAUAUCUCUAAAUGAAGAGUCGGAACUUAAGUACAAAUUAUUUUAGUCUUAAUUAUAUAUGUUCAAUUAAUCAUUUUGCUAGCUCAACACAAUCAUUUACGGAUUUCAUUUGAACCGAAACAGAUUUCAUUUGAACCGAAAUGAAAAAAGAGAAAAAGAAAUAGAUUGCAUGUAUCACUAUCUACAAUGAAUGUGUUUUUUCGCUAAGAACAAGAAAUGACUUAUAUUAACUUAUUUCUUUAAAUUAUUAUUUAAUUAAUUAUAAUUAAAUAAUUAAAGUUUGAAGGGAAAAUUAAAUUAAUUAAUCAUUGUGGUUUUAAGGAAUGAGACAAUUAAAUUUAUUUACUCAUAGGUUCUAGUACGAUAAAGUUAUAAUGACUUUAACAAAAUUAAAAUUUAGUUGAGAAAAUAAUUUUAAUUGAAGGAAUUAGUUAAAUUUAUUUUAAUUAAUUAUAAACAUAAUAUUUUUACAAUGAAACUUGAUAUUGGGUUGAAUAAAUUAUAUGAAUUAAUUUAAAGUUCAUAUAGACCUGAUCAAUGGUCGAGUCAAUGCAAUUUUUUAAGCUUGUUUUCUAGGCUCGACCCGACCUUCCUGUAUUAUUUUUUUAGAUUAUUUUUCAUAAAAAGAUAAAUUUAAAAAAUAUAAUAUAUCAAAUAUACUAAAAAUAUUAAAAUAAGUGUUUCCCAACAAAUUGAGAAUAUAUUUAAAAAAUUUAUACUUAAAUAACACUAACACAUUGCAACAUAGCAAAAAAAAACCUUCUAAAAUAGUAAUAAAAUUAACAACAAAACAAGAAAUACAAUAUCCAAACAAUAACAGUAAAAUAAUAACAAUAUAAUAAUAAAAUAGUAACAAAACAACAACAUAACAAUAUUAAACAACAACAGAAAUUUUUUUCCCCAAAAUAUUUAAACUAAGUUUAAAUUUUAAAAUUGAAAUUAUAAAAAAAAAUUACUUAAAUUAUAUCCCGAAUAAAAACUAGGCUCAAACCAUAAAAUCAAACAUAGCAAGUAAAAGAAAUCACGGGUGCGGUACGGUUCCUAAGGUACACGCAUUGACAGUUUUGGUCUGUAAAAGAUUUAAAGAACAUUGAUUAUCCCAUGUGCUGUGACCAGUGAUGUAAUUUGGUUUCUUUUGCCUCAAUCUCACAACCCAUACUCUUUCAUGCUUGCUUGCUUGCUUCUUCUUUUUUUCUCAAAAAAUGGGUCAUCAAAUAAAUACUAAUAUUAAAUAUUUUAAUUAGGUUGGUGUAUAAGUUAUUUAAAUGUUAAUUUAAUAAAAAAAUAGUUAAAAACUUAAGAGUGUAAAAGUUGGAAUCAUAUCCAAUUUUCAUGCUGUCUUAAUGUAGAACAAGCAACAAAUGAUACCCAGCAAGUAUCUAAACAAUUUUCUCAUACAGAAGUCACAGUCAAGGCUUACUAAAUAUCACACAAGGGCUGAAAUAUACUAUAAAAGUCUGUUUUAGGCUUGCAUCUACAAUUUUUAAAUUGAUCUCAUAUUAUAAAAAAAUAAAGUGUUUAAAUAAAAACAAAUCAAAUUCCAUGUGAUUGUUUGAUGAUUAAAAGUGUUUACCGCUCUAAAUGUGAUCUGAAUUUGAGUCGUUUUAAUCACGUUUAUUGAUUUGAGUUGUUUUACUCUGUUAUUUUAAUUCAUCAAAAUAAUAAUAAUAAUAAUAAUAAAUCAAGAUGAUAGGUGUUUAAUGCAUCUUCUAUAUCACUCCAAAAAAAAAAGUUAUGAGUCACAUAUGGAGGGGUGACUUUUCAUACUUUGGUGCAUUAUGAGCUUACAGCUAGACGACUGUAACCUGCAGAUUUUCCAAUGGAAAUUUAGCCAAGAGGAUGACUCUGACAGCUUUGUAGCAUGGUUUUGAUUUGUUUUUUUUUUUUUUUUUUUGCAAUCAAUGAAUAAAGAUAAGGAAAAGUACAGUAAAGUCAAUAUGAUGUGAACUUAACUUUGGGGGUGUGGGAUCAAAUAGUAUAAUUAUUCAAUACCUAAAUACUUGUUUUAUAGACUAGGCAUGAAAAAGAGUUUUGUUGAGUAAUAUUCUCUCAUGUUGUAUUAAGAAAAAUAUGGGGGUAUUUGUACAUAUUCUUAUUGUUACUAUUACAACUCACAAUAGGGCCAAUUGUUUUGUCUUGAUCUUUGGGCCGAGAGUGCUAACAUUCUCUGUCCCUAGUGCUGACAUUCUCUAGGCCUCCUUUAGCUUAUUGGACCCUUGCUUGCAAAGCAUGCGGUCCUUUCUGACCCUAGGACUAACUCUCCCAACGAACCUCGCACCUACCAGUCAUGAGCGAAGGUUAUCUUCGCAGAUACGGCUUGCGACCUCGUCCCUACGAGGUUUACUCGAGCUCUCUUCUUGCGACCUCAUUCCUACGAAGCUUACGCGAGCUCUCCUUAUGGUUUCCCGCGUGAGCUAUCUUCGCAAACAUCUUGUACCCCCGCGAGGUCCUCAGAUGACUAUACCUAAUUUUUUUAGGGUCGAGUUCAUCUGGUUCGGAGGUCCAGAUCUUAUCGGCCACUUGGACUAUUGGUUUCCAAAUCCUAACAAUCUAGUCCCCCUUGGUGCACCUAAGGGACGUUAUAAAGUGGUUGGCCUUAGGUCCAUUUCAGACGUAGCUUGCUAGGUACGCCGUGGGGCCAUAGUGUAUGAUAGUUAUCUUACCAUGUGCAAAUCCAUGCAUUGGGGCGUGCAUCCGAAUGUUGAGAUACGAAUGAUUUUUUUGUGCUCGCAUAUGAACCGUUGGUUUAUUUUUGGUUACCCAAACGGUUUCAGGGGUCUCCCUUUAAAAAGGGAUGGCCAACGUUUUAGGUUUCUCCAUUGUUUGGCUUUUUUGUAUAUCGAAAUCGAGGUAAAUCUCAUGAAUUUCUCUGUUUCUUAACUCUGAUAUAUGUUUUCUUUCUUCUUUUGUUCAAAAUAUGGUAAGAAUGAGAUGAGCUCACAACCAGAUUGUAUUGGCUUGUUCGAUUCUAAUCAUCGUGACUGAAAAACCUAUGCCUACACCACAACACCAGAGGAGAUAAAACGGGCUCUGACCGUGCGGGGAAUUUAGCUUCCUUACUUCGCUUAUGACUUUUCCAUUCCCUCGAGGUCACACCACGUAUGUAAGGCGACGGAGGACGGUUUUUUCUUUCGUUGCAAGUUUUGGAAGUGCACUUUCACCUUCUUUUACACCCUUUCUUUUGCAGUCUCCUCAAUGACUAUAGGUUCUUUCCUGGCCAACUUUUCUGUUUCUCUUGGUGGCUCGAUAUGGCGUAUUUCUUUGACUGAUACUAGCAUGAUGAGGUUCCUACUUUCCCUAUCUUCCAACAUCUGUAUCAGCUGAAGGUGACUGACUUGGAGGAGUCCGCGGGGUUCUACUAUUUUUCCCUUUUCAGAAGGUGCAAACAAUUAUCAAAAACUAAUGUAAGAAUUUUCUCCUAAAACAGGGGAAAUACAUCUAAUUUCACAGUCUACUUGGUGAGGGCUUUGGGUUUUCCAUUAGAUGGUCUUCCCCUAGCAAGGAUAUAUACGUUUUUCAAAGGAGCCUCACCACUGAUGAGGCUAUCGUGCAAUAUUAGAGAUUGCGCGUUGGUCGCAUGCUAGCCUUGAAGAAGGUUCUAACUACUAAGAAUGUCUUCAGAUUCUAUCUGGAAAAUCUUAGUCCGAAUAGCUAGAGGGCUGGUAAUAACAAAGACAUCGUGCAAUUGGUUGGUUGGCGAUCAGCGAGGGAACUUAGACCUAUGAUUCUUACGACCAAUUGGGGAUAAUAUUGAUGGGGUACUUGAGGGAGCCUGUGAACUUCUUCUACCAUUAUUGCGGGAUAAUGUUUCGUUCCUUUGCCCUCUUAAAAUUUAAGCGAAAUAAGAGGGUCAGAGGAGGUACUAACUUGUUACUUACUUCUACUAAUAUUAGGGUUCUUGGUGGUACAGGAGGCAAUCAAAGCAACAAAUGUAAUUCACAUGAUAGUGACAGCAUCUCACGCGAGCUUAACAUAGCUAUGGACAUCGAUGCUUUAAUAAGUAGUGGCCGCAAGAAGCGCAGGACUUCGACUGGGGCCCUGCGUGUCAAUCCCUCUAGCGAGUAGGAAGGGAGUGGUCCUCAACUAGGGCACUGUCAGAAGAUAAGGGCAAUAGUGGAGACCUUGCUGUUACAGUCACCUCCAUCCAUUCUUCCCCUCUAGUAAACUUGACAACCGUUGCCUAGGUGAGCUCGCCUAUCACCAUCACCGAGGACACUCCCCCUCCCUUGCUUUUGAAGACUCUCCAAUGGCUCCCACAAUUGAAAAAAUAUCCAUUGAAGCUGUGAAGGACUUUCCUUCAUUUUUACACUGUCUAUUAUUUGAGGUUGGCACUCUCGGCCUAAGGUAUGCGGAGGCCCGUGAUAAGGAGCUCACUGAUACUCAGACUGAGUUAGAAAGGGUAAACGAGCUGUACAACAAGGUAAUAGAAGAAAAUAAAAUAAUAAAUGAGUAAUAGGGAGUCCUCACCAAGCGCUUGGUGAUGAUAGAGACGAUAGUGGAGGAGUGUGGAGCUAGCUCAUUGUUGAAAAAGAGAGACACAUAUUCGCAGAAGUGGAGCUGAAGGUUAUUGUGAGGCACUUCAUCGAAAUAGAAAGGAUCAUUAAAGAGUGUAAAGAACAGUUGGAUACUACCCUCCUAAAACAAGGGGAGGUGUUGGCAGCUUCCAAGCAGCAAACUUCUCAGAACAUCUUGAGCUCCCUUCAAAGGUUCAAGGAGAAUCUGCUCCUACAUACCCAGGUCCUCUGUGGCCCCUUUGAUGUCCGUAAGGUGGAUUUUGACACGUUUACGAACAUGGAUGUUAACAACCUGGGCUUCGAUACCUUUAACCCUUCUAGGCUUGCUUGGGAUUCUUUAGUGGCCGCUUGGAAAUGAGAGCUUUUUGUGGAGGAGGGGGAAGGCUCUCAUACUGUAAACCUGGCUCCAUCUGCUGUUGGUGAUGCUGUGAUUUCAAUUCCUCCCUCGGUCACUGGGGAUAUUAAAGUUGCUGCCCCAGCUAUUGAGAAUGUUGCUCCUAUUGAUUAAGAUCAAGGUGAAGGUGAUGAGUAGUUGAACAAUGAUAUUGUACUCAUAUUUUUCUUAAAUUUUUAAUUUCUAGCUAUUCUCUUUGUAUUGAAUUUUUUUUAAAUGAAAAGCGUUGUUGCGAGAUAUUUCAUACUUGGAAUUUUUUUAGAAAAUUUUUAUAUGCGAACCUUGGUCUUACAGUUGGGAGCUUUGCUCUUACUAACUAUGUUUGAGGCCGUGGCUCUUCACUUGUGAACAUUAAUUUUACAACUGGGAACUUUGAUCUUGCUAUCUGUAUUGGACGUCGCGACUCUUCACCUACAAACCUUAAUUUUACAGCUGGGAGCUUUGCUCUAGCUAACUAUGUUGAAGGUCACGACUUUUCACAUACGAACCUUAAUUUUACAAUUGGGAGCUUUACUCUCGCUAACUAUGUUGGAGGUCACGGCUCUUCGCUUGCAAACCUUAAUUUUACAACUGGGAGCUUUGCUCUCACUAACUAUGUUGAAGGUCGUAACUCCUCAUCUAUGAACCUUAAUUUUACAACUGGGACCUUUGUUCUCACUAAUUGUGUUGGAGGUCACGGCUCUUCGCCUGUGAACCUUAAUUUUAUAGACGAUAAUUUUGUGAGGAAGAAAUUUUAUUUAUAUGAUGGGUAUUCAUACAAAAUGCUUUUUAAGGUGUCGGGCAUUCUAGGUUUGCAGUAUCAUAACGCCUUCCAUUCUUGCCAAUUUAUAUGCUCCAUAGCUUAUCUUUUUUACCACCUUGUAUGGUUCCUCCCAACUCAGGGCCAUCUUUUUAGCAGAAGGUCGCCUAUUUGAAACUACUCUCCUUUGACCUUGGAGUUAUAAUAACGAGCUACUUGUUGGGCACGGGCUGUGUUUUUUAUUUCAACUAUUUCUCUAGGUUCGUCGAUUAACUCCAAGUUAAGUCUUAAGGCCACAUGAUUAGCUUUUUCAUUGAAGUGUUGCAUUCUGUGCGAUAUUAGGCCUAUCUCUACAGGGAUGACGACUUCUACACUAUAGACAAUUGAGAAGGUUGUUUCACUCGUCGCAGUAUGGGGCGUAGUUCGUAAUACCCAUAAGAUUUCUGGUAGUUCUUCUAAUUUGCCUGCUUUCUUUUUAAGCGCGGUCAAAAAUUUCUUUUUUAUAGCCUCUACUUGGCUAUUGGUUUGUAGGGUUUCACCGAGCUUUGAGCUAAGGAUACCCGGAAGUUUGUGCAAAAUUUCAUGAACUUCCCUUAGAACUGUGUGUCAUUGUCUAUGAUAACAGUGCGAGGUAUCUCAAACUUACAGACAAUCGACUUCUACAUUAAUGACUCUACCUGUCUCUCUAUUAUGGUUGCUAGAGCUUCUGUCUCAAUCCAAUUGGUGAAUUAGUCAACAGCUACUAUAAUGAACUUUUUCUGCAUUAUGGCUAUAAAAAAUGACCCGAGAAUAUUGACCCCCAUGUCGUAAAAGGGCCCUGUCAUGAUUUGGAGAGGUUCUGCUGGUUGUUGAUGUAUUCUGGCGUUUCUUUGGUAAGGGUCACAUUUUUUAACCAUGUGUUAGGCAUCUUCAUAAAUAGUAGGCCAAUAAUAUCCUUGUCUGAGUAUUUUCUUGCCUCCUAGAUGAUCACCGCAAAUGCCCUCAUGGGUUUCUCUCAUGAUAUACUUAGCUUUUGAUAGAGAGAGGCUUCGCAGAAAUGGGUAUGAAAACCUUUUUUUUAUAUAGCACGCCAUUUAGGAGGGUGUAUCGCGCUGCCUUGCAUUGUUAUUUUUCGAGCUCUUUUCAGUUUCUUAUUUACUGUGCAGUGUAUGGAUUAUAAGGGUCAUCUACAUUUCUUUCUAGGUUGUAGAGAACACUUGGGGAACGUCAUAGCUCGGUGCUUCCUUAUGUUCGAGUAAGAUUUUUCCUCUCUCUCAAUAAUGAUGGAGGAUGCAAGCUUUAACAGGACAUCUACGCACGUGUUGUCAUUUAUUAGAAGCUGUCUAACUUCAGCUUUGUUGAAUCCCUACAGCAAUUGAAUUACUGUUGUAUGAUAUCAUUUUAGUAUUAGUUAUUUAACCUCAUACUCGCGCUGUAUUUGCUUUACGAGGAGCUCAGAAUCGGUGUGCAUAGUCAAAUUCCUAGCACCUAGCUGGCACGCUAAUUGUAGUCCCAAGAUUAGCACUUAGUAUUCGGCGAUGUUGUUUGAUGUUUGAAAUCCAAAUUAUAGUCCAUAUUGUCACUCGUUACCCUCUAGGUCUAUCAUAAGUUCGCCUGCCCCGAAUCCCAUUCUAGCUGCGAAGUCAUCGACUUAAACCAUCCAAUCUUUCGAUUCAUCUAUUGUACGUACACUUCUUGGUGUGUUUACUAUUGGUAGUGUCCAAUAACAAAAAGUAAUUUUAGUAAAAAAUAUAAAGUGAUUAUUGUUUCUCUGCAAAGUGUGAGAAUCAUUAGUGAGAUAAAUUUUAUCGCAUAAUGUGUCACUCGUAAACUUGCUAAUUUUCAUUAGUAUUCACAUAUUACAUUAUGUCCGCGAGGUAUCUCACUAUUCGAUGUUUCAAAUUACAUUCUAUGUUACCUGUUAUAUCUUUAUUUCUUUCGAAUUAGCAUUCUACCAUGAUAUCUACCAACAUCUGCCCUUUUAUUGUCGUCCAUGGGGUAAAAUCUAUCCCAAAUUCAGUAAGUUCAAUGUUCUAUUUUGUUAUCCUCCCCAGGGUGUCUGCUUUGGCGAGCACCUCAUUCUUGGCUAGUUAAUGACCACGACGAUCAGGUGGGUCUGAAAGUAUGGGCGUAGCUUACGAGCUGCAAUGAUUAGAGCAUAGAUGCAUUUUUCUGUAUUUGUGUAUUUGAGCUAGCCAUACUGAAAGACCUUGCUAACAUAAUACAUUAGAAAUUAGAGGAUGUCUUCGGAUUUGACCAAGACGGCUGCGAUUGUUUCUUCUGAGGCUGCUAGGUACAAAUAUAGUGUUUCUCUUCUUUGAGGCGGCCUUAGAAGUGGGAGGAAAGUAAGGUACCAUUUUAGCUAUUUGAAAGUAGUUUGACACUCUUCGUUCCAUGAGAAGGGUUUCUUUAAAGCCCUGAAAAAUUGUAAGCACUUGUAUGCCAUUCUGGAGAUAAAUCUAUUUAUCGUCACCACUCCGACUAUUAGGCGUUGGAUUUCUUUUAUAGUUCGCAGUGGGGGAAUCUCUGUGAUAGCUUGAAUUUUUUCUAAGUUCGUCUAUAUUCUCUUCUAUGAUAUCAUAAAACCCAAGAACUCGCCAGCUCACAUACUGAAUGAGCAUUUUUCGGAGUUAAGCUUCAUAUUGUGGGCCUUCAACAUCGUGAAUGUGUCAAUAGGUUUCGCACAUACUCCUCCAUAGAUUUACUUUUUACAAGUAUAUCAUCUAUAUAUACCUCUAGAUCGCAACCUAUCUGUUCUUUGAAUAUCUUGUUUACCAAAGUUACACUCAGAUUUUUAGUCUAAAUGGCAUAACCUGGUAACAGAAGAGACCUUACUUAUUGAUGAAGGUUGUCUUCUACUGGUCACCUUAGUCUAAUAGGAUUUGAUUGUAGCUCGAGAAGGCAUCCAUGAAGCUCAUGUACUUGUGCCCAGUGGAGAUGUCCACUAGGCAAUUUGUCGACGGUAAGGGGAAGCUAUAUUUAGGGCAUACCUUGUUUAAGUUUGUGAAGUCAAUAAAUCUUACACUUGCAUGUCGUCUUUUUUAUCAUUACCACAUUCAAAAUCUAAUCCAGGUACUCCAAUUCCCUGAUAAAUCUAACGGCUAACAACUUGGUGACCUCCUAUCUUAUUGCUUCGAUUACAUGUGGUGCGAAAUUUCCCUUCUUUGUUUCAUGGCUUUUGCCUUUGGGAGUAUAUUUAACUUGUACACUAACGCUUGGCAGAACCGUUGCGGACUAUGUGAAGACGUCUGAAUUCCCCCUCGAGCAUUCGACCACUAAAAUCUUUUUUUCUCCAUUCAGUGCUAACAAAAUUCUGACUGUUCUUUCUUUAUUACUGCAAAAUAUCUGUAGGGUCUCUGUGUGCUCUGCUGUAUUGGGUUUUGUAUAUUGAUGUUCUUCCCUCAUAUUUAGGUCAUCCAAGUUGAUGGCUUUUCUUGGCGAACUUUGCUUCUUGAUUAGAGGCUGUUUUGCCUACCUCACAGACAGUAUGUGACACUGUCUCACCGUGCACUGGUUGACUCACAAGAAGUUGACGUCGGAACUUGUCUGAAACUUGAUCUUCAUACAAUAAGUUGUCAUCACCAUCUUUUCCAUUUGCAUGAUUGGUCUACCAAAGAUGGCGUUACAUGCCAUUGGGUAAUCAACCACAUAAAAUUGGACACAUUUCGUGGUCGUAUGUUCGCUAUCACCCUGAGUGACUGGUAAUGUGAUAAUGCCCCUUACUUUGGUAGGAUGGUUUGAAAAGUAGUACAAAGGGCUGGUUACGAAUAAUGAUUACUUUUUUAAGCCUAUUUUCUUAUAUGCUCCCCAAGAUAGGACUUCUACUACGCUGCUACUAUCGGCAAGUAUCCUUUUGACUUCAAACCUUACGAUCUAAGCUGAAACCACUACUGGGUCAUUUUCAUCUUCGUCGCGGACUAGCUCAUCAUCACCACUUCCAAACUCCAUAUUUUACUAUUCAUAGUGUCUCAGUUUCUUCGAGAUACUAAGCGACAUCACACCACUCAUGUGAGCUCGCUUCUUUUUGUGCUUAACUGCAUCCACUCAUUGCUUGUGCCUACUAUUACAUGAAUGGUUCCUCAUACCCUUUGCUUUUCCUUGGGGUCCAGUCCUUACGAACUCUGGCCCUGUUAGAAACCUCCCUUGUUUAUGAACUCAACAAGUUCGCCAUUCUAGAUAGCUUCUUCUACGGUGUCCUUUAACAUGAAGCAGUCUUCGAUCUUAUGUUCUGUAUCAUCAUGGAAGGCUUAUUGAUCCUUAGAAUUCGUCCCUCUACCGGUACUUCGCAUCAGGGGUGAUUUAGAAAGGAUGCACAAGCUCUUCACCUGGUUAAUGAUGUAAGCUCGUGUGGCAUUCAAUAAGGUGUAAGCUUCGAACCUGCCUUGGGGGGUAUAACGCCUCAUGUACUCAUGUUGGUGCCUUUGCGGGUUUUUAAAUAAAUCACUUUGGGUUGAGGUCUUGUGUGACCUAUCGGUCCUAACCCGCAAGAACUAGUUGCUAGGAGAUUGCCUAGUGCGUUGCCCUUCUCUGUUCCUAGGUUGUCUAUCCUCCCUUUAAAAUCUAACUCGUGAUACCUUCUUGAUUUCUUCUGCCUUCGUGAACUUACGAGCUCGUUUGUAUAGGUCAGCUAGGCUCUGAACCUAUUAUCAGUUAACGAGUACUGCAUAUAGUCAUUAUGCACCCCUAUGAUGAAUGCUUCUAUUGCUCAUUGGUCUUCUAAGUUUUUUGUGUUGAGUGUAGCUAUGUGAAACCUCUUUAUGUAGUCUUGGAGAGACUCACCCUCUCGGUACUUAACCGAUAUUAGCCCCAUAGGUGUAUUCAUGAUUGCUCGGUGGGUCUAAAAUCUUCUCAAGAACAUUUUCCCUAGCUAUGAGAUGUUGCAAACUGAGCCUUGGUGGAAGAGAGAGAUACCAGCCAUUGGUGCUUGCUUUCAGCGUUGUAGAGAAUGCUUUGUAUUUUGCAGUGUCUGAUGCUCCCAACACAUUCAUAUAGUUGUUAUAUUGCAUUCAAAUAUGUCCUUAGGCACCUUGAAGUCACGGGGUAGGCCAACUUCCGCGAUUUCGAGAGCUAAAAGGUUAUUAGAACAAAACAACCAGUCUAUGUCUUGCGACUCUAGCUGCAGGGCCCGUAUGUCGCGACAAAGCUCAUCCAUCUCAUUUAUCCACUCCUUCACCUAAGUGCUCGUGGCUUCAUUUUGGGUGGUAACAUUUAUUGGGAUCCCGAGUUAUUGGCUUGUGCCUUUUAGCGUAGUUCCUUAUUUUGCCUUAGUAACUCCUAUUGAAAGGCUUGCUGUUCCACAAAUCGUGCCUCUUGUGCCGUCAUUUACUCCCUCAUGAACUUCAUCUACUCCUAGAGGGCUUGGAGCUACGAGCAGGGUGGUUCUUAGUUGAGGGAAUAGAGCAUUCCCUAAUCGGAGGAGAGAUUAAGGUCUAAGGAAGGAGAAGGCCCUCGAUAAACCGUAUUCUCGAGGUUUUCGGGCCUGACAGCAAAUCAGACAACAAACAAGUCUAUUUCAUCAUGUCAAGGGUCGGGACUCGAUGCUUCUAUCUGACUGGAGGAGAGGAUGAAAGGAGAGGUGUAACAGCCUAAUUUUCAGUGGUGUUGGAACAGUGAUUCGAGAUCACUAAAUCCGACAAAUGAGUAGGAUAUAUUAAUUUAGUGUGUAUAAAUUAAAUGUGCAGUUAGGAAAAAUUUUGAAAUAGUGAAUAAUGUACUAAAAAUAAAUAUUAAAAUAAUUAAAAUUGAAAAUGAGGUAUCGAGACCUCGAGAAUUUCAAAUCGAGCCAUAAAUAUUUUUAUAAAUAUUUAUGGAGUGUUAAUAUGUUAGUAUUAAAGUUUCGUCAAGAAAUUUUAAAGUUUUGAUAGUUAAUUGAACAAAAAGGACUAAAUUGUAUCAAAUGCAAAAUUUUGAGAAAUGAUUAAAUAGCUUAAUUGAUAAAAGAAAGAGGGUUUAAAAGGAAAAUAGACCCAAGGUCUAUUUGGGCUGGACGGCAAGGGCAUGAAAUCAGCAAGAAAAUAAGGAGAAUUAAGGGCAAAAUUGGAAAAUUCCCAAAAUUAACUAAAUAAAAAUGGGACCAAUUUGGAAUAUCUAGAAUUCUCUUCAUUUCUCUUCAUAUUAAUCAGCUGAAAAAUAGCCAUGGAGGAGGGUUGAAGCUGGUUUUCAUACUCUAGCUUCAUGUAAGUUUAAUUCUUGCUUUCCCCUUGAAAUUUUUAUGUUUUUGUGACUUUUACAACUAGGUCCACUUGUUGAAUUCAUUAGUUUUUGAUUCUAUGAAAGAAAUUAAGUUGCUAUGAAUAUGUUAUGGAAGUAUAUAUGAUUUGGCAUGGAAUUAGAGCUUUAAAUUGUUUAUAUGCUGAUUUUAUUGAAAGAAUUGAAUAGAAAGUGAAUGUUUAGGACCUAAUUGUAAAAGAGUUUGAAGUUAGAGUUUUAUAUGGAAAUUAUGAAUUUCAAUAGUUAUGAAAUAACUUAUAAUGUUUAGGAAAAGUAUUAAUUGAGAAAAUUAUCUUAAUUUAUGGGUUAAUUGAGUAAGGACUGAAUUGUAUGAAUUGUGAAAUUUGGGGCAAAAUGGAAAUCAACAUUUUGCACUAAAACUGUUUUGGACAGCAGCAGUAGUCUAACUUUGAAAAAUCACCAAAAAUUUUAGAAAUGGAAUUAGAGGAUGAAUAAAAUAUGAAAUUAAAGAUUAUUGAGUCUAGUUUCUUAUAGAAGAAAUAAUGUAAGCAAUGGAAUUGUAAAUCAUGAGAUAUGAUAAAUUUUGUGAGACAAGGUCAGAAUGAAUUCGAGAUCCACUGUCCUGACUUUAGAAAUUUACCAUAAAUUGUAAAAAACUUAUUAAGAGUCAUAAUUUACAUGCAUGGAUUCCUUAUUGAGUCUAUUAUCAAGAGAAACAAACAGGAACAUCAUUCAAAUCCUGUACGAGGAGAUAAUUAGUUUUUAGUGAAGAAGGGUCGGAACUAUCAGACAGCAGAACAGGGGAGACUUCAAUGAAUAAACUGUAUUAAUUGGCCCAACCAAAAAUUAUGAAAUUUUUAUGGUAAGAAGACGUAUGAGUCUAGUUUCUGGGAAAAUUUAUGGAUCUUAAUUUGGAGUUCUUUAGCUCAAUAUAAAAAUAAUUUAGUGACUAUGACAUAGAUGGACAGCUUGAAUAUUCACCUAAGUAGAUAGUAAAAAUUAUGGAUAAUGUUACCUACAAAUCUGUUGUUUAUACUAAGGUCUUGUUUAUACUAAGGAUGUGGAUGGAGAGGAGGAGGAGGAAAAAUAUACAUAUAUAUGAAUGACUUGUGUAUAAAUUGAUCACAUGCCCGAUUAUAAUCAAUGAAUGUUGAAUUAGAAAUGAUAUAAUAUUUUAUUUGGAAUAUUUAUGAAUGUUAAUUGUUGAAAAUAAGUAAAUUGUGUACAAAAGGUAUGAAAUUGAACUGAGUAUUUCGAAAGAAUGGAAUACAGGAAAUGAGUACGAUCUUUCAGUGAAAAAGAUGAAUUGACGGUAAAUUACCCAAGUAAACCGAGAUUCAGCAUUUGUUGCGAAUUCUCGUGUUUACUUUCCGUUUAGCUCUUACGAGCUUCUGCUAACUCAUAUGAUUUCAGUUAACCCUUUUGGGGUUUCAGUUCAGCUCUGAUGAGCUUCAGUUAGCCUUUGGGCUUCCGUUUAGCACUUAUGUGCUUCAGUUAGCCUUCGAGCUUCCGUUUAGCACUUAUGUGCUUCAGCUAGACUUCGGGUUUCAGAUCACGAUGUACUUCAAUUUGUAAGUCGUUUCUUAAAUGGAGAAGCUGGUAAGUUGUAAAUGUAACGUGUGGAAAAAGAAAUGUAAGUAAUGCUAUUAUUAUUAUUGAGCUCAAUUAUAUGAUUUCGUCAUUCGGAGAUUGCGAUUGACAAAAUAUGUUAGUAAAUUAUGAGUAUGUGAAUCAAAGUGACAGAAUUUAAACACUUAAUGAGGUUGAGCUCAUUCACAUGAAUUUGUCAUUUGAAAUUGUGAUUGACAGGAAGAAACAGUGAAUUGCAUACUUAUGAAUGGUUACAUAUAAUUACCUGAAAAACAAGAAAAAUGACAGUGAUUGAUAUAUGGAGACAUGAGACAUUGAUAUAUGAAUGUGGAAUAUAUUUGAUAAAUGUGUUCAUUCAUAAUUAUGGAAUUAUGUACCUCAAGUGUGCUAUUUGCAUAAAGAUGAUAUUUCAAAUACUUUGGUGAAUAAAGAUUAAAUAUGAAAUUGUAUGAAAUCGAGACAAGAUGUUAUGAAAAUAUAUAUAAAUUAUCCGUAAGUGUGUCGUACUUAUUGGCAAUGCCUCGUACUCUAUUCCGGCGACGGAUACGGGUAGGGGGUGUUACAAGAGGUCUCGUCGGGGUGAGUCAUUUUUUGCUUUAGGUUGAAGAGAAUUGAAUCAAACUAGAGAAAAUAUGUCAGUCAAAAGUAGUCCACCUUCAUCGCACCAAUUGUUGAGUAAUAUUAUCUUGUGUUGUAUUAAAGGAAACACAGGGGGGAUUUAUACACAUUCCUACUACUACUAUUACAGCUCAAAAUAGGAUACACUAUUUUGUCUUGGCCUUUGGGCUGAGGGUAUUGACAUUCCCUAUCCUUGGUACUGACAUUCUCUGGGCCUCCUCUGGCUUAUUGAAUGCUUACUUGCGGAGCACGCAGUCCUUUUUGACCCUGAGAUUGACUCUCCCAACGAACCUCGCACCUACUAGUCACGAGCAGGGGUCCUCUUCGCAGACAUGGCUCGCGACCUCGUCCCUGCAAGGUUUACGCAAGCUCUCCUCUUGCGACCUCAUUCCUGCGAGGCUUACAUGAGCUCUCCCGCGGGCUUCCAGCGAACAUCUUACAUUCCUGCAAGGUCCUCAACUGACUAUGCUUGUAGGGGAGCAUUCUUCUUCCGGGUGGGGUUCAUCUGGGUCGGAGGUCCAGAUCCUAUCGGUCACUUGGACUAUCGAUUCCCAAAUCCUAACAAGUUUCAUUAAUUGGACACUGAUCUAAAACGUUUGAUAACAACUAGCGUUAUUGACAAUAUUAUGCAAAUUACGAGUAUAUCUAAUCAAGAGGCGGAAUUAUUCGUUCAAACUUAAAGGUUUGUUCAACAUAUAAAGGAAUUUGAACAAAAAUACGAUACUCAAAAAAUAAAUUUAGACAAAAUUUAAGAUUUUUUUAUUCAAGCCGAGAAUUGAUUAAUACCCACCAAUGUAUAAGAAAUUUUAAUGCAACCCACAAGUUUUUAAUUGAUUAAUUAAGUGAACUUUUCUCAUAAUUGAUAAUGUAUCUUACUUAACUUUAUUAAUAUUAAGAUUUUAUUUAAGUUGCGGUAAUGCUAAUUUAAUUAAAAUUUCUAUUUAAAAACAUAAAUAAAAUUAGAUUUAUGAAACACCCACGAGAUAAAUGAAAAAAUUAUGUAACACAUAUGUUUAUAAAAAAUUUCACAUAAAAAAAAUUUUAAUUGGUAUUUUCGUUACAAUUGUAAAAUUAAUUACUUAUAUGUUGUUCUAAAUUCAAAUAUCAUUAUGUUUAAAUUUUUAUUGAUUUAUUAUAAAAGGAUAAAAGCAACCUCAUAAAAUAUAACUUAAUUUGUAUAUUAUAGGAUAAUUUAAUAGUUUUUAAUAAAAAAUAUACAUUUUUGCCAACAAAAUUACAGUUACAACAUGGCCUAAAAAUCCCAUAAGAUGAAAAUAAAAAUGGCAUCAAGAAGAAAGAAGCUCAAUGCUACAUUGCCAAAAAAUCUGCAGUAAGAAGAGACCCCACGAUGGUACCCAAAUAGAAGUCAUCCACCACAAAAGAAGAGAACAUUAAUCAAUUCACCCCUAUACAAUUUAAAUUACUUAUAACACCAUUUAAAAAAAAAACCAAUAACUUAUAACACCAAUUUGCAUAAUUAUAUGUAAAAAGAUUCAGGGACGCGGUACGGUUUCAAAGGUACACAGGCACAUUGACUGUUUUUGUCUGUGAAAGAUAUAAAGAAAAUUGAUUAUCCCAUGUGCUGUGACCAGUGAUGUAGUUUGGUGUCUUUUGCCUCAAUCUCACAACCCAUACUCUUGCUUGCUUGCUGCUUCUCAAAUACUCUUAAUUCUAAACCCUAAAUUAUAAAAAUUAUUUUAAAAUUUAAAAUUGUUAAAUUGUUAAAUUUUAAUUAAUUGUAAAUGUGGCACACGUGAAAUAUCAUACUAUAGAUGUCACAUCAAUAAAGUUAAUAGACUUUAACUUUUUUAUUAAUUUUGAGGUGAUUUGAUAAAAAAAAUGUAAAUUCAAGCAUUAAAAAAAGUGAAAAAUUAAAUGAACAGCUAAAAUAAUUUUUCUUAUAAAAUUAGAGGGCUAAAUAAAUAAUUAUGCCUUUGGCUUUGUAAAAAUAUAAUUCAAUGAUGUCUUAAUGUAGAACAAGCAGCAAAAGAUACCCACCAAGUAUCUAAAUAAAUUUCUCAUACAAAAGCUUGUAAAUAAUUUGACACAGUCAAGAACUUACUAAAGAUCACACAAGGGCUGAAAUAUACUAUAACAAGGGUUGAGAGCAUUUAGUAACUACUUGUAAACAAAGCAGUAAAAUCAGUCCUAAUUAAACCAAGCACACUUACAUCACAACCAUAACAAGUUUCCAAAAGUCCUAAUUGCAGCGGUCCUAAAAUGUGGCUGUGAUUUGAGCUAUUAUACAGUUCUUGAAGCUUCGGACUAGAGCAUGACAGUUUCAUUGAGUAUCAAUUCACCCUCAGAUUCCUUGGGGGAUGUCUUGCUAAUUGGUUGAUCCUUCAUGUGAAAGAUAUCAAUUUUCGUGAAUGUCUUGCUAAGCGCAUAUAUUUUACACUUUUUAGGCCGAAGAUUUAGCAUUUUGCACAAUCCUUAAGUAAAAUGGUGCAUAUUAGAGUGGACAAUAAUGAGCUUCGCAUAAAGGACAAAUAUUGCCAAAUCCUAUUUUUAAUUUCAAGAUAACGUUUGACUUUAGUUAAAAAAGAAAAAGAAAAAGAAAAAAUAAACUUAGGGUUAUCCACAUAUUUUAUAAAUUAGAGUGGAAUCUUAACCCUGAAGAACUUAAAAUUAUUUAUUAGCUAAAUGGUUACUAGUGAUAGUUGUUGCUGGUACAUAAUUAAAAUGAUUUUUAAUGCAGAAAUCCAUGGUUUGAUUCAUGGAUCUUGAUGGGGCCGGGUUUUUGGUUUAAUAUUCAAACUCAAAUUGAUGUUGAACUUGUUGCAAGCUUGGAUAUAUACCAGAUAUUUCAUGCCACCUGUAAAGAAAGAAUAAAAAGGUUUCAAUAUUCAUCAAAGACUCAGUCUACCAAAAAACGAGUUCAAUCUCAUUCCCAUCUAAUAAGCAGAUACCAAAGAUGAUGCUACUAAUAAUUCUUGUCAUUCUUCUUCUUGUAUUUCUUCUUCAGAAGUACGAAAAAGAGAGAAGCCCAGCAAAGGAAAGCUCCCAUUGUGUAUCUCGUUCUCUUGUGCCUCAAUCCGACAAUCCAUACCCUUUGACUUCUUCAUCUUAUCAAGUCAAACAUCAAGUUUUCUUGAGCUUCAGAGGUGAAGACGUACGCCUUAACUUCACCAGCCAUCUACUCAAAGCUUUGAAAGAUACGGGAAUUAAUGUAUUCUUCGAUGAAGAAACAUUGGAAAGAGGGAAGCAACUUUAUUGAAGCAAUGGUUAGCAUGUAGCAAUCACAUGUUUUAUUAUUAUUAUUAUUAUUAUUAUUAUUAUUAUUAUUAUUAUUUGGAUGUAAUGAUGUAACUUAGUUGUAUUCCAACUAAGUUUGUUAGUGGUAGUAGGUGGUGAUUUAUUUUAAGUGGAUGUAAUGAUGAAACUUAGUUGUAUUCCAACUAAGUUGUCAAGUUGUAAGCUUGUAUAAAUAGGCUUUAUGCCAUUUUAAAAAAUAUGAAUGAAUUCAAUCAAGAUUUCAUCCAUAUACUCUCUAUUUUAGCUUUGCUUAAAAUUUAUUUCAUUUUUCUUCUUUGUUUCUGCCGCAAGUCUCGAUUCUUGCUCAUCAAGCUUUUUGUUGAACCUUGCUAUUUGUUGCACUUAGCUCCAACAAUUGGUAUCAAGAGCCUAUUUCUUAAGGGAUCUGUUAUACAAAUUCAUGGCUUCAUCAAGCUUUUCACCAGCUGCACCUCAAGUCUUCAAUAGAGAAGGCUACCACAUAUGGGUGGUUAAAAUGAAGACCUACCUACAAGCUUUCGAUCUGUGGGAGGUAGUCAACUCAGAUGUUGAACCAGAGCCACUCAGAGGCAAUCCAACAGUGGCUCAAAUCAGGCAGCAUGCUGAUGAGAGGACCAAGAGGCACAAAGCCAUGUCUUGCAUCCAGAACUCAGUGUCAGAUGUGAUUUUCACAAGGAUUAUGGCCUGUGAAUCACCAAAACAAGCCUGGGACAAGUUGCAAGAGGAGUUUCAAGGGACAGAGAGGACAAGGCAGCAACAGUUGCUGAACUUAAGGAGAGAUUUCGAGAAUUUGAAGAUGAAGGAAGAAGAAACUAUCAAGCAGUACUCUGACAGGAUUAUGGCUGUUGUUAACAGCAUUAGGCUCCUUGGAGAGCAGCUCAAGGAAGCUAGAAUAGUGGAGAAGGUUAUUGCAACUCUGCCCGAGAGGUAUGAGGCAAAAAUCUCAUCUCUCGAGGACUCAAGGGACCUGUACACCAUCUCCCUGACAGAGUUGAUCAAUGCUUUAUAUGCUCAAGAGCAAAGAAGAGCAAGCAGACUGGAGGAGCAUCAAGAAGGUGCCUUUCAGGCAAGAACAAACAUUGCCUACAAAGGCAAGAAGGCCUGGAGAGACAAGCCAAGGACUGAUGUUGCAAGAAAAGAGGGUCAGACUUGCAAGCACUGCAGAAGGGCUGGUCAUCCAAAAGAAAAAUACUGGUUCAAUCCAGAUGCUGUAUGUCAGCAUUGUAAAAAGAAGGGUCAUGUUGAGAGAGUCUGCAAGAGCAAGGCCAAAUCAAGGCAGAGUCAGUUUCAACAGAUGAAAGCUGAGGCUCGAGUAGCUAAGGAGGACAGUGACCAAGAGGAGCAAGUCUUUGCUGUGUUAUGCUCAGCUGCUCAAGAAAGGUUCUCAUCUGGUUGGCUUCUAGACAGUGGAUGCACCAACCACAUGACACCUGAUGCUGUAAUCUUCAAGUCUUUAGACAGAAGCUGCAGAACUAAAGUCAAGAUAGGAAAUGGACAUUUUAUUCAAGCUGAAGGCAAGGGUGAUGUGCUGAUAUGCACCCCCACAGGUGCCAAAGUGAUUUCAAAUGUGCUUUUGGUGCCUGAAAUUGACAGAAACCUGCUCAGCAUAGCUCAGUUGCUGGAGAAAGGUUAUUCUGUUGUGUUCAAAGACAACCAAUGCCAAAUCAAUGAUCCAAGUGGAUCCAAGCUGAUGGCAGUUCCUAUGGCUAAUAAGAGCUUUGUAGUUGACUGGACCAGGGAGUCAAACAUUGCCUACACAGUCACAUCAGAUGAAUCUAAGCUUUGGCAUCAAAGACUGGGACAUGCCAACUUCAGAUCGAUGGCUCGAAUGGUCAGAGAGGACUUGGCUGAAAACUUCAUCAACUCAGUGGAUCAUGAUGAUGUGUGUGAAGUGUGUCAGCUAGAAAAGCAGGCCAGACUCCCAUUUCCCUCGAAUCAAGCCUGGAGAGCCUCUGAAAAACUCCAACUGGUGCACACUGAUGUGUGUGGCCCUAUGAGGACUGAGUCAUUAAGUGGAAACAGGUACUUCAUACUGUUCAUUGAUGAUUUUUUAAGAUAUUGUUGGCUUUACUUCCUAAAACAGAAAUCAGAGGCGGCCUCAGUGUUUUGGAAGUUCAAGACUGCUGCUGAGACUGAAACAGGUUGCAAGCUGAAGUCCAUAAGGUCUGAUAAUGGGACUGAGUACACCUCAGCUCAGUUCCAAGCCUUCUGUGAUAAGGCAGGCAUCAAACAUCAACUUACCAACACAUAUACACCUCAGCAAAAUGGUGUAAGUGAAAGGAAGAAUAGGAGUUUGAUGGAUAUGGCCAGGUGCUUGAUGAUUCAGAAGAAUCUGCCUAAAGCACUAUGGGCAGAGGCAGUUAACACUGCAAACUACAUUCAAAAUAGGCUUCCAACCAAGGCCUUGGAUCAGAAGACUCCAUUCGAAGCCUGGUUUGGAUUCAAGCCAUCACUGGCUCAUCUGAAGGUCUUUGGAUGCAUCUGUUAUGCUCAUGUACCUGCUGUAAAAAGGGAUAAAUUAUCUGAAAGGGCUCGACCUGGUAUUUUGGUGGGCUACAGCACUGUUAAGAAGGGCUAUAGGAUCUUGGAUCCUUCAACAAAGAAAGUGCCAGUCAGUAGGGAUGUGGUAUUUGAUGAAAAGUCAUGUUGGAACUGGGAAAAACAUGAACCUGAGGAAGUUUCAGAAGGACUUGCAGCAGAUCAAGCUGAGCCAGAUCAAAAUGUUCCUGAAAUGGACAUUGAUGAUGAACCAGUUAGAGGAACAAGACCAUUGACUGAGAUUUAUGAAAGAGCUCAUGUAGCCAUAGCUGAACCAAGCAAUUUUGAAGAGGCUGAAGCUCAGCAAGAGUGGAAGCAGGCAAUGGCUGAGGAGAUUAGCAUGAUUGAGAAGAACCAGACUUGGGAAUUAGUUGAAAGGCCAGUCAAAAGGAAGAUAAUUGGGGUGAAAUGGGUGUACAAAGCCAAGCAAAAUGCUGAUGGUACCUUGAACAAACUGAAAGCAAGGCUAGUUGUCAAGGGGUUCAGUCAGAGGUAUGGCCUGGACUACCUGGAGACCUUUGCACCAGUGGCCAGACUAGACACCAUCAGAUUACUGAUUGCCUUAGCAGCACAGCUCGAGUGGAAGAUCCAUCAACUCGAUGUGAAAUCAGCCUUUCUGAAUGGUUUCUUAGAUGAAGAGAUCUAUGUUGAACAACCACAAGGGUUUGAGAUAGCUGGCAGAGAGCAUAUGGUCUACAAACUGAAGAAGGCCCUAUAUGGCUUAAAACAGGCUUCAAGGGCCUGGUACAGCAGAAUCGAUGGCUACUUGACUAAUUUGGGAUUCGAUCGAAGCAAGAGUGAGCCAACACUGUAUGUCAAGAAGCAAGGGACACAAACACAGCUCAUUGUAUCCCUAUAUGUUGAUGACCUGCUGGUGACAGGAGGAGAUCGAGCAGUGCUGGUUGAUUUCAAGACCAAGAUGCAAGAAGUAUUUGAAAUGUCUGAUCUAGGGGAAAUGUCUUAUUUCCUUGGAAUGGAGGUGACUCAAGCACAAAAUGGGAUAUUUCUAAGUCAGAGAAACUUUGCCACAAAGAUUCUGACCAAGUUCUCCAUGCAAAACAGUAAAGCAACUAAAACACCUGUUGCUGUUGGAGAAAAACUAUCGAGCCAAGGUGAUUUUGAGAAGGUUUGUGAAACAACCUACAGAAGUCUAGUUGGUUGUCUGUUAUAUUUAACUGCCACUAGACCAGACAUAAUGUAUGCUGUAGGAUUGCUCUCAAGGUUCUUGCAUUGUUGCAAUAAAAAGCAUUUACAAGCUGCUAAGAGAGUGCUUAGAUAUGUCAAAGGCACUUUGAGCUAUGGUUUAAGGUACAGCAAUGAAGGAAAUCUGAAGCUGGUUGGCUACACUGAUAGUGACUGGGCUGGCUCGAUAGAUGACAUGAAAAGCACCUCAGGGUAUGCUUUCAACCUUGGUUCAGCCAUGUUUUGCUGGAGCUCGAAGAAGCAAAGUCUGGUGGCUCAAUCUAUUGCUGAAGCAGAAUAUGUGGCAGCUGCAAGUGCUGUCAACCAAGCCAUUUGGCUAAGGAAAAUCUUAGCUGAUUUGAAAGUGCAUCAAAAGGAAGCUACUGAGAUCUUCUGUGACAACCAAUCUUCAGUUGCAAUUGCUAAAAAUCCAGUGUUCCAUGGAAGAACAAAGCAUUUCAGCAUCAAGUUGCAUGUUGUUCGAGAAAUGGAGCAAGCUCAGGAAGUGAAACUGAUCCAUUGUAAUUCUGAGGAUCAACUUGCAGACAUUUUGACUAAAGCCCUUAAUGUCACAAGGUUCGAAUGUCUAAGAAGGAAGCUAGGUGUUUGCUCCAUGCAAACCAAGGAGGAGUAUUGAAGCAAUGGUUAGCAUGUAGCAAUCACAUGUUUUAUUAUUAUUAUUAUUAUUAUUAUUAUUAUUUGGAUGUAAUGAUGUAACUUAGUUGUAUUCCAACUAAGUUUGUUAGUGGUAGUAGGUGGUGAUUUAUUUUAAGUGGAUGUAAUGAUGAAACUUAGUUGUAUUCCAACUAAGUUUGUUAGUGGUAGUAGGUGGUGAUUUAUUUUAAGUGGAUGUAAUGAUGAAACUUAGUUGUAUUCCAACUAAGUUGUCAAGUUGUAAGCUUGUAUAAAUAGGCUUUAUGCCAUUUUAAAAAAUAUGAAUGAAUUCAAUCAAGAUUUCAUCCAUAUACUCUCUAUUUUAGCUUUGCUUAAAAUUUAUUUCAUUUUUCUUCUUUGUUUCUGCCGCAAGUCUCGAUUCUUGCUCAUCAAGCUUUUUGUUGAACCUUGCUAUUUGUUGCACUUAGCUCCAACAAACUUUCACAAGCACUUUCUCGAGCUAUUGCAGCCUCAAACAUCUCAAUAAUUAUAUUAUCAUUAGAUUAUGCUUCUUCAAAAUCGUGCCUGGCUGAACUCUCUGACAUCAUGGACUACAAGCGCACUCAAGGACAUACUGUUCUUCCCAUUUUUUAUCAUGUUGAUCCUUCCCAUGUUCGGAAUCUUGGUGGAAGUUUCAAAACUUCCUUUGAUGAUCAUGAAUCAAAAAGGCUACGUCAGGUACAACGAUGGAAAGCUGCCUUCGUUGAAGUGGGAAAAUUAAAAGGGUGGCAUAUAGAAGGAGGCAAAUUUGACAGGUAACUAUAUUUUUCUCACCUUCUUAUAUUUGACUAAUCUUUGUUUUAGAUUUCAUUUAUAUUUAUUUAUUGUUUGUUUGCUAGACCUGAAACAGAGUACAUCAAGGAUAUUGUUGAAUAUGUUAUAAAAAUGUUGAUGAGUAGCAAAUCUAGACAUGUUUAUGAAGAACUGGUCGGAAUAGGUUAUCAGAAAGAUGCAAUUUCGAGGCUGAUUGAGCAAGAAGGCAGCCGUGUAAUAGGACUCUGGGGAAUGGGUGGUAUAGGCAAAACAACCCUUGCUGAUGCAGUUUAUAAGGAAAUGUCUCCAAAUUUUGAAAGCUGCUGGUUUCUUCAAAAUGUUAGUGAGAAAAUAAAAAAACAAGGAAAGGAAUCUUUACGAAAUGAUCUUCUCUCCAAACUGUUAAAUGAAAAAGAUAUUCGUAUAGAUACUCCUUUGAUAGGAUACCCUUACCAAGAGAGGCUGAACAAUAAAAAAGUACUUGUUGUGCUCGAUGAUGUUAGUCACCAAGACCAAAUAACUAUUAUGGGUGUUAGACAUUUUGGUGAUGGAAGUAAAAUCAUUGUAACAUCUAGAGAUAGAAAAGUACUUGAGAAUGGAGAAGCUGAUCAAAUUUAUGAGGUAAAGAAGUUAAAUGAGAUUGACUCUCUUCAGCUAUUUUCUACUUGUGCGUUUAAGCAGUCGAAUCCUGAUGCUGAUUUUCGAGACCUAUCAAUAAGGUUUGUAGAGUACACACAAUACAAUCCACUUGCUCUAAAAGUUUUGGGUUCCCAACUAUAUAAAAGGUCUAGAGAAUAUUGGAAAAGCGAGAUGGAUAAGCUAAAGGAAUAUGGCCAACCAGAAAUUUCAAAUAUUUUGAAGAGAAGCUUUGAUGGGCUUGAUGAACAAGAAAAGAAUAUAUUCCUUGAUAUUGCAAUCUUCUUAAAAGGGGAACUUAAGGAAAAUGUAGAAAAAAUUCUAAGUAGUUGUUAUAAUGGCGCAAAGUCUAGCAUCAGAAACUUGAUCGACAAGUGCCUACUAGAUAUCACACCUCUUCCUAUUUCUUUGCGUGAUAUACUUGAAAUUCGCAGUAAGUUUCCCAAGAGAAAAGCAGAAGAGAUUGCAAGUUUCCCAGACAGAGGUGCAUUAGAUGAUCGAAGAAACAGCCUCUUGGAUGAGAUUCCGCGAUGUAUUUCUAUGCAUGAUAUGCUUGAGCUGAUGGGCAAGGAUAUUGUUCACCAAGAAUCUAGAGCUCCUGGAAUGCGCAGUAGGUUAUGGAAUCCUAAUGAAGUAAAGCAAGUGCUGAAAAAUAAUAAAGUAAGUAUUAAUUGUACUCAUGUUUCUUUUUAUAUUUUUUUAUAUAUUUGUGUGAUUUUUUCCUAGGCUUAUAAAAUUUUAUUAAUAAUAAAGAUCCGAAAACGGGAAUAGAAAAAAAAAAACCAACUCAACAAUAUAUAUAUAUAUAUAAAAUCUAUGUACAAAAAAAAAAUACCAUUAAAAACAUGCCCAUUCCACCAAAAGAGCAAUCAGAAAUCACUUCUAGUCACCAUAACCCAUGUCGUGUAAAACAUUUACUAAAUCAAAUCACAUCCAAUUGAAAUCAGGAUUAUAAAAAUUAAUUACUUGUAUUUAGUUUUAAUUGAUAGAGAUAGAAGAACUUCAACUCCAAUAAUUCAAACUAUUUUUAAAUUGAUUUGAUAAUUCGAAUAACUCAUUAAAAUUAAACUGAUUAAUUUAAAAGUUGAUUUUUUUUUGUUUUUCCAAGGAGAAAAUUGAAUUUUACUCAACCUCCCUAAGUCAUUGAUCAUUAUGUGUAUGGUAUGUAAAUAAAGAUUUUAUUUUUUAAAUAAUAUUUAAUAGAAUUAAUAUUUGUCACAUAGUAAAUGUAUAAAUCUAUAUAGUAAACAGCACUAUUGGUCACAUAAGUUUUUGUUUUAAUCAUGUAAUUAUAAAAAAAAUUAUUUUCAUUACCGACGUUUUUAACAUCAAGUUUCUUUUUUUUUUUUAUCAUUCCUCGAUUAUUAAUUAUUAAUGGAAGUACGAUAGGUCUCUUUUUUAUUGGAAUAAUAGUAAAUUUAGUUCUCAAUAUUUAUAUAUUUUUUUCAAUUUGAUAAAAUGUGUAAACCUUGAGGAUUAAUUUAUUCUUAUUCUAAUUAAAAAAAGACGCAUCAUCAUUCUGUUGAUGAUCUUUUAUCAAAUUUAGCCCUCACUAUUUGUAUCUAUUAUCAUUUGAGUCCUUAUACUUUUUAAAAAUAAGUAAAUAAGAACAAUUGAAAUAAGUAUUUCUUACCCUAUACUCUUCCAAUAUAUUCUUUUAUCAAUAUUUCAUAUCUAUGACAAGAGAAAAAAGGAGAAGGAAAUUUUCAAUCGAAAAAUGAGUGGAGUGGCAAAUUAAGUCUUUAGUCGGCACUAAUUCUAAGUUCCAUCAUUAGAAAAUCUUACAUCCUUCUGAAAUUUAUGUACUCUAAUUUAAAAUUUAGUUAAAUAAUAAAAUUCACCAAUUUAGUUAAUUAAAAUUUUCUUUUCAAUUAUUUUUAUCAAAUGUUAACCCUAAUCUUAAGUUAUUACAUGGAUCUACUAAGGGUUUUAUUAGAUUAAUUAAAUAUCUACUGUAUUGUUUUAUACAAUAAAAUUAAACACUUUUUAAAUCUAAAACUUCUUGUAAUAAAAAAGUAUAAUAAAAAAGUAUGGUCAAUUAGUUUAAGCCUUAUUUAAUCUCUAAUGAGUGAUUUAAUGGAAUGCCUGAUACUUGUUUCUUGUUAUUAGGGGACAGAAUUUAUUGAAGGAAUAAAAUUAGACAUGUCUCAGAUUGAUAAACUACGAUUAUGUUCUUCUGUUUUUGAGAACAUGUUUAAUCUUAAAUAUAUCCACUUCUAUUUUCCUCCAUUUAUUGGAAAGCAACGAAAGAAGAAGCUACAUGUAGACCAAGUUGGCGAUGUAUCUCUUCCUGAUGAGCUAAGACUUCUCUGUUGGGAGUAUUACCCAUUUAGGUCUUUAUCAUCAAGUUUUGAUCCAAAGAAUCUUGUUGUGUUAAAAUUACCUCAUGGUGAUAUGGAACAACUUUGGAAUGAAGAUGAUCAUCAGGUAAUUUAUUCAUACUUUCUUGGUCCAAUAAAUUAAAAAAAAAAAGUGUGACAAAUGCCAACCCUUAUUAUAAUUAUUAUAAUUUUUUUUAUACUGCCCAAAGUAGUAAGUAGACAAUGCUAAGUAAUAAAGCUAUUUUAUAUUUUCAUUGCGCAGGAUCUUAUUAAUUUAAGAAAAAUUGUCCUUUCGAAUUGCAAGAAUUUAAAGAAGAUCCCUAAUCUAUUAGGAGCCAUCAACCUUGAAAUCCUUUGCUUUAAUGGGUGCAACAGUUUGGUUGAGCUUCCUGGCUUCAGUGAUUUGGCAUCUCUCAAAACGCUUCAGCUUCAUGGAUGUUAUAAUCUUACGAAGUUUCCUGAGCUCCCAAAUGAUGUUUCUUUCUUAGAUUUAGCAGAAACUGGAAUAGAAGAAGUGCCAGAUUCAAUUGAGCAUAUCGCUGGACUUGAAACAUUGUUAUUGGCAAAAUCAAAGAUAAAUAAUGUAUCGUGCAAUAUUUCGAAGUUGGAAUGCCUUCGUUAUCUGGAUUUUAGUCAUUGCCUAGUCGCCGAAUUCCCAGAAAUUCUACGAAGACCCGAGCUUGAAAGGGCUGAAGGAGCAACCUAUGCAUUUUCAUUGUCACUCGAUUUCCCCCUCCCUGAUUGGAGAAAGGUUCCGAUAGUUCAUGUGCCCCCCAAAAUCCUAAAGUUUAAAAGCCUUGAAUAUUUGAAAAUGGAUCAUUGCGAGAGUCUUAAAUUACUUUCGGAGCUUCCACCAUAUUUGCGGUACUUGGAUGCACAUGGCUGCAAAUCGCUAGAAAAAGUAUCGUUCACAGAUCGAAAUCAAGAUCAAUAUGAACUCUAUUCUUUUUACGGUAAAGAUGAGUUCUUUAUGAUAUUCUCUGAUUGCUUCAGCUUGAAUCAAGUUUCAAUUAAAAACAUUGAAGCAAAUGCCAUGCAAAAAAUUGAAUCACUUGUAAAGAAAUGGAGAUGUAAAUAUGAUUAUGGUCCAAAAUCAUUGUUUUGCUGUUUCCCAGGGAGCGAAAUUUCAGCCAGUAAAUUCGAGUAUCAGAGGAUGAAUUCUUCGUUGAAGUUGCAGAUAACCCCAAAUGAGUUUAGUGGGAGCAGAUUCUUGAGUUUUGCUAUCUGCCUUGUGGUUGAUCUCAAGUAUUGCCAUAAAUACAAUAAAGAUCUUCGAUGUAUCUGUGAAUACCAACUAACAGCCUUCGAUGGUUGUUAUGAAAAGUUCGAAUGUGAGUGGGGUUACAAGCUAGAUUUUGAGUUACAUCGAAAGUACAUGGGUGAUCACGUGUUGAUUCUAUUCAGUGACAAAAUGAUUAAAAAAGACGACGAUUAUGUGGAGGCAUCAUUUGAAUUUUAUAUAAAUAAAUGCUACUACAAAGGCGAUGCUGAAGUUGAUGAUAUCAAGGUCAAAAAAUGCGGUGUUCAUGUAUAUUAUGUGGCUGAAAACAACAAAGGUCCAAUUAGUCCUUAUACCAUGCAAAUGUGAGGACCCGAUUGGAGCCCCUCCAACGGAGCAUCAGAACUUAACGUCAGCGCUGGCCACGAGGGAAAACAGUAAAAUCACUAGGGACAACGGAAACAAAGGGGGAAAAAGGAGGAAAUUUGUUCAUGACUUAAAGGGUUGAUAUUGCAUCUCUUCCUUAGGUGCUAAGGUAAACUUUCCACCUAUUCCCUAUAUAUAUAUAUGUUAAUUUGAAAGACUGCUUUUGUUUGAGACUGGUUUUUCUUAUAAUAACCUAUGCUUUUAUGAUGGUGUAGGUGUUUGUUGUGGUAUAUCUUAGACUACAUAAUGAAUAGUCUCUUCAAUUUUCCCUCACUUUCAAUGCAUUUUGUUAUGUUUCUUAUGCAUAUCUUUUACAAUUAUAUGACUCAUUAUCAAGAUUUGGUAGUCUAAGGUGUUGUUUGAUAAUUUAUUAAAAAAUUUAAAUUGACUGAAAAUUAAUAUUUUUAAUGAUUUAAUUUUUUAAUCAUUUUUGAUAAUUCAUAAUAAAAAAGUAACUCAUAAAUUUUUUUUUUAUGAUGAUAAGUAGAUAAGGAGCUACUAAGUAGCAUUUAAUAUAAAAAAAUUCAAUUCUUUUUAUCUUAUUUUCUUUGUUUUAACAUUUAAAAUUUGAUAUUAUGAAAGGGAAUGAAGAUGGAAGUGACUGCUGUAAGCAAAUCAUAUGAGAAAACAGAGAGCCAAGAGAGAACUAAUGGCAGAUCUAUGGAAAGGCCAUUAUACUUUGAGCUUUAGCUAUACAAAAUAUCAGAGGAACAUGUAAGCUUUUAAUUUUUUAAGCUUUUAAUUUUUUCUACUGAAACGUUUGCUUCACACUUGUUCUUGAACUGAGAUAUUGAGACAGUACUGCAAUUUGUGAACAGAUUGCUUUGUUUUUGGACCUACAGAGGAACCGUAUGCUCUUGAGAAUUUAGCCUUCCUAGAAAAGAAAAUUAAGAACUUCAAAGUGAAGGGUUUGGUUUCAUGGUAGAGCCAUUCAACUUGAUUAUCACAUCAUCUUGGGCUGAAACUUGAAUGAAGUUUCCUUUUUUCAAGAUUAUGAGAGAUUGAAAUUUGAUUUUUGUAAUUAAAAUUCUAGAGUUUUACUCUGUUUUUGGAUUGAAAGGAUGCAAUAGUGGAAUUGGUAGUCACUAAAUGAGUGUCAUUUAGCAACUUGCAGAUUUUGUUGUGUUCAAUCUACUUGGAUUUGCAGGGAUAAAUCUAUUGAAUCAAAUUUUGUUUUGUUGUACAUUAGGUAAUUAAAAUAAGGAAAACUAUGUCAUACAUUGUGCCUAACCUUUGCAUUAUUAUUAUUUUAUUCUAUUGUUAACCUUUUCCUCUUGGAAUCAAAUGUACAAAUAUAAGAAACAAAUUGAAGUUUAAUGAACUUGAGAAUUCUCUUAUCUUGAUAAUCAUCCCAAAGCUUAAAUCCCUUAAAAUUGGCACCUUUCCACAUAUUAGUAUUUAAGGGGUUUUCCCCCCUAGAUUAGUACUUAGGAUUUUUUUGUAAAUUAUUUUGGUAACACCAUUUAAUUUGAAACACGUUACACUCUCAAAUCAUGACAUGUGUCAAUGAUGAUAUCAAUUCUAAUGACAUAAAAUUGGAAAUUUCUUUAAUAGUUUGUGAUAGUUGCUUCUUUUUUUCUCAUCUCCAUUCCCCUGUUGUGUCUUUGUUCUUUUGUAGAUAUAGCAUAUAUUGUCCAAGAUGGGAAUUCUCCAUAUAUAUUAAUUAAUUUGGAGGAAAAUUGAACGGCAGUUGGAGAUUUUAAUACAGUAGCAAAAUGAUUCUGCUUUGGAGUUGAUACAAUAUCCAUAGGGGAUUUUGGUGAGUACCAAAAUUCAGAUAUUAAAAUUCAUACUUAAUUCUUAUUGAGAGUUGACUUGUUAUUGGUUGGUUUUUUUUUUAAAUCAUAGGACCAAUGGUGGACUCGAUUCAGCUUCAUUGUUUAGUUUCCAGCAUUGGUGUCAUCUGGUAUCUCAAAACUCGCUGCAUUUUCGUUCAAUCAUAGCUUGAUUCAUUAGAAAAGAUUGGUUAUUUGCGAGAUUGGUUUUUCUUAUAUCCUUUUCUUUUUUGUUGAUGUAAGACUAGGGAAUGAUAGAUCAUUGAGAACACCUGAGCUGUAAGACCUUCAAUUUGUUUUACUGAAUUCAAAGUAAUCUUUUGAGGCCCUUUCUGGUUCUGGCAAUUCAGUCUUGGUGGAGAAGUAAGUUACCUUUGACUUAGACUUAUUAUUAUGAUUUUAGGUUCAUAUAAUGAUUUUCAGCAUCCUCACCUUCUUUUCCCAUAUUUAUCAAUGGGAUUAUAUAAAUCCAGAAUUUGCUAGAGAUCUCAAAGCUUGUGGGCUGAACACAUGGAGGUGGAGACAACUUUUGACAGUUUUCAUUCUCUAGCUAGAUUGGGUUAGUUUCAUGGUAGAGCCAUUGGAGUCGAUAUUUUCUUAUCUUGGAUUUUGAUUAUCAUAUCAGUUUGGACUGAAAUUUCUUUGUAUGUUACUGCCUCUCAUGUUGUUUGAGCAUUGCAGUGAAGACAUAUUAAGAUUCAUACUUGAAUUCUUGUUGGCAAUUGACUUGUUAUUGGUUGGUUUUGAUUCAUAGGAUCGGUGGUGGAUAUCAUCCAGCUUAAUUGUUUAGGUUCCACCAUUGGUGCUCAAGCCAUGGGCAGUAAGUAGAGAUUUAAUCAUAUUGUAUCUCAAUACUCUCUGCAUUUUACUUCAAUGAUUCAUUCACCCAUUGAUUUAUGUUUCAUAUUUCCUUAAAACGUUAGUAAAUAUAUAUAUAUAUGUUUUCAGUUCAUGAUUUCUGAUCUAUAUUCAUGUUAGCUAAGGUAAACCUACCAACUAUUCCCCAUAUAUAAUCUAUUGGCUAUGUUUUAUUAUUUUGAAUUUUAUGACUAUGAUCUGUUGAUUCCAUAAAACUUGAUGAAAGUCAAGCCGGACACAAGUUCAAUACUCUACUGGAAUUGAAGUUGCAGAUUAUGGGUGGUUUUGAUAUCUUCUUUCUCACCAACAAAUGAAGUUCCCACAAAAUUACUGGUGUUAAGGUGAAUGUUGUGAAUCAAUGCAAAACCCACAUUUAUAGAUGUGCCCUUUUACCUAGAGAUUAAGCUUUUUACUUUUUGAAUUUGGUAAUGUGAAGGAAAUAAAGAUGGCAAUGGUUGAUGAAAGGAAAGCAGAUGAGGGAAUAAAUCACAGAUGUUUGUAACAAGUAAGCUUUUAUGAUGUUCAAUUUCUUCUACUGAAGGAUUUCUUUAUAUUGCGGUUGAAUUGAGAUAUUGAAGCAGUACUGCAACUUUUCAACAGAGUUGUCUUGUUCAUCCCAUCCAGCUUUGCUUCAACGCUUUCUGGAUUUUGAUCAUUGAGAGGAAGCACAUGAUCUUGGGUAAAUUACUUUUAACUCAUUCUGAUUAUUAGUAUAGUCAUGGCAUUCUUUUCCCUUGAUUUACCAAUGGAUUAUAUAAAUGCAUGCAGAAUUAGGCAGAGUUGCUCUUAUCUGAAAACAAGUUGAAAGAACACAUGGAACUUGGAUGUUAUUUUCAAUGCCAACCCUAACACAGUUUUCAUUCUCAAGCUGGAUUGAUGAGCUUUUAUGUUUACCCCAUAGAGGAACCCAACAUAAACACUUGGAAGAAAACAAUCCAAAUGAUUUUGGUUUAGUUGGAACUUCAAAGUGCAGAGCUGGUUUCAUGGUAAAACCAUUUGACUUGAUUGUUAUAUCAGUCUGGGCUAAAAUUUGAAUCAAUUUUCCCCUUUUGUAAUUAAAAUUCCAGAAUUUUGCUCUGUUUUGGAAUUGAAAGGAUGCAACAUUGGAAUUGGUUUGUACAUUCGUUUUUAUGAGAUGGUAUCCAACAAGUUCAAGAUUCGUAGCUUAGUAAUUAAAAUAACUUUCUGUAACACUAAACUAUGAUCUACCAUAAGAAAAAACACAAAUUUUAUACUUCUCUGAUUAUUUUAUAAUGCCAUGUGACUUAAAAUUUUAGUAAUUAAAAGGAUUCUGCUUUGGAGUUCUAAAAAAUAUCCAUGCGAAGCCGUGGUGGGUACCAUAGUUUAGAUAUGAAGCUUCAUACUUAAAUUCUUUUAGGCAGUUGACUUGUUAUUGGCUGGUUUUAACUCAUAGGAUCAGUGGUGGACUUCAUUCAGCUUCAUUGUUUAGUUUCCAGCCUUGGUUCUUAUGCCAUAGGGAGUAGGUGUAGCUGUUGGAACAUUGGCAGCAACAUAAGCAAGAAUGAAAACAAAAGCCAAAGAAGGAAUUGAAAAAUGAAAGAGAAAGUUUGAACAAAGUUGCAACCGAAUGAAAAUCAUUUUCAUUGAUUGAAAAUUAAAAAAAUUUAUGAGUUACAACCAUGUUUGACAGUUACCUAAUAGUUGUAACUGCUCUCACUAAUACUAGACAAACAUAAUCUUUGAAUUACAAGUAAAAGUAAGCUAACAUUUCAGCUAUUACAUCAAGUACCAAUCAAAAAACUAAUCCAACUAGAUUGUGAUCAAAUUACAAUCAAACUAAACUAAGUUACAUAGGAACAAAAUGAACAAAAUGGUCCAAAGCUAGCUGCUGCAUUCGGUUCUACUCCUUGCUGGUCUGCUUGUUGAGCUGCUGGUCACAUGUUGCAUUGCAGGCCAAUGCUCAACACUCCUCCUUGGACUAUAUGCAACAUACACCAAUCUUGCUUCUUAAAACCUCGAACCUUGUUGCACCAAGUGGCUUAGUCAAAAUGUCAGCCUAUUGGUCUUGUGAGCUGCAAUGAACAAGACUGAUUUCUUCUGAUUGCUCAGCUUCUCAAACAAAGUGAAACUUGAUCUUAAAAUGCUUGGUUCUUCCAUGAAAAACUGGAUUCUUAGCAAUAGCCACUGCUGAUUGGUUGUCAACUUUGACUUCAGUAGGUUCACAUUGCUCUUCAUUUAGAUCGCAUAGCAACUUUCUAAGCCAAAUGGCUUGAUUCACUGCUGCUGCUGCUGCAAUAUAUUCUGCUUCAGCUGUGGAUUGAGCAACAGUUUGUUGCUUCUUAGAACUCCAACAAAAAACUCCUGAACCAAGAGUAAAGAAGUAGCCAGAAGUGCUCUUCAUGUCAUCAACAGAACCAGCCCAGUUACUAUCUGAAUAUCUUGUUAGCUUGAGCUCAUUUUCCUUCUUAAACAUGACUCCAUGGUUCAGAGUCCCUUUGAUGUAUCUGAGGAUUUUUUAACUGCCUUGAGGUGAAUUACAUUGCAGCACUGCAUAAAUCUUGAUAGGAGACUAACACCAAACAUAAUAUCAGGCCUAGUUGCUGUUAAGUAAAGCAGGCAACCUACUAGGCUUCGAUAUUCUUUUUCAUCAACUCUUGCUUCAAUCCCAUCACUGGACAACUUCUCCCCUUGUGCUACUGGUGUGCUUACUGAUUUGCAGUUUGACAUGUAAAAUCUAUCAAAGAUCUUUAAUGCAAAAGCAUGUUGGCUGAUAAAAAUGCUUUGAUCAGACUGGUUCACUUCCAUACCAAGGAAGUAUGUCAUAAUUCCUAGGUCUGUCAUCUCAAAUACUUCCAGCAUUUGCUCUUCAAAUUCAUUGAUCAAUUCAUCUUUGCUUCCAGUCACAAGUAGAUCAUUUACAUAGAGUGACACAAUCAGUAAGGUUUCACCUUCUGAUCUCUUCACAUAGAGUGUGGCUUCACUGACACUCUUUUCAAAUCCAAGCUUAGACAGGUAGGUGUUUAUUCUGUCAUACCAGGCUCUUGGUGCCCGUUUCAGGCCAUACAAGGCUCUCUUUAAUCUAUAAACCUUGUCUUCUUGUCUUUGGACUUUAAAGCCUUCUGGCUGCUCUGUGUAAAUUUAUUCCUUGAGAAAACCAAUCAAGAAAGCUGAUUUGACAUCAAGUUGAUGAAUCUUCCAUUGUUUCUAUGCAGCCAAAGUAAACAAAAGCUUGAUUGUGUCAAGCCUUGCUACUGGAGCAAAUGUCUCUAUAAAGCCAGUGCCAUAUUGCUGACUAUAGCCCUUCACCACCAACAUUGCCUUGUGUUUGUUCAAAGAGCAAUCAGAGUUGAAUUUGGCUCUAAAAACCUACUUGACACCUAUGACUUUCUAUUGGUCUAGUCUAUCAACCAAGUCCCAUGUCUCAUUCUUCUUGAUCAUCUCAAGCUCAGCUUCCAUAACCUUUCUCCAGCAUUUGUCCCUUGCAGCAUCUUCAUAGCUAGAUGGCUCAACUAUAGCAACAUUGCAUCUGUGCUAAAUGUCAGCAAUGGUUCUGGUUCCUCUCACAAGAGGAUCAUCGAUGUCUGCAUUUUCUGGUCUAUUCUCAGCUAGCUCUGGGCUGAUGUCAAAUUGGUCUUCAUCAAACUGGCUUGCAUCUGAACCUUCCCAAUUCCAAAACUUUUCCUCAUCAAAUUUGAUGUCCUUGCUCACCAAAAUCUUCUUUUUUUGAGGGGUCAUACACUCUGUAGCCCUUUUUGGUAUUGCUGUAGCCAACAAAUAUACCAUGAGCAAACUUUCUCUCAAGUUUAGUUCUACUUUCAGCUAGAAUAAGCACAUAGCACACACAUCAACAGAUGGCUUGAGUCCAUGCCAGGCUUCAAAAGGUGUUUUGUCCUUCAUUGCUCGAGUUGGAAGCUUGUUGAGCAAAUAUACUGAGGUAUUGACUGCCUCAGCCCAAAAUUUGUUUGGAAGUUUGCUUUGAAAUAGCAAAAAUCUGGCCAUAUCCAUCACUGUUCUAUUCUUCCUUUCACAAACUUCAUUUUGCUGUGGAGUGUAAAUAGUGGUUAGCUGAUGAUGGAUCCCUGCCUGCUCACAAAGCUUUUGAAACCUCUCAAACAAGUAUUCAGCCUCAUUGUCAAUUCUCAAGGACUUAAUCUUACAACCUGUUUGGUUCUCUACUAAUGCCUUGAAUUUGCCAAAAGCUUCAAAGACUUCAGACUUCUGUUUCAUGAAGUAGACCUAGCAAAAUCUGGUCAAAUCAUCAAUGAACAGCACAAAAUACUUGUUGUCAUUCAAAGAAAGGGACUUCAUUGGUCCACAAACAUCAGAGUGCAUCAGCUCAAGCCUUUCUCGAGCUCUUCAUGCCUAGUUCAUUGGAAAAGGCAAUCUAGCUUGUUUGACAAGCUGACAAACUUCACAAACAGUCUCCCUUGCCUCAACUUUGCACAUAUCAUCUACCAAAUUCAUCUUAUGCAACAGAUCAAGUGAUCUGAAAUUACAAUGGCCUAGUCUUCUAUGCCAUAGGCCAGCAUUAUCAGCUAAGCUUGUAUAAGCUUUCUUCUCAAGUUGGUUCACAUCAAGCUUGAAACAUUUGUCUACCAUGCCUACAGUAAUCAUCUCCUGGCCAGGGAAGUCCUCAAUAACACAUGAACCAUUCUUGAAAACUAGAGAAUACCCUUUUUCAACUAACUGACCAACACUCAACAAGUUCUGAUCAAUGUCAGGUACAAAAAGCACAUCUGAAAUGACUCUGAACCAGUGUUGAUCACAACAUUCCCUUUGCCUUUGGCUUCAAUCAGACUCCUAUUGCCUAUUCUGAUUUUUUAGGCAUAGCUUCUGUCAAGAUCUUUGAACAUGCUUUCAUCAGCUGCCAUGUGAUGUGUGUAGCCACUAUCCAUCAGCCAAUUGCAUUUGACCUUGCUUGUGGUAGUAAAGCUUGAGGCUGUGAAAACAUGCUCCUCCUGAGCUUGAAGGUCCUCAGCAGCUUGAGCCUGAAUCUGCUGCUGUACCGGUGCCUUUGCUUUGUUUUUACAAACUUUCUCAACAUGGUCAAACUACUUACAGUUUCUACAUUGGAUGUCUGGCCUAAACCAGUAAUAUUUUUCCAAGUGUGUGGUCUUUUUGCAGUGGACACAUGGUGGAUACCUCCUCUUGCCUGAAUCCUUCCUUGGUUUGUCCCUCUUGUCAAGCCAAGGCUUCUUUCCUUUCUGCCUUGUGUUGGAGCUUUCUUUGGCCUUUGCUUGGAAGGCUCCUUCAGGAUGAUCUUCCUGCCUGUUAGCCCUUCUCUGCUCCAAAGCAUAAAGAGAGUUCACCAAUUCUGCAAGGAAAUGGUUGUCAAGUCCCUUGAAUCCUUAAGUGAUGAGAUUUUAGACUCAAAUCUCUCAAGAAGAGUGGUGAUGAACUUCACCACAACUCUGCUCUCACUGAAGUCUUCACCAAGCAACCUUAUGCUAUUGACAGUGGCCAUGAUCCUGUCUGAAUAUUGCUUGAUGCUCUCAGAUUCUUUCAUUUUCAGGUUCUCAAAAUCUCUCCUCAAGUUAAUCACUUGUUACUACCUUAUUUUAUCUAAUCCCAUAAACUCCUCCUUCAGCCUCUCCCAUGCUUCCUUAAGUGUGCUGCAAGCCAUGAUUCGAGUGAAGAUUACAUCUGUCACUCCAUUUUGCAAUCAGGCCAAGGCUUUGUGCUUCUUUGUGCUCUCCUCAGCAUGCUGCCUCAUCUGAGCAAUUAUGGAUUAGCCCUCAAUGGAGGUGUCUCGAAAUCAUUCUCAACUACACUCCAUAAGUCUUGUGCUUGAAGGUAUGUUUUCAUUUUGACUACCCAAAUGUGGUAGUUCUUACCAUCAAACACUGAAGGUGGAGGUGGAGUGAAACUGGAGGUGGAGGUAGAGUGAAACUCAUCCUGCUGAAAUAAGUUUAACAACUUCAAACUCUUGCUUCUCGUACUUUUGUUUUCUCAAAAAAUAAAACAACCAACAACAAAGGCCUCCCAAGACUUAGGCUCUGAUUACCAUUUGUUGGAACAUUGGCAGCAACAUAAGCAAGAAUGAAAACAAAAGCCAAAGAAGGAACUGGAAAAUGAAAGAAAAAGUUUGAACAAAGUUGCAACCAAAUGAAAAUCAUUUUCAUUGAUUGAAAAUUCAAAAAAUAUAUAAGGUACAAACAUGUUUGACAGUUACCUAAUAGUUGUAACUGCUCCCACUAAUACUAGACAAACAUAAUCUUUGAAUUACAAGUAAAAGUAAGCUAACAUUUCAGCUAUUACAUAAAAUACCAAUCAAAAAACUAAUCCAACUAGAUUGUGAUCAAAUUACAAUCAAACUAAACUAAGUUACAUAGGAACAAAAUGAACAAAAUGGUCCAAAGCUAGUUGCUGCAUUCGGUUUUGCUCCUUGCUGGUCUGCUUUUUGAGCUGCUGGUCACAUGUUGCAUUGCAGGCCAAUGCUCAAUAGUAGCUUUAUUGUUUAGUUUCCAGCAUUGGUCUUAAUACUCACUUUAUUUGCUUGCUUAUGUCCUUGGUAUUUGUUGUGCUUUUUACUUGCUAGUUUAAUGCAACGUAACAUAUGUUAACCAAAACAGAGUGUCAAUAGAGAAUGGAUGGUAGUUCUUUGGAGAUGCCAUUAUGUUUGGAGUUUUACCUAUAAUAGAAAAAAGAGGAGCAAGUAAGCUUUUCAAGAGCUUCAAUUUCUUCCGAUGAAUGCUUGCUUUAUGUUUGUGCAUGAACUGAGAUAUUGAGGCAGUACUGCAACUUGUCAACAAAUUUGCCUUCUUGAUCUUAUUCAACAUUGAGCCAAUGCAAAUUGAAGCCAUUUCCUAAGCUCUUUCUGCUUUUUGAACCUUCAGAGGAACCAUAUGCUCUUCGGCAAUUUAGCCUUCCUAGAGAGGUAAUUUACCUUUGUUUCAGUGUGAUGUUUUUAGCAUCCUCAUGACCUCUUUCCUCUAAUUUAUCAAUUGGUUUAUAUGAAUUCAGAAUUUUCCCUAAUUUAUCAUUGUGAUAAAUAAUUGAUACUAAUAUUAUAUGAAAAUAACUAAAAAGGUACCCCUCGCCUCACCGUUCUUUCCCUCUCCAUAUAUUAAAAAUUUAUCUAUACUUUUAUUUAAUUAGGCCUUUUUGGUCUGUAUUAUUUUUCAUUUCCAUUUUAGCUUUUUUUUUUCUCCUUCAUUGUAAUACUUUUGUUUCCUGCUUUAAUUCUAGAGAAUUGUCAAAUUGAACUGAACUGAAGACCAAAAAGGUGAUAAAUUUUGAGGGACGAGGGGUUAUUUUUUAUUUUAAUAUUAAUAUAAUUAAUUUUUAUUUAAUAUUAACAUAAAAUAAAUUUUUAAUUAUAUUUUAACGGGUGACAUGAUAAUUUUUUGAUUGGCUGACUGUGAUGAAUAAAUGCUAACUUAGAUUACAGAAUAAAAGUUUAAGUACAUAACUCAAAUGAAUAAAAUUUUUUAAGGUUUUUCUAGUUGAAUUGAGCCUCUAUUUAUUUUCUCAUUAUGAAUGUGAUGUGCGUACUUUGUUGAUAAUUCGGACCACCAGAUUUGAUGUAACCAAAUUCUACUUUAAUGGAAAUGUAUGAUGAUUGGACGCAAAAAUUAACCUUUUUGACUAACGAAAAAGGAUAAAAGAAAUAGCCUUUUUCUGGGAUAAGGCAGUGGAAUGGAAGUUUCCCGUUCUUCUAAAAACUCUGGGGACAUCUAAAAACGUAAAAAAUUUAUAUAUUAAAUACAUAAAUAAUCAUAUUUAUUUAAUAUAAAAAUAAAUUAAUGUAUUUUUUUAUUUAAAUUAUUUUCUCUUUUUCUUUUUUACACUUGUUCUUCUUAUAAUAACACCACAAUCCAAGCAAAACUCACUGUACAAAAUUAAUAUAUAUUUUAAUUUUAAUUUGAAAAUUUAAUUUUAAAGUAAUAUAAUUAAAAUUAAUUACUAGUUGAAUAUUUGAUUCAGUAUUCAAAACUCAGGGAUAAAUACUAGAAAGUUCAUGCCACCUGUAAAGGACUCAGUCUAAUAAAAAUAAGAAGAUAGCAAAGAUGAUGGAUAUUUCACUCUUUAUCUUCUCACAAUAAUACCAAAGAUGAUGCUACGAUCAUAAUUCUUUUCAUUCUUCUUCAAAAGUACGAAAACAAAGCUCCCAUGGUGCAUCUCUUUUGCCUCAAUCGCACAAUCCAUACUCUUUGACUUCUUCUUCUUCUUCUCUUUUGCCUCAAUCAGACAAUCCAUACUCUUUGGCUUCUUCUUCUUCUUCUCUUUUGCCUCAAUCAGACAAUCCAUACUCUUUGGUUUCUUCUUCUUCUUCUCGUCAAAUGAAGCACCAAGUUUUCUUGAGCUUCAGAGGUGAAGACACACGCCUUAACUUCACCAGUCAUCUACACAAAGCUUUGAAGGACAAGGGACUGAAUGUCUUCUUCGAUGAAGAAAAACUAGAGAAAGGGGAGCAACUUUCACCAGCACUUUCUCAAGGAAUUGCAGCCUCAAAUCUCUCAAUCCUUGUUUUAUCUAAAGACUAUGCUUCUUCAAAAUCGUGCCUAGCUGAACUCUCUGCAAUCAUGGACCGCAAGCAGACACAAGGACAUAUUGUUCUUCCCAUCUUUUACCAUGUUGAUCCUUCCCAUGUAAGAAAUAUUGGUGGGAGUUUUACAACAUCCUUUGAAGAGCAUGAAUCGAAGAGGCCAGUUGAUGAAGUUGAUGAAGUGAAGCGAUGGAAAGCAGCCUUUGCUGAAGUUGGUAACUUAAAAGGGUGGCAUAUAGGAGGAGACAAAUCUGACAGGUAACUAUAUUUUUCUCACCUUCUUAUAUUUGAGUUACCUUUGUUUUGGAUUUCAUAUAUCUAUGUAUAUUUAUUUAUUUAUUGUAUGCUAGACCUGAAGCAGGGUACAUUGAGGAAAUUGUUAAAAAAGUUAUAGAAAAGUUGAGGAGUAGCAGAUCUAGACAUGUUUCUGAAGAACUGGUUGGAAUAGAUUAUCAGAAAGAUGCAAUUUGAGGCUGAUUGAGGAAAAAGGCAGUCGUGUAAUAGGACUCUGGGGAAUGGGUGGUAUAGGCAAAACUACCCUUGCUGAAGCUGUAUAUGAGGAAAUGUCUCAGAAUUUUGAAAGCCGUUGCUUUCUUCAAAAUGUUAGUGAGAAAAUACAAACACACGGAAAGGAAAUUUUACGAAAUGAUCUUCUUUCCAAACUGUUAAAUGAAAAAUAUAUUAAAAUAGACACUCCUUCGAUAGGAUACCCUUACCAAGAGAGGUUGAACAAUAAAAAAGUACUUGUCGUGCUUGAUGAUGUUAGUCACCAAGAUCAAAUAGCUAUUAUGGGUGUUAAACAUUUUGGUGAUGGAAGUAAAAUCAUUGUAACAUCUAGAGAUAGAACAGUACUUGACAAUGGAGCUGACGAAACUUCUGAGGUGAAGAAUUUAAAUGAGAUUGACUCUCUUCAACUGUUUUCUAUUUGUGCGUUUAAGCAGUUUGUUGUGCGGAAGCGUGUAAAAGAGUAAAAUUAUUGUACUAAAAAAUCACACUAAGUUCAAUUCCCAGGAAAGAGAGGUGGAUCACAAGGAUCGCUUAAGUACCAGGUCUUUCCUAGCCAGAAUAUCCCUCAAUCGUAAUUUAAUAGCACAAUAAAUCACUACAAUCACACACACAAUUCAUGCAGAAUAAUACAAUAAAGAACACAAGAAUUUAACGAGGUUCAGCAAAUUUUGCCUACGUCCUCGGGCACUACCAAAUAUAUUUCACUCCAAAAUACAAGUGAGAAUUUACAAAGAGAGAGAGAGAAAACAAUGUCUUAAGUAGAGAAUGGCAAGUUUGAGAUACAGAAUGAGAGAUGGUUAUGCCUAUUUAUAGUUGAGGUUCAGGGAUCAACUUGCAAAGUCACUUUACAAUUAGGGACCAUAUAUUGCAAAUAUCUCAGAUUUUAUUAUGCCAAUAUAUCGAUACCCAUAUCUUUGACUUUCCAAUAUUUGAUACCCAUAUCUUUGACUUAUUAUUUGAUACCCAUAUCUUUGAUUUUCUAUAAAUAUGGAUAAUUCCCAAUACAGUUCAAUCCUGAUGCUGAUUAUCGAGACCUAUCAAUAAAGUUUGUAGAGUACACCCAAUACAAUCCACUUGCUCUAAAAGUUUUGGGUUGCCAACUAUAUAACAAGGGUAGAGUAUAUUGGGAAAGCGAGAUGGAUAAGUUAAAGGAAUAUAUCGAACCAGACAUUUAUAAGAUUUUGAAGACAAGCUUUGACGGGCUUGAUGAACAAGAAAAGAAUAUAUUCCUUGAUAUUGCAAUCUUCUUCAAAGGGGAACCUAAGGAAAAUGUAGAAAAUAUUCUAAGUAAUUGUUAUAAUGGCGCAGAGUCUAGCAUCAGAAACUUGAUCGACAAGUGCCUACUAAAUAUUACCCCUCUUCCUAUUUCUUUGCGUGAUAUGCUUGAAAUUCGCAGUAAGUUUCUCAAGAGGAAAGCAGAAGAGAUUGCAAGUUCCCCUUCCAGAGGUGCAUUAGAUGAUCGAAGAAGUAGUUUCUUGGAUGAGAUUCCGCAAUGUAUUUCUAUGCAUGAUAUGGUUGAGCUGAUGGGCAAGGACAUUGUUCGCAAAGAAUUUAGAGUUCCUCGAAAGCGCAGUAGGUUAUGGAAUCCUAAUGAAGUAAAGCAAGUGCUCAAAUAUAAUAAAGUAAGUAUUAAUUGUACUUAUGUUUCUUUUUAUAUUUUUUUUAUAUAUUUGUAGAUACCAUGUAUAAGGUAGUAAUCCCUUGAGAACACCAAAUACCUGAACGAAAAUCGCCAAAAAGAAAAACAAAAUAAUACCAACUCAACAAUAUAUAUAUUUAAACCAAAUCACAUCCAUUGAAAUCAUUAUAAAAAUUAAUUACUUGUAUUUAGUUUUAGUUGAUAGAGAUAGAAGAUUUACUUACAACUCAACUUCAACUCCAAUAAUUCAAACUCUCAAAUUUAUGUACUCUAAUUUAAAAUUUAGUUAAAUAAUAAAACUCACUAAUUUAAUUAACUAAAAUUUUCUUUUCAAUUAUUUUUAUCAAAUGCUAACCCUAAUCUUAAGUUAUUACAUGGAUCUACCAAGGGUUUUUAUUAAAUUAAUUAAAUAUCUAAUGUAUUGCUUUAUACUAUAAAAUUAAACACUUUUUAAAUCUAAAAUUUCUUGUAAUAAAAAAGUAUGCUCAAUUAGUCUAAGCCUUGUUUAAUUUCUAAUGAGUGAUUUAAUAUAGUGCCUGAUACUUGUUUCUUGUUAUUAGGGAACAGAAUGGAUUGUAGGAAUAAAGUUAGACAUGUCUCAAAUUGGUAAACUACAGUUAUGUUCUUCUGUUUUUGGGAAAAUGCUUAAUCUUAAAUAUAUCGACUUUUAUUUUCCUCCAUUUAUUGGAAAGCAACGAAAGAAGAAGCUACAUGCAGAUCAAGUUGGCGAUGUAUCUCUUCCUGAUGAGCUAAGACUUCUUUGUUGGGAGUAUUACCCAUUUAAAUCUUUAUCACUAAGUUUUGAUCCGAAGAAUCUUGUUGUGUUAAAAUUACCUCAUGGUGAUGUACAACAACUUUGGAAUGAAGAUGAUCAUCAGGUAAUUUUUUCAUACUUUCUUCAUUCAAUAAAUUAAAGAUGUAUACCAAAUACUAUAAUAACUUUUUUUUAUACUGCACAAAGUAAGUAGACAAUGCUGAGUAAUAAAGCUAUUUUAUAUUUUCAUUGCGCAGGAUCUUAUCGAUUUAAGAAAAAUUGUCCUUACGAAUUGCAAGAAUUUAAAGAAGAUCCCUAAUCUAUUAGGAGCCGUCAACCUUGAAAUCCUUUGCUUUAAUGGGUGCAACAGUUUGGUUGAACUUCCUGGCUUCAGUGGUUUGGCAUCUCUCAAAACGCUUCAGCUUCAUGGAUGUUAUAAUCUUAAGAAGUUUCCCGAGCUCCCAAAUGAUGUUUCUUUCUUAGAUUUAGCAGAAACUGGAAUAGAAGAAGUGCCAGAUUCAAUUGAGCAUAUCGCUGGACUUGAAACAUUGUUAUUGACAAAAUGAAAGGUAAAUAAAGUAUCAAGCAGAAUUUCAAAGCUAGAAUGCCUUCAUUUUCUGGAUCUUAGUCAUUGCCUAAUCGCCAAAUUCCCAGAAAUUCUACGAAGACCCGAAAAACCUAAAGAGCCUGAAAAGCGCCAGCCAUGUUCCUCGAUAUACUAUUUCUCCCCUCUACCGAGACCCGAAAAACCUAAAGAGCCUGAAAAGCCCCUUCCAUGUUCAUCGUCAUCCUAUUUCCCCCACCCUUUACCAAGACCCAAAAAACCUAAAGCGCCUGAAGCGAAAAAAGCGCCUGAAGUGAAAAAAAAAAAGCUCCGUCCAUAUUUAUCGUCAUCCUAUUUUCCCCUAGCUCGUCAGAUAGUUUAUAAGCCCCCAAAAAUCCUAAGGGUGCGUUUGGUUCGUUGUAUUGGAUUAGAAGUGUAUUGGAUUAGAGGUGUAUUGGGAUUAGAGGUGUAUUGGAUUAGAGGUGUAAUAGCUAAUCCACUGUUUGGUUGAAUGUAAUGGAAUAGAGGCGUAAUAGUAAUCUUGUGUUUGGUUGAAUGGAAUAGAGGUGUAAUAGCAUAAUGGAAAAAACUAAAAUGACUAGAAUACCCUUAGGAUAAAAUUGUUUUGGUAAAUGAUUAUUGUUAUUGUUAUUUAAAUUUUAAUAAGAUUAUUAUUAUCAAUAAUAAAUAUUUUAAUCAUAUUUAAACAUAAUUAUAAUUAAAUAUAUUUUAAUUAAAAUAUAUAAUUUAAUAAAAUUCUUAUAAUUAGCAGAAAAUUGUUUUGGUAAAUGAUUAUUGUUAAUGUUAUUUAAAUUUUAAUAAGAUUAUUAUUAUCAGUAAUAAAUAUUUUAAUCAUAUUUAAACAUAAUUAUUACUAAAUAUAUUUUAAUUAAAAUAUAUAAUUUAAUAAAAUUUUUAUAAUUAGCAGAAAUUUGUUGUUGUUAUUUAAAUUUUAAUAAGAUUAUUAAUAUCAAUAAUAAAUAAUUUAAUCAUAUUUAAACAUAAUUAUUAUUAAAUACAUUAUAAUUUUGGUAUAUAAUUUAAUAAAAUUCUUAAUAAUUCAUAUUCUUAUAUGAAUUUACUCAAAUCAUAAUAUAUGAUAAAUGAAAAUUUGAAAUAAUUAAUAUUAAAUAUAUUUUAAUUAAAAUAUAUGAUUUAAUAAAAUUUAAAAUAAUUAUUAUUAAAUAUAAUUUCAUAAAAUGUUCUUAUGAAUUUAUAAAAAUAAAAAUAUAACUUAAGAAUUAUUUUCUGCAUAAACAUAAUUAACUUAUACUAAGAAAAAGUUAGAUGAAAAUGAAAUUGUACAUCAUAAUCCAUAUGUUAUAUAGUUUUACAACAUCAAAAAGUUUGAACAUUGAUAUUUAAUGGUGAGAAAGAAAUCUUCUGACCCAUUCCAAUCGGGCAACAGAAGGUAAACUAAAGAAAACGAUCAUUUGAUUUGGAUGAUCGGGAAUUUUACUCAAAGCAUCAUACCGCUGAUCGUCGGUUAAACCUUCAAUUGACCAUAAGGCUGAAUAUAAAUUUGAAGCUUUCUCUUCCAUCUUCUCUUCUGACUUCUGCUGAACUACCACCUCGGAGGCAAUACUCCUACUGAUUUUAUCACCAACGGCCUGGAUUUUUUCCCCCAACAAGGUGGCAGCCUCCUCAAAUGAAGAAUACCCACCAUGUAUGCAUGUAAGGAAAAUAAUAUGUCAACGAACUCUAUCUAAGACAUUAUAAUUGCUAAGCCUUUGAAUUGAUAUGUUCAAAAGGGAGUUCAGCAGUGAGCAAUAUUAUUUUCAUCAAAGAUCCAAUAAUUGAGCCAUAUGCCCCAUAUGACUUGGUACUAAAAUAAGCAUCAACAUUUCUAUCAAGAUGGCACAUGUUUAUUUUUAUUUAGUAAAAUUAUUAGUAAAAAUUUACAUAAAUGAUUGAUAGCUAUUAACAAAUUUAAUAUUUUAAAGAUAAAUAAAAUGAUAAUAUUUUGUAAUCAAAUAAUAAUAAAGAGGUAAACACUCCAUAAGUAAUAAAUAAUUUAUAACACAUAGGUAAAAAAUAUUAUGGAAAAAAAAUUUGAAUUAUUAAUAUCAAUAAUAAAUAUGUUUUUCUAUUAAUAUUAAAUUUUAAUUGUUAUGCCAUGUUUUAUUUAUAUUUUCAAUUUAAAUGUAUAGUUUUAUAUUAAUAUUAUAUAAUCAAAAUGAUUUUAAUUAUAUUUCAAUUAAAAAUAUUAAAUAAUAAAUAAUGAUUUUAAUUAUAUUUUAAUAUACCUUAAAUAACAUAAAUAAAAUUUUUAUUUCAGCUUAAAGUUAGCACAAUUUAUUUUAAUAAUGAUUAAAUUUGAACGAGAUCUUUGAAAGUAUCAAAAUCGUUAUAUUUUUAUCAUAAUUGAUAUUAAUACAAGAAUUGGUACUAAAGUUUGAUGUCCUUUUUAAAUUAUAACGAAGAAUUGGUAUACCAUUAUCUUUAAGUAUCAAAAUAUUUAUCAAAUACAAAUAAUAGAUUAAAAAAAGAAAAAACACAAGUACCAAAUUAUAUAUUGCUCCUUUUUAUAACAACAUUUUGUCCAUGAAUUUCCUUUUUAAUACAAGAAUUGGUACUAAAGUUUGAUGCCCUUUUUAAAUUAUAUAGUACUCAUUAAUGGUUUUGGGGACAAAGGAAUAUAACAUAUGAUAUCCAAGUACAAAUCAGAUGUGUGCUCACAUGCAAUUUGCAAUCAUAAGCAUAACCUGGUUUUUUAAUGAAUGAAAACAAUUUAUAAAACAUCUUUUAAGGUAGACAUAUAACCAUAAAUAUUCGACAGUUGCAUGUUAAUCUUCAAAAGAUCCUAGAAUUCCAACGAUUUGCUUGAAAGUUGGACAAUGGAAGGUGGAGGAGAGAGAGCAAGUGAAAGCAGCAACCACGUAAGACCAAAUUAUAUAUUGUUUGGAAAGAAAGGAAGUACAUCCACAACUGAAAAAUGGGUUAAUGUUUGAUAUAUUGACAGAUUAUAAGUUUGACAGAUAAUUUAAAACUUUUAAAAGUAAGAUGACAGAUUUGGUAAUGAAGAAAGCUUUGGGUAAUUUAAAACUGUACAGGUCAUGGCUUCAUUUUCACUUCUAUAUAUAUAGCCGAACAAGAAAGGGUUUUCUUGGUUUCUCAUAUAUGGCCAGAAGCAGAUACAGUGGAAGGAGACCUUAUCAGCUAAUUAUUUCAGAAAGAGUGAAACGUAAAAGCAACAUAUAGGAAAAUACUCUCUUAGUUUCAUAAUUCCACACCAACUUGGAGAUUAAAUUAGCAGUAAAUGUACUUGGGUGUUAACUCAUUUCAAACAUUUCAAAGCAUUCAAAGUUAACAGUACCAAAUUAACAGCACCAUUUCAAACAUUUAUCAGUGAGCAAACAUUUCAAAGCAUUCAAAGUUGAAGUAGUAACAGCACCAUUUGAAACAUUUCAAAGCAUUAACAGUACCAAAUUAACAAAGCCAUUUCAAACAUUUCAAAGCAUUCAAAAUUAACAGUACCAAAUUAACAGCACCAGGACUAUGCAUGACAUUCUAGAGCUCAUUAUAUGCACUUCAACAUUGCAGUAGCCAUGAAAGAAUAUCAGAGUGUUUCUAUUCAACAAAAAUCUCAAAAAGCAUACAAAUCCAAACAGGACAUGAGCAUUCAUAGUCCUUUGUUUUCAUUUCUGACUGAUCAAGCAGAUGGAGCCACUGCAAAUAAAUUAUAUAGCCACUGCAAACAAUUGUAUAGCCACUGCAAACGGGGGAAACUAACCUGUAAUGAGGAAAUCGGAGAGGAGACCGAUGAUGAACUGCAGCAACAAAGAACCUGUAAUUCAGGACAAACAAACAAACAAUGAAGUUAGUUGUUGUAUAAUUCCAUGUCAUUCGGUUGAAUUUAGAUUUAAUUUUCAGUAACAGCAGUGUGUAAAUGAUAGAGAAACAAAACAUGCUAAAUAAAAUGGCUACACAAGAACCAUCAUCUAGGCAUUUGACUAGAAAAAUAAACAUGUUUUCACAAAAAUGAAAAUGGAAUACCAGUGCAAUUAGAGUUUGCUUACAUACAUAUUCUCAUACAGCCUUUCAAAGAUAAUUUAAUUACAAAAGAUAAAUAAUAUUCUUAUUUCUGUCAUGGAAAAGCACAAGAUUGUUAAAUGAGUUUAUUGAUUUAAAUGACUAAGAAAAAUGCACAGCAAGUACUUUCAUCAUAACAAUAUCAUGAGCUGGUUGCACUGGUUUUAAUAUUUCACAAUCUUGUCUCUACUGCUUUAGUUUGAUAGAUAAUGAUGUGUGGAUUACAUAAUCAAUAUAUUAAACUGCAGAUGGGAACUUAAGACAAUAUUAAAGAAUUAUAGAAAACAAAAAAUUAAUGGAUGGGAAAAUUAUAAGGAAAAUUAUGAAAUACUGACAACAAGCCUUUAACAAUGCACAAUGCCAAAUGACAAACAAAUUAAGGUCAAGAAGAUUAUUUAAAUGGAAAUACAAAAUCUAGCCUUUCCUUGACAAGUUGGAACUCAAACAAGAAUAUGAGACCUCUAGGAAUAUCAGUUGGAACAAAUCUGUUAAUUUCUCUACAAAUGUCCCACUACUGAUAUGCGUUCAUGGUUUAUAAGUGAGGAAAAGGAUUAUUAACUUCUAACAAUGGAUUAAAAUCAUGUUUUUAUUUGAAGUUAGUUGUUGUAUAAUUCCAUGUCAUUCGGUUGAAUUUAGAUUUAAUUUUCAGUAACAGCAGUGUGUAAAUGAUAGAGAAACAAAACAUGCUAAAUAAAAUGGCUACACAAGAGAACAUGCUGAUCAUUGAUAAUAAAUUAAGCUACAAAAGCAAAAAUGGCAAGAGGAACAAAACAUGGUACAGAAACAGAAAAUAGAGAAACAAAAAACCACUACAGAAAAUAGAGGAACAAAACAUGGUACAGAAACAAAAAAUAGAGAAACAAAACAUGGUACAGAAAUAGAAAAUAGAGAAAAAUAAAGUAGACAGAAUAUGAAAAAUGUUGGAGCAAAGAACCUGUAAUUCAGGACAAACAAACAAACAAUGGAAAAAAAAACCAUAACCGGCAAGAAACGAAACGCCGAUUUACCAAGGACUGAAACAAUCGCAUGCAGAGAGGAAAGAAAUAGGUUAAGUUUGACGGAGAUUACUGAUUCAAGCCGUCCGGAGAUCUGACACCGUCGAGUCGGAGAAGGAUGCAAAGCUGAAAUCGGGAGCGGGUAGAGGUUUGGUUCGCUGGCACGUUCUGUUUAUGUUGGGAGGGAGAGGGUCAGCUGGAGGCGAUUUCGGCAAGGGGAGGGUAAAUAAGACACCGAUUAGCUAAUCUUAGUUGUUGCAAGGGAUUACAAAUCGGUGGUGAAGCAGCCAAAAUGUGGAAUCCGUCCGCAACGGAUUAGAACAGUAUUAGAGAAAACAGCGAACCAAACGCUGUAUUCAGUGGGGCCACCGAUUCGGGGUGUAAUGGAUUAGCCAUUACACCCAACCAAACAAAGCCUAAAGUUUAAAAGCCUUGAAUAUUUGAAAAUGGAUCAUUGCGCGAGUCUUAAAUUACUUUCGGAGCUUCCACCAUAUUUGCGGUACUUGGAUGCACAUGGCUGCAAAUCGUUAGAAAAAGUAUCGUUCACACGUCGAAAUCGAGAUCUAUAUGAACUCUAUUCUUUUUACGGUAAAGAUGAGUUCUUUAUGAUAUUCUCUGAUUGCUUCAGCUUGAAUCAAGCGUCAAUUAAAAACAUUGAAGCAAAUGCCAUGCAAAAAAUUGAAUCACUUGUAAAGAAAUGGGGAUGUAAAUAUGAUUAUGGUCCAAAAUCAUUGUUUUGCUGUUUCCCAGGGAGCGAAAUUUCAGCCAGUAAAUUCAAGUAUCAGAGGAUGAAUUCUUCGUUGAAGUUGAAGAUAACCCCAAACGAGUUUAGUGGGAGCAGAUUCUUGAGUUUUGCUAUCUGCCUGGUGGUUGAUCUCACGCAUUGCCAUAAAUACAACAGAGAUCUUCGAGGUAUCUGUGAAUACCAACUAACAGCCUUCGACGGUUCUUAUGAAAAGUUCAAAUGUGAGUGGGAUUACAAGCUAGAUUUCGAGUUACAUUGGAAGUACAUGGGUGACCACGUGUUGAUUCUAUUCAGUGACAAAAUGAUUAAAAAAGACGAAGAUUAUGUGGAGGCAGCAUUUGAAUUUUAUAUAAAAAAAAUGCUACCACGGCGAAGCUGAAGUUGAGGAUAUCAAGGUCAAAAAAUGCGGUGUUCAUGUAUAUUGUGUGGCUGAAAACAACACAGGUCCAAUUAGUCCCUGUACCAUGAAAAUGUGAGGACUCGAUCAUCGGUGGCUCAUUCGAGCCCUCCAACGGGGCAUCAGAACUUGACGUUAGCGCUAGCCAUGAGGGAAAACAGUAAAAUCACUAGAGACAAGGGAAAUAAAGGGGGAAAAAGGGGGAGGAAAUUUGUUCAUGACUUAAAGGGUUGAUAUUGCAUCUCUUUCUUAGGUGCUAAGGUAAACUUUCCACCUAUUCCCUAUUUAUAUAUAUAUAUAUAUAUAUAUAUGUUAAUUUGAAAGACUGCUUUGUUUGAGACUGGUUUUUCUUAUAAUAACCUAUGCUUUUAUGAUGGUGUAGGUGUUUGUUGUGGUAUAUCUUAGACUACAAAAUGAAUGGUCUCUUCAAUUUUCCCUCACUUUCAAUGCACUUUUUUUUUGUUAUGUUUCUUAUGCAUAUCUUUUACAAUUAUAUGACUCAUUAUCAUCUGUAAAUUUGGUGGUCUAAGAUGUUGUUUGAUAAUUCAUUAAAAAAUAAACAAAUGGCCUGAAAAUUAAUAUUAUUUUCUUUGUUUUACUUUUUUCGGUAAGCUUAUUUUCUUUGUUUUAACAUUUAAAAUUUGAUACUAUGAAAGGGUAUGAAGAUGGAAGUGAUUGGUGUAAGCAAAUCAUAUGAGAAAAACAGAGACCCAAGAGAGAAUUAAUGGCAGAUCUUUGGAGAGGCCAUUAUACUUUGAGCUUUAGCUAUACAAAAGAUCAGAGGAACAUGUAAGUUUUUAAUUUUUUCUACUGAAUGCUUGCUUCACACUUUUUCUUGAACUGAGAUAUUGAGAGAGUACUGCAAUUUGUCAACAGAUUCGCCUUGUUUCUGGACCUACAGAGGAACCCUAUGCUCUUGAGAAUUUAGCCUUCCUAGACAGGUAAAUUACCUUUGACUCAUUGUGAUUUUUAGCAUCCUCACCUCAAGACCAUCUUUUCCCCAGAUUUCUUAAUGGAUUUGUAUGAAUUCAGAAUUUCCCAAAGUUGUGGGAUGAACACACAUGGAGCUGGAGGUUACUUUCAAUGGCAACCGCUCGAUAGUUUUCACUAUCAAGCUAGAUUGGUGAGAUUAUGUUUUUCCCAUAGAAGAACCCAAAAAACACUAGAAAAAGAAAUGUAAAAAAUUCCAAAUGAUUUGGGUUUUGUUUGAGUUGGUUUCAUUUAAAUGGUUUUUAAUGCAGAAAUUGAUGGUCUGAUUCAUGAUUCUUGAUGGAGAAGAAGACAAGAAUUAUGAGGAGGCAUCAUUCAAAUUCUACAUCAGAAAUUUCUAUUUCUAUCAUGAAGAAAAUAGCAUGAAGAAUAUAUUAAGGUGGAGAGCUGUGGUGUUUAUGUAUUUUACGUGGAUGCAAAGAGCGAUAGAGAUGCUAGUGAAUAGAGACUUGCUGAGAACAAAAGAAGCUUUAGCCAUGAUGGUGAAGAAGGGAUGGAGGACUUAAAAGAUUGAAAUAGUUUGUAUUUCUUUCCAUCCUUGGCUCUGCAUUUGAAGAGUUUCAACUUCUCAAUUAUGUCAUUCAAAUGCAUAGGUAAAGGUUUCAUUUUCAUCUCAUUUUUUCAUAUUAUCACUUUUUCAUUUUCAACUUAUAAAUUAGUGACAGAAAAUGAAGUGCUUUAAUUAAAUAGAACCAACCAGGAUGAAACUAAACUUCCUCUGCUUUAUAAAUUAAUUGUCUUCUAGAAGGUUCUUUACCAUACUGAAACCUUGUAGUUCCACAUUGUAAAUGUUAAAAGCAUAAUUUAUGAACAUAAAAUUGGAAAUUUGUUCAAUAGUUUGUGAUAGUUGCUUUUUUUUUUUCUCAUCGUCAUUCCCCUGUUGUGUCCGUGUUCUUUUGUAGAUAUAGCAUAUAUUUUCCAAGAACGAAAUUCUCCAUAUAUAUUAAAUAAUUUGGAGGAAAAUUGAACGGCAACUGGUUUCAAUACAGUAGCAAAAUGAUUCUGCUUUGGAGUUGGUAAAAUAUCCAUAGGGGAUUUUGGUGGGUACCAAAGUUUAGAUUUUAAAAUUCGUACUUAAUUCUUAUUGACAGUUGACUUGUUAUUGGUUGGUUUUUUUAAAUCAUAGGACGUGGACUCGAUUCAGCUUCAUUGUUUAGUUUCCAGCAUUGGUCAUCUCGUAUCUAACACUUGCUGCAUUUUCCUUCAAUCAUAUAUUGAUUCAUUAGAAAGAUUGGUUAUUUGUGAGAUUGGUUUUUCUUAUAUCCUUUGCUUUUGUGUUGAUGUAAGACUAGGGAAUAACAGAUCUUUGAGAAUGCCACUGUUCAAUUGGAACUUUAGCCAUACAAGGAGGAACACCUGAGCUGUAAGAGUUUCAAUUUGUUUUACUGAAUGCUCGCUUUCUGUUGUGAACACAAAUUCAAAGUAAUCUUUUGAGGCCCUUUCUAUGGAAGUAUUUACACAAAUUUGUAGGUGCUUAUUUUAACUGAACAUGUUAUGCGGUUGCUGUGUGGUAUUUGUGUCUUGAAACGAACAAUGCAAUUUCCAUAACCAUUUUCUGCUUACGGUAACUCUUCGUGGUGAAUACACAGCCACUGUUUCGGAAGAUGAUGUUAAGGGGGUGGCAGAAUUGAGGCGGUCGUAAAACAUGGCUACGAUUCGAGCUAUUAUACUGCAUCUGAAGGUUCAGACUAGAGCAUGACAGUUUCAUUAUGUAUCAACUCAACCUCUGAUUCUUUGGGGGACGUAUUUGAGCUAAUCGAUCAAUCCUUCAGGUGAAAGAUAUCGGUUCUCGUAAAUGACUUGUUAAGGCUUAUUGGCUAAGGACGGGAUGGAUUGGAUUCAGUGUUCAUGGCAUGGUGGCUAUUGGCAUAUACAAUAUUGUUAAAAGAUGGCUUUCAUGCAGACCAUAGCAGUUCGACCCAUGCAAGUUGCAGCUGAAGAAUAUGCUGCUGUUUUUUUUUACUUUUUAGUUGAUGUUUUUGCUACUUAGUUACACUAGAACUAAGUAUGUAAGGUAUUUGAUGUAAUUUGGUGCUGAUAAAUUUGAUAAAUCAGCUUAACCAACUGUGCAAGCAAAGUUCUAUAAGUUUCAAGACUUUGUUAGUGGAGUUAAGUGUGUUUAGGUAAUAUUUUCAUCUUUUGAAAAGUUGAUUACUUGUUAUAUGUAAUACUUUGUUUUCAGAAAUGAGAUGAUGAAUUAUUCACCAAAAAAUAUCUUCUUGUUGUGGUUCUUAUUGAGCAAUCUGUUCUUGUUAUAAUUCAAGACGAUUUCUUUGUUUGUUCAUCAAGUUACAGUAGCUUCUAGCUUAAGACCUUGCUGAUAUUUCUUAACCUGUUAUCUAAGUUCCUACAACUAGUAUCGAGAGCUAACUUCUUAGAGGACCUAUCUCUUUUCUACUCUCAAAAACACAAUGUCAUCAUUAGGUUUCUCUCCAGCACCACCACCAGUAUUCAACGGUGAAAGCUACCACAUUUGGGUAAUGAAAAUGAAGACCUACCUACAAGAAUUUGACUUGUAGAAGGUUGUCAAUUCUGAUCUUGAACCACCACCCUUGAGAGCUAACCCUACGGUAGCUUAGAUCAGGCAACACUCUGAGGAUAGAGCCAAGAGAUACAAGGCAAUGUCCUACAUCCAAAAUAGUGUGUCAAACUUGAUUUUCACAAGGAUCAUGCCCUAUGAGACUCCAAAGCAGGCUUGGGACAAGCUUAAAGAAGAUUUUCAAGGUACUGAAAAAACAAGACAGCAACAACUCUUAAACUUAAGGAGGGACUUUAAAAAUCUGAAGAUGAAGGAAUCAGAGACAAUCAAGCAAUAUUCAGACAUGAUAUGGUUGUUGUAAAUAGGAUCAGACUGCUUGGGGAGUAAUUCAGUGAAGCCAGAAUAGUGGAUAAGGUUAUUUCAACCUUACUUGAAAGAUAUGAAGCCAAAAUCUCUUCCCUAGAAGACUCGAGAGACUUGUCAAGCAUUUCUUUGACUGGGCUGAUUAAUGCUCUUUAUACUCAGGAACAAAUGAGAGCUAACAGACAGAAAGAGCAUUAUGAAGGUGUAUUCCAAGCCAAGAACAGGCCAACUUCAAGCUUCUCUGGCUACAAAAGGAAGAAAACUUGGUCAGACAAGCCUAAAAGAGAUGAAGCAAGAAGAAGAAAUUUAUCCUGCUCACAUUGUAAAAGAUUAGCCAUCUAGAAGCAAACUGCUGGUACAGACCUAAUGUGCAAUAUAAGGUUUGUAAUCAGAUGGGCCAUGUUGAAAAGGUCUGUAAAAAUAAAGGCCAACAAAAGAAACAAUAACCUCAGUAGCUUAAAACAGAAGCUCAAGUGGCAGAGGAGAGUUGUGCUCAGAAAAAACAAGUAUUUGCUAUCUCUAGUUCUACAAACAGAAGAAAAACCACAAAAGGGUGGUUAAUUGGCAGUGGCUGCACCAAUUACAUGACACCAGAUGCUACUAUCUUUAAAAGCAUAGACAUAACCUUCAAUUCGAGAGUAAAAGCAGGCAAUGGACAAUACAUCAAAGUAGAAGGGAAUGGAGAUGUGCUGAUUGACCCUCCUUCAGGUACCAAACUUGUUUCAAAUAUUUUGUUAAUACCUGAAAUCGAUAGAAAUCUAUGAGGUAUUACUCAGCUACUUGGAAAAGGAUAUUCUUUGUGUUCAAAGGCAAAUAAUGUAUGAUCAGUGAUUGAAAUGGAUCCAAGCUCAUGUCAGUAGCCAUGAUUGACAGACACUUUGUUGUUGAUUGGAAUAAUGGUUCUGUUAGUGCCUACACAACUGUCUUAGAUGAGUCCAAGUUGUGUAGAAGGUCGGGCCAUGUUAACUACAGGUCACUACUUCAGUUGUCCAAGGAAGAUUUGGUUGAAAAUUUCAAAAAAAUUGUUGAAAAAUAGGAUGUCUGUGAAGUAUGCCAGCUAGGAAAGCAAGCUAGACUGCCAUUUCCAACAAACAAGGAUUGGAGGGCCUUUGAAAAACUGCAGCUAGUCCAUACUGAUGUGUGUGGCCCUAUGAAGAUUGAAUCUUUGAAUGACAGUAGGUAUUUCAUUCUCUUCAUUGAUGACUACUAAAGAUUUUGAUGGGUUUACUUUCUAAAGCUCAAGCCACAAGUAGCCUCAGUGUUUUGGAAGUUCAAGGCAGAAGUAGAAACUCAAUCAGGUUGCAAGCUUAGGACACUAAGGUUAGAUAAUGGGACAGAGUACACCUCAAAUGUGUUAAUUUUUUGUGAAGAAUCAAGGAUUGAACAAUAACUCACCAACACUUACACACCUCAGCAAAAUGGUGUCAGUGAGAGAAAGAAUCGAACCUUGAUGGAUAUGGCCAAAUCCUUAAUGUUUGAAAAGAAUUUGCCUAGAAGUUUUUGGGCUGAGUUAGCGCUCAGUAUAUCUUCAGAAUUGGCUACCAACUAAAGCCUUGCUUGAAAACACUCCAUUUGAAGCUUGGUUUGGGUUCAAGCCAUCAAUUUCUCAUCUAAAAGUCUUUGGCUAUAUAUGUUACACACAUGUUCCUACAGUUAAGAGGGACAAAUUGGCAAAAAAAGCUCAGCCUAACAUCCUUGUGGGCUAAAGUAGUGUCAAAAAUGGCUAUGGAGUUCUAGAUCCUACAACCUGCAAAGUCUUUGUAAGUAGAGAUAUGGUAUUUGAUGAGAUGUCAUCAUGGAAUUAGAGCAAAGGUGAACCAGAGUGUACUGUUGAAAACUUAGUGUCAGUACAAACUGACGUUGAUCAGAAUGAUCAAGAGCUAGACAUUGACCAUGUGCCAGUUAGGGGAACCUGACUCAUUAGUGAAGUAUAUGAGAGGGCUGAUGUAGCUAUUGUUGAACUAGCUAGUUUUGAAGAAGCUCAAGCACAUGCUUGAUGAAAUGAACAUGAUACAUAAAAAUUAGACUUGGGAUCUUCAUUGGAAGGUCAUAAGAGUAAAAUGGGUGUUUCGAGCCAAACAAAAUGUUGAUGGAACUUUGAACAAGCUGAAGGAAAGGUUAGUUGUGAAAGGAUUUAAUCAGAAGUGUGGGAUUAACUACUUUGAAACAUUUGCACUAGUGGCAAGACUUGAUACUAUUAGACUUGUGAUAGCUCUGGCUGCUCAAAGGCAGUGGAAAAUACAUCAACUUGAUGUAAAACCUACCUUUCUUAACAGUUUUCUUGGUGAGGAGAUAUAUGUUGAACAAUCAGAGGGUUUUAAAGUUGUUGGUGAAGAAGACAAAGUGUACAAGCUGAGAAAAGCCUUGUAUAGCUUAAAGCAGGCACCAAAGGCUUAGUAUGACAGAAUCGACAGCUACCUGGCAAGCUUGGGAUUUGAAAGAAGCUUCAAUGAACCAACACUGUAUGUGAAGAAGGAAAGUGAUGAAACACUGCUUAUAGUCUCCUUAUAUGUGGAUGACUUGUUAGUGACUGGUAGGAAUGAUGUUAUGCUGACAGAUUUUAAAGACAAAAUGAUGAGUAUGUUUGAGAUGUUUGAUUCGUGUGAAAUGUCCUAUUUCCUUGGCAUGGAGGUAUCUCAAAUUCAGCAAGGGAUCUUCAUAAGCCAAAAGGCAUUUGCCUCAAAAAUUCUAAACAUAUUUUCCAUGCAAAAUUGUAAAGCAACUAGUACUCUAGUUGCUGUUGGCGAAAAGCUGUCUAGCCAAGGUGAUUUCGAGAAAGUGAAUGAUUUAACCUAUAGGAGUCUAGUAGGAUGUUUGCUCUACUUAACAGCCACCAGACUAGACAUAAUGUUUGCAGUCAAUCUCCUAUCCAGGUUCAUGCACUGCUGCAAUGUGAACCAUUUUCAAGCUGCAAAGAGAGUUCUCAAGUACAUCCAAGGAACUCUGAGCUUUGGAGUUAUGUUCACCAAGGUUGACAGCAUGAAGCUUGUUGGUUUUACUGAUAGUGAUUGGGCAGGAUCAAUUGAUGAUAUGAAAAGCACUUCAGAGUAUGUGUUUAGCCUUAGAUUAGUUGGUUUUUUGUUGGAGUUCAAAUAAAUAGUCCAUUGUUGCUCAAUCAACAGCUGUAGCUGAAUAUGCUACAGCUGGAGCAACUGUUAAUCAAGCAAUUUGGUUAAGAAAGCUCAUGACAGAUAUGAACUUACACCAAAGAUAAGCAACAAAUAUCAGAAGUGAAAAUCAAUCUCUGCUAUUGCAAUUGCAAAGAAUCCAGUAUUUCAUAGCAAAACAAAACAUUUUAAUAUCAAAUUUCAUUUUGUUAGAAAAGUGGAACAAUCUCAAGAAAUCAAACUAGUUCAUUCUAGUUCUGAAGAUCAUGUAACACCCCUAACCCGUAUCCGCUGCCAGAAUAGGGUUUCAGAGCAUAACUACCAUUUACAAAUCACUAAAAAAAAUUUAAAUACUUACCGAUUCAAUGCAUCAUUUAAAUAAAAAUAUUACCAUUCAAUCAACAGUUUGACACUUGUAUAAGCAUCAAACAGCAACAUUGUUAGUAUACUUGCACAUAUCUCAUAUAAAUUCAACAUUGAUAUAUCUAUUUUCUCGACAUAUCGCACUUGAGUUUAAUAAUAGUCUCAACUUACAUAAUUUCCUUGUAUCAACAUAUCAAAGAUAACCAUAUAUGUACAUGUCAUGAAACAUAUCAUGCUCUUACCGUUUCUUCAUAAGCAUAUAUCAUUCAUUUCACUAUAUCAAUAUUUCAUGCUCCAUCAUUUUCAUAUAUUUUAUGUAUAUUUAUUCCGAUAAUAGCUUAUAUCAAACUUAACACAAAUUAUAUUCUAUGUACUUAUACUUAUUUCGUUUAUCUAUCUUCAUAAUUAUUUCAUAUAACCAUUCAUCAUCUGAUACAUAUUACCUGAAUAUCAAUUGUUCAACAGAUGUUAGAGCGUCUCCCAUCCACGGUCUUAUUUAUCUUUGACAUGAUGCCAUAGUGUCUUUCAACUAUGGUCUUACUCAUUUUUUGUCAUGUUGCCAUGGUAUCUUUCAACCAUGGUUUUACACAUUUCAUAUUAGGCUGCCAUGGUAUCUUUCAACCAUGGUCUUACACAUUUCAUAUCAGGCUGCCAUGAUAUCUUUCAACCAUGGUCUUACACAUUUCAUAUCAGGCUGCCAUGGUAUCUUUCAAACAUGGUCUUACACAUUUCAUAUCAGAGAGCACACUCCCGCGAACCUCAUCCUUACAGUGGGAUUACCAGCCCAGGCUAAAUCCCAUGUAAUAUAAACUCAUAGAGUAUUGUUGGGAUUACCAGUCCAGGCUAAAUCCCCUGCAACGAUAAUUACUCUAAUGAGCUUGGAUCUGAAUUACCAGUCCAGGCUAAAUUCAGACCCUAAUUCGGAUUACCCGUCCGGGCUAAAUCCAUUUUACACAUAUUCUUCGAGAGGGCUAUAUCAGAAUAGGAUCACCCGUCCGGGCUAGAUCCUUUUUACCGUCAAUUCCUUUUCAGAGAUCCAUCUAAUUUUCCUUUCAUUCAACUGGGAUUUAUUUCCAAUUUAUAUCGAGUAUUAUCAAUAUUUCAUCAAAUAUCAUGAACUGAACAUUCAAAUCAUAUUUUCAUCACAUAACCACAUAUUUCAAGUAUUUAAAAUACAAUUCAAGUUACACAAACUUACCUCAUUGCUUGUUUGUGUUUAUAAUCUCAUUAAUCCGAUAUCUUUUCUUUUCCACGAUCAAGUCUCAUAUUUGAGUCGUCCGGAUCUUUAUAAAUAAAUUUGAUCAUCAUUUUCAUUCAUUUCAUCUUCUAAUGCAUUUAAUUAAUGCUCUAGGCAAAAUUACCAUUUUGCCCCUAAACUUUUAAUUAAUGACGAUUUCGUCCUUAGGGUCAAGAAAAUUAAAUUAUUGCAAUUUAAUCCUUAUUUCCAGCUAUUAUUCUCAUAUAUAUUGAUAACAGUCCAUGAAUUCUAUAAAAUAUCAGAAUUUUCCAUAAUUUCAACACUUUUCAAUUUAAUCCUUAAAACAUGUUUUCCCCCGAUCUUGAACUAAAUUAAUAAUUUCAUUCAAUUUUGUAAUUUAAAUAAUAAAAUAAUCCAUUUCAUGCAAUUUGGUCAUUUCUGACAUUUUUACAAAAUUACCCAUAAAGUUUUACUUUUAUUCAAUUUAGUCCCUAAGCCUAAAAUAUGCAAAUUAGCCAUGCUUAAUGAAUAUUCAUAUAUGUUUUCCUCCUCCUCCUCCUCCUCCUCCUCCUCUCCAUUCCACAUCCUUGAUGUAUGUAGCACACUUGUAAGUAACAUUAUCUAUAAUCUUUAUUAUUUACUUUUAUGAAUAUUCAAGCUAUCCAUCUGUGUUAUAGUCACUAAAUUAUUUAUAUCUGGAGCUAUAGGACUCCAAAUUAAGAUCCAAUAAUUUUACCUGAAACUAGACUCAUAUAUCUUCUUACCAUAAAAUUUUCAGAAUUUUUAGUUUACUCAAUAAGUACAGUUUAUUCUUUAAAGUUAUCUCUAUUCUGCUGUCUGACAGUUGUGACCCUUCUUCACUAAAAAUUAAUUAUCUCCUUGUACAGAAUUCGAAUGAUGUUCAUAUUUGUUUCUAUUGAAAAUAGACUCAUUCAUGAUUCUAAACAUAUAAAUUUAAGCCCCUAAUUAUUUUUAUUCAAUUUUUUAUGAUUUUACAAAUUCAGAACAGGGGAACCCGAAAUCAUUCUGACAUUGUCUCAGAAAAUUCAUCAUAUCUCAUGAUUUAGAAUCCCAUUGCUUACAUAAUUUCUUCUAUAAAAAACUAGACUUAAUAAGAUUUAAUUUCAUAUUUUAUUCAUCCUAUAAUUAGAUUUCUACAAUUUUUGAUGAUUUUUCAAAGUUAGACUACUACUGCUGUCCAAAACUGUUUUUGUACAAGAUAUUAAUUACCAUGUUAUAACAUCCUUAUUUUCUUUUUCUACACCAUUUCUCAUCACUUUCUCUUAUUUUUUUCUUCACUAACAUAUCAAGAACAUAGGACCUUAUGUAAUAAAACUCUACUAUAACAUUAUUUCCAUGCUUUAUCAAUAAUAACAAACUUAAAAACAUAUUGAAAUCUUGAUGUACUUACCUUUUCUUAUUGACUUCAAUCUUUAACUUGAUUUUUCUCUCUCCUCCAGCUUCGAUUUCUUGAAUCCAACUUGAUAUUCUUGCUCCCCAUCAUCUCCUUGCUAUCUUUCUCUCUUGAUGGCUAUGGAAAUUCUUUCAAUUUUUAGGUGAAAAUAAUGAAUUUUUGGUGGAAGGACUAAAUUGUAAAGAAAGCAAACUUCUUUUCUUCUUCUUAUCUUACGUUAGUUUGCAUGGGAAAGGAAAUGUGUUGAUAAUUCUUCAUCUUUCCUUCCUUUUAUACUAAAUAAAUAAUAAUAUAAUAAUAAUAAACAUCUCAUAAAAUAUUAAUAAAAUAAUAUUUAUCUAAUUAAUUAAUUUAAAAUAUCAUCAACAUAAUCAUUACAUUCUAGAAUUCUCUCUCUUACUAAUUGACCAUUUUGCCCUUCAUGAUCUUUUAGAAUUUCAUCCUUGAGUCAUCACUUAAUUUGGUAAAAUUGCGAUUUAGUCCCUCAUAAAUUUUUUACCUAUUCAAUUUGGUCCUAAUUCAUCAAAUUUUCUUGGUUUCUAGAUCAUUCCACCCUUAAAAUAUUUGCACCAUUAGUCCUUCAACUUUUUUAUACUUGCACUUCAACCCCUUAAAUUUUGAGUAUUUACUCUUGUGCAACAAGACUUUUCUCAUCUUUGCAAUUUAGUCCUUUCUUGAAUUAAUAUAUCAUAAGAUAAUCAUACGGUAUGUGCUUUUAAACUUUCUUAAAAAAAUAUUUAUAAUUUGAUUCAUAUGAUGACAUCUUAUUUAAAGCUUUUAAAAAAUAAAUAUAAAAGAUUUUAUUUUAUUUUAUUUAAAUAAGUGAUAUCAUUUUAUCUAUUAAUUAUGGGUGAAUUUUCAUGCCCAAUACAUCAGAUAUAAUUUUUUAUUUUUACUACCUAAAAUUAAGUAGAUGAUGUUUAAAAGUAAUACAAUUAUUUUUUCUGUACAGGACCUUGCUAAUUUAAGAAAAAUUGAUGUUUCAAAUUGCAGUGAGUUAAGGAAGAUACCUAAUCUUUCAGGAGCCAUCAAGCUUGAACUCCUUGAUUGCACUAACUGUGAAAGUUUGGUUGAACUUCCUUGCCCCAAUUAUUUGGCAUCUAUUUCUCAGUAUAAUCUUCACAGUUGCAGACGUUAUAAUUUCAAGAAUAUUCCUCAGGUCCGAAGUAACUUUCGUUCUUCGGAUUUACCAAGAACUGAAAUAGAAGAAGUGACUGCGUUGUGGUCUUGGCAUAAGACAAAAAAGAGAACAAGACAUUGAACAAAGCAUGAAGAAACAAAUGACAAUUUACUUGCUCACAAACGUACAGGAAUGAGGAAUUCAACAAUUUACUUGCUCACAAAUGUAACAGCCCAAAAUUUCUUAAUUUUGUUUUGUUUCAUUUAGGCACAAAUGUAUAUCUGCUUCAAUGGUUAAGUGUUCUGGGUGUGUGUGAGAGGUCCCAAGUUCAAGACCUAACUUUGGCAAGUUUUGAUAUUUUUCUGACUUAAACCUUAUACUUGAUCAGUGGGUUUAUAUUAAAUUAUUUAUAUAACCAUAUCAGAAUGAGCCUAUUGGUUCGAGUAGUAAGGGAGUCUGUGUGUUGGGUGUAGUUUAUUUUUGCUCGGUUUUACACAAGUGUUUCAGUACAAUUGGAAUUCUGAGAAGUUGAUUAGUGGAAGAGUGAAUUAAGGGAUUUGGGGAGGUUACAGAUUUUAUUUUGUUUUUAUUCUUAUCUUUUUAAAAAAUUGAUUUUCUUUCUCAAUUUUGACGUUCUUCAAAAAUUUCCUAUAAAAUUUCCUAUCUUACUCUGCCAAAUUUUUCCUUGCUUUCCUCCUCUUAUUUCUGGUUUUUCAAUUGUCUCCUUUUUGUUCGACGUUGUUUACGCUCGUUCGGUAAGUAACUAUUAUGCCGCUAUCUUAAGGUUUUGUGGUUAGUGUUGUCACGGGGUUUUUGUGCUUAUUCUUGACUAGGGAAAGAUUUAGAGGUUCAAAAUCAUUCAUCAGGGAUUUAGUUGUGUAGAAGUUACCAUUGUUCGAUUAAAGGUAAGGUUUGGUUGCCCAAUCUUCUGAAUAACUCAUUUGGAAUCGGUUUAGUUUAUCUUUUUAAGCAGAUGAUUCAAAGUCUUUUGGAUUAUUUUAGGUGCUGGGGAUCUCGAGAGUGGUUACGCAUCGAACAGAUACCAAGUGUGUACUCGAAACGCAAGAAAAUGAGCUUUCGGCAAAAGCCAAAAACCUUAUUAUCGAUGCCACACGGGCGUGUAGUCACCCGUGUGGUAGGUCGUACGAGUGGACACGGUCGUGUGGUUGACGAAGGCAUGGCCGUGUGUAGCACACGGCUGUGUGAUGGCUCAAGUGUAGCCGUGUAAGCCACACAGGAUAGGCCGAGUUGGGUCGUGUGGGCCCACAUGGGCAAGAUACACGGGCGUGUCGAUUAUUGGGCUAGGCCGUGUGGGCCACACGGGCAAGGUUAAUCUGGGCGUAUGGGCCACACGAGCAUAUGGGCCCAUACGGGAUGUGGGCCCAUUUAUCUAAAAUUGUCCCUAGGGAUGCACGGGUCGUCCUAAACGACUGUGGGCCUACGGUAGGGUCGGUAAGGGCUAACUAAACCCUAAAUUAUCUGAUUUAAUUAAUCGAUACCCUAUAUUGAGCAUGUCUGAUUACUGAUUUGCAAGACUAUCUAUUAUUUGUUGUAAAAGCAUGUUAUGCAUGAUUAUCUGAUAAGUCUGUACGUAUGAUCUGAUAUCUGGUUUUAGGGUUGGGAUUAUAUAUUUGGAGGAAGUGUUCUGAAAGGUAAAUUAUGUCUACUAUUUGGCAGCAUGGCUGCGAUACAUUUGUUAUAUCUGGUAUGUGCCGUUAUGGUAUAUCAUGGUGUGUAGUGCUGGAUGGGUGUUUUAAACCCCACAUGGUAUGUAGGGAUGAUCGGAGAUGGUGUGUAGAGGAUGGAGGUAGGACAUCUGAUUUCUGAUUUUGAAUCAUAUAUCUGCAUCUGUAUCUAAGAUGGGCUUAAGCUCAAAUAUGAAUCUGUAUCUGUAGUGGGCUUUGCCCAAAUCUGUAUCAGACUGAUUUUGAAUAUCUGCUUAUGUGCUUGCUUAAUUCUGUGGGGUUACACAUUGAGUUUAUGUACACUCACUCUUUUCUGUUUAUUUUGUUCAGGUAAUUCACAGAGUUAGGAGGAUCGGUGCAGCGAAGGACUCGACGAUGACCACUGUUCCAUAAAACUAUUUUGAAUUAUUAUGUUUUGGGUUUUAUUUUGUGUAAUUCAAACUUUAAGGACUGUUUCCAUUUUUUUAUUUCGGUUAGAUUGCAACUUUAUGAUUUUUACAACUGUAGAGUGAGCUAUGAUUUGAAUUUUACUAAAAACAAGGGUUUUCUAAAAACUUGCACAGUUUUCUAAUCUCGAACCAUUUUACUUAAAAUAAGCUUCCGUUAAAAUGAAUCGUUUUAAGGCAAGAGGGCUAAUGAAAAAUGUCUUUAAAUUAACUAAAAGCGAUUAAGGUUUUAUCAAAUUAGUUUCAUUUUUGAAAUCCAUUCCAUGUGACAUCUCCAGAUUCGGCCAUAACGUCUAGGUCGGGUUUAGGGUGUUAUAAAAAAAUGUGCAACAAUGAAGCUAUAUGCUUACUCAAAACUGAUCUGCUUACUCAUUUAAUAUGAAAACAAUACAUUUUUAAUCAAAAUAAAUCACCAAAUAUUCAACUAAUCUCACUAAUCAGCAUUGGGACUAUUAAAACAUUUCUUGUACACAUGAAUAAGCCGACUUAUCAACUCAAUCAUCACUAAACCCAUCAAAACAUCAAAAACUAAGUUUAUUUUCAACCAAUGAUCAAACUUCCAAAAAUCCCAAGAAGCUUGACAAAAUUAAACUUAUCUGGCACUCAAAUUGAAGAAAUGAUCUUGCCUUUCAACCCUCUAUGUAAUCUUCAGGACUUAAAUGUGAGUGACUCAGCGGUCAAAUAUGUAUGGAUCAAGUCAGAAUCCCUUUUUUAUCUGAAUCUUAGUUAUUGCCCAAUGAUCAAAUUUCCACAAAUCUCAAGAAGCUUAAGAGAAUUAAACUUAUCUGGCACUCAAAUUGAAGAAGCGUCCAUGUCUUUAGACUCUCUAAGUAAUCUUCAAUACUUAAAUAUGAGCGACUCAAGUAUUCAAAAGCUAUAGUGUAAUAUCACCCUGUUCUGUUCGAGAGAAUUUCCAUUAAGAAAAUGCUUCAGGAUUGAAACAUGUCCACAUAUGUUUUUUUUCUUUGUUAAGUUGAUUGUGUCAAAGUUUUUUUUUUUUGGUUAAGUUGAUUGUGUCAAAGUUUGUUUUUUUGUUAAGUUGAUUAUGUCAAAGUUUGUUCCUAUUUUUAGGAAUUAGUUAUUUGUGUGUUGCUUAAGUUUAGGAAAAAGUUAGUGGGUUGUUGAUUUUAUUUUGUAUAAAUUCUGAAUGAUUGUUGAAUAAAGUGUGUUCAGUUUCCUUCAUCCAUUAAAUUUUUUUCCACUAAAAUACUUACAAUUGGUAUCAGAGCUAUAUUCUUAUGGGAUCUGUGAGUGAGUGUGCGAGGUUGUUGUGUCAUGGAUGUCGAAGCAAGUUUCAAUUUCUCUUUAAUUUCUCUACUAGUGUUUGAUGGAGACAACUACCAGAUUUAGGUAGUUCAUAUGGAUGCGUAUAUGAAAGCUUUGGAUAUUUAGGAAGUAGUGGAAAAAGAUUAUCUAUCUCUGAGAAUCUCCAUACCAAGUAUCUUCUUUGCUGGUCCCAAAUCUUUCAUCUCAAAUUCUUCACUUAGUUGGGCUUUGACCUUUCAUAUCUCUCCUUUAUCUUUUGCUGCUAUCAACAUGUCAUCAACAUAAAGAAGUAGAUACACGAAAGAACCAUCACUGUUUUUUUAAAGUAAACACAACUGUCAAAACUACUUCUUUUAAAAUCAUGAGAAGUCAUAAAAGAAUCAAACAUCUUGUACCAUUGUCUUGGUGAUUGUUUCAAACCGUAAAGGGACUUUUUUAGCAAGCAAAAAUAGUCAUCUUUUUCUGAUACUAUAAAACCCUUUGGUUGUUGCAUGUAAAUGUCCUCCUCAAGUUCUCUAUGCAAAAAUAUAGUUUUUACAUCUAACUGCUCAAGCUCCAAAUCAUGCAUGGCCACAAUACCAAGCAAAGCUCGAAUCGAACUAUGCUUCACAACUAGGGAGAACACAUCUGUGAAGCACACUCCUGAAAUUUGACUGUAGCCCUUUGCAACAAGUCUUGCUUUAUAUCUGAGUUCUUCAACUCCUGGAGUCCCUUCUUUCUUUUUAAACACCCAUUUACAACGAACAACCUUUUUACUUUUAGGAAGUUUCACAAGAUCCCAUGUUCUGUUUUUAUGGAGUGAUUCCAUCUCCUCUUGCAUAGCAAACAUCCACUUUUCUGAGUCUUCACAGCUAACUGCCUCAAGAUAAUUAGAUGGCUUUCGGUUUGCAUCUAUAUCUUCAGCCACAUUUAAGCAUAAGCAACUAGAUUAGUCUCGGUAUACUUUUUUGGAGGUUUAAUUUCUCUUCUAGUUCUAUUUUUGGCAAUAGAGUAUUAUGGUGAAGAAGCAACUCUAUUCUCAAUUUUUGUACUAGCUUGAGGAGUCGACUCUGUAUUAAUUUGAUGCUCCAUCUACUUUUGAUGUUCUUUAUUGGAAGAGUCUUUAAGAGAUAAGUUAGGUAGCAUACCAGUUUCAUCAAAAACGACAUCUCUGCUAAUAAAAACUUUUCUAUUUUCAUGACACCAUAACUUAUACUCUUUUACACCAGCUUUAUAACCAAAAAAAACACAUUUACUGGAUCUCGGUUCCAAUUUUCCAUUAUCAACAUGAGCAUACGCAGGACACCCAAAGAUCUUUAAGUCAGAAUAAUUAGCAAGAUUACCAGACCAUACCUCUUGUGGAGUCUUUUUCUCAAUGGCAAUAGAUGGAGAUUGGUUGAUCAAAAAAUAUGCUGUAGAGGUUACUUCUGCCCAAAACGACUUUGGUAAAUUGGCAUUUGACAACAUACAUCGAACCUUCUCCAUGGUCGUUCUGUUCAUUUGUUCUGCAAUGCCGUUUUGCUGUGGAGUAUGACGAACUGUCAAGUGUCUCAUGAUCCCUUUUGACUCGCACAGUCUAUUAAACUCAUCAGAACAGAACUCUAAGCCAUUAUCUAUGAGGAGGUAUUUUAUUUGUUUUCCCGUCUAUUUUUCAAUCAUAAUUUUCCAAGACUUAAAUGCAGAAAUCAUAUCGCUUUUUUGCUUCAGAAAGAAUGUCCAAACUUUUCUAGAAAAAUGAUCAAUAAAAGUUAGCAUAUAAUUAGCUCCACCUCUCGAAGGCACUCUGGAUGACCUCCACAGAUCAGAAUGAAUAUACUCUAACGUUCCCUUCGUGUUAUAGAUUCCUCUGGUGAAUUGAACUUUUUUUUUGCUUCCCAAAAACACAGUUCUCACAAAACUUCAGUUUGCAAAUUCCUUGUCCAUCAAGAAGCCCUCUUUUGCUCAAAUUUGUCAUACUAUUCUCACUCAUAUACCCUAGGAGCAUAUGCCAAAGUUUAUUAAUAUCAUCAUCUGACAAGGAAGAGGAAGCGACAGCUGCAUCACCAGUAACUUUAGAACCUCACAAAAUAUAUAAUUUGGUAGUCUUUCUCUGCUCUUUCAUCACAACAAUGGAACCUUUGGAAAUCUUUAAAACUCUACUUUCAGUUGUGUAUCUGUACCCUUUUGAAUCAAGAGUACUCAACGAAAUUAAAUUUAUCUUCAAUUCGGGAACAUGUCGUACGUCACUAAGUGUUUUGGCAACUCUAUCAAACAUCUUAACUUUAAUUGUUCCAACACCUGCGAUUUUACAUAAAGUAUUAUUUCCUAUCAAAACAACACCUUCAGACACUGUUUCGUAAGUUGUAAACCAAUUCCGAUUGGAACUCAUGUAGAAGGUGCAGCUUGAAUCAAGUAUUCACUCCUCGCUUACUUUAGAAUUGUUGACAGAAGCGAUUAGAAGUUCACUAUCGCUGUAGUCUUCUACAACAUCAGCUUCACUAGAAUUUUCUAGUUGUUUUCCCUUUUGAUUCGCAGCCUCCCUUUUAAUCUUGUUCUGUAGCUUAUAGCACUCAGAUUUAAUAUGCCCUUUCUUCUUGCAGAAGUUACAAGUUUUACCUCUAUUUGAAUACUUCGAUCUACCCUUAGAUUUACCGCAAGGAUUUCGUUCCUGUGUCUUUCCACGAUCAUCAUCAGCAUCCCAAACUUGUCUCCCCUGAACAAUGAGACCCUCUCCUUGAGAGUCUAAUUUAACCAUAAGAUACUUCAUCUUAUCAUACGAGGUCAAAAAUCAUAAACCUUAUCAAUUGUGAUAGACUCGCGGCUAUAUAAAAUCAUCUCUCUAAAGGUUAAAUAAGACAGGGGUAACGAACAAAGUAGAAUCAACCCUAGAUCUUCCUUAUCAUCUGAACCUCCAUGGCCUCUAAGUUUGAGAGAAUUUCUUUAAACACUAUUAAGUGUUCGUGUACAGACGCAUCUUUCUCCAAAUGAUGAGCAUAAAGACACUGCUUCAAAUGCAACUUGCUUGUUAAAGUUUUCGAUAUACAUAUUUGUUCUAGCCUCUUCCAUAAUGCAGCGGCAGUUUUGUCUUUCAUCACAUCCUACAAAAUUUCGUUGGACAAAUGCAGAUGUAAUUGUGUUAACGCCUUUUGGUCCUUACGCUUCUUCUCUUCAUCUGUUAAUGUUAAAGGCAUCUUAUCUAUCCCUAACAGGGUAUCCUCCAGAUUCAUAUGCGCAAGAACUGUUUGCAUCUUAAUCUGCCAUAACACAAAUCUGGUGUUGUGAUCUAACAGCAGAAUUUCAUACUUCAAAGACGUCAUUACCGUGACUGAGAUGAACAUUUGUAAAAAUAAAAUAAAAAAUAUACAAAUUUUACGCGAAAAACCUUUCAGGAAAAAACCAUGGGCAGAGGAGAAGAAAAUUCACUAUGUCGAAUUCGAAUGAUUACAAGAAGAGUUCCUACUAUAUCUAUUUAUAGGUUGAAAAAACCUAAUUCUAAUCAAAGUCAAAUAUAUUAUGCUAUUAAAUGCUAAAUAUAUUAUACUCAUAAAUACUAAAUCUUCUAGAAAGAAAAUAUAUUUUGUUUAACUUGACUUGCAAGCAAUCUCUUAGAAUUUGGGUCACACAACUCUAACACAUCUAAUGCUUAUUUUUUCUAGAUUUAUCAAAGAAAUUCUGAGAGUUGCUCGUAUCUCAAAUCUUGUGGUAUGAACACAUGGAGGUGGAGGCAAGUGUUUGAGGCUAUCAUUCUCAAGUUGGAUUGGUGAGCUUAUGUUUAUCCCAUUGAAGAACCCAAGAAGAUACUGGAAAAAUAUUAAAUGAUUUGAGUUUUGUUUAAAGUGAAGAGCUGGUUCCAUGGUAGAGCCAUUAGAAUUGAUAUUUUCUUAUCUCGGAUUUUGAUUAUCUGAUCAGUUAGGGCUGAAGUCUUUGUAUGUUAUUGCCUUUCAAGUUGUUUAAGCAGCAUUGUGGUGAGGAGAUAUUAAGAUUCAUGCUUUUUUCUUUUUGGCAGUUGACUCCAUAGGAUCAGUGGUCGACUUCAUUCAGCUUCAUUGAAAAGUAGAGAUUUAAUCAUCUGGUAUAUCAAUAUGCUCAUUGCAUUUUCCUUCAAUGAUAUCUUGAUUCAUUGGUUUAUGAUUCAUGUCUAUUUAUACUGGAAUUGAAAUUGCAGACUAAAGAUGGAUUUAAUAUCUUCUGUCUCACCAACAAAACAAGUUCCACAAAAUUUCUAGUGUUAAUGUCAAGGUUGUGCCCUAUGCCUAAUUUUUUUUUAUCUCACAUUAUAGAUGUGCUUUUUUACUCUCAGAGUUUAAAGCAAAAAACCUAGAGAUUAAGCUUUGAAUUUUCAAAUAUGCUACUAUGAAGGGAAUGAAGAUGGCAGUGAUUGGUUUAAGAAAAGCAGAUGAGGAAACAGAGAGUCAAGACGACAUUAAUGGAAGAUGAGUAAGCUUUUAAUUUCUUCUAUUGAAUUAUUGCCAUAUAUUUGUGGUUGAACUGAGACGUCGAGGCUGUAUUGUAACUUGUUAACAGAAUUGCCUUGUUGGUAUCAUCCAACUUUGCUUCAAUGCUUUCUAGUUGUUGGAGCUUUGGAGGAGCCAUAUGCUCUUGGCAAUUUUGCCUUCCUGGUGAGCUUAAUUACCUUUGUUUCAUUGUGAUCUUUUACAACCCUCAUGGCCAUUUGAUUUUUUAAAAACAAAUGAUUUGGGUUUAAUCCAUUCGGUUCAUGCAUUCAUUUUUAUGAGCUUCGAAACUUUGUCUUUACAGUCACUUUCUCUAAUCCUAAACUAUGAUUUUAUUACAAGAAACAACACAAAUUAUACUACUCUGAUUAUUUUAUAUUGCAUUAUUUACACAAAUCAGUAGGUGUUGAUCUUAGCUGAACAUGUUAUGCGGUUGCAGUGUGGUGUUCGUGUCUUGACACAAAUGAUGCAAUUUUCUAUAGCCAUUUGUUGCAUACAGUGAUUCUUCGUUGUGAAUUUACAGUCACUAUUUUGGGAGAAUGAUGUUAAGGGGAUGUCGAAAUUCCAGCAGUCGUAAAAUAUGGCUGUGAUUGGAGCUAUUAUAUUAUGCUUGAAACUUCGAACUAGAGCAUGACAGUUUCACUGUGUAUCAAUUCAACCUUGGAUACUUUGGGGGACGUAUUCGAGCUAAUCAAUUGAUCCUUCAAGUAAAAGAUAUUGCUGGAUCUUUGAAACAGAAUAAUAAAGUUUAGCUGAAACUUAUGCUUCAAGCUACAAUAUCUUGAUGAACAAACAAUGAAAUUUAGCUUAAGCUAUAAGAACAGAAUGCUUGACAGAAAACCAAAAGAAGAAGAAGAAUUUGCUGAAAGAUUCAUCAUCAUUUUAUUGAAAACAAAAGGCAUUACAUAUAUCAAGCAAUCAGUUUGUCAAAAAAAAGAAAAAUGUUACCUAAACAUACCUAACUCCACUAACUAAGUUUUGAAACGUAUAAAACCUUGCUUACACUCUUGGUUAAGUUGAUUUAUCAAAUCUAUCACCACCAAAUUACAUCAAGCAUGUCACUAACUUAGUUCUAAUCUAACUAAGUGUUGUGCGGAAGCGUGUGAAAGAGUAAAAAUAUUGUACUAAAAAAUCACACUAAGUUUAAUUCUCAGGAAAGAGAGGUAGAUCAUGAAGAUCACUUAAAUACCAAGUCUUUCCUAGUCAGAAUAUCCCUCUAUCAUAAUUUAAUAGCACAAUAAAUCACUACAAUCACAUUCACAAAAUAUGCAAAAUAAAUAAUAAAGAACACCAGAAUUUUAACGAGGUUCAGCAAAUUUUGCCUACGUCCUCGGGCACUACCAAAUAUAUUUCACUCCAAAAAUUACAAGUGAAAUUUACAAAUAGGGAGAGAGAAUAAUGCCUUAAGUAGAGAAUGGCAAUUAUGGGAUGAAAAAAGUAAGAAAUGGUUAGGCCUAUUUAUAGUUGAGGUUCAAGGAUCAACUUGCAAUGUCCCUAUACAAUUAGGGAUCAAAAUUGCAAUUAUCCCAUACUAACUUUUAACCCAACUUGCCAACCAAUCUUACUUUCUACUUUCUGUGCCCACCCUUUUUGACUUUUCAAACAAUGGGUGGGUUCCAAUAAUCUCCACCUUGAAGAUUUGAUUAGGAUAAUCUUAUCUUCACACAAUUCUUUCUGCCUUUGACAAUAAUACUUGAUAGUGCUUUCUUCAACUGUUAAACUUGCAGGAUAUUAAUCAAGUUCAAACAAUGUUCAAACUUGGUUACUGUUACCACCUUGGGCAUCAUAUCUGCGGGAUUAUCUGCAGUCUUGAUCUUCUGAAGACAAAUUUUCCCCUCAUCAAUAAUUUCUCUCACAAAGUGGAAACGUACGUCAAUAUGCUUUGUACGUACAUGAUAAACUUGAUUCUUUGCUAAAUGAAUAGCACUUUGACUAUCACAAUACACGUUAAUAUGCUCCUGGACCAAUCCCAAUGUUUUAGUCAUACCUUGUAACCAAAUAGCCUUAUUUACAGCCUCUGUUACAGCCAUGUACUCGGCUUCUGUGGUUGACAAUGCAACUGUGGACUGUAGUGUAGACUUCCAACUUAUUGGUCCUCCAGCAAGUGUAAACACAUAACCGGUGGUUGAUCUUCGCUUGUCCAAAUGACCGGCAUAGUCAGAAUCAACGUACCCAAUAACACCUUUACCAAGUGUAUUAUCCUGCUUGAACAGUAAUCCAACAUCCAUGGUCUUCUGAAUAUAUCGUAGAAUCCAUUUUACAGCUUGCCAAUGUCCUUUUCCAGGAUUAUGCAUAUACCUGCUCACUAUACUAACUGCCUGUGAAAUGUCGGGUCUUGUACACACCAUUGCAUACAUCAAGCUACCCACUGCAUUAGAAUACGAAACUUGCGACAUGUAUUCUCGUUCUGUAUUCGUCGAAGGAGAUAGUUGUGCAGAAAGCUUGAAAUGAGAAGCCAACGGGGUACUUACAGGUUUUGUCUGUUCGUUCAUGCCAAACUGCUGUAGUACCUUUUUCAAAUACUGCUUCUGAGACAAGCUAACUCUAUCAUGAGCUCUAUCUCUCCAUAUUUCCAUGCCGAGAAUCUUUUUAGCUUCUCCUAGAUCUUUCAUCUCAAAUUCAAGAUUGAGUUGAGUCUUCAAUCUUUCAAUCUCAAUUUUGCUCUUAGAUGCUAUUAGCAUAUCAUCAACAUAUAAGAGCAAGUAUAUGAAAGCUCCUUCUUGUAGCUUCUAAAAAUACAUGCAAUGAUCAAAUUUACUUCUUUUACACCUUUGCCCUUUCAUGAACUGAUCAAAUCGCUUGUCCCACUGCCUCGGAGAUUGCUUCAAUCCAUAAAGUGACUUUGUCAGUUUGCAAACCCAAUUUUCUUUUCCAGCAACAUUGAAUCCAUCUGGCUGAGUCAUAUAGAUUUCCUCUUUCAAAUUACCGUGUAAAAACGUACUCUUCACAUCAAGUUGAACUAGUUCGAGAUCAUAUUGCGUAACCAAGGCUAGCAAAAAUCCGUAUAGAUGAAUGUUUCACAACUGGAGAAAACACUUCAUUAUAGUCUAUUCCUUCUUUCUGAGUGUAACCAUUUUCUACCAAUCUAGCCCUGUAUUGAAUUUUAUUUUUACCAGGAAACCCUUCCUUCUUUGCAUAUACCCAUUUGCAUCCAAUUGCUUUUUUUCCUUUGGGUAGUGUCACCAAUUCCCAGGUCAUAUUUUUAUGAAGAGACUGCAUUUCUUCAUUCAUUGCUUGCUUCCAUUUUACACAAUCAGGGUUACUUAUUGCUUCUGUAUAAGUAGAAGGAAUAUCAUCAUCUGCAAUUGGAAGUGCAUAGGCCACUAUAUCAUCAAAGCGAGUAGGCUUACGAAUCUCUCUUCUUGGCCUCCUAUAUGCAAUUGAAUCUUGUUGCUGUAGAGGUUCUUGGGUAGGAACCUCUUCAUCAUUUGUCCCUUCAAUAUUAGCUGGAUCAUCGUUAACCUUUUCAAGCUCCACCUGCUGCAAAGUACUACUGGUUUUGUCAUCCUUUUGUUAAUCUUUGUACUUUAACAUGGUUGAUUCAUCAAAAGUCACAUUUCUACUGAAAACAAUCUUCCUUGUAUCAGGACACCAGAGACGGUAUCCUUUUACUCCAUCAGUUAUACCCAAAUGCUUUCUUUGCUCUUGGGUCUAACUUAGAUUCUUUUACAUGAUAAUAUGCAGUGGAACCAAAUACAUGUAAAGAAUCAUAAUCAGUAGCAGAUUUACCAGUCCACAUCUCUAUAGGAGUUUUUCCAUUUAUUGCAGCUGAUGGCAAAUAGUUAAUUAGAUGGCACGCAUAUGUAACUGCCUCAGCCUAAAAUUCCUUGGCCAAUCCAGCAUUGGACAACAUACAUCGAACUUUCUCAAGUAUAGUUCAAUUCAUGCGUUUUGCCACCCCAUUCUACUGUGGUGUAUCCCGAACAGUGAAGUGUCGCACAAUGCCCUCAUCUUGACAUACUUGUAGAAAUGGAUCAUUUUUGUACUCAGUGCCAUUAUCUGAUCGAAGUCGUUUAACCUUUCGACCAGUUUGAGUCUCCACCAUCUUUUUCCAUUUCAGAAAUGCAUCCAAAACUUCACUUUUUCUUUUCAUUAGAUACACCCAUACUUUUCUUGAAUAAUCAUCAACAAAAGUAACAAAAUAGUGCAUACCUCCCAAAGAAGCCACUUUGGUAGGUCCCCACACAUCACUGUGAAUGUAGUCUAGAAUUCCUUUUGUAUUGUGAAUUGCUGGACUAAAUUUUACCCUCGUCUGCUUGCCCAGAACACAAUGUUCACAGAAUUCCAAUUUGCAAGAAUUUGCACAUUUCAACAAGCCUUGCUUCGCCAAAGUCUACAAAGCUUUUUCACCAGCAUGUCCCAAUCGUAUAUGCCAUAAUCUGGUAGCCUCUGAAUCUACAUCUUUUGUAGAAACUGUUGAUGUUGAUCCAAUAACUGUACUUUUAUUUAAAAAGUACAAGUUAUUUCUUCUUGUGCCUUUCAUCACCGUCAAUUUCCCAGUUACUACUUUUAGUAAUCCAUCUCUCAAAGUGAUUGUGAGCCCUUUAGAUUCUAGGGCCCCUAAUGAGAUGAGAUUUUUCUUCAGGCUAGGUACGUAGCGAACAUCUGUCAAGACUUGGAUUGAGCCAUCGUGAUUCUUCAAUUCGACUGUACCCACUCCCAUUGUCUUACAAGCACUAUCAUUGCCCAUAAGAACAAUUCCACCUUCUAGCUCUUUAAGACUAGAAAACCAGUCCUUAUUAGGACACAUAUGGUAAGUGCAUCCUGAAUCCAAAAUCCACUCAUCCGUUUGACAUGCCAUUGCCAUGCCAACGAAGCUAAAGUCUGACUCCUCAUCAUGCUCCGCUACACAUGCAUUAGAAAUAGCCUUGCCCUUUUUUAGCUUAGGACAAUUCUUUUUCCAAUGCCCUUUUUCACGGCAAAAGGCACAUUCAUCUUUGGCGGGUCUCCCUUUGGACUUUCCCCUUCUACCAAAUUUGCUAUUGUGUGAACGACCUCUUACUGUUAAGACUUCUGCAGUUGUAUCUUUGUGACCUCUUUUAUCUUUCUUUCGAGUCUCAGAUCUAUACAAUGCACUACAGACUGCAUCAAAUGUGAUCGUGUCCUUCCCAUGAAGCAAUGUAGUGGUAAGAUGAUCAUAUUCAUCUGGAAGGGAAUUCAACAACAAUAAUGCCUUGUCUUCAUCUUCAAAUUUCUCAUCCAAAUUUAGCAAGUCUGCUAAAAUUUUAUUGAAUGAGUUCACAUGGUCAUUCAUCGACAUACCAGGUGCAUAUGUGAAUCGAUAAAGUUUCUUUUUCAUAUAAAGCCUAUUUUCAAGACUUUUCGUUAGAAACUUUUCUUCCAGUGUAUCCCAUAACUUCUUCGCUGAUGUCUCCCUCAUGACAGAGUACUUCUGCUCUUUGGCCAAACAUAGACGGAUUGUACCACACGCCUGUCUAUUGAUCUUGGCCCACUCAUUGCAAUCCAUCUUGUCAAGUUUUUUUUCAAGGGCUAUAUCUAGCUCUUGCUGACAUAAGACAUCCAGGAUCUCACAUUGCCACAUACCAAAAUUAUUGGUACCGUCAAAUUUCUCUACUUCAAAUUUUGCAUUUGUCACAGUAGUCCUUGCUGAUGACGAUGCUGUUGUCAUUUUUCUCCUCAAUCUCAACUACUGUAUAUGUGAACAGUACUGUAUACGUAAAUAGUACUGUAUACGUGAAUAGUAUUGUAUACAUGAAUAGUUCCAUAAAUGGUCGUAUUCCCCAAGUACGAAUCUGGCUCUGAUGCCAAUUAUUGCGCGGAAGCGUGUGAAAGAGUAAAAAUAUUGUACUGAAAAAUCACACUAAGAUCAAUUCCCAGGAAAGAGAGGUAGAUCACGAAGAUCACUUAAAUACCAAGUCUUUCCUAGCCAGAAUAUCCUUCUAUCGUAAUUUAAUAGCACAAUAAAUCACUACAAUCACAUUCACAAAAUAUGCAAAAUAAAUAAUAAAGAACACCAGAAUUUUAACGAGAUUCAGUAAAAUUUGCCUACGUCCUCGGGCACUACCAAAUAUAUUUCACUCCAAAAAUUACAAGUGAAAUUUACAAAUAGGGAGAGAGAAUAAUGCCUUAAUUAGAGAAUGGCAAUUAUGGGAUGAAGAAAGUAAGAAAUGGUUAGGUCUAUUUAUAGUUGAGGUUCAAGGAUCAACUUGCAAUGUCCCUAUACAAUUAGGGACCAAAAUUGCAAUUAUCCCAUACUAACUUUUAACCCAACUUGCUAACCAAUCUUACUUUCUACUUUCGGUGCCCACCCUUUUUGACUUUUAAAACAAUGGGUGGGUUCCAAUACUAAGCAAAAAAACAUUAACCAAAAAGUAACAAAACAGCAGCAUAUGCUUCAGCUGCAACUUGCAUGGCCGAACUGUCUUGGUCUGCAUGUAAGCCAUCUUCUAACAGAUAUCAAGCAUGUCACAAAUGUCUUGCCAAGGCAUAUCAGCCAAGGACGGGGUGGAUCGAAUUUUAAUGUUCAUGGCAUUGUAUUUAUUGACAUUAUACAUUAUGUUGUAUUGUUGUUUUUUUGUUUUACGUGUUACUUGUAAGCUUCGACUCAAGUUACCAGUUGAAGCCAUUAAGGCUUUAUUUUAAGGUUUACACUUUGUUUCCUUUAUUUUAUAUGAUCUUCAAAUGAUGUUUAAUCAAAUAUAUUCCACUUGAUUGUAAACUUCAUUGUAUUAAACUUAAAUCAUUUUCAUUAGAUUGUAAAAUUAGGUAAUCUUAUGAUGAUAGGCAGCAGAGUAAAAAGGCUUUUCAAAAGACAGAAUCUGAUGGGUUUGCAAGGUCCACAUGCAUAUUGAGUGAUAGAUAAUUGGGUAAGCUCAAGUUUUCAUUUUCUAGCAGAGCAAUAGAAACCCAUCAAAUAUCUGAAUAAUUAGACAUUGUAAAGACUUACUAAAUAUCACACAAGGGAUCAAAGUAUAUAUAAGCUCUCAAGGGUAGGUAAAUCCAAAUAUUUAUUUGCUUUUAAGACUUACUAUUCUAUAACAAUGGUAUCUCCUAUUGAUCUUAAUUAUAUCGAGCUUUAAAUAAGUUGCUAAGUAGUUUAGGUGAAUUCAUGUUUAAUUUGUUGAUCCAUUAAAUAACAAAUUUAGUUCUCAAAGUUUACAUAUUUUGUCAAUUUUAUCUUGACUUAACAAAUUUAGACCGCUACAUUUGUGUAGAUGUGUAAAUGUCAAUGCUAAAUUUGUUGAUUUUUUUUAGAAUCAAGAUCAAAUUGACAAAAAUGCAAGCAUUGAGGGCUAAAUUUGUUGUUAUACCAAUCAAAAUUAUGUGAAGUUAUAGAAGACAUUAACGCGGUAGUUAAAUGUCCUUACUUACUUUCAAAAUUAACAAAGAUUAAACUUCUCUUCUUUUAAAGGGACCAAUUUAUUCAAUUUCGAAAUUAAGAAAGACUAAAGAAGUCCAUUUACCCAAAUUUACCUUUCCUAUGUUAGAAAGGACUAACAAAGAAAAUCUAUCAUUAUUUCACCUAGGAAAAUAGAAACACAACACCCUUCCUUCCAAAGACUUUUCAUUCAGGGGAAGAAAGUGAAAAUUAUUCUUCAAGAAACUGGUAAUUUAAGUUCAAUUCACUUAAAAGUCUCUAAAAGUGGAUCUUAUUCUUAAGAAAGUUAUACAAAAUUUCAGUUCAAUUGACCCAAAUGACAAAGUGUUUACAAGUCAAUAUUUUUGUUAGGAAAUUUGUAAGAAAUUUCAUCACAACCAAAAAGAAAUUCAUGAAUGGUGACAAUUUUUUUUUGAAGUUAUACAUUUGGUUACGAAAUCAACUAAUAUCUAUUUUCGUAUAGAUGAUUUACUCAUACUCAUAUAUUAAAUAGGCCCUUAAGAUUUAUCACAUUACAUAAAUAAUCUUGUAUACUUUUAUCAUACCCCAAAAAGCCUUUAAACUUUAUUUGUUAUCCAAAUAAAUUUUAAUUUUUAACUUGCAUCUAGAAAAGUUUUAAUCUUAACAAUUUUGUCCCAUUGGAAGACCUUGACUUGGAAAUUAACACCCAUCAUCAUCAUCGUCAUUUGAAACAAUUUUUCUUGUUGGUCAAAACUCCUUUUAGUACUCUUUCAUGCCUUCUUCUUCAUCAAAGUCCACAUCACGGCUUAGAAUAUGGUUUUGUGUUGGGUAUGGGUCCCACUAUGUGGGAAACCCAUAAUUUCUGCCACAUUUUAUUGUCUCUUUUUGGUUUUGUCAAAAGCCAUUUUUGGGGGUUUUUAACGGGUGUUGGGCAAAAAUUUUUGUAGAGCAAAAAAAAAAUCUCAAAUUAAAACAGAGAGAAAGAGAGAAGAAAAUUUCAGUUUUUCAAGCUUGGUGCAGCAGUGAUCAACUCUUCGAUCGAAGGUCCAUCCGUGGUUCGAUUGAGCUGAUUUUUGGACAGCAGCUAGGCGAUAAGGUGUUCUUGACUUUGUACGGUCGGAUUUUUCAUCCGAGUCUUGUAGCGUCGGAAAUACCCAUUUUUCAGCAGCUACGUUUUUGGUGAUGUUCUCUCAUUUUUCUCUCUUUUGCUAAAGAUUACAUAUUGUUAGCCUUGUCGGAGUUGAAUGCUUGUUGUAGGCUUGAUAUUGUAAUCUUGUAGCCAAACAUUUGAUGAUAGUGGAGCUCUUUAUCGGACUCUAAAGUCCCGUGGUUUUUACCCUUGAUUUAAAGGGGUUUUCCACGUAAAAAUAUCGGUGUCUCUAUUUAUUUUUGUUGUGGUUACAUUAGUUGAUUUGUGGUUGAUUAAGGUUGCUAGAGAACAUAUCUUGUGCUAUUGUGCUUGCCAUAAUUUUUGACAGAAGUUAUAAGGAGAGAAAGAACACCGGUUGUGCUUUCGCUUUGUUUCGGUUGUUCGGUUUCUUCCCAACAAACUGGUAUCAGAGCUUGGUUAUUGUGUCAGGUAAUUAUGGAAAUUAAUACGAGCAAGAUGAUUAUGUUGAAUGGCACAAAUUAUCAACUUUGGCGGAAUAAAAUGAAUGACUUGUUGUUUGUGAAGGCUUUGCAUCUUUCGGUCUUUACUACUCAAAAACCCGAUUCGAAAAGUGAUGAAGAAUGGGAAUUUGAGCAUCAACAAGUGUGUGGCUUUAUUCGGCAAUUUGUUGAAGAAAAUGUUUACAACCACAUUGAUCAAGAGACACAUGCUCGAACAUUGUGGGAGAAGCUUGAAAGCUUGUAUGCUUCGAGGUCGGGCAAUAACAAGUUAUUUUUGCUGAAGAAAAUGAUGGCGCUGAAAUACAAAGAAGGAAUAUCUAUAGCUGACCAUGUUAGUGAAUUUCAGAGUGUGAUGAAUCAGUUGCUUGGUAUGGGUGUCAAAUUUGAUGACGAGAUUUUAGGACUUUGGUUGCUUGCUACUCUACCAGACUCUUGGGAGACCUUUCGAGUCUCACUCAUUAAUUCUGCCCUACAGGGUAUUAUUACUUUGGAUUUGGCUAAGAGUGGUGUGUUGAAUGAAGAGGUUAGAAGAAGAUCUCAGGAUUCUACAUCACAGUCCGAGGUGUUGGUUAUCGAGAACAGGGGAAGAAACAGAGACAAAGAUGGAAAGGGUAGAGAUAAAAGCCGAAGCAAGUCAAGAUCGAGAUACAAGAAUCUUGAGUGUCAUCAUUGUGGUAAGAAAGGUCAUAUCAAGAAAUAUUGCUUCAAGUGGAAGAAAGAGAACAAAGGUGGUGGUGAUAAACACGAUCGGAAUGACGAUGAAAAAUCUAAGCCUGUUGCUACUGUUACUCGUGAAAAUCUGUUAGUUAUUUGUGAUGAGAAUUUGGUCAACCUAGCAUGCGACGAGACUAGUUGGGUGAUUGAUACUGGUGCAUCACUUCAUGUCACGUCGAGGAAGGAAUUCUUCACAUCUUAUACUCCUGGUGAUUUUGGGGUAUUGAAGAUGGGUAAUGAUGGUUUGGUUUCGGUUAUUGGUAUGGGAGAUGUUAGCUUGGUAAGUAACAAUGGAACAAAGUUAACUCUCAAGGAUGUCAGACAUGCACCGGAUGUCCGUUUGAAUUUGAUUUCUGCAGGAAAACUUGAUGAUGAGGGAUUCUGUAACACCUUCAGUGAAGGGCAGUGGAAGCUGACUAAAGGCUCAUUGGUUGUGGCUCGAGGAAAGAAGAGCUCAAAUUUGUACUUGAUGCAAGCUUUGACUUCUCGAGAGACGGUGAAUGUGACACUGAAUGACAACUCAACUGAGUUGUGGCAUAAACGACUCAGUCACAUGAGUGAGAAGGGGCUUAGCUGUUUAGCGAAGAAGAAUCAACUUUCGGGUUUAAAGAAUGCUACACUGAAGAAUUGUGCUCAUUGUCUAGCAGGAAAGCAGAAAAGAGUUUCAUUUAGAAGCCAUCCUCCUCAUAGGAAAUCAGAGUUGCUAGAGUUGGUCCAUUCAGAUGUUUGUGGUCCGAUAAAAGUAAGAUCACAUGGUGGUGCACUUUACUUUGUGACUUUCAUUGAUGAUUGUUCAAGAAAGCUAUGGGUUUACACUUUGAAGUCUAAAAAUCAAGUCUUUGAGGUGUUUAAAUAGUUUCAAGCAUCAGUUGAAAGGGAAACUGGGAAGAAGUUGAAGUGCAUUCGUACUGAUAAUGGUGGUGAGUACACAGGGUCGUUUCAUGAGUAUUGUCUGUGACAGGGAAUCAGACAUCAGAGAACACCACCAAAGACUCCACAGUUAAAUGGGUUAGCUGAAAGAAUGAACCGAACAUUGAUUGAGAGAGUCAGAUGUUUGUUGUCAGAUGCAAAGUUACCAAGAUCAUUUUGGGCUGAAGCUUUGAAUACAGUGACACAUGUGAUAAAUCUGUCUCCUAGUGUUCCUUUGAAAGGUGAUGUGCCAGAUAGAGUUUGGUUUGGUAAAGACGUGUCAUAUGAUCACCUACGUGUGUUCGGUUGUAAAGCAUUUGUUCAUGUUCCAAAGGAUGAAAGAUCCAAGUUGGAUGCCAAGGCUCGACAAUGCAUUUUUAUUGGUUAUGGUCUAGAUGGUGAGUUUGGUUAUAGACUCUAUGAUCCAGUUCAGAAGAAACUCAUGAGAAGCAGAGAUGUUGUCUUCAUUGAGGAUCAGACCAUUGAUGACAUUAAUAAGACGGAGAAAGUGGAUUCACAAGGUAGUGGUGACUUGAUCGAUGUGAAUCCGGUUCCCCUAGACUCUUCACCAGAUCCUAUCCAGGAUGAUGUGCAUGGUGAUGUUAUUGGUGACCAUCAGACUAUAGGUGACUUUGAUACUCCCAUGGAUGAUGUUGUGAAUGAUCAACAACAAGCACCUAUAGCUCCACCAUCAGUUCCACUUCGAAGGUCUUCCAGAGAUCGACGAUCUUUUGUCAGGUAUUCUCCUGAUGAAUAUGUUCUUUUGACUGACGGGGGAGAACCUGAAUGUUAUGAAGAGGCUAUGGAGAGUGAAUGCAAAGAUCAGUGGGUUGAAGCGAUGAAAGACGAACUUCAAUCCUUGCAUGAGAACCAUACUUUUGAAUUGGUGAAACUGCCUAAGGGCAAAAGAGCUUUGAAUAAUCGGUGGGUUUACAGGUUGAAGCAAGAAGAGAAGUCUUCAUCUCCACGAUACAAAGCUAGAUUGGUCGUCAAGGGUUAUACUCAGAAAAAAGGGGUUGAUUUUGAAGAAAUAUUUUCUCCGGUUGUGAAGAUGUCCUCUGUUAGAACUAUACUGAGUUUGGCAGCUUGUUAUGACCUAGAGGUUGAACAAAUGGAUGUGAAAACUUCUUUUCUUCAUGGUGACUUGGAAGAAGAGCUUUACAUGGAGCAGCCAGAGGGUUUUGUUGCACAAGGGAAAGAGGACUAUGUGUGCAGAUUGAAGAAGAGCUUGUAUGGUUUGAAGGAAGCUCCAAGGCAAUGGUACAAGAAGUUUGAGUCUGUUAUGGGGGAGCAAGGCUACAAGAAGACUACUUCUGAUCAUUGUGUGUUUGUUAAGAGAUUCUCUGGUGAUGAUUUUAUUAUUCUUUUGCUCUAUGUUGAUGAUAUGCUUAUUGUUGGUCAGAAUGCUUCUAGAAUUGAGAAGUUGAAACAAGAGUUGAGUAAAUCCUUUGCAAUGAAGGAUUUGGGGCCAGCAAAGCAAAUUCUUGGCAUAAGACUGACACGUGAUAGAAAGGCCAAGAAAUUAUGGUUAUCACAAGAGAGGUACAUUGAGAAAGUACUUCAAAGGUUUAGUAUGGACAAAGCUAAAGCGGUGAAUACUCCCUUUGCUAUGCACUUUAGAUUGAGUGUUAAGCAUAGUCCUUCCACAGAAAAGGAGAAGGAAGAGAUGCAGAAAAUUCCUUACUCUUCAGCCGUGGGUAGUUUGAUGUACGCAAUGGUUUGCACGAGACCAGACUUGGCUUAUGCUGUUGGUACAGUUAGUUGGUUUCUUUCUAAUCCAGGCAGAGAGCAUUGGAAUGCAGUGAAGUGGAUUAUGAGAUAUCUUCGUGGCACUUCAAACAUGAAACUUUGUUUCGGCAAUGAGAAACCUGUUCUUGUUGGGUAUACAGAUUCAGACAUGGCCGGAGACAUUGACUCGAGGAGAUCUACUUCAGGUUACUUAAUCACUUAUGCAGGGGGAGCUGUGGCAUGGCAAUCGAGACUGCAAAGUGUGUUGCAUUGUCCACCACCGAAUCAGAGUUCAUUGCAGCAACCGAAGCGUGUAAGGAGAUGCUUUGGAUGAAGAAGUUUGUGCAUGAGCUUGGUUUUACUCAGGAGAAGUAUGUCCUGUACUGUGAUAGCCAGAGUGCUAUUCAUCUUGGUAAGAACUCAACUUUUCAUGCUAGAUCUAAGCAUAUUGAUGUGAGGUACCAUUGGAUACGAGAUGUUCUUGAAGCUAAGAUGUUAGAGCUUGAGAAGAUACACACUAAUGAUAAUGGUGCUGAUAUGUUGACGAAGGCCUUACCAAGAGGAAAGUUUGAAGCAUGUUGUUUGACCUCCGGCAUGGAGGCAUUCCCCACAUAGUUGGAGGGGGAGAUUUGUUGGGUAUGGGUCCCACUAUGUGGGAAACCCAUAAUUUCUGCCACAUUUUAUUGUCUCUUUUUGGUUUUGUCAAAAGCCAUUUUUUGGGGGUUUUUAACGGGUGUUGGGCAGAAAUUUUUGUAGAGCAAAAAAAAAAUCUCAAAUUAAAACAGAGAGAAAGAGAGAAGAAAAUUUCAGUUUUUCAAGCUUGGUGCAGCAGUGAUCAACUCUUCGAUCGAAGGUCCAUCCGUGGUUCGAUUGAGCUGAUUUUUGGACAGCAGCUAGGCGAUAAGGUGUUCUUGACUUUGUACGGUCGGAUUUUUCAUCCGAGUCUUGUAGCAUCGGAAAUACCCAUUUUUCAGCAGCUACGUUUUUGGUGAUGUUCUCUCAUUUUUCUCUCUUUUGCUAAAGAUUACAUAUUAUUAGCCUUGUCGGAGUUGAAUGCUUGUUGUAGGCUUGAUAUUGUGAUCUUGUAGCCGAACAUUUGAUGAUAGUGGAGCUCUUUAUCGGACUCUAAAGUCCCGUGGUUUUUACCCUUGAUUUAAAGGGGUUUUCCACGUAAAAAUAUCGAUGUCUCUAUUUAUUUUUGUUGUGGUUGCAUUAGUUGAUUUGUGGUUGAUUAAGGUUGCUAGAGAACAUAUCUUGUGCUAUUGUGCUUGCCAUAAUUUUUGACAGGAGUUAUAAGGAGAGAAAGAACACCGGUUGUGCUUUCGCUUUGUUUCGGUUGUUUAGUUUCUUCCCAACAUUUUGUUCAUAUAAACUAAAAAUCUUUUUGUCUUUGUUUUUCUAAAUAAUGUGAAAUAUGGGCUUUUAUAUAGAUUCAUAAUCUCUUUGUGCUUUGUUCUUAAGCAAUACGAGAUUUAUUAUCCUUUUAACUAAAAAAAGAUUUAAGUUAAACUUGAUUUUUAAAAACUAAAGAUAAUAGUUAAACUUUGCACAACAAUAAACACGAAUAAAAUAUAUUUUUUAAUAUAUUAAAUGGUGAUUAUAAGUUGAUGUUGCUAUUCAACACUCUCCUCGUCACCAACUUUUAUUUAAAUUAACAUGUUAUUUGAAAUAAGGGAUAAUUUAAACACAAAAAAAAAUAUAUAAGGGUUUAUUUGGGUACAACAAAAAAAAAAACUAGUUCAAGGACUCUUUUAAGAAUUUAACCAUUUGCUGAACAUUGUCCCAUUGGAAGACCUUGACUUUUGUGGGUAAAAGAUACAAAGAAAGAAGACUGUCAUUUCCUAGAAAGUGUGAGAGUGACAAUUUUCUUGACUCGGAUAAUUAGCUAAUCUCUUCGGGUCGUUGCCUUUGUUAAAUCUCAUUUUCAUUUAAUACUAGGAUGCCAAAGCUCCCUUUGUGUAUUUUCCUCUCUUCUUCCUCAAUCUCACAAUCCAUAUAUACUUUCAUGGCAUCUUCUUCAUCUUCUUCUCGUCAAAUGAUGCAUUAAGUUUUCUUAACCUUCAGAGGUGAAGACACGGGCCUUAACUCAAUAUUUAAAACACAAAUUGACUUAACGAAUCCAAAUUACAUUGAUUAAAAUUAACCCAUCAUACCUGGUUGAUAGGUUUAGUUAAGGGGUAAUAGGUCAAGGACAAGGCUAUAUGCAUGAAAUUACGAUAGAUGGGUGUGUAAAAGUUGGGUCCUAUUUGCCAUCAUGUUAGUUAUGUGAGUGUCGAAUUUGAAUAUGUUCAAUUUUUAUUAAUAAUUUUCAUUUAUUUGUAUCUUUGAACGGACAAGAUCAAAAUAGAUGCUAUUAAUUGUAUAAGCUUGAUUAAGUCUUCUUUAGUUUUAGUUUAUUAAUUUCUUUUUCUCUUUUUAAAAUUCGAAUUUAUUUUAUUUUUUAAAAUAAUUUUACCUCUAUUUUGUUAUUUAAAUAUUUGAUUUAUCUUAAAUCGUUUCUACUUGUAUAAAUAGAAUUAUCAAUGAAUAAUGCAUAUUUUUCUUCUCAUCCUUUUCAAAACCUUAUAUAAUAUAUAAAGUCAAAUAUCUCUAAACGAAGAGUCGGAACUUAAGUACAAAUUAUUUUAGUCUUAAUUAUAUAUGUUCAAUUAAUCCCUCUGCUAGCUUAACACAACCAUUUACUGGAUUUCAUUUGAACCAAAAUGAAAAAAGAGAAAAAGAAAUAGAUUGCAUAUCCCACUAUCUACAAUGAAUGUGUUUUUUCGUUAAGAGCGAGAAAUGGCUUAUAUUAACUUAAUUUCUUUGAAUUAUUAUUUAAUUAAUUAUAAUUAAAUAAUUAAAGUUUGAAGGAAAAUUAAAUUAAUUAAUCAUCGUGGUUUUAAGGAAUGAGACAAUUAAAUUUAUUUACUCAUAAGUUUUAGUAUGGUAAAGUUGUCAUGAUUUUAACAAAAUUAGAAUUUAGUUGAGAAAAUAAUUUAAUUGAGGGAAUUAAUUAAAUUUAUUUUAAUUAACUAUAUAACUAAUAUUUUUACAAUGGAAAUUGGGUUGAAUAAAUUAUAUUAAUUAAUUUAAAGUUCACAUACACCUAAUCAAGGGUCGGGUCAAUGCAAAAUUUUAAGCUUGUUUUCUAGGCUCGACCCGACCUUCCUAUAUUAUUUUUUUAGAUUAUUUUUAUAUAAAGAUAAAUUUAAAAAAUAUAAUAUAUCAAAUAUACUAAAAUUAUUGAAAUUAGUGUUUCCCAACAAAUUGAGAAUACAUUUUAAAAAGCUUUAUACUUAAAUAAUACUAACACGGUUGCAACAUAGCAAAAAAAAAACUCUCUAAAAUAGUAGUAAAAUUAACAACAAAGUAAGAAAUAUAAUAUUCAAAUAAUAGCAACAAAAUAAUAACAAUAUAAUAGUAAAAUAGUAAUAAAACAACAACAUAACAACAUUAAACAACAACAGAAAAAUUAGUUAAAUUUGGGCCGAGCCCAAAACAUAUUAUCUAAAACCCAACCCAUUUAGAAAAUAUACCUUAUUUUUUGUCCAAAUCUAUUCUUUAAUCUUAUAUUUUCUCAAAAUAAAAAUAGACUUUUCCCAAAAUAUUUAAACUAAGUUUAAAUUUUAAAAUUGACAUUAUUAAAAAAGUUCUACCUAACCUAUUCUUUAAUCUUAUAUUUUCCCAAAAUGAAAAAUAGAUUUUUUCCCAAAAUAUUUAAUCCAAAUUUAAAUUUUAAAAUCAACAUUACUAAAAAAGUUCUACCUACCUCGAAUAAAAAUUAGGCUCAAACCAUAAAAUCAAGGAUAAAACGUAAAAGAAAUCACGGGUGCGGUACGGUUCCUAAGGUACACACGCAUUGACAUUAUCCCAUGUGCUGUGACCAGUGAUGUAAUUUGGUGUCUUUUGCCUCAAUCUCACAACCCAUACUCUCUUUCAUGCUUGCUUGCUUGCUUCUUUUUCUUCUCAAAAAAUGGGGCUAUCAAAUAAAUACUAAUAUUAAAUAUUUUAAUUAGGUUGGUGUAUAAGUUAUUUAAAUGUUAAUUUAAUAAAAAAUUAAUUAAAAAACUUAAGAGUGUAAAAAGUAGGAAUCAUAUCCAAUUUUCAUGAUUUUAAAACAUGGAUAUGUUAUAGUUUUGUAAAAGUAUAAUUCAAUGCUGUCUUAAUGUAGAACAAGCAGCAAAUGAUACCCAUCAAGUAUCUAAGCAAUUUUCUCAUACAAAAGUCACAGUCAAGGCUUACUAAAUAUCACACAAGGGCUGAAAUCUACUAUAAAAAGUCUGUUGUAGGCUUCCAUCCACAAUUUUUAAAUUGAUCUCAUAUUAUAAAAAAAAUGAAGUGUUUAAAUAAAAACAAACCAAACCCUAUGAUAAAUCUCAUCACCAUUUAAUAAAAGGGCACCAACGAGUUCUGUUUAGUUUGAUCAAAGCUCCACAAGAUUCACUAUGCAAUUUAUCAAAGCUCCACAAGCACAUGUAUUUUUUAUUACCCUCAAAGAUAAUUGCCUAAGCUCAAAUCCUCGCCUACGCUUCACUACAAACAUAUUAAAUUAAGUGGUUUUGAAAUAGAAGGAUUAAAUUUUAAUUUUGAGAAUACUCCAAAUCGAUAAUGUGAUUAAUUAUUUUGUUUAAAAAUACUGACGUGAUAUUUUAAUAGGAAUACUUACUAAUGUUAUAUCGAACUAAUUAAUGAUAAUAUAAAGAGAUUAAAUUGUGUUAUUUUAAUAUUUAGAAAUUAGAUUUUAAAUUUGAAAAUAAUAUAGAGAUCAAAAUUAAAAUUUAACUGUUUUCGGCGAGUAAAAUUUUUUAUGGCAGUGGGUUAUUCAACUCCUCACCUUAAUUUAGACACGCGCCUUAAUUUCACCACUCACUUACUUCAAGCUUUGAAAGACGAGGGACUUGAUGUUUUCUUUGAUGAAGAAGAACUGGAAAGGGGGGACCAGCUUUCACAAGCACUUUCUCGAGCAAUUGCAGUCUCAAAUAUCUCAAUCAUCGUUUUGUCUGCAGACUAUGCCUCUUCGAAAUCAUGCUUGGUUGAACUUUCUGACAUCAUGGACCGCUAUAGCGGCGAACAACAAAUUGUUCUUCCCAUCUUUUACCAUGUUAACCCCUCUGAUGUGGAGAAUAUUGUUGAGCAUGGACUGCAAUGCAACAGAAGGCCAUGAUGCAGACCAGCAGCUGCAGCAGACCAGCAUUCAAGCAGGACCAGAAGUAGCUUAAUUAUUUUGUUUACUUUUUGUUCAUUUUGUAAUGCCAUCCAAGCUAAAUGUAACUAGACUUUUAGAGUUGUUAAGAUUUGAAUUGAUGGAUGUAAUGGCUAAAAGUUGUUCAGCUUUCUUUUGUGUUACUUUAGUUGGCAACUUGCCAAAAUAGGUGGGAGCAGUUACAAGUUUAGGUAACUGACAUUCUAAUUUUGUAACUCAUAUAUUUUCAAAUGAAAUGAAAAGCAGUAGUAUUCCAUUUCAGUUACAUUUUUGCUUUUGAGUUUUCUGUUCUGUUUUCUUUUCUUUUCUGCUUGCUGUUCGAGAGCUUAUCCUCUUGGUGUUUUCAUUUGUUUGAUUUGCUGUUGUCUUUGUUUCAACAAAUGGUAAUCAGAGCCUCCUAUCUUUGAGGACCUCUGUUGUUUAUGUUUUAGUUUUUUCAAAGCAAAGUCAGUUUUUUUGUGUUUUCAAAGUCAGUCUUGGCAGCAUGAGUUUUGCUCCUCCUCCACCACCAGUUUUUGCUGGAGACAACUACCACAUUUGGGUUGUCAAAAUGAAGACAUAUCUUCAAGCACUUGACCUCUGGAGUGCAGUUGAGAGUGAUGUCGAGCCAGCACCAUUAAGAGCAAAUCCUACCAUUGCUCAGAUCAGGCAACAUGGUGAGGAACGAGCCAAGAAACACAAAGCUAUGGCCUGUUUGCAGAAUGGAAUAUCAGAUGUUAUUUUCACUCGUAUCAUGGCCUGUGACUCUUCCAAGCAGGCAUGGGACAGGCUGAAAGAGGAAUUUAUGGGAUCAGACAAGACCAGGCAGCAACAAGUCAUCAACCUUAGAAGGGAGUUUGAAAAUUUGAAGAUGAAGGAGUCAGAAACUAUCAAGCAAUAUUCUGACAGGAUUAUGGCUACUGUCAAUAAUAUUAGACUCCUUGGAGAAGAUUUCAGUGAUAGUAGGGUUGUUGAGAAGGUUAUUACCACCUUACUUGAAAGGUUUGAGUCAAAAAUCUCCUCAUUGGAGGACUCGAGAGAUCUCACAACCAUUUCUUUGUCUGAGUUGAUUAACUCACUCUAUGCACUUGAGCAGAGAAGAGCAAGUAGGUAGGAGGAGAGUCUUGAAGGUGCUUUUCAAGCAAAGGUCAGAGAAGGCUCCAGCUCAAGCCAGAAAGCCAAGAAGCUUUGGUUUGAAAAGAGGGAAAGAUCAAAGAAAGAUGCCAGUAGAAGGAGGUUUCCACCAUGCAUUCACUGCAAGAAGACCAAUCACCUGGAAAAAUUUUGCUGGACCAGACCAGAUAUACAGUGCAAAAGCUGUAAGAAGUAUGGUCAUCAUGAGAAAAUCUGUAGAAGUCAUGAGAAGGCACAAGCACAACCAGUACAAGCCAAGUCUGUCGAGGAUGUCCAAGCUCAGGAGGAGCAUGUAUUUACAGCUUCAUGUUUUGCAGCUAACAGCAAGAUCAGUUGGCUUGUGGAUAGUGGCUGCUCACACCACAUGGCUGUAGAUGAGAGCCUUUUCUAGAACCUUGACAGGAGCUAUGUCUCGAAGGUCAGGAUAGGCAAUGGCAACUUGAUUGAAGCAAAAGGUAGAGGUGAUAUGGUGAUUCACACUGGUUCAGGUAACAAAAUCAUUUCUGAUGUGCUCUAUGUGCCAGAAAUAGACCAAAAUUUUCUCAGUGUAGGCCAGCUAGUCAAGAAAGGCUUUUCACUAGUUUUCAAGAAUGAUUCUUGUGUUAUAAGUGAUGCUCAUGGUAGGGAGAUUGUCUCAGCACCUAUGGGAGACAAAUGUUUUAUGCUGGAUGUGAGUCAGCUUGAGAAAAGUGCAUAUACAAGCUCAGUUGACAAUACUGAUCUUUGGCACAAGAGGUUUGGCCAUGUUAACCUCAAAUCACUUGAUUUGCUGCACAAAAUGAACAUGACAGAGGACAUGGUGAAGGUUAGUGCAAGUGAAGGUGUUUGUGAGGUGUGUCAGCUUGGCAAACAAGCCAGGUUGCCCUUUUCAGCUAACCAAGCAUGGAGGGCUCGAGAAAGACUUGAGUUGGUGCACUCAGAUGUCUGUGGACCAAUGAAGACCCCUUCACUGAAUGGCAGUAAGUAUUUUAUACUAUUUAUUGAUGAUCUGACCAGAUUUUGCUGGGUUUAUUUCAUGAAACAGAAGUCAGAAGUGUUUGGAGUUUUUGGAAAGUUCAAGACAUUGGCAGAAAAUCAAACAGGCUGCAGGAUUAAGGCCUUGAGGACAGACAAUGGUUUUGAAUACUUGUCUGAAAGAUUUCAGAAGCUAUGUGAGAAGGCUGGGAUUCAUCAUCAGUUAACCACAGUGUACACUCCUCAGCAAAAUGGAGUGUGUGAGAGGAAGAACAGAACAGUGAUGAACAUGACUAGGUGUAUGUUGUUUCAAAGCAAGCUUCCAAGCAUUUUUUGGGCUGAAGGUGUCAACACCUCAGUGUACCUGCUCAAUAGGCUGCCAACACAUGCUGUGAAUGAUAAAACUCCUUUUGAAGCAUGGUAUGAUCUUAAACCAACUGUUUCCCAUUUAAAAGUGUUUGGUUGCAAGUGUUUUGUACUUGUCCCUGCAGAAAGAAGAACCAAGCUCGAGAAGAGGUCAGUUCCUGGUAUAUUUGUUGGCUACAGUAGCUGCAAGAAGGGCUACAGAGUAUUUGAUCCUUCAACCAAGAAGAUUUUGGUAAGCAGGGAUGUCAAAUUCGAUGAAGGAAGGUUUUGGAGUCUAGAUGGCUCUAACACAAGUCAGUUUGAAGAAGAGCAGAUUGACAGCAAUCUAGAAUUGGCAGAAAAUGAAGUCAGUAAUGCCAAUGUAGAUGAUGCUCCUGUGAGAGGGACCAGGUCUAUUGCUGAUAUCUACCAAAGAUGCAAUGUGGCCAUUGUUGAGCCUUCAAGCUAUGAAGAAGCUGCAAGAAGCAAGAGCUGGAAGAAGGCUAUGGAGGCUGAAAUCGACAUGAUCCAUAAGAAUGACACUUGGGAUCUAGUAGACAGACCUGAUCAGAAGAAGGUCAUAGGUGUCAAGUGGGUUUUCAGGACCAAAUUCAAUGCAGAUGGCUCUCUGAACAAGCACAAGGCAAGGCUUGUGGUGAAAGGGUACAAUCAACAGUUUGGCAUUGAUUUUGAGGAGACAUUUGCACCAAUGGCAAGGCUGGAUACUAUAAAGCUUCUAUUUGCUUUCGCUGCACAGAAACAGUGGAAGGUCCAUCAGCUUGAUGUCAAGUCAGCUUUCCUGAAUGGCUUCCUUAAAGAGGAAAUUUAUGUUGAACAGCCUGAUGGAUUUAAAGUCCAAGGAAAGGAGGACAAGGUUUACAAGCUGAAGAAGGCACUCUAUGGACUAAAACAGGCUCCUCGAGCCUGGUAUGACAGGAUAGAUGCUUACCUGUCUAGGCUCAAUUUCGAGAAAAGUUUGAGUGAGCCAACUUUGUUUAUAAAGAAGUCUAAAGAUGAGACUUUGCUGAUUGUCUCAAUAUAUGUGGAUGAUCUAUUAGUGACUGGAAGCAGGGUCGAUUUGAUUCAGGAGUUCAAGAAGAAUAUGCAAGACAUGUUUGACAUGACAGACUUGGGAAUCAUGACUUACUUCCUUGGUAUGGAAGUAGACCAGUUGAUCAAGGCAUUUUUAUCAGCCAGCAUGCAUUUGCCUUGAAAGUUCUCACUAAGUUUCAUAUGGAAAAUUGCAAGCCAGUGAGUACACCUCUAGUCAUGGGACAGAAGUUGAGCAGCUAUGGAGAUGAAAAAAAGGUGGAUGAAAGAGAGUAUAGAAGUCUAAUUGGAUGUUUACUAUACUUGACAGUAACUAGACCUGACCUUAUGCAUUCGGUCAGUUUGCUAUCUCGUUUUAUGCAUAGCUGCAAUACAUCACAUUUAAAGGCUGCAAAGAGAAUCCUCAGGUAUGUGAAAGGAUCCUUGAAGUUUGGAGUGAUGUUCAAGACAGGAGGUCAGCUGAAGUUAUCUGGCUACUCAGACAGUGAAUGGGGAGGUUCGAUUGAUGAUAUGAAGAGUGCCUCAGGGUACCUCUUUUCUCUUGGUUCAGGAGCUUUCUGUUGGAGCUCUAAAAAGUAACAAACAGUUGCUCAAUCAACUGCUGAGGCAGAGUACAUAGCAGCAGCUGGAGCAGUAAGCCAAGCUAUUUGGCUUAGAAAAUUGUUGUGUGAUUUGAAUGAGGAACAAUUUGAGCCUACUGAGAUUAUGAUUGAUAAUCAAUCAGCAAUAGCUAUCUCUAAGAAUGCUGUUUUUCAUGGCAAAACGAAGCACUUUAAGCUCAAAUUUUAUUUUGUUCGAGAGGCAGUACAAUCAAAGGAUGUGAAUCUUGCAUAUUGUAGUUCACAAGAUCAAUUGGCUGACAUUCUAACAAAGCCUCUUGGUACUAUGAGGUUUGAAUUUCUUAGAGAUUUGGUUGGUGUUUGUUGCCUACAGUCCAAGGAGGAGUGUUGAGCAUGGACUGCAAUGCAACAAAAGGCCAUGAUGCAGACCAGCAGCUGCAGCAGACCAGCAUUCAAGCAGGACCAGAAGUAGCUUAAUUAUUUUGUUUACUUUUUGUUCAUUUUGUAAUGCCAUCCAAGCUAAAUGUAAUUAGACUUUUAGAGUUGUUAAGAUUUGAAUUGAUGGAUGUAAUGGCUAAAAAUUGUUCAGCUUUCUUUUGUGUUACUUUAGUUGGCAACUUGCCAAAAUAGGUGGGAGCAGUUACAAGUUUAGGUAACUGACAUUCUAAUUUUGUAACUCAUAUAUUUUCAAAUGAAAUGAAAAGCAGUAGUAUUCCAUUUCAGUUACAUUUUUGCUUUUGAGUUUUCUGUUCUAUUUUCUUUUCUUUUCUGCUUGCUGUUCGAGAGCUUAUCCUCUUGGUGUUUUCAUUUGUUUGAUUUGCUGCUGUCUUUGUUUCAACAAAUAUUGAUGGGAGUUUUAAGAAAUCAUUUGAUGAGCAUGAAACAAGGAGGUCAGUUGAUGAAGUGAAACAAUGGAAAACUGCUUUUGCUGAAGUUGGUAAAUUACAAGGGUGGCAUAUAGAUGGAAGCAUCUCGGAUAGGUAACUAUAUUUGUCUCAUCUCCUUAUAUUUGACUUAUCUUUGUUUUGGAUUCAAUAUAUAUACUUCUUCUAUUAUUUGCUAGACCUGAAACCCAGUACAUCAAGGAUAUUGUUGCGUAUGUUAUGCAAAAGUUGAUGAAGCAUCAAGUUUUCUUAAGCUUAGGUGAAGACACAAGCCUCAACUUCUCCAAUCACCUAGUCAAUGCUUUGGAAAAAGUAGGAAUUGAUGUCUUCCCCAAUAACGAAACACUGAAAAAAGGAGAGAAACUUCCACCAACAUAUUCUCGAGCAAUUUCGGCCUCAAAUCUCUCAAUCCUCGUUUUAUCUAAAGCCUAUGCUUCUUCAAAAUCAUGCUUAGGUGAACUUUCUGACAUCAUGGAUCGCAAGCACAAUCCCACUGACAAACAUAUUGUUCUUCUCGUCUUUUACCAUGUUGAUCCUUCCGAUGUGCGAAAUAUUGGUGGGCAUUUUAAGGCAUCCUUCGAAGAGCAUGAAUCAGAACAACCAGCUGAUAGAGUACAACAAUGGAAAACUGCUUUUGCAGAGGUCGGUGAAUUAAAAGGGUGGCAUAUAGAAGGAGGCAAAUUUGACAAGUAACUAUAUUUUUCUCAUCUUGUUAUAUUCAACUUAUAUUUGUUUUACAUUUCAUAUUUACUGGUUUAUAUUUUUUUUUCUAGACCUAAAACCCAGUACAUUAAAGAUGUUGUUGAAUAUGUUAUAAAAAAGUUGUCGAAUAUUAAGUCUGGAAGUGCUUCUAAAGAAUUGGUUGGAAUAGAUGAUCAGAAAAGGACGAUUUUGAAGCUGAUUAAGCAAAAAGACAGUUGUGUAAUAGGACUUUGGGGAAUGGGUGGUCAAGGCAAAACAACCCUUGCUGAGGUUGUGUAUAAAAAAACCUCUUUAGAGUUUGAAAGUUGUUGCUUUCUCCAAAAUGUUAGAUAGGAAAUAGAAAAACAGGGGAAGAUAUCUUUACGAAAUGAACUUCUUUCGAAAUUAUUGAAGUCAGGUGUUGAUAUAGACACCCCCACUGUAGGAUCCACUUCAAUUCAAGAGAGGCUCAACAAUAAGAAAGUACUUGUUGUCCUUGAUGAUAUUAGUGACCCAAACCAAAUAGAUUGUAUGGGUGUUAAACGUUUGGGCUCUGGAAGUAAAAUCAUUAUAACAUCUAGAGAGAAACAAGUGCUUAAGAGUGGAGGAGCUGACACAAUACAUGAGGUGAAAGCAUUAAAUGAGAAUGAUUCUCUUCAAAUUUUUUCUACCUUUGCAUUUAAGCAGUUGAAUCCUGAAGUUGAUUUUCAAGAUCUAUCAUGCAAGUUUGUGGAGUACGCCCAAGGCAGUCCACUUGCUCUUAGAGUUUUGGGUUGUAAUUUAUAUGGAAGGACUAUAAAUGAUUGGGAAAGUGAGAUGGAGAAGCUAGGGGAAUAUUUCCACCCCGAAAAUUUUGUGGUUUUGAAAAGUAGUUAUGAUGGGCUAGGUAUGGUAGAGAAGAAUAUAUUUCUUGACAUUGCAUGCUUCUUUAAAGGGGAACCCAUAAAAAGAAUAAAACAUGUUCUAAGUUGUUAUCGGGGUGUAGAUGAUGGAAUAAGCAAAUUGCUCAGCAAGUGCCUAAUUA
rnacentral:lncRNA from 1 species